UCCCACACAAACAUAUGCAAAUAUAUUCCACCAACAAUAUUAGUCGGUCCUCGCUAUCAACCACAUCUAAAACCAUGUCAACGAAUGGAAACUUAAAAGUAUCCACAUGAGAAGGCUCCUUAUAUUUGUAUUAACAGAAGAGCAAAAAGAUAUAUAUGUAUGAUUUCAGUGAUCCAAAUCCGCACGGUGCAGCGGUGCGCAAGACUACCAUUUCCAAUCGGCACACAUCCUGUCUCCUUCCGCUCACUACCCUGGCUACAACUCUGGCUGCUGGUUUUCUUCAUCAGAACGCAGAGCUCAGGGCACCACGUGUUGCCUGUUGUUUCAUCUCCUGGGCUUUUCCACUUCCAGAGAAGUACAUGUACACUUGCUGCAUGUUGAGUAAGAGAGUUUGGUGAUCAAGAGAUAGGAACAACAUCAGUUGCAAUGCAAGGAUCUAUUGGCUAUGCCGAUCAGUCUAAUACAAAUUGAGCAUUUCAUCCAAUAUGUGCCAAUGCAUCUGCUCAUCAGUAAGGAGGGGCUAACACUACAGUUUUCGAAAAGGAUGAUAACCCCCGACAUCUGCAUCAAUCCAUGCACACAACCGCCUUUAUUAUUAUCCAAUAGAGUUUGAAAACAUGAAUACAUGGAUAAACCCGAAGCCACCUAUCUCGCGAACAAACUAGCGAUACCUACAAUUUGUAAUGUAUCACUACGAGCUCAAAUUCCCAUCAUAUGGACGGAAAAAGCGAGCAGGCAAUGGCUCCCGCAACCGCGCGCCCGCGGCCGGCGGCGCCGCGCUGAUCUCCUUCUUCCGGCCUCCAUUCCAUCCCCAAGACCAGAUCCGGACUGCUCUCCGCAUCCUCUCUCGGCUGCACAUAUUCUGGCCUCCGAGCUCUUGUUGUGCUGGCCCAUGGCUCUUGGAUCCGCAUUGUCGGCUCGGGCUCCAGCGGCUGCCUCGGCUGCCGCUGCCGCGCUCGCCGCGGCUGCUCUUGCCUCCCGCAAGGCCGCCCCGGGCGCUGGUGGCCGCUUGGGCCACGCUGGACGCCCUCCGAUGCCCGUUGUGGCUGCAUCUCCGGCAACACGUUCGGGGAUGCACUCCCUGCCGGGCUCCAGGCGUCCACCGGCCGGCGUCGCCGCGACGUCCUCCCUCGAAGCUGCAAGUGCAACUGGCCUGGAGGAAGGAGGGCUUGGGUCCCCGCUGCCGCCUCCGUAUGGGCGUCCCCCGUCCCCGGCUGUUGCUGACACUGUGGCAUCCGCUACUCCUGUUGGUACUAGGCCGUCACCCCCGACUGCUGCUGACGACGCACCGUCCCUGACUCCUGCCGGCGCCGCUAUGUCGUCCUCUGCUACUGUUGAAGCUGUGCCGUCCUUGGCUCCUGUCGACACCGCGUCGGGCCUGGACACAGGGCGACUUGUUCUGUGGAGCUCCCUUGCUGACGAAGAAGAAGAAGAGGAUGAUGAUGAGCUGGCCCCGCCGACGCCACCUCCGGCUACCAGUUCCUCAGUUUCGCCUGCUCGGUAGGGCGUGGAGAGUGAUGCGGCCACCACUACCCUCCACGACGCCUGUGACGGGGUGGAGGUGAUGCUUGAGGCCCCGCUCCACGGACAACCGACUCUGCUUGGUCCAUCUUUCGCGUCGGCAUGUAGCAGUCUUUCUGCUGCCGCUACCGUUCUUGAAGCUGAGGUGGGCUAGGAGCAUGUGGGCCAGGGGCACCGUUCCGAUCAGGUUGCUCCCCUCGAGCUGUCGAGGGAAGGUCUCGAGCGUAUCCUCGCUUUCAAGCGUUGGGCUCGAGGAAGUGCUUCCGUUGCCUCAAGCGUGGCCACCAAGUCAGCGCAUGUCAUGAACCAUUCAGAUGCAUUCGCUGUCGUCGCCCUGGUCAUCGGGAGAGGUUCUGUCGUGCUCUCUCUCCGGUUGGUUGUGAUCGCUCUCCGGUCGCUCGGGCUGGCUCUCCGGUUACCACUACUAGGGAAAAGCCUAUACACAGAAUCUUAGCAGCAGCGCGGCUCAAAAAGGAGCGCUGCUGCUAAUUAGUAGUAGCGCGUGUGCGGAAACUCGCUGCUGAUAAGUUUUUAGCAGUAGCGCGCUCUGUGUAAACCGCGCUGCUAUAAAUAUCGACCGGCGGUGUUCACCUAACUCCAUUUAGCAGUAGCGCGGUGGCUCGAACCGCGCUACUGCUACGGAUGUAGUAGUAGCGCGCUUUUACUGAGAUCGCUACUGCUAAAUUCCAAAUUGGCACAUUUUUUUGUCCCUGUUAGCAGUAGCGCCGUCGCCCAAAGCGCGCUGCUGCUAAUUCCUUAUCAGUAGCGCAUUUUUGCUCCCGCGCUACUACUAACCCGCACCAACCCACCACCUUUUCCCCACAGUCCCUCCCCUCCGCCUCCUCUCUUCCCUUCCCCCUACCUCCCCCACAUGCUCCCGCUCUCACUCUUCUUCUUCCUCAAUACUUCUCCCCCAUUACUCUCUCUCUCUUCUAUCCACCUUUCUCUCUCUUCAUUACUCUUACCUAACUACACCACCUCCAUUAAUGCAUCUCCUUUCUCUUUUUCCUUUCCCCUCCACUAGUUGAAGUUGUCUCCUCCUAAAUUGGGUAGCUAGGUAGAUGUAGGAUUUAGUUAAGUGACCUAUUUGCCCCCUAACUAGAUCUAUCUUUGUCAAGAAGAGCUUUGUGCACUUUUGAUCUCCCUAAAACAUCAUCUCCACUGUGUGCUCGAUCUCGAUCGAGAUAGAGGUGAUGAAAAUUUAAUGCUUUUGCAAAAUGGAAAUAUGUUUAUGUGUGUGUGAUAUGUUUGUGGAAAUUGUGUGUGUGGCAUGAGUUGACGCCAAAUUAUGCUUUUGAGUUGCCUAUGUUUUGCCAAAAUGUCGAUUUAUUUCCGUUUCGGUGAAUUUCGGGCAAACUCUAGAUCCAUAUAUGUCCUAUUUUAAGGAAGGUCAUGCCAAAUUUUUUUAUGACUUUGAUGCAUGCAUGCAUUUUUAUAAUCAAUUUGUUUAUUAUUACCGUGCAGAGUUGACGAUGGUCAGUGGAACGAUGUUGGACAGGUGGUUGCGGUCGGCGGUGCAGGACAUGAAAGAAAAUAACCGGAUAGAGGUUUUAUGUCCGUGUCGAAAAUGCAAAGGAAUAGUUUGGCUCGACCACCAUGACGAUGGUCGUGUCGAAGCGCACCUGCUCAUGAAUGGUUUCAUGGAUGGCUAUACUCGGUGGAUAACUGAAGAUGAGGAUGACGAUGUUGAGGAUGCCGACGGGGCAGGCAAUGAUGACACCGGGCAAGACGAAGAGAUGAUCGAUAAUGGCGGUGGGGAAGAGGCCGGACAUGGCGGCGGAGAAGGGGCCGGACAUGGCGGAGGAGAAGGGUCCGGACAUGGCGGCAGAGAGAACGACAUGGACUCCAUGCAGCAGAGUUCGUCGGUACUAAGUUCAACGUGCGGGACCCUCAUGUUCAAGCAUUGCUUCACAAGGAGACGAGUACUGAGAGAGUUGCUUCUAGAGAGGAGGCUAAUCUGGAGCAACUGGUGGUAGACUCAAACACUCCAUUGUAUGAUGGUUGCAAUCUUGAGGUGACCCGCUUGAGUUUCACGCUCCAACUCCUGAAGACGAAGGCUAAAAAUAAAUGGACCGACACUAGCCUCGAUGAGCAUCUCAAGUACCUAAAGGAUGUUCUUCCCGCGGGUAAUCUAUGUCCUACUAGUGUUGAUGAGGCCAAGAAGAUCGUGUGCCCUCUUGAUCUGCCACACAUUAGAUACCAUGCAUGCAUCAACGAUUGCAUAAUUUAUCGGAAGGAGCACACAGAAAAAACAAGCUGUCCGGUGUGCAAUGCUUCUGGAUACAAGAAGGCCGGGAAGAAAUGUCCCCAGAAAGUUGUAUGGUACUUACCGAUCACUCCCCGUCUCCAGAGGAAUUUUGUAGAUCCCAAGGAAGCAAAGCUAAUGCGCUGGCACGCGGAGAGGAAGAAGCCCGACGAUGGAGAUGAUCCGAAGCCGAGACACGUGAAGGAUGGAAGCCAGUGGAGAGCGUUGAACAGCUUCUAUCGGUAUUUUGAAUGUGAUGCAAGGAACAUCAUGCUCGGCGCGUGUACCGAUGGCAUGAAUCCGUUUGGCAACCAGAACACCAACCAUAGCACAUGGCCCGUGUUUGUAUGUACGUACAACCUCCCCCCUAGUUGUGCAUGAAAUCAAAGUACAUUCACAUGAGCAUGCUUAUUCAAGGGCCGAAACAACCAGGAGAUAAUAUUAAUUUGUAUCUGGGGCUACUUCAAGAGGAGUUAGACACGUUAUGGAAAACACCGGCCAAGACAUGGGAUGCCAGCAAAGGUGAGUAUUUCAACAUGAGAGCCGCGCUGAUCACGACAGUGCAGGACUAUCUCGGUUACGGAUAUGUGGCAGGCCAGGUGUGCCAUGGAUAUUGCGGAUGCACACGGUGCAUGGAUGAUACGACAUCUCAGCAGCUAACGUCAAGGAAAGAUGGCGGGUCUGGGAAAAUCGUGUACAUGGGGCAUCGAAGAUGGCUUGAACAGGACGACCCGUGGAGAAACCGUGGAGAUCUAUUCAAUGGUCACGCUAAGCAUCGAGGACCUCCACGUAAGCGGAGCGGUGCCGAAAUUGAUGAGCGUUUGAAAAACUAGAAGGAGUGCCCCGCGUCGGGAAAGACGAUGAGAAAGGCGCCAGAGCCGCUGCUGAAGGUAUGGAAGACGAGGUCUGUGUUCUGGGACUUGGAGUACUGGCACAAACUCGAUACACCUCAUUGCCUUGAUCAAAUGCAUAUUUGUAAGAAUGUCCUUGAGAGCUUGCUCGCAACACUGAUGAACAUGCCGGAUAAGACCAAGGAUGGGCCGAAGGCAAGAAAAGACUUGCAAGAUUUGAAAAUCAGGGAAGAUCUGCACAUGCCGCCCCGUAAAAUGUCAGACGAGAGAGAGACGGAGACAGAGGAACGGGAGAAGAAGGGCAAGAAAAUAAAGAAAGAGGAUUAUUGCCCCCCUUCUUGCUUCACCUUAAGUCUGGCUGAGAUCAAUGCCUUCUUUAAGUGCCUUACCGGAGUCAAAGUUAGUUCCGGUUACUGUGGCAAGAUAAGCAGAUAUCUAGACACGGACAAGAAAAGGUUUAGCGGGAUGAAGUCUCAUGACUGUCAUGUGAUGAUGACGCAGAUACUACCUGUUGCCCUUAGAGGGAUAAUGGACAAGCACGUCCGUGACACGCUUAUUGGUCUCUGCAACUUUUUCGACGUCAUCUCUCGAAAGUCGAUCAGUGUGAAGCAGCUCCAAAGGCUACAGGAAGAGAUCGUUGUGAUACUGAAUGAGCUUGAGAUGUACUUCCCCCCACGUUCUUUGACGUGAUGGUGCAUCUGUGUGUCCAUAUUGUGGAUGACAUAAUAGACCUGGGGCCGUCAUUCUUGCACAACAUGAUGCCGUUUGAGAGGAUGAAUGGGAUCAUCAAAGGAUUCGUUCGUAACACGUCCUAUCCGGAUGGAAGCAUCGUCCAGGGCUAUUUGGCACAAGAGUGCAUCUCUUUCUGUGAGAAUUUUCUAUAUGGCGCAGACCAGCCGCCUGGUGUUAGUGUUGGUUUGCCCGUUAACAAGCACGAUGGGAGGCUCGAAGGAGAUGUUCACUGCAACGGUCGCAGGGAACUGCACGUGGCAUACUUAGAUCGAUGCAGCGACUUUGACAGAGCAAACUUGGUAGUGCUACAACACCUAGACGAGGUAGAUCCUUUCGUGGCACUGCACAAAGAAAUUAUCGCAAAGAAGUAUCGUGACCGGGGGGUAUGCAGGACAGACGCCGAAGUUACUAGAGAGCACAACUCCACUUUCCUGCAUUGGUUCAAAGAGCAUAUUAUUGCUAAUCCCCCGGAGGAGGGCUCUAAGGACGGAUUGCUCAUAUACGCCUUAGCACAUGGCCCCUCGCCCAACCUCGUAACCUAUCAGGCAUAUGAUAUCAACGGAUACACGUUCUACACGGAGGCCAAAGAUAUGGACAGUGAUGAUCAGAACUCAGGGGUGACGAUAGAAUGCAUGACCGGCAGCGACAACGGCGCAACUGAACAAUUUUAUGGAAGGGUCGAGGAGAUCUAGGAGCUUGACUACUCUGGACUGCACAACACGACGAUGUUCCGUGUCAGAUGGGCUAAGAAUGUCGAAAGAGAAAGCCGGAUUUUCACUACCAUGACUAUACCCGAUGCCAAGAGCGCUGCCGUGAACGCUAUCGCAAAAAACGAGUCAUGGGUAAACGCUAAGCAUGUGGCACAAUGCUUCUUCAUAACUGACCCGCGCAAUCCCAGCCGUGUUGUCGUGAGGAGAGGCAAAAGGAACAUCAUUGGUAUGGAUGGAGUCGCCAAUGAGGAAGACUAUGAUCAGUACGGCAACCCAAUAAGGGAAGAUGACGAUGAUGAUGAAGUAUACGUCAAAAGAAGAAUCAAUACUACAUUACCUAAGAAAAAUCGUACCCCAUGGAAAAGGCAAAGUCACAAUGAGGGGCUCAAUUAUUCUUCGACGAACAAGAAGGGAAAGAAGCUGACUCAAAAAUGAAAACGUCAGCACUGAGGAAACUUAUGUUAUUGGUCAAAUGAUGUAAUAUAUAUAUAUGUUCCUAUUUUGUAUACACACUUAGCCAUUAUUAUGCAUGGGUCCUAUGAUGUGUAAUAUAUAUGUUCCUAUUUUGCAUACAUAUUUAACCGUCAAAUGAUGCAAUAUAUAUCGCCCUCCCUUCCUUCACUGCCCUCGGGAAAUAAAAGUGGGAUAAAAUAAAGGAAAAGAAAAAGGAAAGCUGGCAGUAGCGAAGGUAGUAGCAGCACGUUUUGCCUAAACCGCUACAGCUACUGAAGUUAGUAGUAGCAAAUUUGGUAUAAAGCGCUACAGCUACCGAAGGUAGUAGCAGCAUGUUUUGUCCAAAUGCGCUACUGCUAUGUCCACUUAACCCAAAAUUCUCACCCGCCCUGCUUCAUCCCGCCUUUCCCCCCGAAAUCCCCACUCUCUCUUCCCCCGUCGCACCGCCGCGCCCGACCCGGCCCCGGCGCUCGCCCCCGACUCCGGCGCCGGCGCUAGCCCCCGACCCCGGCGCUCGCCCNNNNNNNNNNNNNNNNNNNNNNNNNNNNNNNNNNNNNNNNNNNNNNNNNNNNNNNNNNNNNNNNNNNNNNNNNNNNNNNNNNNNNNNNNNNNNNNNNNNNNNNNNNNNNNNNNNNNNNNNNNNNNNNNNNNNNNNNNNNNNNNNNNNNNNNNNNNNNNNNNNNNNNNNNNNNNNNNNNNNNNNNCUCGCCCCCGACCCCGGCGCGCUCGCCCCCGACCCGUCGGCCCUCGCCUCCCUCCUCUCCCCUCCCGGCCGUCGUCGGGCCUGCCUCCUCGCCCCUGCAUCCUCUAUAAACCCCCCUCUCUCUCUGCUAGGGUUCUUCGGUUAAUAUACUUAGGUUUUAGUUAGGGUAGUAUGUUAAUUAGGUUAUCUAUUUAGUUAUGAAUUUAGCUAGGUUUCAAAAUUAGCUGAAUUUAUAUGCAAAUUUGAACUGGACAUGUGAUAUGUGCAUAUGUCAUGUUUUGGACAUGUCAUGUUUGGAAAAUGAUCCGAGUGGCCUAUGUUACGCCGGAAUGUUGAUUCAUUUCCGUUCCGGUGAAUUUCAGGCGCUCGAUAUGUCCAUUUUUUAGCAAAAGGUCAUGCCAAAAUUUCCCGUGAAUAAAUGCAUGAUUUUGUGCUACAUAGUUGGCAUAUCGAGUGCUGGCACAUAGAUUUCUUUUUAUGUCAUUUCUCAUUUAUUCAUACUUUUAGAAAUAAAUGAGGACACAUAAUCAUAGGAAACAUGUCGAACAACGAAGAAACUGGGCCUUCUGACCAAGAUGCAGACGAGAUGGAUUAUGAGGGUGAACAAGAGUACCUCGACUAUUUGACUGCUAAGCAAGGUUUGCAGGUCGGCCUCGAUGAUGGUACUGACGCCAACAUCGACACCGACGGCGCCGGCACCGAUGGCGGCACCGAGACCGGUGGGGAAGGUACCAGCGGGGAAGGUACCGGCAGGGAAGGUACCGGCCCCGAUGCCGCUACCGAAAAGAGGAAGCAUAAGAAGCAGAGGAUACGAAAACCUAACAAACUAGGGAUUGGACGACUUGUGAUCACAAAGAUGGCACUUGGCAAAUUUGAUCCGUUAGAGCCGGAAGAACCUCGCAAGUGCUAUGGGAACCAAGUAGGAUGCAUCCUAUGGGAAUGCGCGAGCAUCAACGACGAUGACUUAAGGAGUAAAGAACAUUUGACGUAGUUGCUCCUAACGAAGUUGCACAAGAGAUUCAAGUUCCCCGACCGGGAUGAUAACAUAGAACAACCGUGGGAUGAUCCGAAGAUGAAAAAGAUUAACAAUCACGCCAUGGGCAUGUUCAGCAAUGAUUUGGCCUCCUGGAAAGGGAGGAUGAAACGAGCUAUUGAGGCUGAUGAACCCCUAUCCAAGAUUCUGGAGGAAAAUCCGACACUUACGGAAGAGGAGUUCGAAAAGUUCAAGGACACUUGCGCUACCGAGGCAGCCAAGGCUAAGGCUGCGAAAUUCAAGAGCCUUCAGCAAAGGAACACGGGGAAGCAUCGCCUCGGAAGCCGUGGCUACCUCGGUAAAAGGCCCAUAUGGGAUAAGGAGGACGCGGAAUGUGAAGCCGUGGGUCUCCCAGACCCCUUCGCGAAGUUCACCAACCCCUUGGAGCAUGACUUCAUCAGGGCCUGCUACAAGUGGGACAAGGAGAAAAAGGUUUUUUACACGGACAAGAUCACGAGGAAAUUAAUUAGACUACUGGAGAAGCAACACCAGCUUGCAGCCAAAAGCCCUACUUCUCCGAUGAGGCCCAAGUGGGACACCCCUCUCAACUGGGCCUUGAACGAACUUAAGGGACUCCCUUUGGAUCAGCGGCUGCAAUAUGGUCGUGUGCACGGCGCUGGAGACGGCGCCACGUGGAAGGUAUUUUACAACGAGGGCCUGGAGGCCAAGAAGCUGAAAAAGAUGUUUAGUCAGGCGGACAUCGACGCGAAGGUGAAGCUUGCGGUCGAGAAAAAAGCAGCCGAGGACGCGAAAAAAGCAGCCGAGGACAAAUAUGAGUUGCUACAGUAGGCAGUCAAUGCAGCUGUAACUGCCUACAGAAAUGAUUUCGCUACUAACUUGGUUCCAGUUAUCAUCAACUGGGCGAAGGAAAAUCCAGACAAGACGGUACAUGAUUUCCCGUUGCCCUGUUUCGUCGGGAGCAACUCCAUGAACAACAACACCAUCGCACCAUCACUUGCUCACGCAACCGGGCCUCCUCUCGCAGCCGCUCCCGCUCAUAGCAGCCCGUCCUCAGUCUCACGGUAAUUACAUGUCGCACCAAUAUAUAUAUAUAUAUAUAUAUAUAUAUAUAUAUAUAUAUAUAUAAUAUUCCACUUUUGUUGCCUUUCGGUUGUUUUACACCGCAGACAUAUGUGUUUGCAGGCGAAAGAAACCCCGUGCACCAUACUCUACUUGAUCAAAGGCCAGAAGGUGGACAUGGGAAAGGGGAUGAUAAUGGACCCCUCUCAAUGCACGUUCCACAACCAGCCGAUCCCCACUGGGCACUUCAGGGUUAGCUUGACCAAUGUGAAAUCAGGGCACGAGGAUUUGCCUCCUCCAGUACAGCAUGUGGGAGCGGACGACGAGACCUCACCGCAGAUUGGAAGCUGCAAGAAUUGGGUGCUGCUAUGGCCGAAGAAUCUUAUUCGUCUGGAGCCGGCCGAGAGCACACCAAUAACUACCACACAUCAACAAGCAUGUGCGAAGACCACCACCCCGCCUACGCAAUUACCAGCUCCUGUAGUGCCUGGUGAGAGCGGCGGACGACAUGAUGAAGAGGGUGCAAUAGUACUGGCUGAUGUAAUUUCUCGUGUAGAACAGAGAAUGGAUGAUGAGACGGAGGUCGACCCUAUGGAUUACCUCAAUACAAACGCGUAUGACUGUGACAUAGAUAUGAUGAGUCAACCAUAUGACGAAUCGGGCUAUCAGCUUGCUAAUAAGUAUAUGGAUGAUAUGCCCGGGCAGGGUCGUACCAUGGAUUGCAAAAAGUCUCUCUUCAUGAAAUCCUCACAGGACACGCCUGAAGAUGCCGCCUCAACACAGGCUCAACUAGCCGGGCGCGAGGGUCGUACAGUACUUAGCCUGGGAACACUGGGGCAGGGGUUAAGGAAGGGUCUGGAAGGUGUGCCCAAGAAAAAGGAGAGGAAGAGAUCGGGAAAGGUAACUGCCUCCAAACAAGCCAGAGCACAUAGCAGCCAGACGAUGCAUUCUGAAGAGCGUGUACCCGUGAAAGGUGCGGUCAUGUUCCAUCUCACGGGCGAGCCGAUGCUACCGCCGAAACCGCUGGAGGCACUAUCAGGGGAUCUCAGGAGACUGCACGACCAUGUGCUGUCGACUGAGAAAAGCCUACUAGCCUCAAAGGAUCCAGGAUAUCUGACAUAUGCGGCUCGUGUGCCUGAGGGGAAGUGCUACAUCGACACAUGGCCCGCAGAGGUGUUCUUCCUGCGGUUUGACCAUAUCUUUGAGAUGUUUCUAACAAGGCAGCUUGAUUUUACUAUCGUCCGCCUUUUUGCGAUACAUAUGAGCUCCAUCAUGAAGAGUGAAGAAGUCUCGCAAAUCUGUGUGGCGGAUCCGUACUACAUGCACGAGUCUUUCUUGAGUCACGGCGACUUUGAGCGUGAAAUUGCUAGGGAGUACCUCCAAAACUUCAUGGUAUAGAAUAAGGACCGGGAAAUUGUCCUCGUGCCUUAUCAUCCAAAGUAAGUCAGUUCCGGACAACCCUUUCAUACAUUUCAAUCAUUCCUUCUCUCUCAUAUGGGGAAUAAUUUGAGGUGUCUUUUCCCGGAAGCAACGGGCGCGCCGUCCUUAUCGUUCUUUACCCGCAAGUCUCCCGCGCCGUGUAUUUUGACCCUUCCAGAGACUACGAGAAAAAAGACUACACCCACAUAAUGAAUAUUCUAGAUGAUGCUCUCCAAGGCUGCAGCUUUAGUGGUGGCCACGUGCAGAUCAAGAAACAAAGGAACAAGAAGAUGGGUUUCGCGCAUAAAACUAACUUCUCCUGCAUCCAUGUCCCAAAACCAAGCAAGAAGGAUGGACUCUACAUCGUCCAUCUCAUGAUUCAGUUCAACACGGAUCACCAAAAGCUUCGCAUUAACAACAGAAAUGAUGAUCAUAUCCACAAGUGGCGAGAAUCUCAUGGAGAAGCGGAUUAUAAACUUAGAGAUGACUUCUUUCGCAUCCAAAGCAACAUUGCGACGAUCAUCAUGAAAGAAGUCGUCGAUGAGAAGGGGAUGUUCCACCACGGCCCUAUAUUGCGAGCUGACGUCCGAACUCGCAUAGGCAUGCAACGUCUAGACCUCACGCCGUUCAAGAAUCUAGGGUUCGUCCUUGAUGAUAUGGAAGGAUGGAACUUCUAGUGAUUUAUGAUGCCGAUGAUGAUGAUAUGUGUCGGUUGAACUUGUAUACUUUUUGUAGCGAUGAAACUUUGUGAUGUCCACGGUCCCUGCCGAACUUGCGUAACGCUACUUUGUUAGUUUGCGUACGAUGACCUGCGUACCUCUAGUUAAUUAAUUUGUGUACUGUAUGUUGCAUCUAGUUGCUAACCCUUUCUUUUUCGGUGUUGCUCUAUUAUAUUUUGUUGCAUAUAUAUGAUUGUACAUCCUCUUCAUGAACAUGCAUAUCUAACAGGUACCUAGUUUCUUGAUGGCGAGAUGGAAUUGCUAUGUCGUGUACAAAGGGAAGGUCCUGGGGGUGUACAACGAGUGGCAUGAGUGUCAGGCGCAAGUGAAUGGGUUCACGUGCGUCAGCCAUAAAGGCUUCAAAAGCAGACAAGAAGGAGAAGCUAGUUACUUGAGGUUCACGCUAGCGCGAGAGAGGACUCGUAACCGCCACCUCAUGUAUUGCAUAGUUUUGCUCUCACUCAUAGUGAUAGCACUUCUUGCGUAUACCUUUGUUUAGAUGGACGACGUUGUUGUAGUUGCAAGUAUUCGAGACUUGCAUGUAUCGCUAUUUUCUAGAUGAUGACAAGAUAUCACUUUGUGUUGGAUGAUGAUUAUGAUGAGACUAUUUGUAUGUACAUGCUAUGAUUACAUUUGUGGACCCCUCUGGCAUUUGUAUGUGUAUCAUGAUGACAUUUCUAUGUGCUAAAGAUUCUUCUAUAAAGCCUGUUCAAAUACAAAAUAAAUAUGCCAAAAAAACAAAAAAACCUACUUAAAUUAGCAGUAGCGAGUGUAUAAAAGUUAGCAGCAGCGCCGCGAUAGCAGUAGCGCGUCCAGGCAAAGCGCGCUAGAGCUACUAGCAGUAGCGAGCUUCCGCUAACAGCGCUGCUGCUACACUUAUGUAGCAGUAGCGCCGGUGAGCACGCGCUACUGCUAUCUGUUAGCUGUAGCGCCUUAUUAGUAGCGUCUAUCCCCGUGCUACUGAUACAUCUAAAACCCGUGCUGCUGCUACCCUUUUCCCUAGUAGUGUACCCCCGCUCCUCGCCAGCGAAGCCGCGCCCCAUGCGUCCAGCCUUGCCCUUCGUUGAAUAGGAGUUGGGCUGAGGUCGUGGGCCACUCAUCGCCACGUGUGUCGGUACCGCCAAGGUCCCAAUCUGGGUGUUGCAAGGAUUCCAAUGUAGCCUUUUCGGUCUCUACUUUGGAGUCCCAACUUGCCCUAUUGCGCACAGAGCUCCUUGAGGAGGUUGAGCUGCUCCGCACUGAGUUUCGCAACGCUCUUGCCAAGCUUCAUGUUGCUUCGUUUGUGCCUUUGUUGCCCGAGCUUCAGGUUGGUUCCAUUGAUGGGGAGGCUGAAUGCUUCUUUCGAGAUUUUUCUCCACGUGGUCGGCAUGCGACGUCGUCUGUCCAUGGGAAUGCGGUCAUCUCCAAGGUCGUGUCUCCAGUUCUGCAGAUUAUGCCUGAGCCGCGGGAGCUUUGUGGGGAAUCACCUAUGGUGCUACCGAUGGAGUUGGAGUCCUUAGCGGUGGCCAUGACGCCCUCACCACCACCAUGGUCAGAGUAUUGUCAACCGCCCGCCUUUGUGGACAUUGGAGGCUUGGUUGGUUCUGUCACUCUCUCAUCUAUGACCAUUGGGCAUGAGGCGUCUUUGAGUGACGAGGUUGAUGAGAUAAGUGUGUUGGCACCUAACUCUAGAGCUUUGUUUUGUGAGCAACUCGAGGUGGCUGAGUCCAUCAUGCCGGUGGUACCUGCGAUUGCUGAUGUUGAGGCGGUUGAUAUGUUGGCGCCGGAUCCAUUGGAGCCCACACAGCCGGUCGCCUCUGUGGAGCGUGGAGGUUCUGAUGUUGCGGUCACUCACUCGCAUAUGACCGUUGGGUAGGUUUCUGUGCGUGAUAAGGUCAAUGAGAUUCUCUUCCAGAUAGAGCUUCAUAGCUUGCUCAAACGUUGGAGAGGGUUAGCCCUGGAUCUGGCAAGGAAAUUGUGGAGGAGGCUCUCAGGAGCGAAGGAAAGAAGAGUGAUGUCACAGGAAAGGUGUAUGCAGCUACUUGAUGGAUGGUCAUCGGUAUAUUGGGUUGUCCUUAUGGACUGACUUGUCUUCAUGGCUUUGGUGGUGCGCGUGGUCUUCGGCCGAAUUACUCUCGUUGGCGCUCUCUUUGCGAUGUUACGGUGUGAGGGUUGGCUGUCGGAUCACGUGCUUAUAGGGUUGCAUGCUCUGUGCGUAGUCUACCUAUGGUUCGUUUGUAUCGGUUUUCGCCCAGUUUUCAGUUUAAUUAACCGGGCAAUUCUCUUCUGCUUAAUUAAUCGAUGAGGCAAAUCCUUUGCCUCCGUUUCAAAAAAACAAUUUGUAAUGUGCCCAAACAGCAUGAACUCAUACCGUCUAAUCCGGUGGCCUCACACAGCUGCCCUGCAUCGGGCCAAGAGCACCACCCGUUCUGGGCAACCCGCAGCACGCACCGCAUGUGCACGCUCUGAUCCGUUGCCGCCAUCUUCCACCGUCCCAUAUCCAGGAGUGAUCAACGCUUUGACCUUGUCAGGCCCAACUGCCAUCGACGCCACCACGACGCCAGACAGUGCCACCAGCCUACACGUGUUCAUCAACCUGCAUCCAACACUGAGAACCAUUUCGCCACGCCGCCAAGACCCGUUGUCUUCGAUGCGGUUGUUGUUACCGCUCCACCUAUUGGCCCCUUUAGUUGGUACCUUCUCGAAAACAAUGCCCCCAAGAGGGAGAACGGCACCGAUAUCCCUGUCAUCAUCUGAUCAAGGAGACCCAGAUCUAGGGUUCCCCCAUAGCAAAUGCCACUAGAGGGAGAAGGGCACGCCAUAUUCUGCGGCCAACGAGCCCACACGGUUCCCACCACCACAAUGCGCCCCCGGGCAUAGUUGCCAUCACGGUCGGCCGUAGACGAUCAUGGAGUUAUCCUGCUCUGAAGCCCCCACCACCCGCUCCACCAACAACCCUAUGACCGGCUAGACAAGCAUGGCCAAGAUCCGGCCAAGUUGGAACGCACCAUGUCGGGACGAGAUGGAACCGCCAGAUCCAGCGUCAUCGGCCAUCGGGGCAACAAAGCUCCGGCCCAACCUGCAGGGUAGCCAUCGGUCACCAGAUCCAGCGACAUGCAACCCGGCAGCCCCUCCUCACCACAUGAGAGGUUGGCCUCGCCAGAGGGCCACAUCCCUAGAUCCGAGUUUUCAGCCCUAGAUCGGGAGGAGCAGCACAAGCCCUGCCACCACAGUCCUUGGCUGCGCCGCGGGCUCACCAGCGUCAGCCUCAUGUGGCGGCGAGGAGGGAGGGAGGAAAUUGGGAGUCCCGGCAGCGCAAGGAGGAGUCGUCCUAGAGGGGCGUUGCGCUCGAGGUAAUUAAAUACUACAUAAUCAUAACCUUAUGAAAAACAUGAGAACUAAAACAUUCAAUUGGCUUUUGGUUGUUAACUAAUCAAGCGGUCAACGCAUUAUCAUGGUUGGAAUAGAGAGAUAACAGCACACAUAUGAUUGGCCAUGCAGACUAAGAUCUUCAAAUAACAAGAAUUUAAUCAUCCCAAGAAAAAGAGGGAAACCACACCACCUGAAUGACUCCUAUGCUCAGCAGUGAUUCAAGGCAGAACAAUCCAAAUCCAACAAAGUAAAAUAUCUACCAAAUGAACUUCCACAAAAAUAAGACUGGCAGACACAAUCACGUCCAAAUGCAAUCUACGAAGUAAAACCUUGACACUCAUAUGCGUGUGAGGUUACUGAGGUAUGCCGCAGUUAUGUGACAUUCCAACCUUCGUAAUGCACUUUAUCAAGGAAACAAGAUGAUCGUCGUGCUCGUGCAACUCUGCUACACGAAGAAGAGCUGGGAUAUGUUGAAGGCAUUGGUUAUGACUUACAAGGACCAAAUGAAGAACAAUAUUUGCCCUUGCUGCUGCCUGUGAAGAGCGGUGGGGAUGGGGGAAGUCGGAUCAAGGGAGAAAGCGGCGAUAGAGAAGGAUUGUGGUGCGUGAUAUAAGAGACAUUUUUCACACAAAUAAAAAUGAUGUGAUAUAUUAUUCAUGAAACUGAAGUCCAGGAGUCUAGAGUGGUUGAGCCGCAUAUCUCCAUAUAUGCAUGUGGUCAUGGACCGAUGGUCCGUCUACAAAUUACUAGUGUUACUCCAUCUAAACACACACAAUGUGCAAUCAUAGAAUGUCAAUCUUAGGAUAUGUACGGAAACGGCGUUUGGUUCACAGGCGAGGUUGGCUUGGCUGAGGAUAUACCUAACCACGUGGUUGGGGAUAUCCUCGCGCUUGUGUUUGGUUGUAAACUGGGAGGUGGUUAUCGAUAGCCAAUUUUAUGUUUUGUAAGAAGGAUGAGAGAAGGAUAUCAUGUUGUCGACUGAUUAUACAAAAUAUAGAUCAUGUGGAAUAGGUCAAUAAACCCAUCACAAAAAUGUAUUGUAAUCCCAUGAUCCAAACACAUCCAUGCGUACAGUCAAAUGGCAUAAUCUAAUCUGUCAAAAAAGGUGUCUAAAACACGUCACAUGCAUUUGCAGAUUAGACGAUUCAUCAGAUGGUGAGUCGAAGCCAAUCUUGCUGUCUGAUGCAAAUAUGCUACUCUGAAGAAUGUAUAAUCAGGCAGUUGGAGAAUAUGCUACAUGGGUACGAGUUUGCUACGUGCCUACGUGCGUGUUGAUCGGGCGUGGGACGGAGGACCCGGACGUUCUGGUAACGUCUUCCAACAUAGGCCAGCCUCGACGUGCUCAUGAACUUGGGAUCGCCGGAGUUGUGGAGGCAGUUGCCCCGGCGUCCGCACUGCACAUCAGCAGCCGCGGCCGGCGAGCGUGCGUGUUCGGCAUAGGCGCAACUCGACGCGCACCACCGGACACUGGACCUUUCUUGCCCUUGCUCCGCUCAAACGGCCGCCGCCGAUCCAAAUCGUAGCUGCCGCCGCUGCCUUGUCCGUGUGGAUAGGGUGUUCUGUUCUUUCGAGAGGGGUGAGAAAAGAAAAUAAAACGUUUCGCCGCGUCGGGAGGUCACCGAGCGUGGGUGGCUGCCGUCGUCCGCGAGAAUUUCGCGGCUCCCCAUAGCCAGCUUUUGGAGGAAUAUUCCUCGGUAUCUGGUUAUCCUCAGCCUUCUUCACCAUCAAACAAAACGAGUGUUAUCCCUUUCAAAACUGGUGGAUAUCCCUAUCCACCGGUUGCUUAUCCCUCCAACCAAACGCCACCCUAGAUGAUUGGUUGAAGAGUCGUAGUGAUACGUCAACUGGCAGCAGACAUAAAGUGAUUCAUCUGGAAUAGGAUGCACGGAGAAUUGCAGUUGAAGACCAACACUAAGAGCAUCUUCAACGGCCGCCUCAAACGACGUGCGUGCGCGGUAAAUCCAGCUUUUAGCGCGCGCGGGACGGUUUGCCGCGCUCCAGCGGCUGUAGGAAACAAGCGCGCGCGGGAACAGUUUGCGCGCGCGCGCGAAAAGGCGUCAGCUCGCGCGCAAGAUUUGGCGCGCCGCUUCGCGCGCGCCUAUAAAAAUGCUGCGCGCGCCACGCGCCUUCUCCACGCUUCCUCUUCUCCUCUUCCUCUCCCUCUCUGCCACGCGCCGCUCCAGCGCCCCGCCACCGACGCGCCGCCAUGCCGCGGCGUCGCCGAGGAGCGUCCGGCUACCGCGGCAUCCGCCUGCGCCCCAACGGCAGCUACUCCGCGGAGAUACGCUCCGGCGAACUCCGGCUCGGCCUCGGCUCGUACGGGACGGCGCGCGAGGCUGCCCGCGCGUACGACGCGGCGGCGUGGCGCCUAGGCCGGCCGCGCGGCCAGAUGAACUUCCAAGAUGUGUACACGCUCCAGCAAGCGCUCAACUUCGCCCCUCUGCCUCGUCUGAACAUGGCGGAAGACCGUGCGGAGCACGCCGAGCGGCAACGCCGCCUCCUCGUCUCCCAGGAGGACGAGCGGGUCAUGGCGGAGUGGCGCCAGCGUCACCCGAAGGACGUCGCCUACGAGCAGUCCUACUGGGCAAGGCGUCGCGAGGAGGACACGCGAAGGCGCCGCGCGACGCGGUUGGACAAGCGUCGGCGGAAGGCGUUGGCGAAUGCGCAGUCCGACCUCGUUCCAGCAGGUGGGCAGUCGUUCUUCACGCCAAACGAUGAGCGAUGGCUGGACAUCUGGUUAACUACCUCGGACGACACCGGCGAGGAUGAUAGUGGUGAUGAUGAUAGCGACUUAGAGUAGUUUUUUUAAUGCAAUCUAUGUUUUUUAUCGUUUGUCGUUUUUAUUUAUGCAAUCUAUGUUUCGGAUGUAAAAUACCUUUGUAUCAUUUAAAAUCUAUGCAAUCUAUCUAGUUUUUUUUAAAUUUCUGCUUUCAAUGCCUACAUUUCUAGUUUGUAAAACGAGCGCGCGCGCUGCAUUUUUGCGCGCUGCUGGAGCGGUGCGCGCGCGCUGCAUUUUAGCGCGGCUGCUGGAGUGGGCGCAGCGCACCGCGUCAAACCAGGCGAUGGGCGCGCGCUAAAGCUGUUUUUAGCAUGCGCCGCGUUCGGCGUCUGUUGGAGAUGCUCUAAGCACAUGAUCUGGUUCUUGCUUCUCUCGGAUACAUGUCGUGGCUAUGUGCUUCGUGGCAUGAGGCAGUAUGCCCCUACAGAAUAUACCAUGCCACACUAGAUGGUUAGCAAGAUGCUAUGGAGUAAUUGGUUAAAUUGUUAGAUCUUGAAUUGAGUAUAUAACAAGCGAACUGAGCAUAGCACCCCGCGGCGGCGCGGCUCCCCUGGACCGGACGCCCGGGUCUGCCUCUCGGACAGCGGAUCUGAGGAUGGGUUCUCGCCUUCACCACCUAGGUCCUACACUGAGGCCGUUGCGCAGGGGAUGGGCGAGUCCACGCCGUCCGCGGCCAUCAAUGCCAUGGCUGCGGCCAUGGCAGCGCCUUCCGCGGCCAUCGCUGUCGUUGGCAUGGGCGCGGUGCCUUUGGCCGCCGGGUCUCCUGCCGCCGCGCCUACCCCGGGCAUUGACGCUGGCAACCGGUCAGCUGCGUCAUCCAAUGCCGAGGCCCCGGAGCUUGGCUGGCAGCUGGUCUCCCACAAGCGCGGCCAGAACCAGCUCCCACCUCCCAAAGCCAAGACUGCCACUCCCCACCACUUCCACUACUCCUAUAAAGAUGACCUCGUCGGCCGGUGCUUUAGAUGCCUUGAAGCUUCCCAUCGUGUUGGGUCCUGUCCGAAUCGCCUGCGCUGCAUUCACUGCGUCCGCUUUGGCCACCUCCGCAAAGACUGCCGUCGCAAACACCUUCCCCAUCAGCCACUACUACCGCUUCACCUUCCCACCCGCCGGCCUGCUCGACCGACGCUCCACCCAUCACCGUGCCCUGUGCCCCUGCCUCCCGCUCCAAGAUCGGCUCGUUUUCCUGCCGCCAGGCGCGAAUCACACUCGAGGCCUCGACCCUCGCUCGACAUGGCUUACUCGGCUGUCGUGGGUUCGCUACCAGGUGCCGCGGACAGACGUCCGCUGGGCACCAGUGCACCAUGGUGCUCCUGGACUUCACCCAGGAGAUGGCCGAUGAGGAACUCCGGCUGCGGGCCACGGUUAUUGUCGUCUCGGCGGCGGAGGAGGACAUGUUCCCGGGUCCCGGCCAGGGUGAGAGCAGCCAUCCUGGCGGAGUUCCCCGACAUCCCGCCUGAGGCGGUGAGCGUCUCGCUCUUCGGGAGCUCCUUCACCGCGCGCUUCUCCGACGGCCGCUGGCGCGACGUGGUCUUCGAGCGUGGCCUCUCCCACGACAACCAGGGCACACCGUUCCGCGUUCAAGAAUGGUCCAGGCGCUCAACUCCGAGCUCAAGACGCUGCGCUACCGGGCGAGGAUCUUCCUGGAGGGUGUUCCGCUACAGGCUUGGUCUGUCCAGGCUGUGGCGGAGAUGCUGAAGAUGGUCAGGAUCAACGCCGUGGAGCUGGAUUCGCUUCACAAGACCGAUACCUCCUACUUCGUGCUGUAUGCAUGGAUCGAAUCAUCGGACAAGCUAGAAGCUACCCCGCAGGAUCGACCUGGGCACCCACGAGCCCCGGCGCAGCAUCGACGGUGGAUCAUCCCCGGCAGCCGUUGGCCUUCGUCCAUACGGUGGGCCCCGACACGCCCCUCCCUGCGUGCCCGCGCGUCCAUGACGGCCUGGUGCUUGUCCAUGUCGACGAGCUGGAGGAGUUCGCGUCAGAGGGCGGGCCGCCAGGACGAGAGGGGGGCCGCAUCAGCGUCAGGUCGCUCCCCUGGGCACACGCCCACGUUGAUGGUGCCCGCUCGGCUCCAACAGCGCCUGGACGUCCUUCGGUGUUCUCCCGCCUGGCCGGCGGCGGAGCAAUGUACCACGGCCACAAGGUGAUUGGGUUCUCCUUGGGCGGCGAGCGCCUGCAGGAGCAGCCGGCGAUGGAAACUCAUGCUCGGGACAGCCCUAGCGCCAGGAUCGAGGCGCACAGGAUGGCGCCCUGCGCCCACUUCCUGACGGCCACGACCACGCGGGAUGACCCAGCGCUCGAGUCGAUGCUCGCCACGCCGCUUCAGGCAAGCCAAGCUGUGCAACCCCACGGGAGCAGUCCGUGCCUUUCCCUUCCUAGGUUUCUUCUUGGGCGACAGGGCAUUGCGCCCUCGGCCUGGAACCUGGGCUGCGGCGCGAAACAGUUGGUCCUGGUCCCUGUCCUGAGUCUCCUGACCCCUUUGGUGGCUACCGACGCGUCAACGGUGUAGCCUGAGCGCAUCUCCAACAGCCGCCCAACGCGCGGCGCGCUAAAAAUUGGUUUGCGGCGCGUCCAUUAUUAGGUUUGGCGUGGCGCGUAGCGCUGGCUCGCGCGUGCGUAGCUCCAGCAGCCGCGCUAAAAUGCAGCGCGUGCGUAGCUCCAGCAGCCGCGCUAAAAUGCAGCACGAGCGCUCUCGCAGAAACAACAUAUGCGCUCCAAACACAUUCUAGAAUAUCAAACACAAACAAAAUAAAUCAAUAUAAAUAUUUCAAUCUAUUAUUACUACAACUCAAACAAAUAGUAUAUUUCAUCAAAUACAACAAAUAGUUCAACAAUACAACAUCAAACGCACAAAUCAUGAUGCUCUUUGGCGGCCAUUCCAAACCCACCACUCCUCAAUGAGAUCCUUCUGAAGAUCAUUAUGCGUUGCCGGACGUCGAAUGUCAUGAUAGAAGGCAACAAAACGGGCCACCCUUUCAGCCCUCUGCCGCACUCGCAUGGGAUGUCCCAAGAGCUCAUAGUGAGAGUAGUCUACAGCUUGGCCACGCUCAUUAUCGAUGACCAUGUUGUGCAUGAUCACACAAGCAUGCUUAAUGUACCAAAACAUUUUUUGAUCCCAAAAUCUAGCCGCCCCCCUCACAAUAGCAAAUUGGGCUUGCAAAAUCCCAAAGCUCUUUCCACAUCUUUUCUAGCCGCCGCCUGAGCAUUGUGGAAAUCAAGAUAUUUCUUACCUUCUGGUUUUUUCAACGGCUUCACAAAUGUUUGCCACUUUGGGUAGAUGCCAUCUGCAAGAUAGUAGCCAUAGUUGUAUAUACGGCCAUUAGCAACAAACUGCACCGGUGGCAGUUCACCAUUUGCAAUCUUAUUCAUCAGUGGUGACCGGUUGACAACGUUGAUGUCAUUCAAAGAUACAGGCAUUCCAAAAAAGCAUGCCAAAUCCAAGUCUCUUGAUCGGCCAAUGCUUCUAGAAUUAUAAUGGAACCCUUUUUUUGUCCGUGGAAUUGGGCAUGCCAUGCCUUUGGACAAUUCUUCUAAUUCCAAUGCAUGCAAUCUAUUGAGCCAAGCAUACUUGGGAACCCGCGAGCUUUGUUCAUCUCCAAUAGCCUUGUAACGUCUUUAGCAUUGGAAGAUCUCAAAUACUCCGAGCCAAACACUUGCACAAUUCCGACUGUGAAGCGCUUGACACACAUGAUGGCUUGGCUCUCACUCAUGGCCAAAUGAUCAUCAACUAGAUAAGCGGGGAUACCGUAUGCCAACAUACGCAAAGCGGCUGUCACCUUCUGAAAGGUGCUAUGCCCAAGCUCUCCAGCGGCAUUCCUCCUCAGCUGAAAAAAUGGUCAUGGCUCGCUAGUUUCUCUGCAAUGCGCCUGAACAACGCGGUGCUUAUUCUAAACCGGCGACGAAAGUACGACUCAGGGUAUGUGGGAUUCUCCAUAAAAUAGUCUCAUCAAUCUGUUGUGGGCAUCAAUCCUAUCCCUCCAAAUUUUUUGCCGACCCAUAACCAAACCACCGUGCUUUGGUUUUUUAUUGAUGUGCAUAGCUAGGAUCGUUGCAAGAUCCUCCUCCUCUUCCUUAUCAAAUUCUUCUUCGAAAGAAUCAUACGAAGAACUCGUCUACAAUGUUCAAAACUAGGAUAUAAAAAAAUUAUAAACAACAUGCACCAAAAUUCAAGUAAAAAUAUGAAGUUUGAAGCAAUACAUACCUUGCGGGCUUUUGUCGAAUACCUUGUGGGUGCCAAGCGGCAGUGGGCGGCCGGGCACUGUUCAUCGGAGGACUGCCGCUCACGACAGGCGGCGCUGACUAGAGGGAGAAGGAGGAAGCCGCGGCCGCGUGGGGAGAGACUGGGGAAGCGCCGGAACAGUCGCCGGAAGAAAUGGGAUGGCGUGGGCAGCAGCGGUUGGAUGGGUAGGUGAAGUUGUGAGCGAGCGCUUGAGAGUCCAGCGCGCGGGAGCGGGCGCAACAAAUAAGCGGCGCGCGAUGGUGUUUCCGCCCGCGCGCUGAAUUAGAUAUGCCGCGCGCGCGGUUUUUGGCGUCCGCUGGAGCGCUUAGAGCGAUAGCGCGCACGCUAAAAGUACUACUUUUUCCGCGCAGUGCCAAGGAGAUUAUUUUCAGGCUCGAUAAGGCAAGAGACUUGCGCGAUCUGUCCCAACAUGAGCAUCAGCUGCGCAAUAACCUGAAGAUGAAAUUGCUAGGGUACAGUUCACUCCAGCGAUCAAUUUGGAGGCAGAAAUCUCGGGUGAAAGGAAUUAGCGAGGGCGAUGCAUGUAUCAAGUUCUUCCACAUGAAAGCAUCAGCCCCAAGGAGGAAGAAUAGCAUCCAAUCAAUUCAGCACCAGGGGCAAAUUUUCACCGGCCAAGAGGAUAAAUUGCAAUUAGUUUGCGAUUUCUACUCUGAACUUUUUGGAAGACCUGCAGAUCGAACCAAAAGCUUCAACUUCCAAGCCAUGGGGUAUUCUCAGGACCCGGCCUCCCUUGCACAGCUGGAGAACGAUUUCACUGAGGAGGAGGUGCUAGCGGCUAUAAAUGACUCCCACACGGACAAGGCACCUGGCCUGAACGGUUUUACAGGGCUUUUCUUCCAGAAGUGCUAGCCUCUCAUCAAAGAUGAUCUCAUGAGAGCGCUGAGGAAGUUCAGUAACCAGAACAUGUCCAACCUUCAGGUAAACCUGGGCAAACGUCGGGCCGGGCCGGGUUUAGAGCCGGGCUUGUAAAAGCCCGACCUUCAUUUCUCAAGCCCGAGCCCGGCCCAAAGCCCGAAAUACUCCAUAUUUUCAAGCCCGAGCCCGGCCCGAAAUCAAGCCCGAAGCCAGAAAGCCCGGCCCGAAUGCUGUUUUUUAGUACGCGCACGUGCAAGCCCGACCCGAAGCCCGAAAGCCCGGCCCGAAAUAUGGAAAAAUUGAAGCCCGAGCCCGGCCCGAACUAUCUUUCGGGCUGCAAAGCAAAGCCUGAGCCCGGCCCGAAUGUCAAGCCCGGCCCGGCCCGGCCCAGGUUUUUUGGGCCAGGCUCAGGCCGGGUCGUCGGGCCGGGCUGCCCAUGCCCGGGUUUACCUUUAGGCAUUGAACACUACAACUCCCAUUCUGAUCCCAAGGGUGGAAGGUGCUACCAAGCUGGCCGACUUUAGACCCAUUAGCCUAAUCCAUAGCAUCGCGAAGCUUAUCGCCAAGCUCCCCGUGCGAAGACUACAACCGCUAAUGAACAAGCUCGUCGCCCAAUGCCAGAGUGCGUUUAUCAAGAAAAGGUCCAUACUUGACAAUUUCAUGUAUGUUCAAGCUAUGAUAAAGACUCUGAAGAUGAAUAAGGCACCUGGGCUGCUCCUCAAAGUGGAUAUCACAAAGGCAUUUGACAUCCUAUCUUGGGAAUUUUUGCUGGAACUGCUACUGGAAAGGUGUUUCGGUACCAGGUGGACAAAUUGGAUCGCAACCCUGCUCGCCACCUCUAGUACGAAGCUGAACAUUAAUGGCGACCUCUCAGAUACCAUAUUCCAUCGCCGAGGAUUGACACAGGGGAUCCCCUCUCCCCCUUACUCUUUGUCCUUGCCAUGGAUACCCAUGCGACACUCAUUGAUGCGGCAUGCAGAUACAAGGUACUGGCGGACAUUGGAAGGCAAAGUAUGCCUUCCGAGUGUCGAUGUACGCCGACGAUGUGGUGAUCUUCAUCAACCCCUCCCGAACAGAGGUUCACGCGAUCAUUGGGUUGCUUCAGGCUUUUCAAGCGGUGACCGGCCUACGAACGAACUAGGCUAAAAGUGUUGUGAUCCCAAUCAGAUGCAGCAACACACAUGUUGAGGCUGCCGUGACGGGAACUGAAUGUGCUACAAGGGCAUUCCCAAUAAAAUAAUCUAAGCUUUUUUUAGAAAAAAGCAGGAUGACCCCCGGCCUCUGCAUCUGGGCGAUGCAUACAACCACUUUACUAAUUAUUCUUACAAGAUCUUACAAAGUGAUAUAACAGCAAGACUAAAGCCACAGUCUAAGCAACAAAUGUCCCUACACAUAUCCAAUUGAUGAAGGGGCGCAUAUAGUCUGGGCCUAAUACCAAACAGACAUCGCAGCCAAAUCUAAACAUCUAAGACCUGAGGUCCCAACCAGGACGCCUGCCGGGUAUGGGGCACCUACCAGUCCGGCGCACUCCUCAACCAGGACGCCUGCCGGGUAUGAGGCCGCCGCCGCCACCUGCCAACAAUCCAUCUUCAGAGCUGUACUGUUGCAUGUACCGUGUCAGGUCUCUCUGCCAUCGACGCCACCACGACGCCCGACAGCGUCGUCCUCCUGCGCAAGUCCAUCCUCCCACAGCGAACUCCAAAUCUGCAUUGCGCCACGCCGUCAAGAUCCGUCACCAUCAGUGUGUAGGAUGAAGCACCGCUCCACCAAAGAAUCUGUCCUUUGGUCCCUCGAUCACGUGUGUACCUCCAAGAAUGACGCCCCCAAGGGAGGAACGACACCAAAGCGCCGCCAUCAUCCGAUCAUCCGAUCUAGGGUUUCCCCCAGAGGUAGCAGAGACUGGCCUUGAACUUCUCCACGGCGAUGCCUUCAAGAAGGGAACGACGCAGAUAGCACCGCCACCGCCGGCCUUAGCAGACGCCGAAGACAAGUUUUCCCCCAGAUCAGUUCAAAGGGAUCCAACUCUCGUGCACGGGCCGCCGUCACCACCAGCACCACCAGGCAGAACCUUGGAGCACCGGCAAAUCAGCGAGCCGCCGGCACCACCGCAUCCAGAUCGCCGGCCCCGCCGGGCCGCCGCCAUCCCCCGCACCGUCCGGGUCAGAGACGGAGCCGCCGACCGUGCACAGGGACCACCACCGCUUGCGCAUGCCAGAGCGCCGCCGAGAGCCCAGCGCCCGCCGCCGCUUGCCGAGGGCCGCUGCCGCGUGCCCCGAGCAGACUCCCACGCACACCAGGCAAAACUGCCAUCGCCCCCCAAGCUCGCGCCGGCGUGCCCCGCCUCCAGCACGCCACCAACCACCGCUGCGAUUCGCCCGCGCCAGAUCCAACGAGCCGUGGGAGAAGAGAUCCUGCCGCCGCUGACGCCGAUCGGGCUUUGCCCGGCGGCGCACCCCGGCGGCGGUGAGGAGGAGAGGUCGGGGGACGGACCAGGAUGCGGCGGUGCUAGGGUUCUCUCCAGUCGCCGCACAUGGCGACACAGGAGGAGUCGGGAGGAGUCCAGCUGCUACAACGUGGCUUCCCCUAAUAAUCUGGGUUUACCGCUAACUGAUGUACGCCUGAGGAAAGACGACCUGCAGCCUAUCAUUGAUGCACUUGCAAAGAGGUUGAGAGGACGGAAAGCCAAACUGAUUGCGCUGCCAGGAAGAAUUGAGCUAGUGCACACAGUGCUGUCGACCAUGGCCAUUUACUGGAUCAUGGCACUGGCUCCUCCAAAGUGCUUUAUCAAGAUGGUGGACAGAUUGCGGAGAGGUUUCCUUUGGGCGGCGGACGAGGCUUCGCCGGGCGGCAGAUGCCUCGUGCGGUGGCGUGAUGUGUGCAAACCAAGGGAGCUGGGCGGGCUGGGAAUCAAUGAUCUGCAGCUUCUGUUAUAUAAUAACGAGAAUAAACGAGACAGAGAGACACGGAUUUUUACGUGGAAAACCUUGCGGGAGAAAACCACGGACGCACGAAGGCGCAAUCACUAUGAUGGAGGAGUAUUACAAGCACGAGACAACAGACCGUCUUAGGUGCGACUACAUGGGGUAUAUAUGAGGGGCAACACAUAGGAGUCCUUGUAGGACAAGUAAACGAGUUGUACUCGUACGUGUCGGUAUCAACGCAAAGGCCCACACCGUAUGUACUACGUCUAGUCCAAUAUGGUACUAGAAUUUAGAUCAUAAUUUAACAAUCUCCACCUUGAUCCAAAUUCCCUCCAGUAGCCAAAGAAAAUGAAUAACUCCAUCCAAAUCAGCAUAAACACCUUGUGCGUCAAAGUCCAUAGGACUAGUGAGAAAUACCAAUUAAGCCUGAGCAAAGCUCAAACUUAUUGGUCGGAACUGGCUUUGUCAUCAUAUCAGCAGGAUUAUCAUGUGUACUUAUCUUGCAUACCUUCAAAUCGCCUUCAGCAACAACAUCUCGAAUAUAAUGAAAUCUGACAUCAAUGUGCUUUGUCCUCUCAUGAUACAUUGGAUUCUUUGUAAGAUAUAUGGCACUUUGACUGUCAGAAAAUAUGGUAGGGUUAGAUGAAUAUCCACAAAGCUCAGUGUACAACCCUCUCAACCAGAUAGCUUCUUUGCAUGCCUCAGAAAUAGCCAUAUACUCGGCAUCAAUAGUGGAACAAGCCACAAUAGACUGCAAAGUUGCUCUCCAACUCACAGCACAACCACCAAUGGUGAAAACAUAACCUAUGAGUGAUCUUCUCUUAUCCAAAUCACCAGCAAAAUCAGAAUCAACAAAACCAACGAGUCAAUCUCCAGUUUUUCCAAACUGUAAAUAAGCAUUAGAAGUACCACGCAUGUAUCUGAAAAAUCCACUGAAUUGCUUUCCAAUGCUCUUUUCCAGGAUUAGCCAUGUAUCUACUGACAACACUCAAUGCAUAAGAUAAAUCCGGACGAGAACAAACCAUGACGUACAUAAGUGAACCAACUGCACUUGAACAGGGAACUCUAGACAUGUACUCAAUAUCGGAAUCUGACUUAGGACAUAAAGCUGAUGACAGUUUAAAGUGUGCAGCUAACGGUGUACUCACUGGCUUGGCAUUAUGCAUAUUAAAACGACGAAGAACUUUAUCAAUAUAUCCCUUCUGACUUAGAUAUACUUUUCCAGACGAUCUAUCUCUGGAUAUUUCCAUGCCAAGAAUUUUCUUUGCUACACCCAAGUCCUUCAUCUCAAAUUCAUUACUCAAUUGCUUCUUUAGUUCAUUAAUCUAUGACAUACUCUUUGCAGCAAUAAGCAUAUCAUCAACAUAAAGGAGCAAAUAAAUAGUUGAACCGUUAACAGUUUUCAAAUAAACACAACUAUCAUAAUUAGACCUUUUGAAACCUUGAGAGAGCAUAAAGGUGUCAAAUCUCUUGUGCCACUGUCUAGGGGAUUGCUUCAAUCCAUAAAGAUAUUUCUUUAACUUACAAACAAGCUUUUCUUUUCCAGGAAUAACAAAACCUUUAGGUUGUUCCAUAUAAAUAUCCUCUUCUAAUUCUCCAUGUAAGAAUGCAGUUUUAACAUCCAAUUGUUCAAGCUCAAGAUCAUGCAUGGCAACAAUACUGAGUAAAGUGCGAAUAGAGCUAUGCUUCACAAUAGGAGAAAAGACUUCGUUAUAGUCAAUACCUAGAAUCUGGCUAUAACCUUUAGCAACUAACCUUGCUUUAUAUCUUGUCUCAUCAUUAGGAGAAACACCUUCUUUCCUCUUGAAAACCCAAUUGCAACGAAUAGGUUUCUUCUCUCUAGGCAAUUUUACUAAAUCCCAAGUGCCAUUCUUUUGAAGGGAUUCCAUCUCAUCAUGCAUAGCGGUCAUCCACUUAUUACUAUCACCAGAAAUAAUAGCCUCGGAAUAUGAAGAAGGCUCAGCAUUACCUUCAAUUUCUUAUGCAACAGAUAAAGCAAAAGAAACAAUAUUGCACUCUUCAAUUAACCUAUCAGGUUUAUUAAUACCCCGCCUAACUCUGUCACGUGUAAGAUUCCAAUUGGGUGGAAUAAUUUGCUGAUUUGGAGUAGGAGUGACAUGUUCAUCAUCAACGACGGGUUCAUCAUGUGCAUCAGCAUUUUCAUUACCAGAUGUAUCACCUGAAUCAAUAACAUGCUCCACCUGAACAGUAGGCUCCUGAACAAUAGGCUGUUGUUCACUCUCAACGGGAACAUUAGUAGAUGAAACAUCAUGUAACAUAGCAGAUUCAUUAAAGAUAACAUUUCUGCUAAUAACAACCUUCUGGGUUCCAGGAUUCCACAAUUUAAAACCUUUAACACCAGACUUAUAACCAAGAAAGAUGCACAUAACAGCCCUAGGCUCCAACUUUCCAUUAUCAACAUGAGCAUAAGCAGUGCAACCAAAAACUCUCAACUAUGAAUAAUCAGCAGGUGAACCAGACCAUACCUCAAUUGGAGUUUUCUUAUUAAGAGCAAUAGAUGGUGAACAUUUAAUAAGAUAACAAGCAGUGGAAGCGGCCUCAGCCCAAAAACGCCUAUGCAAACCUGCAUUGGACAACAUUGAAUGGGCUUUGGAAAUAAUGGUCAUGUUCAUACGCUCAGCAACACCGUUUUGUUGAGGAGUAUAAGGAACGGUGUAGUGUCUGAAAAUGCCUUCAGACUUGCAAUAAUUCUUAAAUUGCUUAGAACAGAAUUCCAUACCAUAAUCAGUGCGAAGUAUUUUUACCUUCUUUUUAGUUUGUCUCUCAAUCAUAAUCUUCCACUCCUUAAAUGCUGAGAAUGCUUCAUAUUUAUGCUUCAAGAAAUAAGACCAAACUUUUCUCGAAUAAUCAUCAAUAAUAGUCAGCAUGUAACUAGCACCACCUAAUGACAUCUUGCGAGAUGGUCCCCAUAAAUCAGAAUGCACAUAAUCAAGAAUACCUUCGGUUGUAUGAGUCAAAGUGUUGAACUUCACCCUCUUGUGCUUACCGAAGAUACAAUGCUCACAAAAUUUCAGUUUACCAGGUUCAUAUCCAUCAAGAAGACCUCUCUUAUUUAACUCUGCUAAACCAGGUUCACUCAUAUGUCCAAGACGCAUAUGCCAAAGGUUAGCAGCAUCACAAUCAGAAUUCUUUGAAACAACUGGAGUAGCAUUACCUGAAACAGUAGAACCUUGAAGGUAAUAAAGAACAUUGGUCGAACUUAAGUCACAUUUCAUUACAACAAGGGAGCCUUUGGUGACCUUCAAAACACUAUCUCCACCUGAAUACUUGUACCCCUUUGCAUCAAGGGCACUAACAUAGAUAAGAUUUCUCUUCAUCUUUGGAAUAUACCGAACAUCUGUCAAAGUUUUGAUUGUACCAUCAAACAUCUUGAUUCAAACGGAACAUAUGCCUUCAAUCUUGCAUGGUGAAUUAUCAAAACCCAAAAUGAAACCAGCAGCGGUAGUGGAAUCAAAAGUAUUAAACCAAUCUCUAUGUGGACAUAUAUGAAAAGUGCAUGCGGUGUCAAGUACCCACUCAUCAUUGGUCUCAGCACAUCCAGCAAUAACGACAAGAGCAUCAUCGGAACUAUCAUCACGAGCAACGUUAGCAGAAUUUUCACCUUGUUUGUUACCUUUCCUCUUUUCCUCGUUUUGCAACUUGAAGCAUUCUGAGAUGUCAUGCCCGUCUCUGUUGCAAUAUCUGCAAUAUUUCUUGUCUCUGGAUUGCGACCGGCCCCUGUAGCCGUUUUUACUUUUGCCUCUGUUUCCAUUAUUGGAGUUCUUCUCCUUUGUCCUGCUACGAACAGAUAAUCCCUCGGCUUGGGAUGAAGUCGAACCAUCAUGAGGCACCAUUAAUUUCAUCUUCUCCUUGGAGUUCAAAGCUUCAUAAACUUCAUUAAGCAUGAGAGUAUCACGACUGUAUAAUACGGUGUCUCUAAAAUUGGUAUAAGAACUUGGCAGUGAAGAAAGUAACAUUAAAGCAGUAUCUUCCUCUUCAUACUGAACCUCCAUUGCAGCUAGAUCAGAUAUGAUCUCUUUAAAUUCUAAAAUAUGAUUCAAAACAUUACCUCCCUCGGGUAACCUGUGCAAGAAUAAUUUUUUGCUUCAGAUGCAUCUUGCUGGUGAGAUCUUUAGUCAUGCAAAUCCCUUCCAGUUUUAACCAUAGAGCAGCGACAAUUUUCUCGCUCAAAACUUCUUGCAAAAUAUUAUUAUGCAAAUGGAGUUGAAUUUGUGACAAAGCCUUACAAUCAAUUCUUUUCUCCUCAUCAGUACAGUCCUGAAUUCUAUUUUUCCCAAAACUAUCCAGUGCUACAUCAUAGUCGGACUGUGCCAACAACGCCCCAUCUUGACUUGCCAUAGGGUAAACCUUGUGUCACGGUCCAACAGCGGAAGAUCGUACUUCAUGGAUGCCAUGAGUCGAUAAAUCUGUGUAAACAAAGUAGUACAAGCCCGAUAGAGAAAUUCUUGAUAGAAUUAAUACACGGAUCAAAGAACUAGUAAAUAGAUAGCACCUGGUAAGCGCCGUGUGUUUAGUAAGCAGUAAAAAGAAAUACAAAUAGUAGCAAUUAGCACCAAAGUGCGCUGUAGCUUGACGUGAUGGCGUACUAGUUGAAGUGCUAGUACACUAGUACUGCCAGCCCUUGGCCUUCACGUGUGGACGUGGUGGCUGGUCAGAACGCUCGCCGCCGAAAAGAAUCUGGGGACUUUGUCCAAGCGGGUGCUGCUUUUCUUCUGUCGCCUUGAGACUCGGGAGCAGCGCCGGCCAGAUUAAAUCAUACAACACGUCGGCUCGGUGCAGCGGAUUCGUCUUGAUCUCGGUGUAGAGGAAAAAAUCAAUAUCCGAUCUUGAUCUGGACAUGGAUGAUGAGCCGCCCGGACUGGGCGGAUUGCACGACACGGCGAUAGCGCGGAACCCUAAUCCUCUCGAUCUCAAAUCUCGUCUCUAAAACUUGGCUCUGUAUAUCACUUGUUAUAUAAUAACGAGAAUAAACGAGACAGAAAGACACGGUUUUUUACGUGGAAACCCUUGCAGAAGAAAACCACGGAUGCACGAAGGCGCAAUCACUAUGAUGGAGUAGUAUUACAAGCAUAAGACGACAUACCGUCUUAGGCGCGACUACAUGGGGUAUAUAUGAGGGGCAACACAUAGAGUCCUUGUAGGACAAGUAAAUGAGUUGUACUCAUACGUGUCGGUACCAACGCAAAGGCCCACACCGUAUGUACUACGUCUAGUCUAAUACGGUACUAGAAUUUAGAUCAUAAUUUAACAGCUUCAUGGGGCUGCGUUACGGGCGCGUUGGCAGUGGAGGAAGUGGUCAGAUGAUGGUAGGUCAUGGCAACAACUCAUCCUACCAACUGACCCGAUGGCUGAAUGUGUAUUCAGAGCCUCCACAUCAAUCAUCAUCGGUGACGGCUGCAAAGCAAAUUUUUUGCGCUCUCACUGGGUGGACGGUUGCCGACCUGCCGAUCUAUGGCCGAACCUCUUCGACCACUGCAAUGGGCGAUGGCUCUCCCUGCGUCUGGCUAUCAACGAGGACAAAUGGAUGCAGUACGUCAAGGCCAACCCCUCCCCGGUUGUCCUCCGCAAGCUUUGCCAGCUGUGGGAGGCCACGCAAGUGAUCACCUUCCAGGACGGCAUGACGGACUCUUUGCGUUGGAAAUGGACUGCAUCAGGUGAAUACACGGCGGCUUCAGCAUACCACAUACUGUUUCAGGGAUCCAAUGACAACUCCGUCAUUUGGAGGGCCAAGGCGGCGUCGCGAGCCAAGGCUUUCGCCUGGAUUCUGCUGAAGGGGAAGUGCCUGACAGCGGACAACCUGGCUAAACGACAGAUACCGCACAACCCCUUGUGCCCCCUCUGCCAGCAGACCCCGGAAACGGCCGUGCACCUCAUCGCAAACUGCACAUUCUCGGCUCGGGUUUGGGAGAAGACGGCGAGCUCUGUGGGACCUCCAUAUAUAGUCAUCCAGAUGCACGCAACCGGGCGUCUCCGAGAUCGCUUUCGAAGGCAGGUGGCCUCGCUGUCAACGUUAGACAGACCCACCUGGCGGGCAUCAUGCCUCCGGGUCGCAUGGUGCUUAUGGAAGGAACGAAACGCAAGGAUUUUUGAUGCCACAGCAAGCUCGGUGAACCAGGUCCACUCCAGAAUCCUAGAUGAGGCACGGUGUUGGCUGCACGCUGGGCUAAAGCCAAUGUCCAUGUUUUUUGAUCCGCCUUGAGGCGUUGUUUGGAUAAUGAGGAUUAACGAUCGGUAUAUAGAAAACAAGUUUUUAGCUAGAUUUUAGCCGAAUCAGUUUUAGUUGUGAUUUUACAAAUAACCAGUAUAUAGAAAGUCACGUUUGGGUUGGGAGAGUGUAAAAUCUGGUACGUACACUUCCUUGUUUGGAUAAGCCCGUUCCUAUUCUCUCGGUGAGUGGAUCUCCCGCAGCAAAACACAAAACACCAACAAAGUUGUUGAGAAAUGAGCGGGUGAAGAAAAAACUGUUGCGCUCACGCAUGUAGCAAUUGUGUUUGUGGAAAAACGGAUAAUACUCGUUUUUCUAUAAACCCGAAAUCCUGGGUUGUGCAGUUCCUAGUUUCCUAUAUACGUGGAUUUGUUUUAGUAACCAAACGAGGUUUUCUUCGGCUCAACCGUUUUCCUAGUUUUUAGAGUACGGGUUCUGUAUAUAUCACCUAUCCAAACAACGCCUGAGUGUGUCAAAGCUGGUUUGUAUAGUUGGUCGCCGGUGCCGAACCCUGUCUAUGUAACCAUCAGCUACUCUAUUUUUCUUCUUCAUCAAUGAAAAUCAGCUCUAGGUGCUUUUUCGUCAAAAUUAACCAAAAUUUCAUCAAGCACGGAGACUUGUGCAUAUAUGGUCCUUGCGCGUAGUGAUAUCAUUGUCCUCCGGCCAUAUCAAAAAAGCGCCAAAACUUUUCUUUAACAUUUUGCAUUAAUCAUUUUGUCAAACGUUAUUCUUUAAUCUUUUUCUUUAGUACGUGUUUUCAUUAGUCCUUCAAGCAAGUGAGCCAGUCGCGGGCAUAGAGAGAACCAAAUUUGUAAAGCAAACAAACCCACGCUUCGGGAAGGUGAGGCGAACUAACCAAGCCACUACCUAUGAGUUGCCGGCUCAUUCUUCAACAGGCACGCGGUCAGAGAUCACUUUCCCCUCCCACUGCUUGGGAGCUCAGCACGGUUUCACGUUCUAUUUCACUACCCACUGGGGGUUCUUUUCACCUUUUGCACUCUUUCUAGGUCUAAUGCGAUAGAGAAGCAGGCAGUGAACGGAUUCAUCCUGCAAAAGUGGCCUUUCAAGUGUACCAAAAAGUUCUUUGUUAGUUUAUAUUAAGGUAAGUAAGAAAAAGACAUGUUGGACUUCUUUUUUGAGAACCAGACAUGUUUGACUUCACAAUCUCUCCCAUUGCAAAGUAAAUUAAAAUUUAGGCAUCUGCUUACUUUGAGUAAUAAGUGAUGCCUACCCUUUCUAGAGAAAAUAAUCACAUCAUAUCCUGACAUGUUGUUAUCCUUGAUUGAUUUCCUUACUGGUCCCAUUUUCCUAGUUUAUAAACCGAUCACACAUUUUAAGAUUCAACUUAGACUAUCAUUCAAGCCAAUAAUUUGUAAAUUAUUACCAUAAAAAUAUACCAUAGGAACUAUCGAAUAUGAAUUCAGGGGCAUAAUAUUUGGAUGACAUAACCUACAUUUUGGUAAGAAACUAACACCCACACGUGUGGGCGUUCUCCAACUCGCCCACACGCCUGAAUGGUCGGUGAUUGUCUUUUGCACAAAUCUUGACAUGACAAGGUGGAUUUGGUGUGCCACGUAGGACGGGGCUGGUGUGUGGGCGUUGGAGAGUUUUCCCACACGACGCACAUCACGCUGUUGCCAGCUGCACUGUGUGGGCGAACUGAUUUUAGCCCACACGAUACUCCUACGUUAUGAAUGGCAACUGCAUUUAUGCGAACGUGGCAACUAGGUAAACAAACAUGGCAACUGUGAUUAUUUUGCUAGACGACAACUAGUUGCGCGUACGUGGCAUCCAGAUAAACACACAUGGCAACUGCGAUUAACUAUACAUGUGAACUAUGGUUGGACCACACGUGGCAAUUAGGUAAACACACAUGGCAACUACUGUUUGACCAUGUGUGGCAAGUAGUUAAUCACACAUGGCAACUAUGGUUUGAUUACACACGGCAACUACCAUAAAUUAUACAUGGCAACUAUACUUAAUCAAAACAUAUAGAGUUGCCAUGCUUUUACAACUACACUUGCCAUCCCGGAUAACUACAUCUGCCAACCAGGAUGGCAACUAAAUCGUCAUCCCACGGAGUACCUAACAUAGUUGUGCUAGGACGUGUGGGCAUUUUUGCUUCGUGCCAUACGCGCGGGGUGAAGAUGAGUAGUACUGUUUGGCGUGUGGCACGAAGUAGUCGUGCCCACACAUGUGAGCAAUUCUAAUGUCCGCCCACACACAACCCAUGUGGGCUGCCUCCUGCUCACACCACACAUGGUCUGUGGCUAGACCCUUUAAGGCCCACAUGUGUGGGCGUUAUCGGCGUCCAAGAACUUUUAUGCUCAGUAAUUCCUAAUGCAAACCAACAACCAUCUUUCGGUUGCUUUUAUUGUCCAUGGGCAUGUGUGUAAUAUGGCAUUCUAAGUUUGCAUUUAAAUAUGGAUCAUCUUGGGGAGUCAAAGGGAUAGGAUGGUCAUUUCAUGUUAAACAUUAAAUUAUGCAUACACCUAAAACACCUUGUAAAAGUUAAUAGAGGGAACGUUAACCUGAGUGCCUAGCAAUAAUGCAAGUGCAUCAUUUUGGUUCUCACUUGAUCAUCUUAGCGACUUGUCUCGUGAGCCCUAUAGAUCUAGUCAUUACAUGCUCAUUGUAGAGCGAAGCCAUGAAGAUUGAAAUUAGCAAAUCAUGUGGACUAGAAUCAAAUUGUCCUUGUUCUUAUGAUGCUCACUACUUCACUACUAGUAAUAAAUUAACAAUUUAAUAAUAUUUUGUAUUCAUGUUUCUAUUGAGUUACACAGAGGAUUUGGUGUGAUGGCCUAUCUUUCGUUUGAUAUACCAAGUUGGAAUCAAUCAACACUAAGAAGUUUUUCAGUUUUGGUUGAGUUUGUGAUAGCUUUGUCAUGGUUUUCUAGCGGCAUUCGCUUUAGGGUUACGUAGAGAAACAUUGGUAAUUGCACCACUCGUCGUAGACUUAAAUGACCAAACCAUUGGCAUGUGAUGUUUGGUGGAGAAAUGAUGUAUUGGCCACACAAAUGUUUAGCUCCUAGAUUUUAUAUGCAUAUCUAUCUUCCCCAUGUGGCGGGAUCAUGUUUAGUUGCUAGGAGAUAAUGCCAAAGCAUAGGAGAGCAACACUGAUGAGCACGGUGAAUGCACCGACAGUCACAUAUCGUGACCGAGCAGGGAAUGUGAUGUAUCAAAACUUUGAGUUGGAGCCAAGUAAAAAGAAAAAAAAUCCAUCGAAGAGUGGUUGAACUAGCAAACACCCAUCAUAUGGUGGCUCUACGUUGUCAAUUCAGUGCAAUUCAUCCUAGAGUAUUGAGUCGUAGAUUUCAUCAGUCGGAUAUACUGGUUGCACGAUCUAAGACUUCACCAAUCUCUAACACUUGAAAAUGGAAGAGAAUAUGUAUGCAUUGUAUCCAUAUUUUCAUAAGUGGAAUUCUAGUCUUAGUCCUAAGAACACACAGUUAUUUGCAUCUGUUAAUCGCAUCACCUCUUGACUUACAUCCUUAAAGGGCAUGUCGCAUUACUAUGAUUUACAACGCAUACCUUUAUACAUUGUUGUUGCACCUAGUUAGCACAAUUAGUUGGCAUGAUAGUAAAGCUCACAGUUCAUUCGCUUGUUCAAAACAAAAAAAUCCUUCGUAAAGAUUCUCAAACCAUAUGAAUAAGGCCACAUAAGUUAAUGGAUGCAACAAUUUAGUUCGACCAUACUUGAUCUAUCUUAAUUAACAAUGAUAAAAGAUCCAAUUGUUUUGAUAUUACAGAUAGCCAUGCCCAGCCAAGGAAUAUAUGGCACGGUGUAGCAAUGUGCAGGACUGCCAUGCCCAAUUCGCACACAUCAUGUCUCUUUCCACUCACUACCCUGUCUCCAACUCUCACUACAACAAAUAUGUGAACUUGUGACCUUCACUAUUGGUCACUGAAAGGUCAUUAUUUUCAUUUGCAAUCUUUUUUUGACCAAAAACAGAAGGUCAAAAGCUAGCGGUCAUAAACUGAAAUUAACGACCUUCUCUGUGAGAAAGUCGUGGACGUUUACGACCAAAAUAUGCCUAUUGUUUUGUUUUGGUCACUAGCAACCUCCCCAGGCCAUGUAGGCAUCCAGCGUGGCAAGCUGAUGUGGCACAAGAUUCAGCCCGGUCCGAUUCGGCAUUUUACAUGGGCCGAGCCCAUUAAUUCAGCCCAUUUAAUUUAUUUUUUCCCUGUUCUUUGAUUAGCUAAAUAGGCCUGGCCCAACAAUUAGGACUUUUUUUUUCUGAGAUGCAGUCUUUUACAAUCCAUUUUUUGGGUCCUCAACCUUUUUAGAAUCUGAAAUUUAAAUUGCUCUUUUUAGAAACAAGUCCAACAUAGUUUGGGCCAUGGCCUUUUUAGAGCCCAAGUAUUGAGUGCAAUAUAAAUUCUGGACAAGGCCUUUUUACAAUCCAAUAGUGGGCCAAGCCCUCUUUUAUUUACAACCAAUAUUCUCAAAUCAGUAUAGUAACAGUACUUCUUUCCCACAAUAAUAACACAAGUAUAGAAAACUUUCUCACACAACUUUAUCUCGCAUAACAUUAGACAGACCAACAUGUAUCAAUAACUUAUCGCCUAUGUUCACAAGUACAUAACUUUUAUCUGACACAACAUUAUACAGAACUGUAUCUUGCAGGUUCAAAUCGCAUAAACUUUAUCUAACAGGUUCCCCGCAACAAAAGAUGAUCACCAUCAUCUCCUAAUCAAGAUGCAAAUAACCACACAUUUAAAAAGAAAAAGCAAUAUGUCAAAGAGAGACAAACAAAAAAUAGAGACUUGCAUCAAGUAGACUUGAUGAUGUACAAAUAGUAAUCAAACUAGCAUCUACUUUGCCCGAGAGAUAGCAUGAAGCAGUUUUGAUGCCAUUCAUGCAUUUUUUCUGAGACUAGCAGCAAAAAAUACAUAGGAUGCCAAACAGCCGGCAGCAGCUAAGAUCGGUUAGUUGUUGGCUACCACUGAUGGUGAGAACUAAACGAGCAGCUUAUAUUCAUUGGGCUGGGUUGGAUUGGAUUGAUGCUGACAAAGUGAUAACAGGAAGGUAAUGAGCACAUACGACGAGCUCUUGUAUACCGACAUGCAUGAGCACUUGUUAAUAUUUAUAUUCAUCACAGCAACCUAUAACCACCUACGCAUACAAAUCAGAAAGCACACAUAUAUACUGAACAAAAGCAAUGACCAUGAAUAGAUGACUUAACAAUUCAUGUUUGUUAACAAAACAAGAGUGGACAUCUCAUAGUGAGUCUAAUACAGCUACACUAAGCAGAGAACCACAUCAAGACAUGAAGAGUAAGCCGUCACACUAUAGGAGGAUUGGACUGCAUACCUAGUCGUCCUUGAGGUAGAGGACUGCAUACCUAGUCGUCCUUGAGGUAGAGGACCAUCUUGGUACCCCUACUGAGCUACUCCCCAAACGUAUCACGAGUGACGGUGAAGGAGCUACCGGCCUGGGACUCCCACACGUACUGCCCAUUGUUGUUGUGCUUUGUGGUGACGACGACCCUCUCGGCAACAAGGUAGGCGGAGUAGAAGCCAACACCAAACUGCCCAAUCAUGGACACAUCAGCGCCGGUGGCGAGGGCCUCCAUCGGCACUGUACUGAUCUUGUCCAAGGCCUGCAAAAGUCACACCGGCAAGCACACCAUGUCAGCCCAGGAACAAAUCUCGCACACCACGAAUCAAACCGUGGGUCAACGGAUCUGGCUCGGCAGAAUCUAAAGCCUAGCCUAAAAUGGCCAAUGUAAUUAAUGGCCAGUGCUGCUAGUAUUGAAUGUACCACAUCAUCAAGCAUUAUAUAGUACUACUAUGUGAUUGAUAUGCAAAAGAAGAUGCAUCUCCCAUGUUCAGCAAUCAGGAUCAACCAUGAAGUUUCUACUACUCCUACAUCAUUUUAGCUAAUCAUUUAAGAUGAUCAUUUAAGAUGCUAAUGUUUACUUGUCAAGUACAAUUAUUGUUACUCUAAGAUUUUAGCUAAGCAAAUAUAAAGAUAAGAAGACACUUUGCCACCAAUAUUUUGUGACAUCUGUAGAAUUUUCGUACCUCAUAAACAUGCAUGAAAUGUCUAUCUCAAAGAAGUAUACAUACUGAUCAUGUUUAAUUAGGCCAGCAGCACAAAACAACCAAUUAUAUUGCCUUACAAGAAGUACUAGCAGAAAAAACCUCUAAUAACCAGGCAUACAACUCAAUGCGCCAUAGCAACAGAACUAAGAAGAUGAUCAAAGUGAAGAAGGUAGCCCCAAGAGUUCACCGGAGUUCACCAGAGAUUUGUAGUGCAGAGGCAGGAGCCAAGGAGGUAGUCAAACUGUUGAAGUCAAGGGCCAGCCUAGCCUUCUACCACGCAUGAGGCCACAACCAGCCCAGCACCACCACCACCGUCGAAGCCCUCACCAACGUCCAAGCUUCACCGAGCUCCCUGCAAAUUGCAUUUAGCAUCAAAGCAUCAAUAGUUUUGCAAAGUGAAUAUAUUAGGGGAAGCUAAAAUUAGCAUAUACACAGGCAGGGCAGGGUUUAAAUAACCAAGUCAUGUUUAAAAGAGUUAAUUGAAUGAGUACAAUUAGCAUGUAACCUGGAAAACAUAUAGCUAGUAUCUAUCUAUCAACACAUGUCAUCACAUAGAAGCCAGAUACUAUUAACUUCAUGAUUCAGAAGCAGGAGCAGUUGAUGAAGCUAUGUACCUGGGGUAGGGUCAUGGACCUGUCCAAGAUACCCUCCCCAAGGACAUCUCUAGAAGAAACCACCUUUUCAAUCGACCAUGAGAAAUGUUCCACUCGACGAACUCGAAGACACUCGACCAUGAAGCCAACCACUCGACAGCCAGGAGUUCUAAAGUCACUCUGCACGCAAACGGUCGGGCAUUAAGUAGCUUUUAUGGUCAUCAUAGCACUUUAUGUGGGGCGUUACCAGUAACUCCCGAUCUUAAUGUACUUUAAACCCUACAUAACUGAGGUCCGGAGGGGUCUGGCGAACUCUAUAUAAGCCACCCCCUCCUCAGUGUAAAGGGUUCGCACCCCUGUAACUCAUACGCAUAUAAUCCAGUCGACCGCCUCCGGGAUCCGAGACGUAGGGCUGUUACUUCCUCCGAGAAGGGCCUGAACUCAUAAAUCCCUUGCAUAUACAACUACUCCAUAGCUAGGAUCUUGCCUCUCCAUACCUACCCCUCUACACUACUGUCAGACUUAGAACCACGACAGUUGGAGCCCACCGUGGGGCAGGUGUCUUAGCGACUCAUUAGAGAAGUUGCGAUUUUUUUCGAUCUCUUUCAUCAUGGUUUCAGGCAGAAUUUGGGUUGAGGGCCGCGAGAUCCGUCUCGGCGCGCUCACGUUCAUCAUCGACGACUCCACUUGGCUUUAGGAGGCUCCGCUCGACAUCGACGUGAUCCCUGUCUGCAGGGCGUCGCACUUUCGCGCGUGCGUCCACGACGUCCUCCGGCGACAACCGUCGACCCAGUAUCGGUCGUCCCCUGUGUCGUCCUCCCUCCCCGUCUCCCACUGUCGCAAGCGCUUCGGUCGGUCGAGGCUUCAGCGGUGGGUGAGGCACGCGGUGGCCCGCCAGUCGACCACCUCCCAAGUCGCGGCGAUCGAGCCCGACGAAUCUCUCUACGGCCUGUUCGACUGGCUCCAUAAAGACUGCAUCCGAAUGCGACAGCAGUGAUCCAACGGCGGAGGUUCUGAUGGUCGAUGGACCACGCAGUCCUCCCGGCUUUCCCCGCACCGACGUAGGUGACGGCGGAGGCGAUCCGGCUCAUGCCAACGAAGAAUAUCACGCCGAGCCCGUCACUUCGCUGUAGACGGAAGAACUUCGCCGCUGGAACAUGGAUGCACUGCACACUCCUAUCGUUGGAGAAACCCCAGAGGCUCGUGCCUUAGAGGACGCGCGCUUGGCCAACUUGGCUGAGCGCACUCGACUGGAGAACCUCCAGCGAGCACUCGACGAGCGUGCGCGGCAACGGGUUCCAGAAUCCAAUCGGCGUCAGCUCUUUCCACCACCGACUCAGGUAUAUCGAACUCCGAUUCAGAAUCUAGCAGCUGCAGCCCAUAUAGCCGAGUCGAUUCAGCCUUCCUAGUCAGAGGCUGGCAGAGGCUUGUUAUAGAUCAGAGCAUUACUCCGGGCAGCAGGAGAUCAGAAUUCAGCUGUAUCCCAGUCGUAGAAUAGGAUUCACAGCAGAUCUGUCGCUGCAAAUACAGUCCAGUCGGCCAAUAGCCCAAGAUCGCCCCCGAGGCAUGAGGGACGUGGAGACCGGCGUGAUCAGUACAAGAACCGGGAGCAGUACGAUGACCGACUCAAUCGUGAUGAUCGGCGUCGAGUGCCCACCCCUCCCCCAAGGGGUGGAUCGUACGUGCCUCGAUAGCAGGAUGACAGACGCCAUCACAGUGUUGGGGGAAGGAUUCCAGUCGACCCCAGGGAACCAGGCUUUGAUGCGAGAUCCAUUAUCGUUCAAGGUUUGGUCGACAGGAACAGAGCUCACCGAGAAGGUCAUGAUAGAGAUGCACCCACCAGCAGCAGAGUUCACGUCUCAGGACCAGAGUGUUUCAGCAGAGCCAUCAGGGCCGCGGUGAUUCCUCCCAACUUUAGGUUGCCGACUGGAGCCAGUAAGUUCACUGGUGAGUCCAAGCCUGAUACUUGGCUUGAGGACUACCGAGUGGCUAUUCAGAUUGGCGGCGGCAACGAUGAGGUGGCCAUGAAACACUUGCCUCUUAUGUUGGAGGGCUCGGCCAGAGCAUGGCUGAAUCAGUUAGCACCCAACAACAUUUACACUUGGGAAGAUCUUGCCCGAGUGUUUGUCAGAACAUUUGAAGGAACUUGCAAGCGACCAGCAGGGUUGACAGAGCUGCAAUCCUGUGUGCAGAAUUCGAAUGAAACUCUGAGGGAUUAUAUCCAGAGAUGGAUCACGUUGCAUCACAUGGUAGAGAAUGUAUCUGAUCACCAAGCAGUCUGUGCCUUCAAGGAAGGUGUUAAAUACAGAGAGUUAAACCUGAAAUUCGGUCAAACCGGAGACAUGUCUCUGAGUCAAAUGAUGGAGAUCGCCACCAAGUAUGCAAAUGGUGAAGAAGAGGAUCGGCUUUGGAGUGGCAAGCAUAAGUCAGUCGCCCAUGAAACCGGAGGAGGGAACUCCAGUCGGAAGCAAAAGCGGAAAGCUGAGCCAGCUGCUACUGGAGAAGCCUUGGCCGUGACUCAAGGAAAGUUUAAAGGGAAGCCCAAAGGGUCUUGGAACCCUAAGAAAGUGAAGGACAAGGAAGGGAAUGACGUGAUGGAUUUGCCGUGCCACAUCCACAUGAAGAAAGAUGAGGAGGGUAAAUUCAUUUAUCCAAAACAUACCACUCGACAGUGUCGGCUCUUGAUCCAGCAAUUCCAGGGGAAAUAACCCAAAGAUAAGGAAAAGGAGUCGGACAAAGUUGAAGACAAAGAAGAUAGUGAUGAUGGAUAUCCCAGGUCAAUUCCACGCUGAUGAUUUUUGCUGAUGUUGAAAGCAAAAGUCGAUUGAAAGUUAUCAACGGAGAAGUGAAUAUGGUCGCUCCGGCAACACCAAGUUAUCUGAAAUGGUCUCAGACUGCCAUCACAUUCGACCAGUCCGAUCAUCCGACACACAUAGCCACCCCUGGGUGCAAGCUUUAGUGGUCGACCCAAUCGUCGAAGGCACUCGGUUGACUAAAGUUUUGAUGGUGGCAGUGGCCUAAAUAUACUAUAUGCAGAGACGUUGAACGGAAUGGGCAUUCCGAUGUCCAGACUUAGUACCAGCAACAUGAGCUUCUAUGGAGUCAUUCCUGGAAAGAAGGCUAAGUCACUCGGCCAAAUUUCUCUUGAUGUGGUUUUCGGUGAUUCCAAUAAUUACCCUAAAGAAAAGUUGACGUUUGAAGUUGUGGAUUUCCAUUGUGCUUAUCAGGCUAUUUUGGGCAGGCCAACUUAUGCACGUUUCAUGGCUCGACCAUGUUAUGUGUACCUCAAAUUGAAGAUGCCUGGUCCCAAAGAUGUGAUCACUAUCACUGGCAAUCGGAAGAAGGCGGAAGAGUGCUUUCAGAAAGGCUCAAAUAUCGCCGAUGCUCAGAUCGCAGUGGUAGAGCUGCAAGAAUAUGAGAAAACUGCAGACCCGAGUGAUUUGUUACGAGCAAAGAAGCCUGCUAUGGAAUCAGCUUUUCAGUCAUCCGGCGAGACAAAACCGAUUCACAUUCACCCGACCGACCCCAAUGCUGCUCCGACCCAUAUUUCUAGGACACUCGACUCUAAAUAGGAAGAAGCGCUCAUCCAGUUCCUCCGUGAGAACUGGGACAUCUUCGCAUGGAAACCUUCUGACAUGCUGGGUGUUCCCAGGGGGCUGGCUGAGCAUCGUCUACGAGUCGACUCAAAAGUGAAACCUGUUAAAGAACAUCUUCGAUGGUCCGCCGUCCGGAAAAUAAAGGCCAUUGGCGAGGAGGUGGCUCAGCUCUUAGCAGCGGAGUUUAUCCGAAAAAUUUACCACUCCGAGUGGCUCGCCAAUGUUGUCAUGGUCCCCAAGAAAGACAAGUCACUUCGCAUGUGCAUCGACUUCAAACAUAUAAAUUGGGCCUGCCCGAAAGAUCAUUUUCCUCUCCCCCGCAUCGACCAAAUAGUCGACUCGACUGCGGGAUGUGAGCGCCUGUAUUUUUUAGACGCCUAUUCCUGUUACCAUCAGAUCCAUCUGUAUGGACCUGACGAGAUCCAAACAGCUUUCAUCACUCCAUUCAGGUGCUUCUGUUAUGUCACCAUGCCAUUCGGCCACAAGAAUGCCGGAGCCACGUUCAUGAGGAUGAUUCAGAAGUGUCUGCUCACUCAAAUCAGUCGGAAUGUGGAAGCAUACAUGGAUGAUAUUGUGGUCAAGUCACGAAAGGUUCCGACCUGCUGACUGACCUUGCUGAAACAUUUGCCAACCUCAGGAGGUAUGAUAUCAAGCUUAACCAAUCAAAGUGCACAUUCGGAGUUCCUGGCGGAAAAUUACUCGGUUUUCUCAUUUCCGAACGAGGAAUCAAUGCCAACCCAGAAAAAGUUGGUACUAUACUCCGAAUGAAACGUCAUGUACGUGUGCACGAUGUCCAGAAGCUUAGUGGUUGCUUGGCCGCUUUAAGUCGAUUCAUCUCUCGUCUCGGUGAAAAGGCAUUGCCUCUUUACCGACAGAUGAAGAAAUCAGACAAGUUCGAGUGGACUCCUGAAGCUGAUGUAGCGUUUGCAGAGCUAAAAGCCCUGCUUUCCACCCAGCCGGUGCUUGCUGCCCCAAUCAGCAUAGAGCCUUUGCUGCUUUACAUUGCAGCCACGGGACAAGUCGUCAGUACAGUACUUAUGGUCAAGCGGGAAGAAGAAGGAAAAGCCUUUAAAGUUCAACGCCCAGUAUAUUAUGUUUCUGAAGUUUUGACCCCAUCAAAGCAAAGAUACCCUCAUUAUCAGAAGCUUGUAUAUGGGAUUUAUAUGACCACGAAGAAGGUUGCUCAUUACUUCUCUGACCAUUCCAUUACAGUCGUCAGCGACGCCCCAUUGUCAGAGAUUCUGCACAACAGAGAUGCCACUAGUCGAGUGGAAAAAUGGGAGAUUGAACUCCUUCCCCUAUAUAUCAAGUUUGAGGCAAGGAAAGCCAUCAAGUCCCAAGCAAUAGUAGAUUUCAUCGCCGAGUAGAUUGAACAGCAAGUGCCGACUCAGGUUCACUCGGAGCACUAGACCAUGUUCUUUGAUGGUUCUAAGAUGCUGAAUGGUUCCGGUGCUGGGGUAGUGUUGGUUUUCCCCCGAGGAGAUAAGCUCAGAUAUGUGCUCCAGUUUCACUUUGAUUCCUCCAAUAACGAAGCAGAAUACGAAGCGCUUUUGUAUGGGUUGCGUAUGGCCAUUUCACUCGACGUCCGUCGCCUCAUGGUCUACAGCGACUCAGAUUUGGUGGUUAACCAAGUGAUGAAGGAGUGGGACGUUAGAAGUCAGGCCAUGACUGGUUACUGCAAUGCAGUGAGAAAGCUAGAGAAGAAAUUCGAGGGAUUAGAGCUUCAUCAUAUACCCCGACUGAAAAAUCAAGCGGCUGAUGAUUUGGCAAAAAUAGGUUCCAAGAGAGAAGCCAUUCCCAGUAAUGUGUUUUUGGAACACAUACACACAUCAUCAGUUCAAGAGGAUCCUUUUACCGAAGAAGCCCCGCAGCCAAAAAGUGUCACGGAUCUGACUGAAAAGUUGAGAUCCCAGCUGUGGUCGACCUGAUCAUGGAAGUCUUGGUCAUCAUUCCCGACUGGACAGUGCCUUACAUCGCGUAUAUCCUAAGUAAAGAGCUCCCAGAGAAUGAAGAAGAGGCUCGACAGGUCGUCCGUCGAUCCAAAGCCUUUACUAUGAUAAAGGGACAGUUGUACAGGGAAAGCGCAACUGGAGUCGGUCAGAAAUGUAUAACACCAGAAGAAGGUCGGAUAAUCCUUGACGAUAUCCACUCGGGGACCUGUGGUCAUCAUGCGUCCUCUCGGACCAUUGUGGCUAAAGCAUACCGAGUAGGGUUUUACUGGCCAAGGGCAAAUGAAAUGGCGAAAGAGAUAGUCGAAAAGUGUGAAGGGUGUCAGUUCUAUUCCAAUAUGUCACACAAGCCCGCCUCAGCCUCGAAGACCAUUCCAAUCGUCUGGCCCUUCUCUGUUUGGGGGUUGGAUAUGGUUGGACCACUGAGAACUGGCAGGAGCGGCUUCACUCACUUGCUAGUGGCGGUCAACAAGUUUACUAAAUGGAUUGAAGCUAAACCUAUCAAGAAUCUCGAUGCUUGCACUGCUAUCAGUUUUGUCAGAGAGUUGAUAUUUAGAUAUGGAGUUCCGCAUGGCAUCAUCACUGAUAAUGGGUCGAACUUCGAUUCCGACAAGUUCAAAGCCUUUUGCGCCUCUCAGGGCACAUGAGUCGACUACGAUUCAGUCGCUCACCCCCAGUCGAAUGGACAAGCGGAAUGAGCAAAUGGUCUAAUUCUCAAAGGAAUGAAACCCCGACUAAUGCGCGAUCUCAAGAACGCAGCAGGUGCAUGGAUCGAUGAACUUCCAUCAGUUCUUUGGGGAUUAAGGACCACCCCAAAUCGGUCGACUGGACGAACUCCUUUCUUUCUGGUCUAUGGAGCUGAAGCAGUUCUGCCGAGUGACUUGCCUCACAAUGCACCCCAGGUCGAGCUCUACUCUGAAGAUGAAGCAGAACAAGCCCAACAGGAUGCAGUCGACCUCCUAGAAGAAGAAAGGUAGAUGGCCUUGAUCCGCUCGACUAUCUAUCAGCAAGACUUGCGUCGAUUCCAUGCCAGAAAUGUGAAGAGUCGAACCUUCCAAGAAGGAGAUUUGGUCCUCCGAGUGGAUCAACAGAAGCCACACAAGCUCGCUCCUACUUGGGAAGGCCCCUUCAUCGUCACCAAAGUUCUCCACAAUGGAGCAUACCAUCUUUACAAUGUCGAUCGCCAGAUUGAUGAGCCAUGAGCUUGGAAUGCGGAGCUGCUCUGCCCCUUUUAUACUUAGGUGCUCACUCGGAUGAGAUGUUAUAAAAAGUACCUCUGUAGUUUGUUUAUCAAAGACAAGAGUGUUAUAAUUUUCCCAGUGAUUGUUGUUGCUUUUGUUUAAAUCCCCCAGUGGGUGGCUUAGCUGCGAAUCUGUUUUUGUCUAAGUUUGUAAAAAAAAAUCCUACCGAGUGACGAGCAAGCCUCUCACUCGGGGGCUUAGCUGUGAAUCUGUUUUGCCUAAGUAUUUGAAAAAUCCUACCGAGUGGAGAGCAAACCUCCCACUCGGAGGCUUAGCUGCAGUCCAGUACUUGCCUAAGUAUUUAAAAAUUCCUACCGAGUGGAGAGCAAACCUCCCACUCGGGGGCUUAGCUGUAGUCCAAGUACUCACCUAAGUAUUUGAAAAAUCCUACCGAGUGGAGAGCAAACCUCCCACUCGGGGUCUUAACUGCAGUCCAAGUACUCGCCUAAGUUGAAAAAUCCUACCGAGUGGAGAGCAAACCUCCCACUCGGGGGCAUAGCUGCAGUCCAGUACUCGCCUAAGUAUUUAAAAAUCAUACUGAGUGGACAGAAAACCUCCCACUCGGGGGCUUAGCUGCAGUCCAAGUACUCGCCUAAGUUGAAAAAUUCUACCUAGUGNNNNNNNNNNNNNNNNNNNNNNNNNNNNNNNNNNNNNNNNNNNNNNNNNNNNNNNNNNNNNNNNNNNNNNNNNNNNNNNNNNNNNNNNNNNNNNNNNNNNNNNNNNNNNNNNNNNNNNNNNNNNNNNNNNNNNNNNNNNNNNNNNNNNNNNNNNNNNNNNNNNNNNNNNNNNNNNNNNNNNNNNNNNNNNNNNNNNNNNNNNNNNNNNNNNNNNNNNNNNNNNNNNNNNNNNNNNNNNNNNNNNNNNNNNNNNNNNNNNNNNNNNNNNNNNNNNNNNNNNNNNNNNNNNNNNNNNNNNNNNNNNAAAUCCUACCGAGUGGAGAGAAAACCUCCCACUCGGGGGCUUAGCUGCAGUCCAAGUACUCGCCUAAGUUUAAAAAUCCUACCGAGUGUAGAGCAAACCUCCCACUCGGGGGCUUAGCUCCAUUAUAAUACUCGCCUAAGUAUUUAAAAAACCUACCGAGUGGAGAGCAAACCUCCCACUCGGAGGCUUAGCUGCAGUCCAGUACUCGCCUAAGUAUUUAAAAAUCCUACCAAGUGAACAGCAAACCUCCCACUCGGGGGCUUAGCUGCAGUACAAUAUUCGCCUAAGUAUUAAAAAAAAUUCUACCAAGUGGAGAGCAACCCUCCCACUCGGGGGCUUAGCUGCAGUACAAUACUCGCCUAAGUAUUUAAUCCAUUUCGAUCCGCAAGGACGAUGAGGUGCAGGUCGACUGCUACCUUCUCCUUUGGAGCUACGCCACAAAUACAAUGUGCGCUCUGCAAGGACAACGAGGUGUAGGUCGACUGCUACCUUCUCCUUUGGAGCUGCGCCACAAAUACAAUGUGCGCUCUGCAAGGACGACGAGGUGCAGGUCGACUGCUACCUUCUCCUUCGGAGCUACGCCACAAAUACAAUGUGCGCCCCGCAAGGAUGACGAGGUGCAUGUCGACUGCUACCUUCUCCAUCGGAGCCAUGUCACAAAUACGACGUGCGCUCCAUCCCGAUCCACAAGGACGCAGGUCGACUGCAAUCUGUGCUCCAUCCCUACCUACAAGAGCGAUGAAGUGCAUGUCGACUGGAUUUUUCCACUUCAGAGCCGCGUCUCAAGCAUUAAAGUAUAUUCCGAGUGAAGAACAAAGUUCGCUCGAAGGCAAAUGCAAGCAUAUUCAACGAUAAGCCAAGUUCAGAUAACAUCCUACAGAUUCAGAAGUGCUCAGGCGUCAAGCCUGUAAAAGUUUAUCGGUUACAAAACCACUCGGCAUUCCGAGGAAAAUUUUAGGUGAAGCAUAGAAGUUUUUCUUACUCCUCGGGUGGAGGACUGGAAGGCGCGACAAACUGGUCCAGGUCAAUCUCGUCAGCAAUCCGAGUGGCUGCAGCAAAGAAGGUCUCCAUGAAAGAUUGGAAGUCAUGCUUCUUGGUAUUGGCUACUUUGAUGGACGCCAGCUUGUCCUCUCACGCAUCCUUGUAGUGAACGCGAACCAGGGACAGGGCAACAUCAGCACCACACCUGGCAGAAGACUUCUUCCAUUCUUGCACUCGACCUGGAACUUCAUUCAGUCGAGUCAUUAGAGACUCGAGGUCAUUUUGAAGCGUCUCUCCUGGCCAGAGUGUCAUGUCGAUUCGCGACACCGCAACCUUCAGUUGAGCAAGGUAGUCAACAACUCCAGCAACACGAGACUCUUGUCGGAGCACGUUCAUGGUGGCUUCAUCCUUCAUAGGAGAGUUGAUGGGUUCCAAGCUUGUCUCCACUCGACUGGUCUCCUCCUCGAAGUUUGGCGGAAUUCUGCAAGCACAAUUCAAAGAUAAACCAGCAGUUCAAUGAUGAGUCGAUGAUAACAAGUCAGUCGGAUAGAAGAUAUUACCUUCAAGCAUGAUGAAUAACUUGUUGGCGAGCCCUCCUAGAUAAGCCUCUAGAUCGUUCUUAUUUCCCACCAGUUCACUAGCCUUGUCAUUCAGAGCUAUCUUGUCAUUCUUCAGACGGCUGACCUCCUUGUUGGCCGCGUCAAGAGCAGCUUUCAAAUUGGCGUUCUCCUCUUCAAGUUUACCGACUAAAGCCAGUUUUUCUUUCGCAAGCUUCAUUUUAUCCAAAGCUGCCUUCUGCGCUUCGGCAAGGUCAUGGUCCUUCUUCUUUAGAGCCUCCUUCAUUUUAUCUGCAAAGUGACAAUGAGAUCAGAAUCAGGAAUGGGCAGAAAGAUAAAGACAGUCGUCAAGAUUCUCACCGACCAUACCUUUUGCUUCUCCUUUGCCUUCUUAAAGUUCUCCUGAACAAGCUUCAAGUCAAGGUUGAGCUAGAUGUGUUUGUUUUCCAAUUCAGUAUAACGAGCCACAAGCUCGCAAGAUUUCUGCGAAGGAUCAGUUGAUAGACAUCAAAGAUGGGUCGCUUCCGAGUGACUAAGAGAAAAAUCAUAACAUUUCUAAGACUACAGCUGAAUCAAAAUAUUCAACAGUAGUCUCGGGGACUACACCCAGUGGGUGCACUCAGCGUGCCCCCACUGGUUCUACCGACUCGGUUCGAUCAGUCGGGUGAAAGAGACAAAGAGGUUAUGAUCCUAAAACUAUAGCACCAUAGCUAACUGCCAGCAGUCAACCAUGGUCUUAUCAUGAUCUACCAAAAAAACACAGGUUCUUCAGACCUUAGUCGACUGCCAGCAGUCGACCAUGGUCUCGGGGACUACACCCAGUGGGUGCACUCAGCGUGCCCCCACUGGUUCCAAGAUUCCAUUCGGCAUGGUCCGACCAGACCAAGUGAAGAAGUUAGAGUGAAGUAAUUCAAAAUACAAAGACUAUAGUUGACUACCAGCAGUCCACCAUAGUCUCGGGGACUACACCCAGUGGGUGCACUCAGCGUGCCCCCACCAAUCCAAAAAUUCAAUCGACACACCCAGUGUGUGUACAGAUACAAAGAUCUUCAGAAAGAAAGUCUUCUGAUAGCAUAUCCUAACAGAACAAGCGGUGGCCAACUAACCUGGACGUUGCUUUGAAGGGCUGAGCUAGCAUCGUAGGCUGCCUGGCUAGCUUCCCGGAUCACCUUCACCUGCUCCAUCAUGAUCCCCGCCUGGCGUACAGCCUCCUUAGCAGCACCCGCUUGGUCCUCUGGGACGUGGUGUGUGGCGAAAAGGGAGGGUGGGUCAGCAGUCCACGACGAAGGUCGAGCACUCGUCAGCAGCACAACAAAGGACACAGAAUUCCGAGUAAUAUUACCACCAUCCUGAACCGGUGCCUCAGGCACUGAUGCAGUCUGAGUGGUCUUUCUAUUCCUCCUCGGCCUCAGUGGCACCUUGUCGUCAUCAUCAGGGAGAUCGAUGACAUGAGGAGGAGCUUCAGGAAAAGUCCAAAGUUAAAAUCGAAAUCCAAUCGACCAAAAGUGAAAUUACAGAGAUCGUACCAAGGUUGUAGGUGGCAGCGUCUUCCAUUUCCUGGUCUUCUUUCUUGGUGGAGGUCUCAGAGGUAGCAGCACUGCAGAUUUCAGAAAUCAGUCGGUUAGCCAACAAGUCGACCAAGAGUCUGUCCGUGCUAAACAAGUCGACCAAGAUUCUGUUGUUACCCGGAGAUGGUGGGAAUGGUCAUUCUCAUCUUGGGCAAGGCCUUCGGCGGCUUUGAUGACGCCGCUCGUGGAUGCUUCGGCGCUUUUUCAGUCGGCGCCAGAGAGGUCGUCCGAGGGCGCUUUGACGACUGCCCAACAGGCGCAGUCGCUUUGCCACGCUCGUUCAAGAGGUCAUGGGUGAGCUUGGAUCGCCUUUCCGAACGAGGAGGAUCGACUUCCUCCUCCUCCUCUUCACUGGAUUCGUCGUCAUCCUCUUCCCCCUCACCAUCAGAUUGCCACUCCUCCUCACUUUCGCCUCCGCUCGCCUCUUCCUAUUCAGCUGGUUCUUGCGCCCCGUUGGGCAUCGAUUACAUCUCAGUAGUGGCCUAGAAGACAACAAACGAGACAAAAGUCAGUUGACUGAUUUUAAGCAAACAGAAAGAAGAAAGCAGGAUCACAGUCAGAGAUGCAGAAUUGGACCUGGUCUACUUCAUAUGAUUGGUCGAGUGGAGGAAUCCUCCUGGCUCCUCGGGGGUUGUCUUUGUUCCCUGUGAUGGCCGUCAACCACCUCUCCAGCGUAGCCUCCUCGACCUCCUCCAGGUGGAUCCGAGUGGUGUCCUCAGUACCAGAGUACAACCACAUCGGAUGGUCUCGAGCAUGAAGCGGCUGGAUGCAUCGUCGAAGGAAGACCUCCAAGAGGUCCAUGCCAGUCACCCCGUCAUGGAUAAGCUGGACAACACGUUCGACUAGCACCUUAACCUGCAUCUUCUCUUCUGGGAUCACCUUCAAAGAGGAAGGCUUCCUCACUCGGUCCAUGGAAAAAGGAGGGAGUCCAGUCGACUGCCCUGGUGUCGGCUGGUCCUUGCAGUAGAACCAGGUCGACUGCCAUCCACGGGCCGAGUCGGGUAGGAUCAUGGCCUGAAAAGAACUUUUCCCCCUCAUUUGAACCCCAAGACCCCCACACAUCUGAAUCACUUGUGUCCUCUCAUCACUCGGAUUGGCCUUUUUCACCGUCUGGGAGCGACAUGUGAAAAUGUGCUUGAAAAGACCCCAAUGAGGCCGACAACCCAAGAAAUUCUCGCACAAAGACAUGAAAGCAGCGAGGUACACGAUGGUGUUGGGUGUGAAGUGGUGGAGUUGCGCCCCAAAGAAAUUCAGAAAUCCCCGAAAGAAAGGGUGAGGCGGCAAAGAAAACCCACGGUCGACAUGGGUGGCCAAGAGAACGCACUCACCCUCCUGAGGCUGCGGCUUAGAGUCCUUCCCCAGGAGCUGCACCGAUCCAUGGUGGAUCAGUCCUCCAUUGGCUAGGUCGUCAAGAUCUGCUUGACGAAUUGUCGAGCAGAUCCAGUCGCCCUGGAUCCAGCUCUACGGCAGGCCGGCCCUCGAUGAAGAUCCGCCCCGACUGGUCGCCCUUCCCUUCGCCUUCGCUGUCGCUUUCUUCGCCCGCUCUAGAGCCGCCGUCUUCUCUUUCACCAUCUUCGCCGGCGAGGCGCGCACAGGGAAGCGACGCUGAGACGGAAGAGAACGCGGUGGAUAAGUGUGAGGAAGAGGGGAGGAAAUGAGAAUGCACUAUUCAAAAAAAAACUGUCCGGCGCCUUAUAUGAGGUUAUUUCCGAGUGACUGACUCAUGGGCCCAGGGAGAUCCUCUCAAAUCCCGCAACAGUUGCGCGUGCGAUACGUGGAGAAAAAGGUGGCGCGGAGAUCGAGGCGUCCCUGCCUUAUCCCAUCCGAUUACCGCGGCCUCCUCCGCCCCGCGUGCUUCCCAAAAUUUGAAUCCCAUUAAAUCCGCGAGCUACAGAGCAAAUCGUCAGACGGGAGAUUUCCUCCGCUCUGUCGUUCGGAAUUCGCCAAGCAAAUAAAUUCACUCGACGGAUACAAAGAAUGGAUCAAUGCGAUUGAAAAAGAAGUUGGUGCCGUCACCUAAGUUCAUUGAGUUUCUCAAAAAAAACCUAAGUUCAUUGAUCGAGAACAAGACAUGCUCAUAGCACGAAAAUUGGGUCGGAAGAGUUCUCAACUCCUUCCCCAUUCAAACCUCGAUCCAUUCGGGGGCUAAUGAUGAAGCUAUGUACCUGGGGUAGGGUCAUGGACCUGUCCAAGAUACCCUCCCCAAGGACAUAUCUAGAAGAAACCACCUUUUCAAUCGACCAUCAGAAAUGUUCCACUCGAUGAACUCAAAGACACUCGACCAUGAAGCCAACCACUCGAUAGCUAGGAGUUCUAAAGUCACUCUGCACGCAAACGGUCGGGCAUUAAGUAGCUUUUAUGGUCAUCAUAGCACUUUAUGUGGGCGUUACCAGUAACUCCCGAUCUUAAUGUACUUUAAACCCUACAUAACUGAGGGCUGGAGGGGUCUGGCAAACUCUAUAUAAGCCACCCCCUCCUAAGUGGAAAGGGUCCGCACCCCUAUAACUCAUACACAUAUAAUCUAGUCGACCGCCUCCGGGCUCCGAGACGUAGGGCUGUUACUUCCUCCGAGAAGGGCCUGAACUCGUAAAUCCCUUGCAUAUACAACUACUCUACAGCUAGGAUCUUCCCUCUCCAUACCUACCCCCUACACUACUGUCAUACUUAGAACCACGACAAUAGUGGCUACAGAUAACAUGGCCAAGUAAUCCCAAACAGGAAGGGACAGGCUUCGGAGCUAUGUCACGUUGUGAUGCUCUGCGGCAUUUUCCCAGGCUUCCAGCAGGAACACAUGUCGUGCCUCGGCACACUAGAAUACAAGCCAGCGCCACCAAUGGAUGCACAUGACGUGACGCACGCAGCUCAAAUCAACUAGGCGUACGCGAACACCUCGUCCUGCACAAGUACCUACAAUCCUAUUACCUGGAACGACAAACCACAGAGCUAGCGCCACCAAUGGAUGCACCUGACAUUUUACCUACCGCGCAGUGCUUAAAACAAGGAGGCGAUAAUUUUGCACGCUUCCCAAAUCCCUCGUACUGCAUGAGUAGCUGAAAUUCUACUUGGAAGCGAGCUAGCUAGCUAGCAACUCGUCGCCAAAAACUAGGGAGUAGACCCGUGCAGUAUCUAGUAAGAAGAGGAACACGAAACUAGGCCGCCUUGAGCCGAGUCGGGCGGGGUCGUACCUUGGAGGUGCUCACAGGGCUUCUCGAGGGCCUCGCGGAGGAACUGGUCGACCUACGCGACCGGAUCGUCGGCCUGCUGCUCCUCCUGUGGUGCAGCGGCCCGGCGGUCGUCGGUGAGGUCGGGCGAGGAGGAGACCCUUCGUGCCGCGCCACCGGAGGAGGAGGAGGAGAGGAGCAGGCGGCUCAUGGCCCCAUCGAGGUCGGCCGUUUCCCGCGAGUCGGGCACUGCGGUAGCAGCAGCCGCGAACACAGCCGCCGCGUCCUCCUCCAUGCCCGCUGUCACGCGGCCCGAUCUGCUCUGCUCGCGGCAAGGUAAGCUAGAAGCCGGCGAAGCACCUCCCGAUGGCCCGGCUCCUCCCACUCCUCCCGUCGAUCCCGACCCCCUGGCACCGCACGCCACGCGCUGGGCUCAUCGCCGCCAAGAUCUUGGGCGCGGCGUAGGAGACCGCAAGGAGGAGGGGGAGGGUCGUGGCAGCGUGGUGGUGGGAUGUUGGUUGGAGGUUGGAAGGGGAACUGGUUGCCCGGAGCAGGAGGGAGGAGAACGUCGACGGGGGAUCGGAUCUCUUCUGAUGAGGGAGGGGAGGGGAGAGCCGAGGUCAUGGCCGGCGGCAAGGUGAGGGAGACGAGGGAGGUGGGUGGCGGCGAGGGGAGGGAUCUGGAUCUGAGCGUUAGGGUUCGCCGCGCGGGGAGAUAGAGGAGUGGUGUGCGGUGGGUUCUUUUUAGGGGUAGCUCACGGUGGGUGGGUGAGAGGGUGAGGUGUGGGCCGUUGGAUUCAGGAGGAUUCGACAGUGAUUUAUCCAUGAUCCGCGUGAGAGGCCCCUCGACCAAUCAGAACGCAGUAUACAUGUAUGAUAUUUUGACCAUUUAAAUUGUCGUAAUCGACUAAAAGUAAGGUGUAUGUUAGCUAUUUUAUUAUGAACUGAAAAUUUGGAGAGAAAAAACUUCUCAUUGUGUCACCAAAUUUGACUAUAUUUUUUAGGAAUAAUCACAAAUUGAAAUAAGGCAAAUAUUUUUUUAAGAGUUAUGAGAAAUGAGUUCUUUUAAAUCAUUUUUUCAUUUUUUGAGUGUUCAAAAUGAGUUUUUUUAAGGACCUACAAUAUAUUUAUUGUAAAAUUGGAUGAAAUCAAUUUUAUAAACUAUUAGGCCAUAUUUACUGCACAAAUGAUCAAAUUUUUGGUUGUCAAAAGGUUCUAUACACUUCUUGUGAAAAAGACAAAUUUCCACCGAUUCAGCUGGAAGCGGGUUAAAUUUGAACUGCAGCUACCUUAUGGUUUGCUCUUUAUUUUUUCCAAAAAUCAUUUCUAGGUACAUAAGUAUCAAUUUAAUCAGAGAAACACCAAAAAAAUUCCAAGAUUCAACCACUAGCUAGGAACGGCCAUUCCCACCAUUUUGACCGCAUAUUGAAACGGGCAUAAAAAAUUCAAAAAAUAAUCAAAAAAUUGGGAAACAUUCGCAUUGUGUCAUUAUAUGUGGCCAAGUUCCCAGGAAAAAUAACAAACAUGUAAUACGGUAAUUAUUUUAAAAAAGUGUUCUCAGAAACGAGCUAUCAUGUGUGGAGAUCAAUGGCUUUCAAGUCAAAUGAUCAAUCUUAUGGCCACAUUCAUGGCAUAGUUUGUUCAAAUGAUCUCAUAUUAUGCACAAGGGUGCAUAUUGGAAUUCCAAACAAUGUUGCCUAAGGAAGUUUUCAUUUUCUUUAGACAGAAAAACCAUUUUCCAUUUUUCGAGUGCCCAAAAGUAGUUUUUUUGUGAAGGACCUCCCAAAUAAUUGUUGCAAAAUUGGACCAAAUCAAUUUUAUAAAAUACUAGGACAUAUUUAAUGCACAAUUGACAAAAUGGUUGGCUGUAAAAAGUUUUGAUCCACCUCUCAUGAAAAAGACAAAUUUCUGCUGAUUUAGUUGGAAGCGGGUCAUAUUUGAACUGCAACUGCCUCAUAGUUUGCUCUUUAUUUUUUCCAAAAAUCAUUUCUAGGUACAUAAGUAUCUAUUUAAUCAGAGAAACACCAAAAAAAAUCCAGGAUUCAACCACUAGCUAGGAACGGCCAUUCCCGUCGUUUUGAUCGCAUUUUGAAACAGGCAUAAAAAAUUCAAAAAAAAUCAAAAAAAUUGGGAAACCUUCGCAUUGUGUCAUUAUAUGUGGCCAAGUUCCCAGGAAAAAUAACAAACUUGUAAUAAGGCAAUUAUUUAAAAAAAAGUGUUCUCAUGAAUGAGCUAUCAUCUCUGAAGAUUCAUGGCUUUUAAGCCAAAUGAUCAACCUUAUGGCCACAUUCAUGGAAUAGUUUAUUCAAAUGAUCUCAUAUUGUGCACAAGGGUGCAUAUUUGUAUGGCAAACAAUGUUGGCUAAGGAAGUUUUCUUUUUCUUUGGACGAAAGAACCAUUUUCCAUUUUUCGAGUGCCCAAGAGGAGGUUUUUUUGUGAAGGAUCUCCCAAAUAAUUGUUGCAAAAUUGGACCAAAUCAUUUUUCUAAAAUACUAGACAUAUUUAAUGCACAAUUGACCAAAUGGUUGGGUGUAAAAAGUUUUUAUCCACCUCUGGUGAAAAAGACAAAUUCCAGCCGAUUCAGUUGGGAGCGGGUCAAAUUUGAACUGUAGCUACCUCGUAGUUUGCUCUUUAUUUUUUCUGAAAAUCAUUUCUAGGUACAUAAGUAUCUAUUUAAUCAUAGAAACACCAAAAAAUUCCAAGAUUCAACCACUUGCUAGGAACGGUCAUUCCCGCCGUUUUGACCGCAUUUUGAAACGGGCAUAAAAAAUUCAAAAAGAAUCAAAAAAUUGGAAAACCUUCGCAUUGUGUCAUUAUAUGUGACCAUGUUUCCAGGAAAAAUAAUAAACUUGUAAUACGGCAAUUAUUUUAAAGAAGUGUUCUCAGAAAUGAGCUAUCAUGCAUGAAGAUUCAUGGCUUUCAAGCAAAAUAAUCAAUCUUAUGGCCACAUUCUUGGCAUAGUUUGUUCAAAUGAUCUCAUAUUGUGCACAAGGGUGCAUCUUGUAAUUCCAAACAAUGUUGCCUAAGGGAGUUUUCAUUUUCUUUGCACGGAAAAUACAUUUUCCAUUUUUCGAGUGCGCGAAAUGAGCUUUUUUGUGAAGGACCUGCCAUAUAUUUGUUGCAAAACUGGACCAAAUCAAUUUUCUAAAAUACUAGGCCAUAUUUAAUGCACAAUUGAAAAAAUGGUUGGGUGUCGAAACUUUUGAUCCAUCUCUGGUGAAAAAGACAAAUUCCCGCCGAUUCAGUAGGAAGCGGGUCAAAUUUGAACUGCAGCUGCUCAUAGUUUACUAUUUAUUUUUUCCAAAAAUCAUUUAUAGUUACAUAAGUACCUAUUUAAUCAUAAGUACAUGGUUUGGUGUCUAUACGUCGAGGAUUGGGCGGUGGCCGAGGCCCCCAACCCUAGAGCACAUAAACUCGCAUGCCCGCCGCGUGAUCACCGCGUGACCGUGGUGUUGCCAUGUGUUCUGGGCAGCCUAGGCAUGUCUAGUGGGUUGGGCACUCCCCAGGUAGGUGCUAGGAAGAAAAUUAGUACAUAAGAUUCUCAGGAGGAGACCGAUCGAUGAUCAAACAUGAAUUAGCAGCGAAGUGUUUGAUUAGCGGUACGGGAAAUGUACAUGGCUAAUGGGCGUGAGUUUUGGCUAAGGAUGAUCAGUUACUAAGAAGACCGUCUUCAAAAAAAAUUCAUCUCAAAAGGAGGAACCUAGGUGGUACUUGCUUUGCAAACUACCACACUUACGAAUGUUGAAGCUCGGCUCAAAAUAAUGAAUGGAUUGAGCUGGCAUUUGGUGGAGGAUGGUUAUUUGGGCAUAGGAAAGCACUGUAGAAAAUGGAUACUAUCUGGACAUGCCAAAGUGGUACUUCCUUCAGAAACUGUUGUUCUGAACAGAAUAGGAAAAUGAAUAUUUUUGAAUUAUUUUUGAACUAGGCAAGGAAGGUUUUUACAUAUUUGACGAAGAUAUGACCCAAAGAGUUUAUGAGAUUUUUUGGGAAUUUUGGGAAUGACAGAAAUAUAGGUUGCUUCACAACCUAGGGCAAAAACUACCACAUGGACAUGACACAUAGGCAAAACUGAUGAGGUGGCGCCUAGUCAUAGCAACCCACCACAAUUUACAAGGCUAUGGCCAUCUAUAUUGGUCGUUAACAACUAUAAAUAAGGCAGCGAACUAGCGCUGUUUGCUUUAUGACCAUUUCAUGUAAGGAAAUUACGACCUUUCUGACCAAAAUGGUCGCAAUGGUUUAGGGUUUGGAGCCCCCCGAACAACUUUUGACCAAUUGGUCUGAAAUGGUCAUAGAUCUAUGACCAUUUCUUCCAAGGUCACUGACAGAAGGUCACUAGUUGACAUAUUUCUUGUAGUGUCUGGCUGGUGGUUUUCUUCAUUAAAACAGAGAACUCAGGGCACUGCGUGCUUCCUGUUGUUUCAUUUCCUUGGGUUUUUUACUUCCACGGAAGUACAUGUACACUUGAUCCAUGUUCAAUAACAGAGUUUUAUGAUCAAGAGAUAGGAACAACAUCAGUUGCAAUGUGAGGAUCUCUUGGUUAUGCUGGUCGGUCUAUAAUACAAAUUGGGAAUUUCAUCCAAAUCGUGUCAGUGCAUUGUGUAUGAAGCUAGUAAGAAUUUCCUCUUUGUAACAUAGUUGAUAGCCUAUCAACCAUGAACAAGGACAUAAAAGGAAACAAUAGCCACCAUCCUAUAACACGACCGUCACGUGCCAUUUAGCAACAAAGAAGAAGACACCUACUACACUUUGGUAGUGGGGCCUGCCACUAUCUCGAUGAGGUCGAAGGUAGUCGUUGUGAGGACCAAAAUUAUGCAAUGUGCCCCCUAGACAGACAUUGGUCCUUGCCGCCACCUGGGAAGCGACACGUGUUAUGGGGAAGUCGGAUCAAGGGGUGAAAGCGGCAAUGACAAAGAAUUUAGGUGCAUCAUAUGAGAUAUACUUUCCACACAAUAAAGAACAUCACAUGAUAUUGAUGAAAACAAAAUUCCAAGAGUCCUGAGUGGGUGAGUUGCAUGUCUCUAUAUAUGUAUUUGGUCAAGGACCGAUGGCUCGUCUACAAGUUACUAGCUUUUCUCUAUGUGAAAAAACACAAUAUGGAAUCAUAGAAUGUUGAUGUAAGGAUAUGUAUAGAGAACUAGAUGGUUGAUUGAGAGAGUGGUGGUGAUAAAUGUUAAGUGGUCUUGAAUCAUAAGUACCGCUCAUUAGGAAUAGGAUGGACGGGGGAUUCAAGUUCACCGACUGCAAGUCUACAGACAAGAACUCUGAUCUUCACCGCUCUUGGAUACAAUGUUGAUUGUGUGUCGGGUGGUCCCAUGAUGCAAUGUGACAUGAUGCCUACUUAGUAGGAGACUCUGACUUAGGGCCCGUUCGGCUCCUCUCCAUGGGCCAGCUUCCUGAAAUACCUGUGUGAAGCCACCCCGAACGCUCCAGCAUCGGGAAGCCAACUUCAUGGAGACGAGGAUCAAGCAUGUGCAAAUUUUUUGGAGAGCAGCAGCCACCCAGCUACACUAAAGCGAUAAGUUGGAGUUCCUUUAUAUUACAUGGGAAUGCCACCGCUAAGUUGCAUACCGGUUCGAUCUUUUUUCUACCGGGCUCCCGUACGAAUCAGCGAGUAGACAUAGAUGUGUCCACACCUUUCACUCCAAACUGGCCGAUAGCCCAUGUCACCCUUUGUGUAACCUAAUAGCCCAUGUCCACACCUUUCACUCCGAACAACCGUGUAACCCAGCGCCAACCCAUACAGUAGUAGGGAAAAGCUGGCCACAGCCUCCCGAAUGCACACAACUCCUCACAGAAGUUGGACUCAUGGAUUUCCUGACCUAUAGAGCUUCCAAACGGGGCCUUACUCCAUUUGUUUUUGAAAAUAAUAAGUAUAAAUUUGUGUAUGAAGUGAAACUGUGUAAGGUUGACCAGGUUCAUAGAAGAUAAACUAACAAUGACAAUACUAGGUAGAUAUGGCAUGUAAAUAUAUUUUAUAGUGUAUUGAAUGUUACAAAAUUGGUAUGAAAGUUGUUUAUAGUUUUUGAUAAACUUGUUCCAACUUUGCAUUUUUUGACCUAAAAAAAUUAUACGCCUUUAUUUCAAGCACACAGGGAACCCUUGGUUAAAUUAUUGUAUCUGUAAAUUGGGUAUGUAGCAAUAAACAUAACAACAAAGAGAUGCAGAACAUGUUGUAAAUGCCAUGCACCAUCUAUUAAUUUCAUGCUCCAUUUGUUAACCGUAUUUGACCGAGGCCCCCCUUCUUUCCUUAGAAGAUAGAAUAAACCUUAUGUGUUAUCAACAAAAAAUUCAUCUAGGUCCAGGCAUCAUUGCACUCCAACCGUAUAAAGGAAUAUGGUGUAAUUUGUAAAUUAAAAACAAGUACAAAGAAGCACGUUUUACUUUGCAACGUCCCCAUUUCAAAAACAAAUCAUCUACUUAUACCUUCCAUUAUAAGCUAGUAAGUGAUGUCUUGCUCUUUUCAGAGAAAAAUAUCACAUCAUCUCAUGUCUUAUGCUUUUCAGAGAAAAAAAAUCACAUCAUCUCAUGCCAUUCGCUUGCCCUCCUUGAGUGGUUCCCUUACUACUCCCAUCUUCCUAGACUAGAAAGUGUCCAUAGAAUUUUAAGGUGCAUUUUUGGCACCGGUUAGGCCAAUUAUAUAUGAGUUGUUACCUUAGAAAUUGUAUAGAGGAAACAUCCUUCUAAUAUGAAUUCAAUGGCAUAAUUAUUGGAUCACACAACCCAUGUUUUAGUAACAAAUUGCACUUAUCAACUCAAGUAAAUAGUUCCCGAUGCAAACCAACGACUGACUAUUGGUUUCUUCUAUUGUGCAUUGGCAUGUGUAUAAUAUUGCAUCGUGAGCAUUUAAAUAUGGAUCAUCACGAGGAAUCAAAAGAGAUGGGAUGGACAUUUUAUGUCCGACCUUGAUUAUUAUGCAGAAGCCUAAAAGGUUAUGUAAAGAUUAGCAGGGGGAUAUUAACCCCAGUGCCUACCAACGAAGCAAGAACACCAUUUUAGUACUCGUCUAAUCAUCUUAGCAUCUUAUUUCACAAGCCCUGUAGAGAAACUCACUACAUAAUCAUUGCAGAGCGAAGCCAUGAAUAUUGAAAUUAGCAAGUCAUUUGGAAUCGAAUCAAAUGGUCUUUCUGCACUUACGAUGAUCACCAUUUGACCAUCAAUAGUCAAUUGAAAAUUCAAUUAUCUUUGUAUUCAUUUUUUGUUGUUGAGUUAGACAGAGGGUUUGGUGCCGCGAUGUUUCUUUCUUUUGUUAUACUGAGUUGGAAAUCAAUCAACAUGUUCCCGUCGUUGGCCUCUUUGUCAUGGUUUAUAGCAGUAUUCUCCUUAGGGUUGAUCAUAUAUAGAUGUUCAAUGAGUGCAACAAAUGUUGGCCACUACACCAUUCAUUGUAGAAUUAAAUGCCCAAAACAGUUGGCAUGUGGUGUCUAGUGAAAAAAAUCUUGUCCUAGCCACACACAAUGUUUCACUCAUUGAUCUUCUAUACAUAUCUCGCUUCCCCUUGUAGGAAGAUCGUGUCUAGUUGCUAGGGUGAAUGCCAAAGGGAUGGGAUGCAUCAGAAAUUUGAAUUGGAGCCAAGGAAAAAAUAGAUAAAAUCCACAGAAGAGUCGUGGAACUAGCAAAUACAGAUUAGACGGUGGCUCUAUGUUGUCCAUUCGGUUGAGCUUAUUUUGGAGUGUUGAGCUAUAGGUUCGUCACUCUAGUAGACCAGUUGCUACAGAUUUCAGGAUUCUAGAGACUUGUUCUUCCUUUCUCAAUGGUGAGCCUAUGCCCUAGAAGACCGAGGACAAGCCUACUUCUUCAUUACCACCAUCGCCGAAGAAGGAGACUUGAGUAAACGAGUAUGGGCACCACCCUUGGCUUGUUUCAUGCUUCGGGGAGGUGCCCCGGUAUUGUAUCACCAUCACUUUUAUCAUUAUUAUCUAUCUUAUUUUGAUGCUUAGUUAUUUUGUGAUUUAGAAGAAUAAAAGUAUUAGUAUAACUAGUUCGAGUGCUUGUUUCAUGAUCUAUCUAUCUAUGUAAUCGUGUGUGAUAGUUAUAUAAUAAAGAGUAGUUUGAGUUUUGAUACUUUGCUCUCUUGUUUCAAUCUUAGCAAUGAAAAUAAAAGAUCAUAUGCUAAUAUCAUGGGGAGUAAUGACUUCACAUGAAAAAAGUAUAGUUGAUAAAAUUUAUUGGAAGUUAGAAAACAUAGUGUUGGUCAUUGAUGCAAUUCAUGAAAGAUUAGUAAAGGGAGAGAGAUUUCACAUAUAACUACACUAUCCUGGACAUCUUUUAUGUUUCUGAGCUCCCAUCAAAUAUUUUCAGCUUGACCAAAUAGUUAAUGUUGGACAAGGAAGACAACAUAAUGAGUUAUGAUUGCUUAUAUGCACAUAGAAGUUAUAUUGUCAUGGAUCCUCUAACAUGUGGUGCUUGUUCAUAAUCUUUUGCUGGCCAAAAUUUUGUACUAAUUAGAAAUAUUAUUUGUGCAUCCAAAAAUCCUUAAACCUAGUUUCUUGUCAUGAUAGUCCACCAUAUCUACCCAUGGAUUGAAUAAGAUCCUUCAAAUAAGUUCUGAUCGGUGAAAAGCAAUAAAAAUUGCCCCCAAGUAUGUAUGAUCUUUUAUUUUAAGGGAAAACAAGGUUUGUACGAACUUGUGAUGGUAAUGGAAUAAAAGCGACAGACUACAUAAUAAAGGUUGCUAUCACAAGGGGCAAUAUAAAGUGGCAUUCCUUUCCAUUAAGAUCUUGCACAUCCAAAUGAAAAAGUGCAUGAAAACCUCUGCUUCCCUCUGUGAAGCGCCUAUCUUUUUACUUUUCAACUUUUAUUAUGCAAGAGUAAAUAAUAUUCAUCCCUAUUCCAACCUCAAUUAUUCUACACUUGGCAAGCAUCAUGUGGUAGGGAAAGAUCCAUGCAUAUAUAUAUAGUUGGAUGUAGGUAAUCAUGAGUUAUUAUUGUUGACAUUAUCCUCGAGGGAAAUAAGUUGGGAGGUGAAACACUAAAAUCCCCAUCUUCCUAUGUGACUGAUUGAAACAUUUGUUUCAAAAAUAUUCCUUGAGUGUUAGCAACCAUGGAAGACUAUACGAUAGUUGAAUACGUGGUACAUGCUAAAACAAAAUCUCUUACAUAGACUCGUCCUGAAAAUAUGAUGAAUUGUAAUUAUUUCAAUGACUGAGAACAUAUAUAGUUCAUUAGUUUUCAAGAAACUUUAUGGUUUAUACUUUAACAUUGUGGACGAAUUGUUACUUGAUUAUGAGAAGCUAUAUGAUGAAUAUUUGUUGUUAUAAUAAUGAUCAUGAUGCUACCAUGUUCGUAUAUUGUUUUAUCGACACCUCUCUCUCACUCUCUAAACAUGUGGUCAUGAUUAUCAAGUUCGGCAUUCGCUUGAGGAUAAGUGAUGUCUAAGCUUGGGGGAUCAGAGUUGAUACGUCCAUUUUGCAUCAUGUUUUCCUACUGUUAUUUAUAGUGUUCUUAAUCGAUAUUUGACUUUAUGAUGCAAUUCUAAGGCCUUUUCUCUCCUAAUGUGCAAGAUUCAUAUAAAAAGGGAGAUUGCCGGCAUGGUGGAAUUUUGGACCCAAAAGAGCUGUAGCAGAGAUAGCUAUUCUCCCGAGCUACAAAUGAACUGAAAUUUUACGAAGAUUUUUAUCAAAUAAAUUUAAAAUGAUGGAACGAACAACCACCAGUUGCCCACAAGGAAAAAUGGCGCGCCUACCCCACCCCCAGGGCACGCCCUGAUGUCUUGUGGGGCCCGCAAUAGCCCUCUGGUGCCCUCCUUCUGCUAUAUAAAGCCAUUCCCUAGAAAAAAGGUAGAAGAACACUUUCGGGAUGAAGCGCCACCGUCUCGGGGUGGAACCUAGGCCGGAGCACUUUUUCUCUCUGAUGGAGCGAUUUCGCCGGGGAUGCUUCACUCCUAGGGGGGUCGAAGCCAUUGGCAUCACCAAUCUUACUCUCAUCAUGGGAGCACCAAUCUUCAUCAAGAUCUUCGUCGGCACCAUCUUCCCAAAAACCCUAGUUCAUCUCUUGUAUUCAAUCUUUGUCUCAAAACCUCAGAUUGGUACAUGUGGGUUGCUAGUAGUGUUGACUACAUCCUGUAGUUGAUACUAGUUGGUUUAUUUGGUGGAAGAGUAUAUGUUCAGACCCUUAAGCAUAUUCAAUACUGUCGUGGAAUUGUCACGUCAGAUGUCCUAGUGAAAGGACUUAGUCAUGGAGCCAUCGCAACUAGGAAGCUUAAAGGGGUUAAUCGGGACAAAGGACACGGGGUUUAUACUGGUUCGGCCCCUUACAGUGAAGGUAAAAGCCUACGAUCUAGUUUUGAGUGGGAUUGCUUAUGUCUCGAUUACCAUGGAGCGAAAUCGCUUGACCUAGCUCUCGAUUUGAUGUUACUUGCCCUGAACCGCCGCCAGGUCGUCCCUUUAUAUACAUAGGUCAACACCCAGCGGCUCACAGAGUCCCGACCGACUCAUAAACAGUGUCCGGCUCGGUCUUUAACUAUUCUUGCUUUACAAUACAAGUUAUGUACACAUGGCAGUUUAUCUCUACGGGCCUUAAGUCACCUUUGGGCUUUGGGCCUUUAACUGAACCGCCAUCUUCAAGCUUGUUUUGGGCUUCAAGAGUCCUUAUAGGUAUAACCUGGCCCCUCCUGGGCGGGUCAUACCUAAUAGUUAUAUCCCCAACAUUAGGCCCCAGAUUGAUUUGAACUGGUUCAUGUCAAUCUUCAACACUUAAGAAAAAUCUUCUACUUCUUUGCUUGUAUAAAAUUUUGUAACCCGCCAUGAUGUCAUCCUUUGGAUUUGUGGUAACCCGCCAUGACGUCAUCUGCCAUUAAUGCACAUUUUGUCCAACAUAUCUCAAUGGAUCCUUAUCUUAAUGACCAUCCCCAGAAUCGAGGCAUCCUUGUAGCUGGAUAACCAUGUUAUCGGCCUCCUUGUUUUUCGCGCCUACUUAUCAGUCUUCCCUUAUAAAUAGAUACGACCAAGGUCUUUCCUCAUUCUCCCCUUUCCUCAUAUUCUUCCUCUCGCAAUCCUACUGCCUCUCAAGCUCCGCCGCCGUCGCAGAGCACCUCGUCUUCCUCGACCUCGGCCGCUGCAUCAACCUGAGUCAAUCCAGAUAAUGGCGGCGACCCUCCGCAUUAGAUCUGCAGCUAUAAGCCUUCGCCUUCCCGCACCUCAGAUCCGCAUUAGGGUUUUCAAGUUCCUCUAUGUUCUUAAUGGUUCAUCACAGUUUAUUCGUAGUUCCUCCGCCGCAACAUCUUCUGAUCCAAAAGUAAUAUAGAACUCAUGCGGUAGUUGUUUUGCGUCCAUUUUUUAUACUAGUAGAUCCCUUUUUUCUUGUCAAGAGGCCUCAUUUGAACUCACAAACUCAUCUGUACUAGGUUUUUAGGUCUAGAAUAUUUUCUUUUUUGAACAGCCGUUUGAUCCAAAAUAAUAGCUGCAACCUGCGAAACUUGUUUAUGCAAUACUUAGGCAAAACCUGUAUUUGUUAGAUCCACCUAGUCAUGCCGACUCUUAUCACCGGCUUAAAAAGGCAAUGCUCAAUUGAUAAUCUUGACCACCCAUGGCAGUUUAGAUAACUUAGCUGCUUAUGGCGCUCAUGGCGGCUUAAAUAAUCUGACAUAAUUAGCCAUAUACCAUUAGGCCCCUUUAUAAGCCGCCAUCUUGAAUAUGCACUGUAAUGUUUUUCUCCGGCUUAAAUUUGAACCGGAAUUUUUUACUCUUUCUUAGGCUUUCAUCACAAUGCCGCCCAAACCACCCACUUCAUGCAACUGGGUCAAACCAUCAUCACAGACAGUACGUUUGAUGACAUUGUGAAGACCGGCUAUCUGCCGAAGAAGGAAGUUAUGUCACAUCAUGCUCCUGAUCCGACGGAGGAAAAGCCUCAGCCCAAAGAGGGGGAGGUCAUUGUCUUCACUGACCAUAUGAACCGGGGUUUUUCACCACCCGACUCAAAAUUCUUUAGGGACGUCCUGCACUUCUUUGACCUCCGUCCUUAAGACAUCGGACCCAAUUCCGUGUCUAAUAUUUGCAAUUUUCAAGUGUUUAGUGAGGUAUAUCUUGGAGAAGAGCCCAGCUUACUACUCUUCAGAGAGUUAGUUUACUUGAACCGCCAAAAUGAGUGUGCCAAUGGACAAAGCUUAGAACUUGGCGGUGUCUCAAUCCAACGUCGGAGAGACGUAAUUUUUCCUUAUGCCAAUCCACCAAGUCGUCCCAAAGACUGGAACCACACAUGGUUCUAUUGUCAAGACACUUCUCCAGCUGAUGAGAACCCUCUGCCCGGCUUUUGUGCUCUGCGUCUUGAGUCCAAUCAUCCGCUUCCUGACAAGAUUACACCCGCUGAACGCCAGACGCUUGCCCCUACUAUGGCUAAGAUCAAGACUCUUUUGGGGAAUGGGCUAAAUGGUAUCGACUUGGUCCGGGUUUGGCUUGCCUGGCGGAUCAUUCUGUUGAGCCGUCGCCCUGGUCUGAUGUGUACCUACACGGGCAAGAAGAAUGACACUCUAUGACACAGCUCUGAUGAUUUACCGAACCCUAUCAUUGAUGACAUGACAAAGUCACUCCUGAACGAGAGCCUAGCAGAUUAUGGAAAGGUGGGCUUAAGCCCCUUCUGUGAAGCUAACCCGGCUCCAGCGGUAAGCUGCCAACCUAAGUAAAUUACCUUUAACCUUGAUGUUUGUUUGUAGUCAACCUUUGCUGAUUUUUAGAGGCUGAUGAUAAAUUUUGGAAAGCAAAAUAUGAUCACGAGGCUGCGAAGACAGCCAGGAAGGCCAAGAGAGCCUCCAGGAAAGAAGCCGCCAAGAAGAAGGGAAAGAAGGCCAGCGCCUCUGAUUUGCUUCGACUAGAAGAUACUUCUGAGUCGGAGGUAGCCCUUGACUCUCUUGGCUCUUUUUUAACCACCUUAUUGACACUGAUUAUAAUUAGGAGGACACGGGAACAAGUCAUGGAAAGGAUGAAGAGGUAACUAUCAUUUCCUCCGACUCCGAGCCUUUGCCAAGACAGAAAAUCCGAAGAGUAACCCGGAAAGUAAAAUUUUCACAUCCCUUAGCUUAUCAAGAUCCUCAAUUUCUUUUGAAGCAACAGAUUCAUGAGAGCCAGAGGCAGACCCGGACCAGCAAGGACGCGGAACUCUCCUCCAGCUUACCCAAUACACCCAGGAAGCGCCGGAACGAGGUCACCUCCAAUUUAAAUCUCUUUUAUCCUUUGACAGGUCUCACUCGUCAACCACUCAAUUCUUCUGACUCGAAUUAUCAGGAAAUUUCACCUUCCUCCAGCGACUCAAUGCAGUCCAACUUGCCGGCAUUCAGGACCGCUCCAGGGUAAUGAUGAUUGACUUAUCCUGUAUUCAUUUCAAUUCUUUAUAUUUAUACUGAUCUUUUGACUUUAUGCAGCGAAAAAGCAAAGCCUAGAAAGAAGGUGAAGAAGAACAAGCCGGCCGAAGAGCCGAUCAUUAAAGAGCCGGAACUCCAGACGAUAGUGCCUGAGGCCUCUAUUCCUAAGCCACCACCUUAACCGGCGCAUGACACGCCCACAUCAACUACCGACCCGCCCGGUGAGCAAGUCAUCGACGGCUCUGAGAACCCUGAAGAAUCUAGCCCAGCCAAAACAGACGACCCGCAAAAUGCUGAUGUUGAGAUUACCACUACAAGAAAUAUGUCAACUAGUGACCUUCUGUUAGUGACCCUGGAAGAAUUGGUCAUAGAUCUAUGACCAUUUGAGACCAAUUGGUCAAAAGCUGUUCGGGGGGCUCCAAACCCUAAACCAUUGCGACCAGUUUCGUCAGAAAGGUCGUAAUUUCCUUACAUGAAAUGGUCAUAAAGCAAACAGUGCUGGUCCGCUGCCUUAUUUCUAGUUGUUAACGACCAAUAUAGAUGGUCAUAGCGUUGUAGAUUGUGGUGGGUUGUGAUGACUAGGCGCCAUCGCAUCAAUGUUGCCUAUGUGUCAUGUCCAUGUGUCAAUUUUUGCCCUAGGUUGUGAAGCAACCUAUAUUUCUGUUAUUCCAAAAAUUCCCAAAAAAAUCUCAUAAAUUUUUUGGAUCAUAUCUUCAUCAAAUAUGUCAAAAACAUUCCUUUCCUAGUUCAAAAAUAACUCAACAAUAUUCAUUUUCCUAUUCUGUUCAGAGCAGCACUUUGUGAAGGAAGUACCACUUUGGCAUGUCCAAAUAGUAUCCAUUUUCUACAGUGCUUUCCUAUGCCCAAAUAACCAUCCUCCACCAAAUGCCAGCUCAAUACAUUCAUUAUUUUGAGCCCAGCUUCAACAUUCGUAUUUAUGUCUAGUGUGGUACUUUGCAAAGCAAGUGCCACCUAGGCUCCUCCUUUUGAGGUGAAAAUUUGUGAAGAAGGUCUUCUUAGUAACUGAUCGUCCUCAGCGAAAACUCAUGCCCAUUAGCCAUGUGCAUUUCCCAUACCGCAAAUCAAACACUUGGCUGCUUCUUCAUGUUUAAGCAUCGAUCGGUCUCCUCGUGAGAAUCUUAUGUUGUGAUUUUGUUCCUAGCACCUACCUGGGGAGUGCCCAACCCACUAGACAUGCCUAGGCUGCCCAGAAGACAAGGCAACGCCAUGCUCACGCGGUGACCACGCGACGGGCAUGCGAGUUUACGCGCUCUAGAGUUGGAGCCCUCAGCCACUGUCCAAACCUCGACGUAUCGCCAUCAAACCAUGUAUUUAUGAUUAAAUAGGUACUUAUGUAACUAUAAAUGAUUUUUGGAAAAAAUAAAUAGCAAACUAUGAGGCAGCUGCAGUUCAAAUUUGACCCGCUUUUUGCUGAAUCGGCGGAAAUUUGUCUUUUUCACGAGAGGUGGAUCAAAGCUUUUCACACCCAACCAUUUGGUCAAUUGUGCAUUAAAUAUGUCCUAGUAUUUUAGAAAAUUGAUUAGGUCCAAUUUUGCAACAAAUAUAUGGUAGGUCCUUCACAAAAAAAACUCAUUUUGGGCACUCGGAAAAUGGAAAAUGAAUUCUCCGUGCAAAGAAAAUGAAAACUCUCUUAGGCAACAUUGUUUGGAAUUCCAAGAUACACCCUUUUGCACAAUAUGAGAUCAUUUGAACAAACUAUGCCAUGAAUGUGGCCAUAAGAUUGAUCAUUUGGCUUGAAAGUCAUGAAUAUUCACACAUGAUAGCUCGUCUCUGAGAACACUUUUUUAAAAUAAUUGCCGUAUUACAAGUUUAUUAUUUUUCCUGGGAACUUGGUCACAUAUAAUGACACAAUGCGAAGGUUUUCCAAUUCUUUGAUUUUUUUUGAAUUUUUUAUGCCCAUUUCAAAAUGCGGUCAAAACAGCGGGCUUGACAGUUCCUCUAGUUGUUGAAUAUUGGUAUUUUUUUGAUGUUUCUCUGAUUAAAUAGAUACUUAUGUACCUAGAAAUGAUUUUUGGAAAAAAUAAAGAGCAAACUAUGAGGCAACUGCAGUUCAAAUUUGACCCGCUUUUAGCUGAACCGAUGGAAAUUUGCCUUUUUCACGAGAGGUGGAUCAAGGCUUUUCACACCCAACAAUUUGGUCAAUUGUGCAUUAAAUAUGGCCUAGUAUUUUAGAAAAUUUAUUAGGUCCAAUUUUGCAACAAAUAUAUGGUAGGUCCUUCACAAAAAAACUCAUUUCGGGCAAUCAGAAAAUGAAAAAUGAAUUUUCCGUGCAAAGAAAAUGAAAACUCUCUUAGGCAACAUUGUUUGGAAUUCCAAGAUGCACCCUUGUGCACAAUAUGAGAUCAUUUUAACAAACUAUGCCAUGAAUAUGGCCAUAAGAUUUAUCAUUUGGCUUGAAAGUCAUGAAUCUUCACGCAUGAUAGCUCGUUUCUGAGAACACUUUUUUAAAAUAAUUGCCGUAUUACAAGUUUAUUAUUUUUCCUGGGAACUUGGUCACAUAUAAUGACACAAUGCGAAGGUUUUCCAAUUUUUUGAUUUUUUUUUGAAUUUUUUAUGUCUGUUUCAAAAUGCGGUCAAAACGGCGGGCUUGACCGUUCCUAGCUAGUGGUUGAAUAUUGGAAAACUUUUGAUGUUUCUCUGAUUAAAUAUAUACUUAUCUACCUCGAAAUGAUUUUUGGAAAAAAUAAAUAGCAAACUAUGAGGCAGCUGCAGUUCAAAUUUGACCCGCUUCCAACUGAAUCGGUGGAAAUUUUUCUUUUUCACUAGAGGUGGAUCGAAGCUUUUCACACCCAACCAUUUGGUCAAUUGUGCAUUAAAUAUGGCCUAGUAUUUUGUAAAAUUGAUUAGGUCCAAUUUUGCAACAAAUAUAUGGUAGGUCCUUCACAAAAAAACUCAUUUCGGGCACUUGGAAAAUGGAAAUGAAUUUUCCGUGCAAAGAAAAUGAACACUCCCUUAGGCAACAUUGUUUGGAAUUCCAAGAUGCACCCUGGUGCACAAUAUGAGAUCAUUUGAACAAACUAUCCCAUGAAUGUGGCCAUAAGAUUGAUCAUUUGGCUUGAAAGCCAUUGAUCUCCACACGUGAUAGCUCGUUUCUGAGAACACUUUUUUUAAAAUAAUUGUCGUAUUACAUGUUUAUUAUUUUUCCUGGGAACUUGGCCACAUAUAAUGACACAAUGCGAACGUUUCCCAAUUUUUUGAUUAUUUUUUGAAUUUUUUAUGCCCAUUUCAAUAUGCGGUCAAAAUGGUGGGAAUGGCCGUUCCUAGCUAGUGGUUGAAUCUUGGAUUUUUUUGGUGUUUCUCUGAUUAAUACUUAUGUACCUAGAAAUGAUUUUUGGAAAAAAUAAAGAGCAAACUACAACGCAGCUACAGUUCAAAUUUGACCCGCUUCCAGCUGAAUCGGCGGGAAUUUGUCUUUUUCAUGAGAGGUUGAUCAAAUCUUUUGACACCCAACCAUUUGGUUAAUUAUACAUUUAAUAUGGCCUAAGAUUUUGUAAAAUUGAUCUGGUCCAAAUUUUCAACAAAAAUUUGGUAGGUUCUUCACAAAAAACUCAUUUUGAACACUUGAAAAAUUGACGAGAGGUGGACGAAAAACUUUUAAGAGGGAACCAUUUGGUCAAUUUGUACAUAAAACACGGCCGAAUAUUUUUGAAAAUUGUUGUGGUCCAAUUUUAUAACUAAUAUUUGAUAGGUUCUUCACAUAGGUGAAAACAAAGAAAAGAAACAAAAAGAAAAAACACAUAUACACUAGUUUAAUUUUCAUUGAUGGAGAUGUUUGUGCCAUGGAUUGAUGACAUGGCACACAUCCAUCCAUCCAUCCAUCCACCCACCCGCAGCCCAAACCCUAACUCCACUCCUCCCGUCCCCUCUCCCCUGAUUCAGAUCCAGUCCUCGCCGCCGCCACCGCCGCCCGCGCCCGCACCCGCACCCUCUCGCUAAACCCUAGCCCCCGCCGCCCCGCCCCCGCACCAUGGCCAUCGACGGCGAGGAGCCCAAGUCCCCACGCCUCCCCGCCCUCAAGUGGCUCUCCCGCCACGGCCACAUUGGGCCUUCCGGAUCCGUGCUGUUGUAGAGCUGGAUCCGCGCCUCCUCGCGCGGCCGCCUUCUCCACACCAACGCCGUCGCCUCCCCAGCAGUGGAUCCACACCCACUCCAAUAGCAGCUCAGGCCGCCGUCAGAUCCACCCUCCUCCCACUGGCCAGAAACCCUAGCCGCCCGUCCAUGGCGACCCACCGCGGCACUCCAAGACAUCCAUGAUGGCUUUAUGGUCUAGUAUGAAUCCCUCCUCCUCUUCUUCUUCUCCUCUUCCUCUCUCUCUCUAUCUCACCCUGUCUCUGUCUCUGUCUCUAUUUCUGCAGGUAGGAUAAGAGGAACGGUGACCAGCAACGGCCAUGGCGACCCACCGCAGCCCAAGACCUCGACGACGGUCGGUGCUACGGUAGGAAUCCCUCCUCCCCUUGUCUUCUUCUACUUGUCCUUUUCUCUCCGUCUCUCCCUGACCCCCUCUUCCCUUCUCUUCUCUUCUCUGUAGGUGAGGCACAUCAGCCAGCGUCAGCAAGACGAGGAGAGCAUCCUCCUUCUCCUGCCAGUGCCAUGGAAUAGAAGGUCUGCUCCAUCUCUCUAUUGCCUUUGGUUUAGAAAACCCGCAAAUUCUCCCUGAUUGGUUAAUCAUGUAUGCAUGCCCUUCAUGUUUGAUUAGUACAUGCAUGUUUCACCCGUCAUGUAUGGAUAGAUUGCUGCUUGUUAGGCACGAUGGUACAUGGACAUGGUUUGGUCACAUGGAAAUUGGGAUGGGGAUUUGGGUAGGCAGGUUGGAUCAGUGGGGAUUUGGUCACAUGGAUCCUGGGAGCAUUGGAUGCGGUCGAGUUGUUCUGUGUCAUCAUUUUGAGCUCCAGACUAAUAUCAGUGGAGAUAAAUAUUGGGUAGUUUUCUUAGGACUGUAGCUGACACAUGUCUGCAAUUUUGGUGUUAGUUUUGUUAGGAUUGUAGCCAUUUGCACAUGUCUACAAUUUUGUUGUUUGUUACAUGCAAGGAUGUGAACAUGUGGCAAAAGUGGUUCAGUUUUGCUCUCAGUUAAUUUCACAUCUGCAAGUCUGUAAUUUAAAGUCAGUCUUGCAACCCUUGGUAGUAUGUCAGUCCCUGCUUGUAAUUAGUAUAUCCUUAGAUAAGGGUUACAAUGAGGUUCAGUUAAUGCCCCCCUUCAACUUGAUUGAUAAUACUGCCAUACAAUCUGAACUAGCUGGGCUCUUUUGCACAAUUAAGGUACUCAUCAUUGUAAUCAUGAACAUAAAUUAUAAUAUGCAUUGGUGAUCAGCUUGUUUUAUCUCAGUUGUGAGGCGAUUGAAUUUAAGUGACUGCCAACUUGUUCCUUUUUCACUUGGUAUCUAGUUCCUGGUAACUUGAAGAUGUAUUGAGAUCAUGUGUCCCUUUAACAUUUCGUACGAUUAUAUAGGUUAUUGAUAUUACAACUGUCCAGGCCUGAAUUUACUUGGGAGUACAUAUUCCAAAGACUUGAAGCAAAUGCCAAUCUUGUAAUGCUACUAUAUAGUGUGAAAAAUAUGAUUUCAGGUUCCUUGUUUAUAUUAUCCUAAUUUCAGAAGACUUACUUUUGUACUUUUGCAGAUGAUGACCCUCUCCCUUGCUGCAUUAGGAUCCUUGAUGUGGCUGAGGAAGAACAAACCUAGGACUUUAAUUCCAAUAAUUUAUGCACGUGCUCUGCUUCUGGCAACAAUGCCGUCUAUUACCAGGUAAUCCCGUUUCUAUAAUACUGCAGUAAUCCUCAAAAAGAAUAAUUGUCAUGCUCCAAAAUAUGUUGAUGUUCUUAUACUGCUAGAUGUUGGCAAAUUGUGUCAAUCUAUGUACAUUGGCUUAAUUCCUACCUCCUACACUUGCUCAAUACGGAUCUGAGAAAAAUAUAUCUGCAACCUGUGGUGUGUGCAGCAGCACUUGAAUGCAUAUAUUAAGUAUGUACCCUGGAUAGCAGUAGUACUUUAGUACUACUCCAGUAGCAUUUGUUGUUUUCGUUGUCAUAUGACUCUACUCUCUGCUGUUGUUGGUGUCAAACUGAUGCUAUGAACCCAGCAGCUCAUAUGACUCUAUUGUUGUUCUUGACCUGCUCUUGCUGCUAUUGUAGGAGGAGCACGCCUAGGAGAAGAGAGGGCUCAUUCCACUUGUUUGGAAGAAAAUACGAUGAAGCAUGGUGGUUAUCUGGAUAAUCUGCCUUGUGUUUUGGCUGUACUUUGUACCUAGUUAUAUUGUAUUCUGUAGUAGUCAGCACAUUCUGGAGCAGAAUCCAGUGAAGUUGUAAAACUGUAAUAGUUCUGUUUCAUUUGAAAUAUUUGUCAUUUGUGUACUGUGAGAAAUGUGAGAAAUGGAAGCUGAUGAGUUGUUUGAUAAAAAGCUAUGUGGCUCCACUGCCAGGAAAAAUCUGACAAUUGGGACCCAUCUAAAAACUGGACCACAAAAAACCCUCGAAAAUAAAAAUGAAAUGGACCGCAAAAGUCCAUGCCUAGAAAAUAAAAAGGCCAAAUUGUUGGGCCAGGCCCAUGUAGCUAGAGAAAAUUAAUAGAGAAAAUAUACAGUAAAAAGGCCGAACUGUUGGGCUAGGCCCAUGUAGAAAACCGAAUUGGACUGGGCUGAAUCUUGUGCCACAUCAGCUUGCCACGCUGGAUGCCUACGUGGCCUGUGGAGGUUGCUAGUGACCAAAACGCCACAGUGGACAUAUUUUGGUCAGUUAACGACGGCCAGCUUUUGACCUGAUGUUUUUGGUCACAAAAAGGUCACAAAUUGAAAACAGUGACCAUUCAGUGACCAAUAGUGGUGGUCACAAGUUGACAUAUUUCUUGUAGUGUACAAGAACCAGAUUUGCUAAGCCGGGGAGACCAACUGUGCUAGCCAAGUGCUCUGCCAAGGAAGAGCACUUGGAACACCGUAAGGUCAGAUUUGACCUUGCUGAUUAUACUCACAUGAGCAUUGGGGAAGUCUUUUCUGGCUAUCUUAGCCAAGUGCACAGCAGUCGUGAUGUCGAAGUUGACAUGGUGAAGCAAAUGCACCAGAAAUUUGAGGUAUAAAUUCUUCCCUUCACUGAAUUAUCCUUGCUUAUGCCAGCCCCCAAGUCUGUUGCUUAUGAUGAAUAUGUUGUAGACUUAGAAACAAACUGAUGAACAUUAAUGAUAUAUUUGGACAAAACAUGUAAAAAAUCUGGCUUACUCCAUAGUCCCCAAGGGCUGGUUUAAGCAGCAUGUUUGAGCCAGUCCAUCAUAUGCUGAUAUAGAAUAAAAAUACUUUAACAGCAAUAUGCAUUAGCUCCCAAGUGCCAAGUACUCUUGCUUGCAAAGUGCUUGGGACUUACUCUCAUGAACCGCCACAUAGGUAAAAUUCUUCGGUAGGCAGUAGCCCCCAAGUGCCAAGCGUUGUUGCUUGCAAAAGGCUUGGGACUUAAUAUUGUAUGCUAACUGUCAUGAUUUUGACCCAGUAUUUGUGCAGGCCACCACCACUCAACUUCAAUCAGAAGUGUCUGACUUGAAGAACCGCUUGGAAGCACAGGAGACUGAGACUCGACGAGCCAACUCCAAAUUUGAAUUAAGUGUAUCUAAACAAGAAAAACUGAAAAAAGACAUUGAAGUGGAGAAGAAGGCCUGGGCUGAAGAGAAGAUCGCAUUAACCAAUUGGGCUAAGAAAACAGAAACAGGUCUUGAAGAGAUGACAGCCGAACUAUCCGGCUUAAAACGCCAUGUAUCUCAGAUGGUCUCAGCAAUCUUCAGUAAGUGCCCUACUAGUGUCGAAUAUUUGAAUCUUUCCAGUGAUCAUAUGAAUUAGCAUUAACUCACCUAAUAUUACUAUGCAGGCCCCAGGAGCACAAAUCUUAACCAAGAUAUGUUGAUAAGCUGAAGGCGGUUUAUACGUUGGUGGAACAACUGUACACCGGAUCUCAACGUGCCUUAGCCACAGUGGCCCUGUCAAAUGAAGUUCCCACACUCCCAGUGGAUGUGCUAAGGAAGCUUUCGGUGCUGCCUUAGCGAUUCAAUGAGUUAAGGCGGUCGUCUGCAAGAGCCGGAGCCGUGGCUGCAUUAAGCCGGGCCAAAGCUUGGCUUCCAGAAUUAGACCCGGCCGACAUCGCCAUUGGGUAUCCAAGCCUUAAGGAGGAUGGCACGCCAUUUGAAUAGGAUUGCUUUACCGCUUGUGCGAAGGAAAUACGUCCUGUGGCCACCCUGAUUGCUAAUGAGGCGGAUCUCACCACGUAUCAGCCGGGUUAUGACGCGGAGAACUGGAGAAUACCAACGCCACAUUAUAAAGGACCAGCCUGAUCCCACCAAUUCGUAAGCAUACCUUCGCCCCUAAGGUUGAUCCGGCCGGAUUAGUUGAUGAUGAAGCUGAAUUUGAAGCUUUGAAUGGCAUUGAAUGGUCAUCAUCAACCUUCCAGGACAGGGAACAGGAAGAAGAAGCGGAGAGGGCUGACUUGGAGGCUUCAGGCCAACCAGAAAAUUAAUCCGUCACGCGGCUCAUCUUUCUAACCUGCUAAAAAACAAUUUAAUCAUUUGGACUCGAGGAGUCAUGUAACAGGGUAGAAAUGACUUUGCUUUGUUGUGCCAUUGUGCACGUUUUUGUGCCCAACAUUGUUAAGCCAUCAUCUAAUAUUCACCCCUUUUUAUACUUAUCAUCUGUUUUCCUUAUGUUUAAGAAAGUCUUUGACCUACCCUGCACAUAGAAAUAGAUCACAAGAACAAACCCUUGGCGGCUUACUGUGAGGCAGGUCAUAAUAUCUUUAUAUAUAACCUCUAAUAUAGGACAAAGAGUCACAGAUAAGCCUGUUGUGAAAUAUAGCUUUGAAACACAACUAUAAUAUCAUACCUGUGAUUGUUGAACUUGUACUGCCGGUUUAUAUGACCUGAACAGUAAGGGUGAUAAACCAAUACUUAGAAGCCAAUACUUCCAAAUGUAUGAUGAUUAUCAUAUGUUGGCGACUUAUCGUCCAAAACCAAGCCGGGUUAAAUUUAAACCACACUUAUACUUAGAUCUGAACAAAAAAGUGUCAAGACAAAAACAAAGUUCGCUUUCAAACAAAAUUUAAGCCAAAUAGAAAGAACAAAUCAAGGCUUAUGAUUCUAAUAUGAUCAGCAAAGUGUUCCAAAGGGGUUAAGUUAGGAUUCGAAUACGAUCAUGUAGCCCCCAGUGGCUUUGGCGUUGCACCGAUCAAGAGGGUACCGAGUGCUAUGUUCUCUUUGGUUCGAAUACGACCUAUGUUUGAACAGUAAGCCCCCAAAUGACCUUGAGAGUUUUUAACGACUCUGAUUCGAAUACGAUCAAAGUCAGACCCAAAAGGGGUUAAGCUAUGAUUCUAAUACGAUCAAGAAGACCCCUAGUGAGUUUGGCAUUGUGCCGAUCAAUAGGGUACCGACAGCUAUGUUUUUUUGGUCCGAAUACGACCUAUAUUUGAACAGCAAGCCCCCUAAUGAUCAUGAUGUUUAGCAGCUAGAUUCGAAUACGAUCAUCAGCCGAACCAAGCGGGUUAAGCUCGAUUCGAAUACGAUCAGCCCCCAAUUGGUCAUUUGAAAGGACAAUGAUGAAGACAUAUGAUCAUUGAGGAUGAAAAGGACAGAGGUCCUACUUUAUUACUUAUCAUAAUAUAUACAUCGUCAAAAUAAGUACAUCAUGAGAGCCGGUGGCUCACCAUGUAGCAAGGCUGCAGAUGAGCGAUAUUCCACGGCAGGCGGGUCUCCUCCUCCGACUUACGUGAGUCUUUGUGCUCCCGAGCAUUGAUAAGGUAGUAUGACCCGUUGUUUAAGUUCUUGCUGACCACAAAGGGCCCUUCCCACGGUGGGGAUAACUUGUGUGCAUCAGUUUGAUCCUGGAUGAGCCAGAGCACCAAAUCACCUUCUUGAAAGGUUCUGGACUUAACCCGGCGGCUGUGAUAACGGCACAGGUCUUGCUGAUAAAUCGCCGAGCGAGCUGCUGCCAAGUUAGGAUUUUCAUCUAACAGGUCAAGUGCAUCCUGACGCGCUUGUUCAUUGUCUGCCUCCACAUAAGCCCCCACGCGGGGCGAGUCAUGAUGGAUGUCACUGGGGAGAACUGCCUCGGCUCCAUAAACCAUGAAAAAAGGCAUAUAACCCGUAGACCUAUUAGGAGUAGUAUUGAUGCUCCAUAUCACAGAGGGUAACUCCUCAACCCAAUAACCCGGCGUCCAUUACAAGGGAACCAACAGCCGGGGCUUGAUGUCUUUCAAGAUUUCCUGAUUGGCUCUUUCAGCUUGACCAUUGGACUGGGGAUGAGCCACUGAUGAAACAUCAAGCCGAAUAUGCUCACGUUGACAAAACUCUUCCAUGGCGCCUUUAGACAGAUUAGUACCAUUGUCAGUUAUAAUGUUGUGUGGAAAACCAAUGUCACAGCCCCAGUUCAGGCCUUCCUUGUCUUUGCAUUAGUAUCCAUGCAUCAUGUUUAAAUUUUAUGAAACUUGAAAUGGGGAUGCUUAAACCCUAGCACCAAAUGAAUUCAACUAGGGUCAAAAUAAAAUCUUUUUCAUUGAACUCAAAAUGCCCUCUAAAAAUGUUCAACAUUUCUAGUUUGAGGUGGAAGCAUCUACCAAAAAUGGUUUAUAUUUUUGCAGGACAUAUUGGGCUCUAAAUUAAAUCAAACAGUAUUUGUACUUGGACAUUUAAAUGCUAUAAAUUAUUUUAAAUGUCCAAAUAAUCAUGAACUGAAAUGAUGGCUGUUGGAAAUAUUCCAAACAGUGCUCUCAAGCAGUUACAUGAUUUUUGAAUAGGUUCUGGUAUUUUUAUUAAAGCCAAACAUCUGCAAAAAAAUAGAAAACAGAAAAUAAAAGAGAGAGUGAGAGAGAGAAGGACUACCUGGCGCUCACCUGGCAGCCCACCUACCUGGCCUUCUACUGUAGCAGCCCAGCCCACCACCGCAGCCAUCCCUGUCGCCUUCCUCCUCGUGCCAGUAGGCAGAGGAGGGACACCGCGACGCCGCCGAGCUCGCCACGCCACCACCCUGCCUGGCUGCCUCCUCCUCUCCCUGGACGUCUCCCGCAGCUCCACGCCACCCCCUGGAACCCCCUCGCACUCUCCCUCAUCCCCAACUCCUCCUCUGUCCCUCUCUCCCGCGAUCGCCGUGACCGCUCGAGAACGCCGACGAGCACCCCCGUGACCACCAGCCACCCCUCGCCCUGCCACUACGCCCAGAAGCUCCGCCUCGACCUCCUCUUCCUCCCCACCGAUCCACGCCCCUCCAGAAGCCCUGCAGCGUCGUCCUCAAGCUCAUCUUCAACCUUCGGCCACCAUCAACCUCAUCGUCGAUUCGCCGCCGUCCGUGCUUCCCCGAGCCCACUUCGACGCCCCCUACAACCGUAGUGAGCCACUACGCCGAACCCCUCUCUCCCCGUUCUUUAUUUCCCUCCGUAGCCACCGUUUCCACCCCACCCGAGAGCUUCUCGCCGCCGGCCAUGGCGUAGCCGUGGCCACAGCCACUGCAGCUCGUUCCCGAGCGCGUCACCGUGCUCAGCACAUCGCCAGGAGGCCGUAGCACCCAGCCGUUCGCCCCGUUGUGCCCCACAGCACCAUUCCCAACUUCGCCUAAAAUCCGGCCGCCGCCUUGGAGCUCGCCGUCGUUGGCUCCGGCCACGAUAGACCCGACCUCCACCACCACUAGAUGCGCGCCUGCUAGAGCUCUCCAACAAGCCCAAGAACGGCCUCGCCCGUGCCCCGUAGCGCGUUUCCGACGGCCGCCACCGUCUCGGGCCUCGCCGGCGUCGAGUCGCCGGCGGGAUUGACCCUGCUGACCAGGGGUUUGACCCCACUAACCCAGGAUUUGACCCUGUUUGACUUUCCCAGGGUCAAUGACAGGUGGGGCCCAGCCCCGCUAAUUAACUAGGAUUAGUACCAAAUAAAUUUAGUUAAGCUAAUCACACUGACAUGCGGGACCCACUGUCAGGUUUGACUGGAUCGUGACCUGUUGACUUGCUGACAUCACACUGACGUCAGGCUGACGCAGUAAAUCAUUUACUGGAUUUAUUCUUUUAGGAAAUUCCAGAAAAUACCACAAACUUCUAAAAUUCAUAGAAAAUCAACCGUAACUCCAAAUCAAAUAAAUUAUAUAUGAAAAAUGAUCAGAAAAAUCCAAUCUAUCAAUCUGUACCAUUUUCAUGCAUGUUAGAACAACUUAUAGCUUCUGUUUAGCACAAAUCAUAUUAAUGGCAUUUGAAUUUCACAUAUGGAGUUUGGUUUUGAACUUAGGGUUCAAACCAACUUCAUUUAACUUUGUUGCUAGCUGCAUUAGCUCAAAUCAAUAGCAUAUUGCCAUGUCACAUUCAUGCAUCAUAUUGCUGCAUUGCAUUGAUUGUGUUCUUCCUUGUUUGCCGGUGUUUGUCCCCUCUCAAUAGACGUGGUUCCGACGAUGAGAUCGAUGACACCGAUGAAGAGCUAUUUUAUCUUCAGAAGUGCCAGGCAAGAAAAACCCCCUUGUUCAUUCCGAUAAAAUCCCACUCUCUCGCUCCUGCUCUAUUUUACUACAUUAGGACAACAAUGAUACAACUGUUAUUUGCUGCGGUAGUUGAACCCCUUUAUCCUUUGCAUGACCUGUCAUUGCCACAGUAAAUAGAUGAAACCCACUAGCAUGAGUAGGAGUUGUUUGAGCCCUGAUGUGCCUACUCAUUCAUGCUUGUUUGUUCAUGCCUGCUAUUUCUUAGAGUUGUGUCAGGUCUGAUUCAUCGGGGAUGAAUCGGAGGUGUGUGAACAUGUCCUACUGUUGAGAGCUAAGUGUGUGAACACGAUUUGGUAAAGGUAGCGGUGAGAGGCCAUGUAGGAGUACAUGGUGGGUUGUCUCAUUGCAGCCGUCCUCAGGAACUGAGUUCUGUGUUUGUGAUCCAUGAACAGCUACUACCACUCAUUGGGAUCCUUAAUUGACCCUCUCGGCUUCUUAAUCACCCUUGUUCUCUGUCCAGGAGUUGCAACUAGUUUCUGGUGUUUGUAGGUAGUGUUAGUAGUCUACCAAGUGGCACCCGGUACAGGUGGGCUUGGGACAGACUAGGCACAGUGGCCCGGCGUACCAAGUGGCACCCGGAUGGUGGACUUGGGAACCCUGCACACAUCGUUUGGGGCCGUGAGCGACACCCCGGCCGGAUCUCCUUGCGGAUGGAACCCGAAUAGGCGAUAAACCUGGACGAGAGACUUGAGUGGUUAGGUAGGCCGUGGCCGACACCCUCGCUGGGCUUCUGCUUGAAGGUUGCCGAGUACAUGUCGUGUAAACGGCGGUAAGUGGUGAGAGCGUGUGUGAAGAAGUACACCCCUGCAGGGUUAAUAUGAUCUAUUCGAAUAGCCGUGUCCGCGGUAAAGGACUUCUGGGUUGCCUGUACAGUUCAUAGACAAGUGAAAGUGGAUACUCCAAAAUACGCAAGAUAGUGUGAGUGCUAUGGAUGGCGUUCUCGUAGGGAGACGGGAGCGGAUCCAUAGUGGUGUAUUGAUAUGGUGAAUAUGUGGACUCGUGUGCGCCACCUCAACAGAGUUACUUGCAGUCGUAGUUCAGGUUAGCCACCGAGUCAAAGCUGGCUUGCUGCAGUUAAACUCCACCACCCCCUUUGUUGAUAAUGAUGCAUAUGUAGUUAGAUCUGAUGUAAGUCUUGCCGGGUACAUUUGUACUCACAUUGCUUAAUUUAUGUUUUUGCAGAGAGACUUCAGUCUCGCUAGUAGUACCGCGUGGACUUCGACGUUUAGCUUGUUACCUCGGCUACGAUCUUGUGCCCUCGGCAGGAUCUGAUAGACAGUCAGGCUUCUCAGCCUUUUUCUUGUGCAUUCCACUAAAUUUAAGAACUUAUCUUUGCAGAAAUAAGCAGACCACAAUGCCUCUUGUCUGCGCACCUGUCCAAAAACCCGCCGUGCAGCCGUGCCAGCUAGUCCUCGGUCCAUGGAUGAACUGGUAGAAAGUGCAUUCUGGACUAGGAUGCAGUUGUUUUCGCUCGUCCCUGCACUGCAAUCAGGAAGUAAAAUGUACGAAUCAGCUUCUUUUAGAUUGCGUUGGUUAUUCUACCUUAGUUACUACCAAUGUAGGAAUACCUUGAAGAUGGGAGGCUAGACGACGGCUACGAGGUAUAGCCAUCUCAUUUUGCGCAGUUGUACUAAAACUAAGGUUAACAACAGCAUCCCUGUUUGCGAAAAUGGGAGGUGCUUUUCGAAGAUGGGAGGUGCUUUUGAUUGCGCGGAUAGAAACGAUACAGAGACAGACAUCCCUGUUUGCGAAAAUAUGAAAUAUGGUUAUUUAAACAGUGACAGAUAUUUGCAGUGGUGUAUGAUUAACAACAGCAUCUAUUGUGUUAUAAUUGGCACUAGAUUGACGGUAUGAAGAGUCCUUAAGUAAGUAGCAUCACAUCACAUCGACAAUGCCACUAGAUUAACAUGCAGAACAAUAGCAUUAGUAUUACUGUCAUGAGAGUAGCACAUGGUCAGUAAAUGUGCAAUCAAAUUUGUGCAGUUCCACUGGGAUGAAGCAAUGUUAGCGGUGUGAGAUUUAAGUGUAACUGCAAAAACACAAUUCAUGGGAAAUAAAGCAAGACGGAAGCACUUCAUAAAAUGGUGGUGGCAUUGCUUCAAUUUAUCGACGGUACUAGACCAUUACUUAUAGUGACAUUAGGUGGCAUUGCUUAAUGCUUCAUGUGAUUUUACAUUAACGGUAGCGAUAUGGGCGUAGGGACAGCAGGUAUCUGCUACUUUCCCCCGUUUCCUGUUCGAACCAAGUCCUAGAUUCAUGCUACAACUUUCCCACUUUCUUCCCUAUUUGAACCAACGUUUAGAGUUGACUGUAUGAACUAGCUUUACCUCUAAUAAUAGUAGAAGUCUAGGUGGCUUUGGAACAGCGGACGGAAGUAGAAAAGGAUCCACACAAAUGGAGCUGGGGCAGUAGAGCAAGGCAGGUUUCGAAGGAAUAUAUACCUGAGGGUCGUCGGCAUGUUGCAAAGACGGUGUCGGGAGGCCGCAUCUUGGCCACAAUACCGCAUGGAGGAAGAAGGGGUCGGAGGCCCUCCCGAAUCGGCGCUCUCUCAGAGAGAAAGGCAUGGCCGCCGAUCGGGACACGCGGGCAGCCGUUGGUCUCCUCCCUCGGCACCGAUGACAGCGUGAAUGAUGCACCUACAGCCCUGCCUCGGUCGAGGUUGUCCGGCCGGAUUUGUGACCAGCCGUGAGCUGAGAGAGAGAGAGUGUGUCCACCUAUGUCUUGCUUAGAUCUAGAGAGCAUGAGAGAGUGAACGAGAGGAACCCUAGUAAAGCAAGCGCUAAGGCUCCUGCUUUUAUAUAUAGUGGAGUGAUUUUGUUGUACCAGCUUCAAAAAAUGCGCUCCUACGUGUACCCGCGAGUGGGUGUGAGAGAACUAGUGCAUGCGUGCACCGCUUCUCUUCGUGAGAGUACAAUAUACUAUGCCCAAAGAACGUUCGCCGCAACAGUAAUAGUAUAACUGUGUGACGUGUGAGCUAAAAUAAAAUGUGCACGACGUCUUUUGUUUUUUAGAAGUUCUGAGGGUGGGGUGUGAAGAGCACAUAUGUGCAUGACGUCUACCUGCAGAUAGACGGUGGGUGCGACGUGCGAGGCUGCAAGAGGACUCAGGAGAGUCAUGACUCGUGAGGGUGCGUGUGUGUGAGAGAGAGGGGGGCACGUAUCAAUGCACUCCAUGUGUCCGUAAAUCAUUAUCCGACAAACGUUCGCCACAAGACUUUUCCUGAUGAACACCGUAAGAACCGUAAGAUCGGCAUCCGACAGUGUCAGUUUUGCCAUGUCAUUUAAUAGAACAACCACUCCUCCUACACACAAAUCUUCCACGUGAGUGUUAGCAACUGCCGUAUGCUCCCUCCGUUCUGAAAUGCAGUGCAUAUAGCUUUAUUGAAAAUUCGAACCUCGCAAACUUUUACCGAGUUUCCGUGUAACAAAUUGCACAUGUAGAAUACCUUGUAUAUAUCAUUUCAUUCAUCUUCGAGAGGUAACUAUAAAGAUGGGUGAGGAGUCUACAAAGAAAUACCAUCGUAUCACCCGCGGCAAUUUCAACCAUCCUUUAGUGUCGAGGAAUAUCAUAGGAACUCUAUAUGAUAUGAUUUUUAUAGGAUUUUUUCCUUUAGAGCCAAUUGGUUCAUAGGAAUAGAUUCAUAUACUCCACAUUUCAAAGGAAAUAAACAUGAUAUCAUUUCUAUAGCUUUAGAGCCACUUGGUUCAUAUAAAUGGAUUCCUAUACUCCCUUAAUUUCAAAGGAAAAUAAACAUUAGUGUAUAUUCAAUACAAAAGUUCCUAUGAUAUGAACCAAAUUACAUCUCUUUUCUAAUCCCUCCUCAUAGGAAUUGAGAUACAUGUCAUCUCUAGAUACAAUAGAAAAGUUCCUAUGAUGUGAACCAAAUGACAUCUCUUUUCCAAUCCCUACUCAUAGGAAUUGAGAUGCUCCAUGUCAUCUCUUUCCCUACAACUUCCAUGUAUACAUCUUCUAUUCCUAAAUAGAUACUACAACCCACUAGUAGCUUUUUUCCAAAACAUGCAACUAUGGCACAAGAACUAUAUAGUGUGCCAACAACUUUGAAAGAUGGUCGCUGGAUGAAGCUAAUCCAACAGUGCAGAGAUAGACUAAUUCGAGCACUACUGGCCAUUGGAUAUCAUCAACAUUCCACCAGAUCUGCCACAUGUACAAUUUAGAAGACUCCAUGGUUGAACUUAAGCAUAAUGCACAAACCUCAAAACACAAGCACUUCUCCUUUGUUCUAGAAUCUUCUGUAUCAUAAUUGAUUAUUUUUUCUAAAUUAAUUGCCAUUAUUUGUUUUUUACUUUAUGAUUUACAAUGCACAACCCCAUGAAUCUUAACAUUUUUAUGAAACUAAUUGAUUUUGAAUGAGAUGAACUAUAAGAACUAAACGAACAUCUACAUCAUGCAUAUAUGACUCAAAGCUUUAUAUGCUAUAGUGUGUAUUUAUUCAUAAUUUGGUUUCGAAGUCUCAUGCAUUCAAUACAUGUGUACCUUACUAGUUUUGAGUAGAGUAGCAAAUUUCACGCGGCCCUGGGUAUAUCAAAGUGCAGGGCCCAUGCAUCAUUGCCUUUCGGUCGAACCUACAUCCACAAUUUUUUGUACGUACUAUAUCUCCACUGGUCCCCGAACCCAAAAUGCUGCCUCGUUCCCGUAAAACCAACGGCCCACACAUAUUUAAGGCGUCAACUCGAACAUGUUUACUAUGACAUGGCCCCGCAUACCGUAGUACUCCUACAAACCCUACCGCCGCACUCAUCGCCGGCUUUCUUCAAGAGGACGAGGGAGAAGCCGAUUUGUAGUGGAGGCGCUUUCAAAAAAAGGAUCUGUAGUGGACACCCCUACCCUAGGGUGCCCUAGGUAGCUGUCACACGCAUUAUUGUUUUCUCUUUUCUUUAUGCUCUUGCGCCCUAGAGUGAAAUUAUUGUUGCUUCGUCCGUCCAUCUUAAUGCGGGAAAGGUGGGGCUUAGUGAUUUGACCCCUCAUCGCUCAUUUUCUACUACUUCGGCGCUACGACCGGGGUGCCUUCAAGUCCAACCGCUGCUUCGAACUGUAAUUUGGUGCAUCGCACGUGGAACAAGACGAUGGAUGAGCCACUUGUCGGCCAAAGGGGUCCUGUUAAGUGUGUUGCCACUUCGUGUGCGGACUGACUGUGCUUGAGUUGCUACGCCAACACGACAGGAACAGCCUACCACUUGGUUUUGCUCCUUGGUGAAUCCCGACUAUAUUGAUCUAAAAAUAUAUGUGCUGAACUACCCUCCCCGUCUCGGUUUUUUAUUUGUAGGCAUCUCGGUUUAUAGGGCCUGCACGUAGUUCUAGGUCAUCCAUUUGACUAACUAAAUAUGAGUUACUAUGUCACAAAAAGUAUACCAUUGGAUUCUUAAGCGGAUGUAGUUGUAUUUAAAAGUCGAGGGCGGGGCUUUUCCUGCGCGGUAGGCGGGGCAGUUCCGCCUAGUCAGUUUGAUAGAGACGAGAGAAGACGAGGGAGUAGGUUGCUGCAAACGUAGGGCUGUGUGAUUUGACAGCGAGUUACUGCUGGAUAGGUGGGGCCCAGUGAUUUGACUUGCCAUUAUCAUUUUAACUACGACGCUACAACCGGCUUGAGUCUCCCGAUUCCUGACCACCUCCAUACAGGUGCCUCUGCCAAUGCUCUACCAUGUAGUAGAGGCUGGCUCUUGCAUGAGAGCCCACUUCUCCACUUUUUCCUUCCCUCUCUUUCCUCCACAUAUGCAAAAAUGUCAUGUAAAGUGCACUAUUGUACUUACUUGCUCCUACAGGAGCUAAGCUUGCCACAUAGGCAUAAAGUCUGAUGUGGCAAGUUAAUCAAGAAGAGAGAGACUAGUUUGGUGACCCAAGGAAGAAACGGUGCUAAGCGCGUGUACCUAGGUGAAAAGACAAUUUUGAGUCUAUAGCUAAUUAAAUGAAGCAAACUUAGCAAAAAAACUAAUAAGUACACCAUUUCAUUGGAAGAGGUCACUCCUUGGAAAAUGCAAUAAAUACUAGUACUCCCUGUGUCCCAUAAUAUAAGAAUGUUUUUGGCACUACACUAGUGUCAAAAACGUUCUUAUAUUAUGGGACGGAGGGAGUACGAAGAAAGAGAUAGAGAGAAGUAAAAAAAAUACACUUAUAGCCAACCUUAUAGCCAACCUUGUUUGUAGUAUGAGUGACUAAGUGAUGACUAUGUAUGACAUGCCAACAUCAGAUAGCCUAACGCACCGUGUUAAAUCUCCAAGGGCGUGACCGCGCGAGCGACGCGACGGUCGUGGUAGGCACGACCAUGAUACAGCCUGCUGGCAGCCCUUGGAUCUGAGAUCAAACGGUCCAUGCUAAGUUGCUGAAAAUUUGCGGAAUAACCCUCUAGGAUAGGAUAUUCACCCAUAGGUCUAGAAUAAUGCCAUGCAACCAUUCGAUCUCAGAUCCAAGGGCUCUCAGAAGCCCAUAUCAUGGGAGAAUAGAAAGCCACUACCCUGCCAUUCGCACGCUGGUAGUUCGCUCCUACUCAUCCCCGCACGUCCUUCAAUACUACGGCGGUUCGCUCCUAGUCGUCCCGUCCAUUCACAUUACAGCUGUUCCACUAAUCCUAACCCUCCUCCCAAAUCCAUGGCGUCCCAAAUCUCCACGAUCGGCGGUGAGUACAAGGUUAGAACCAUCGCCGACGAUGAGUUCGACAUCAUCUACACCCGUUCUUCUUCGACGGUGAAAGGAUGCCUUUCUCACUUCAGACGCAUGUUCGAAAACUCAGAUGAUGAGUGGGUCGCUGGGCUAGAUGUUUAGUGCACCACAGUCCUGGGACGAGAGAAGGAUCUAAAGGAUGAAGAGAGGAAGAAGCCCGCCGUGAUCCAGGUUUGCGUACAGAAAGUUUGCUUGGUCUACCACAUAUGCCAUGCCGACGUUGAGUGCCAGGAUUUUAAGAACUUCCUCAAGGACAAAACAGUGAAAUUCGUUACUGUAGACUUUAAGAACGACAAAGAAGUCCUGGGUCGGAUAGUCCUCGUUGUAGGCAACCCCUUCGACCUCCAGAAGAAUCGGCUGCUGCCCUCUCAUCAGCCUUCAAUGCUGACCCUGGCAGGAGCCAUGGUUCAUCCUUCGUACUGUAAACUAGAGAAAUCUCAUUACACGUUUCAUCCUCAUGCAUGGCAGUGGAAUGUACUACAAGGGUUGGAUGAAGAGCAAGAGCCAAGUGUGCGGUUCAAGCAAAGAAGUAUCGACCAAGAGGAAGAGGGACAAGGACGAAAUCAAGGACGUGGACGAGGACUCCGAGUGAGUAAGGUGUCAGUAUCGUUGCUCAUGGUGGUUCUAAUGCAGUGUCUACCGGAUUAGUUGCAUAGUUUAAUUUCAGGUGUGCUUAGUUUAAUUUGAGGGGUGUGUUGUGCUGAGCCCCCAGCAGAACUAUGUUAUGUUUCUUCUUGUUACUUUAACUCUUCAGUAUGUACAUACUACUAGUAUUUCUUUAGAAUUUAGCACCCCAAUUAAGCAUGUACUAGAUUUUUAAAUAGUACUAUAUGCAUAAUUUGGCGACGAGCGCUCUCUAUAUGUACCACCUUUUUUCUAAUUUCAAUUUUUGCUCCAUGGCGCAAUCCAUCGAUAGUACUACUGUACAAAAGUAUACAUUUUUUAAAAGGCUAGGGUACUGUUCAUCACAUAUAUAGCCAUUUAAAUUCUCAACCUAGAACGACGUACAUGCCAUGUAGUAAACCGAUACAGAGAAAGUAUAGUAAAAAUGAGGUGAUUUUACAGAGCGAUCAGCGGGGGAGCAUGGCUUGUCAUGCAGUCCCACGUGUCAUGAUGUACCAAGGCGUUGCGCGUGUCCCUCUUGAGGGAGAAGCAAUACUACGUGGUUUGGGAUGAUGGCGAACCGAAGUGUGAAAUAAUGGUUGCUUCGUCCGUCUGGGAAGGUGCGGCAUUGUGAUUUGACGUCUCAUUGCUCAUUACUACUAGUGGGCCGGUACGAGUGGGGUGCGUCCCCCUGCUGGCCUGUAUUGUUAUUUGGUGCUUGACAUGCCGACCCGGUUGCUAUAUGUCCCACAUGUCGGUGACAGGAAGCACAUAAUUCAUUAAAGGGAGCGUCGACGGAGGAGUAUACUACAGAAUUCAUGAAAGGGAGCGACCUAGUUUUGGAAAAAUAAGUUUUUACGGAGUACGUACCCAUUAGGGUUUAUAGGGCUCAUCUAAAAAACAUUCGUUUUUCCGUUUGAUAAGUCUCAAUUCUAGUAUACUAGUAGUAGUACCAUUACAUGUUGGAUUUCGAGGUGCAUUAGAUCACCCGACGCAAGCAGUGUCAAGAGGAAAUUAACCAAUGCAUGUAGAAGUUCAUGGAAAUUUAGUGGUCAUUCAGGGCAUCCACAAUGUGAGUAUUUGGCGCCUCUAAGGCUGCCUCUAGGCCCAUGAACACUGCCUCUAUGCACUGCAUCACCCGCCUCUAGGAUAAAAAUUCUUGGAGACGCCUCUAUGCUAAGCGCCGGCCUCCAAUGCUUUGUGCUGAAUAAAAUAUUCUGAUGUCCCCACUGUCAGUCAGUUAGGUGCUGAAGGGACCAAUGGGUUGGUUGAUAAAUGCAUCAUAUUUAAUUGAAUUUUGGGCCCGGCUUUGUCUAUAACGGUAGAGGCUGCACACUGUGGAGUUUUCAUCUAUGGUUAGAGGUAGACCCGUGGGUCCCAGUUUAGAGGCAAGGUUGCCUCCAAACACUGGAGAUGCUCUCAUGCAUUCGUUCUAAUUAAUGCCUCGGUAAACAUAACUUCUUGAGAAAAACGAGCGUACUAAUUACUUGUCUAAACUACGAAAUUAAUUCGACCACUAACCGUCUACCUUGGUUGGAGAGAUUUUGAAAUUGAGCCAUAAACUGGAAAGGAGGAAGUAGUAACUUUUGUCUCGAUUACUAUUUGUGGCCUUGUAUAGAUGCAAAAUGUAUUUUUUUACAGUGGCCUUGUAUAAGUAAAUGGAGGGAGUACUAACCAAGGUACGUAGUAGGGACGAGGAGUAAACGGAGGGAGUAGUAAAAUUUUCUCCUCAUGCUGCGAGCCACCGCGCGCGUGGCCGAGGGAGUGGGCGUAAGGCGUACAGUAGUAGGAGUACUACUACUACUACUCAAAGCAAGCUUCACUUCAUCCUGCAAGCCACCGCGCCCAUGGGCGGGGGAGACGGCGUACUAAGCAAGCUUCUCCUUGUUCUGCGAGUUGACGGGAGACAUCAAAAGUACUCCAGUGUAUAGAGCCUUGCCUCUAAGGUAGGCCCCACAUGGUUUGCCUCUUUUUUUUAACAUAACACGUCAAGUCGCAAUUUGUUUGUUCACCCGUGGUAGACGAUCCUCCCUCCACCAAGUGGACAACCAGUACACGUGUCAAAUUGCCAUGUGGGCUGCCUUUUUUGUACAGUAAUGAGCUCCACCGUGUACCCACGCGGGUGUGGUUGGGAAAGAGACGGGAGUACGUGCGCCGUGCUUGCACCUCUUCUCUUCGCGCACGUCCCCCACUUACGUGGGUGUGUGUGAGAGAUACACAAACCUAGACAUAAUGUGCCGUCCAUCCCCAUGCCUCCGCCUAGCCCGACAACCAGUCACCACCACGCCCCACUCCUCCUCACCUUAUCUCUCAUCUUUCUCCCUCCAUUUUUAUAUACAAGGGGCCACUAUCAAAAUUACAAUUUGUAGAUAUACAAGGCCACUAACACUAAUCGAUCCAAUAUUAAUGGUGUUUGCCUCGUGGUACUAGCAAAGGAGGACAUUAAUUAUCCCUUGCAUGCAUGCAGGAGUUUGUAAAAAAUACAUCUUGAUGUUCUAUGCAAUGCACGGGCAUCUUGCUAGUCCAUGAAAACAACAGAUGGCAAAAUUCCACGGCGAACGAGGGAUUUGAAUCUGUUGGGAGGGGCUGUUUGGAUCUUGCCCGAGGUAGCCAAAAUAUUGGCGACCCUUUUGUCCACCGGUGCCUUUGCUACCGAUGAACGAGGAAUGGCUCGGGUGCUCAUGUUGUCAUGCAUCCUCCGGCGUGCAUGUUGGAGACGAGCUCGCAUGAGCUGUGUUUUUUUUGUCCCACAACGCCGCCCGAGCCGCCCGCAGAUAGACUGGCGACCCGCAAAUUAUGCCAUCCAACUGUAGCCGCACACAUUAUGACAGCAACUCAAGCAACCGGACAAAAUUCACGCAAACACGUAGACAAACUGAUAUUUCAUAUAAACAAUGACGGAAAUCAUAUAACAUACCGGAUUUUCAUACAAACAUGACAGAUUUCAUGACAUUCAAAUGAACUACGCGGGGAUAGUUCUGGAUAGCACAUGUAUAUAAUACCUGGCCUAAAUGGUCGCCCGCCGAUCGAUUUGUGUUCCUCAUGUCCGACAGCAAGAUCAUCGGACUGCCGGGGCCCCGAGGGUAUAUGCUUCAGCGCAAAGGAUGGCUCGCUUCCCCACUGCCCAACUGAUAUCAUUGGCUGGUGCCAAAGAUGAUGGUGGCUGGCACCGGUUCGAGUUAAUCACCGGCUACUACUUUGCCAUGGCCGACACCGGCUCGAGUUCAUCCUAACAUUCCUCUCUUCCGUGGAGCCCAUGCGGGGUCGACGAAGGUCCUCGCAACAAAAGGAUCCGGCAAAACACCUGUUGUGUACACCGGCGUUGCCUCCGCGGUGGCCUUCAUGGGACCAAGCGGCGACGGCCUCCCGUGUUCUACUUCUCCUCAAUGAUGGUGGCGGACGCAGAGGCGCUGGCCACCGACUCGUCGCUCUCCGUGCACCCGGCUUCUGUCGCUGCUUGCAUGGCGCGGCCGCUGGCAUGGGAGUCUCAGCCACAGAAACGGGAGACAUGGUAUGAGGCGGUAGCGUGGACGGCAGCAACGACGCCCGUGCGCCACUCCUCGUCGAGCUGGCCUGGAGCGGCAAGUUGCUGAACCGCAUGCCAGCUUGGGGCAACAACUGGCUCCAUCGGGCGAGGGGAGGGAGGUGGAUCAGCGAGCUGCAUAGCUCGUAUUCGGCAGGCUACCCAGCCGGCUUGGAUGCGGAAUAACUACUCUUCGUAAGCCAUUGUAAGAGUGGACAAAAUGGUGGAGGAGAUAGGGGAGCGGCGGAGGUGUGUGAUUCUUGGUCGGUGUUUGGCCUCGCUUAAAUAGGAGAUUAAAUAGACGGCGGACAGGAGGAGCUCGCCGGCAUUGCGUUUAAUGCCGGCCCGGUCAAGAACGGACGUAGGUCCAGAGUGGGUUUCUCGGCUUCCACACGGGCGGGUUUCAUGGAGGCGUUUGAAUGCGGCACGGAGGCGUGUUCAGCCGAGCAUGUAGCGAGUGGCGCCCUCGACUCUGACCUAGGACACUACGCCAUUCUUUCACUGACGUGUGGGCUCUUUGGGUGCAUGGCCUGCAUGUCAGUAACCCAAUGCAGGCAGCGCACAGUAGAGGAACCUUUGGUGGGCCAGGGCGGUCAGAAGCAGGCAUUUCGUAAACCGAUGAUUGUUCGUUGAGUGUGACGUCAUAUUUUCAUGUAGAUAAGCCUACAAUGUUGAUAGCCGGUUCGAUACGUUGUGAUUCAUAAAGACCGCUGCAAACAUCAAUGUUCUGUUUAUCACAGAUAAGAUUGAUUAAUACCCGUAACAAUCCAUGUCCUUAACAAAGGGUGCAUGCACGUAUAGGUUGAGCGUGUGUCUUGCGUCGUGUGAUGUGUGCAUGCAGACGUGCGAAUGUUGCGUGCGUGCAAGGGUAUGUUUUAGUGUUGCAUGCAUGGGUGCGUAUGUGCGUGUGUUCGUGAGUGCAUGUGUACGUGUCAUUGUUGCACGCCAGCAUGCGUACGUGUGUACGUUAUGUGUAUGUGUCAGUGUUGCACGCCUGCAUGCAUGCGUCUCUUGCGUGCGUGCAUGUGUACGUGCGAGGUGAGGCUACACGUCAGUCGACUGACUUUUUCAUCUCUGGUCAUUAGAUUUUCCAGCCGUUGGAUAUGAAAUCAAGGGCCUCCAGUUUAUCAUCAAACACCCCCCCUGAGCCGCCAACCACCACCGGCCGAACCGCCAGCCCUUGCCGCCUGCGGCCGGCCCGUGCCGCCACGCUGCCCCGCCCUCCCCGAAACCACUCCCCACCGUCGGUCNNNNNNNNNNNNNNNNNNNNNNNNNNNNNNNNNNNNNNNNNNNNNNNNNNNNNNNNNNNNNNNNNNNNNNNNNNNNNNNNNNNNNNNNNNNNNNNNNNNNNNNNNNNNNNNNNNNNNNNNNNNNNNNNNNNNNNNNNNNNNNNNNNNNNNNNNNNNNNNNNNNNNNNNNNNNNNNNNNNNNNNNNNNNNNNNNNNNNNNNNNNNNNNNNNNNNNNNNNNNNNNNNNNNNNNNNNNNNNNNNNNNNNNNNNNNNNNNNNNNNNNNNNNNNNNNNNNNNNNNNNNNNNNNNNNNNNNNNNNNNNNNNNNNNNNNNNNNNNNNNNNNNNNNNNNNNNNNNNNNNNNNNNNNNNNNNNNNNNNNNNNNNNNNNNNNNNNNNNNNNNNNNNNNNNNNNNNNNNNNNNNNNNNNNNNNNNNNNNNNNNNNNNNNNNNNNNNNNNNNNNNNNNNNNNNNNNNNNNNNNNNNNNNNNNNNNNNNNNNNNNNNNNNNNNNNNNNNNNNNNCCCACCGCCCAAUCAAUGCCCCCCAACCGCCAGCGUCUGCCAACCAGAGGUCUCACGACUUCGAAUACCCACCGACCACUAAUUUAUUACCAUUUUUGUCCUUCAUAUAUGCGCUGACGAGUGGGCCCUAUGGUAAUGUGCGCUGCUGAAUGUGGACCAUUUGACUAGUCAAUUGAUCGUGUUAUCAACAAAUUACAGAGUUGUAUGGUGAGCCAGUGACCAUAUGAUCAUCCUAAAAUGUACUCCUAUUUUAUUAACACAGUACAGACUCAAACUACCAUUCCUUUCUUUCAUAUACAGGCUGACAGGUGGGCCCCACGGUUUCGCGCCCCGAUGGUGCAACACUAGUUGCACCGCGUGGAACGUUUGACUGGUCAAUUGAUUGUGUCAUCAGCAAAAUGCGGAGUUGUACGGGUGAGCUAGUGACCAUAUAAUCAUGACAUGUAUUUGUUUAACACGGUACAGACGCAAGGGCUCAUAUAUACGUGCAAGCACUCGCCGCUAUAAGCGCACACACACAAACCCUACCCCUAUGAGCACCUUCGAGAGAGUGGGCCAACAUAUAUGAUCUUGAGAUUUUACGAAGUCACCAUAGGUGCCUCAUAGUCGAGUGGAACAUCUCCUCCCACUGAACGUACAUCGCUGGAAAAUACUGAAAUUAACACAAGAUAAAUGCGAGCACCGGGACUUUAACCUUGGUGGGCUCGAGAAACCACUGUCUUCCUAACCACCCAACCACAUGUUUGUUAGCACGUCAAAAUGUAUGUGGUGACCGUGAUGAGCUUAUUCUGAAGUCCAGUGACCAUAUCGUGCUUUCGCUUCAAAUACAAUGACCGUAAGUGUCGUCAACAAAAUACAAAGCACGCAUCAAAUGCAAAGUCCGUUAGUGUCAUCAACAAAAUAUGGAGACAUAUCGUGAGCUAGAUACCGUUGUACUAUUGUAUAUGCUUAUUUUCUUAGCGGCCGAUUGCGUGUGUGGUGUGGUGGGCACAUCAUUUCUAGUUAUGGUGGAUCAACAUGAAGACUCAUGGGUCGGUUCCAUCCUGCACCACAUAUAGGUUGGACCAAGAUGUGUUAUACGAAGACCCAUGUGGAGGACUCGGCGUACAACACGAAGCUACCAGAGUCGCGGAGGACUCUAUCCCCACUGGUGAUAAGCCGACUAUAUAUGAUUUGUAACCAUAGGCCCCUAGUAUGUUUUACAAGCUUGGCGGCUAGUUCGUCGAUAGUAUACACACAUGCACAAUGCCUGGUAUUCACGUGUACUUUGUACACACCCCUAUCACUAAUAUACAGUACCAGGAGUAGUCUCCUUCUUCAACUGCAAGGGUCCGAUCCGAACUAGGGUAAAACUUUGCCUCGUAUUACCAUCCAGCCUAACAGCCAGGGAUAUCCUACCGAAUGAUAUGAUGAAAUCAUAUCUGCCAACUACUAAGAGAGAGGUGUGUCAGGGGGGCAAUGUGUGCGAGAGAGGCCUAAAGAUAAUUUUCAUGCGGGAGACACGUAGGCACAUACAUGUGCCUAUAGAGGGAUAGUAGAGACCGUGCGUGUGUAUAUAUGCAUGUGAGAGAAAUAGUGUUUUCCAACUGAGAUUAGUGAAAAGAGUGGUACAUAGUAGUCAGAAAGAGAGAGAAAGAAACAGAGAGAGCAUGUGCGUGAGACACCCAGACACCCCGAGAGAGAUUGUGAGCAUGUGUGAAAGAGAAAUGCCGAUGCAUAUAAAGUGUGUGCACUUAUGCGUUAGAUAGAGAGAUAUAUAACACGUUUGUGAGAAUGGGCCGAUGCAUAGUGCAUCUACGUGUAAAAGGAGGUUCUACGCAUUAAAUUAAAAUAUAAAUGUCAUUAUUAUUUUUGGAUGAGAUCAUGAAUUUUGCAAAUUGCGUAUGGACGAAAAUCGGUCUAUCUGACACCCAUACUCUAUUGAAUACUAGCAUGUGCAUGUGUUUAUUUCAUAUUAUCGAUCCAUAGACUGAGAGCGGUUUGAAAUACAGGCAAUUGAUGCUUUUGCAAUUCAUAUAUAAACAUUAAUUAGUGCACUCCAUGUUGUUAGUGUGAAGCACUUUAUACAUUUGUCACUUGCAUGGAUACAUUCCAAAUUGCUAGCUACGAAAUAGAAUACAUGUUGAAUUCAACAUAAAAGGGGUUUUGAAGAUUCGAAUUCAUAGGAAGUGCAUUCAUCUAUUUGAACCCGAGAUAAUGGCAUUUGUAAAUCAGAUGUAAAAGGGGGCACCAAUCUUUGUUGUGAGUUUGAACAUGCUAUAUAUAUUCGUACGCAUAUCUAACUUUUUUUUGCAACCAAGGAGAUUAUAUCUGGAACCAUGCAUGAACUGAGGUAAGUUGCAUAUUUUUUAAUAUAUACUCGUGUACAAUGUAUAUUCAAAUGUACCCCAUCCAUUCCAAAAUAAUCGUAGCUUUAGGAUUUUCAAGAGUAAAGAUUUGUGAAGUUUGACAAAUCCUGAAAGUUCAAUUCACUGGUAGAAAAAGAGGCUUCCGUCCAGCCCCAUUAGUCGCGAAACUGUAGGAACCACGACUAAUGAAGUCUUUAGUCGCGGUUCGACAGACGAACCGCGACCAAAGGCCUGGGCCCAGGGCGCUCGGUGGCCAGCUGGUGCACGUGAGGGGCUUUAGUCGCGGUUGGCCAGGCCAACCGCGACUAAAGGUGCCCAAAGGCCUUUAGUCACGGUUGGCCAGGCCAACCGCGACUAAAGCUCCUCCCCUAUAUAUACUAGUUCAGCACGCUCACUUAGCCAUUUGGUGCCACUUCUCUUCACAAGCUUCACAAGGGGGUGUAGGUUUGCUUUUGGUUCCUCUUAUGCACACAAGGUGUUUGAUGAAAUGCCCCAAGAGGGUGAAACAAACAUGAUAUGAAGUGUUGGAGCCACACUUGAGGUUCCUCAUUUAUUUUUUUCUCCUCGAUCGCGGUUAGCAACUUGAACCUUUCAUGCAUGUGUGUCAUUGAUAAAAUAUGCAUGUGUGUUGUUCAUUGUUUAAUUUCUAUUGUUUAUAGCUAGUUAGUUUAACAAAUGCAUGAUGGUUAAUUAUAUAUUUUAUAUUAUAAUAAUGCAGAUGAAUCGGCAAUGGAUGUACGGUAACCGACUCUCCCGCGAGUUCACUACGGGUUUGAAAGAUUUCCUCGUAGUGGCUAAUGCGAACAAGCAGAAGGGUUUUGUUAUCUGUCCAUGUGUUGAAUGUAAGAAUCAGAAGGGUUACUCUUCCUCAAGAGAAGUUCACCUGCACCUGCUUCGGCACGGUUUCAUGCCAAGCUAUAAUUGUUGGACCAAGCAUGGAGAAAGAGGGGUUAUAAUGGAAGAAGAUGAAGAAGGGGAUGAUUUCAUCGAUGAAAGCUAUCUUGCUCAUUUCGGUGAUACUUUCAUGGAGGAUGCUGAAGGUGAAGGGGAAGGUGAAGGGGAAGGUGAAGGUGAAGAAGAGGCACGUGAUGAGACCGUUGAUGAUCUUGGUCGGACCAUUGCUGAUGCACGGAGACGCUGCGAAACUAAAAAGGAGAGGGAGAAUUUGGAUCGCAUGUUAGAGGAUCACAGAAAGUCGUUGUACCCCGGAUGCGAUGAUGGCCUGAAAAAGCUGGGCUGCACACUGGAUUUGCUGAAAUGGAAGGCACAGGCAGGUGUAGCUGACUCGGCAUUUGAAAACUUGCUGAAAAUGUUGAAGAAUAUGUUUCCAAAGAAUAACGAGUUGCCCGCCAGUACGUACGAAGCAAAGAAGGUUGUCUGCCCUCUAGGUUAAGAGGUUCUGAAGAUACAUGCAUGCAUCAACGACUGCAUCCUCUACCGCGGUGAAUACGAGAAUUUGAAUGAAUGCCCGGUAUGCAUUGUAUUGCGUUAUAAGAUCAGAGGCGAUGACCCUGGUGACGAUGUUGAGGGCGAGAAACCCAGGAAGAGGGUUCCCGCCAAGGUGAUGUGGUAUGCUCCUAUAAUACCACGGUUGAAACGUCUGUUCAGGAACAAAGAGCAUGCCAAGUUGUUGCGAUGGCACAAAGAGGACCGUAAGUCGGACGGGGAGUUGAGACACACCGCAGAUGGAACGCAAUGGAGAAAGAUCGACAGAGAGUUCAAAGAUUUUGCAGCUGACGCAAGGAACAUAAGAUUUGGUCUAAGUACAGAUGGCAUGAAUCCUUUUGGCGAGCAGAGCUCCAGCCAUAGCACCUGGCCCUUGACUCUAUGCAUCUAUAACCUUCCUCCUUGGUUGUGCAUGAAGCGGAAGUUCAUUAUGAUGCCAGUGCUCAUCCAAGGUCCGAAGUAACCCGGCAACGACAUCGAUGUGUACCUAAGGCCAUUAGUUGAUGAACUUUUACAGCUGUGGGGCAGACCUGGUGUCCGUGUGUGGGAUGAGCACAAAAAAGAGGAAUUUAACCUACGAGCGUUGCUUUUGUAAUCAUCAACGAUUGGCCUGCUCUUAGUAACCUUUCGGGACUGUCAAAUAAGGGAUACAAUGCAUGCACGCACUGCUUACAUGAGACUGAAAGUGUACAUUUGCCAAAUUGUAAGAAGAACGUGUACCUUGGGCAUCGUCGAUUUCUUCCGAAAAUUCAUCCAGUAAGAAAGAAAGGCAAGCAUUACAACGACAAGGCAGAUCACCGGCCGAAGCCUGCGGAACGCACUGGUGCUGAGGUAUUUGAUAUCGUCAAGGAUUUGAAAGUCAUCUUUGGAAAGGGUCCUGGCGGACAAUCAGUUCCGAAGGGAGCUGACGGGCACGCAGCCAUGUGGAAGAAGAAAUCUAUAUUCUGGGAGCUAGAAUAUUGGAAAGUCCUAGAAGUCCGCUCUGCAAUCGACGUGAUGCACGUUACGAAGAAUAUUUGCGUGAACCUCCUAAGCUUCUUGGGCGUGUAUGGGAAGACAAAUGAUACAAAGGAAGCAUGGCAGGACCAGCAACGUUUGAAAGACCCUGAUGACCGGCAUCCGGAAUGGUUUCAAGGUCGUGCCAGCUACGCUCUGACCAAAGAAGAGAAGGUCAUCUUUUUUAAAUGCCUGAGCAGUAUGAAGGUCCCGUCUGGAUUCUCGUCCAAUAUAAAGGGAAUAAUAAACAUGGCGGAGAAAAAGUUCCAAAACCUGAAGUCUCACGACUGCCACGUGAUUAUGACGCAAUUGCUUCCAAUUGCUUUGAGGGGGCUCCUGCCGGAAAAUGUUCGAGUAGCCAUUGUGAAGCUAUGUGCAUUCCUCAAUGCAAUCUCUCAGAAGGUAAUCAAUCCAGAAGUUCUACCACGGUUACAGAACGAUGUGAUCCAAUGUCUUGUCAGUUUCGAGUUGGUGUUCCCCCCAUCCUUCUUCAAUAUUAUGACGCACCUCUUGGUUCCCCUAGUCGAAGAGAUUUUCAUUCUCGGUCCUGUAUUUCUACACAAUAUGUUCCCCUUCGAGAGGUUCAUGGGAGUAUUAAAGAAAUAUGUUCGUAACCGUGCUAGGCCAGAAGGAAGCAUCGCCAAGGGCUAUGGAAAUGAGGAGGUAAUUGAGUUUUGUGUUGACUUUGUUCCUGACCUUAAGCCGAUUGGUCUUCCUCGAUCGCGGCACGAGGGGAGACUAAGUGGAAAAGGCACGAUCGGAAGGAAAUCAACGAUAUGUAUGGACGGCCAUUCUCUGACUGAAGCACACCACACUGUACUGACCAAUUCCAGCUUGGUGGCUCCGUACUUUGAGAAACACAAGAAUAUUUUACGCUCGGACAACCCGGGGAAGCCUGAAUCCUGGAUUAGGAAGGCCCACAUGGAGACUUUCGGCAGUUGGUUGAGAAAACAUUUAAUGAAUGACAAUGAUGUUGUAGAUCAGCUGUACAUGUUGGCCAAGACACCAUCUUCGACUAUAAUGACUUUCCGAGGGUACGAGAUAAAUGGGAAUACAUUUUACACGAUCGCCCAAGAUAAAAAGAGCACCAACCAAAACAGUGGUGUCCGCUUUGAUGCAGCAACCGAGAAUGGGCAAAAGGUCACAUAUUAUGGUUACAUAGAGGAGAUAUGGGAACUUGACUAUGGACCCUCCUUUAAGGUCCCUUUGUUCCGGUGCAAAUGGUUCAAGCUAACAGGAGGUGGGGUAAAGGUGGACCAGCAAUACGGAAUGACAAUGGUGGAUUUCAACAAUCUUGGUUACCUUGACGAACCAUUCGUCCUAGCGAAAGAUGUCGCUCAGGUUUUCUAUGUGAAGGACAUGAGUAGCAAACCGAGGAAACGGAAAGAUAAGAAAACGAUCAGUACAUCAUGCGAUGAUCCAAAGCGCCACAUUGUUCUUUCAGGGAAAAGAAACAUCGUGGGAGUGGAGGACAAGACAGACAUGUCAGAAGAUUAUAAUAUGUUUGCUGAAAUUCCUGUUGGAAAUAUGCCCUAGAGGCAAUAAUAAAAGUAUUAUUAUAUUUCAAUGUUCAUGAUAAAUGUCUUUUAUUCAUGCUAUAACUGUAUUAUCCGGAAAUCGUAAUACACGUGUGAAUACUUAGACCACAAUAUGUCCCUGGUGAGCCUCUAGUUGACCAGCUCAUUGUGAUCAACAGAUAGUCAUGGUUUCCUGACUAUGGACAUUGGAUGUCGUUGAUAACGGGAUCACAUCAUUAGGAGAAUGAUGUGAUGGACAAGACCCAAUCCUAAGCAUAGCAUAAAAGAUCGUGUAGUUCGUUUUGCUAGAGCUUUGCCAAUGUCAAGUAUCUCUUCCUUAGACCAUGAGAUCGUGUAACUCCCGGAUACCGUAAGAGUGCCUUGGGUGUAUCAAACGUCACAACGUAACUGGGUGACUAUAAAGGUGCAUUACAGGUAUCUCCGAAAGUAGCUGUUGGGUUGACACGGAUCGAGACUGGGAUUUGUCACUCCGUAUGACGGAGAGGUAUCUCUGGGCCCACUCGGUAAUGCAUCAUCAUAAUGAGCUCAAUGUGACCAAGGUGUUGGACACGGGAUCAUGCAUUACGGUACGAGUAAAGUGACUUGCCGGUAACGAGACUGAACAAGGUAUUGAGAUACCGACGAUCGAGUCUCGGGCAAGUAACGUACCGAUUGACAAAGGGAAUUGCAUACAGGGUUUGAUCGAAUCCUCGACAUAGUGGUUCAUCCGAUGACAACAUCGAGGAGCAUGUGGGUGUUGGGGAACGUUGCAGAAAACAAAAAUUUUCCUACUCGUUUCACCAAGAUCAUCUAGGAGUUCAUCUAGCAACGAGUGAUUAGAUGCAUCUACAUACCUUUGUAGAUCGCGAGCGGAAGCGUUCAAAAGAACGGUGAUGAUGUAGUCGUACUCGACGUGAUCCAAAUCACCGAUGACCAGCGCCGAACGGACGGCACCUCCGCGUUCAACACACGUACGGAACAACCACGUCUCCUCCUUCUUGAUCCAGCAAGGGAGGGAGGAGAGGUUGAGGGAGAUGGCACCAGCAGCAGCACGACGGCGUGGUGUUGAUGGAGCUGCAGUACUCCGGCAGAGCUUCGCUAAGCACUAUGGAGGUUGAGGAGGUGUUGGGGAGGGAGAAGGAGGCAACCAAAGGCCGAGGCGUUCAGGUAUGAAGUCCCUCCUCUCCCCCACUAUAUAUAGGGGUGCCAAGGGGGGGUGGCCGGCCCUAGGAGAUCCAAUCUCCUAGGGGGUGCGGCGGCCUAGGGGGGGUUUUCCUCCCCCCCAAGGCACCUAGGAGGUGCCUUACCCUCCUAGGACUCUUUCCCCCUUAAACCCUAGGCGCAUGGGCCUAUGUGGGGCUGGUGCCCUUGGCCCAUUAGGCCAAGGCGCACCCCCUUACAGCCCAUGUGGCCACCCGGGACAGGUGGACCCACCCGGUGGACCCCCGGGACCCUUCCGGUGGUCCCGGUACAAUACCGAUAACCCCGAAACUUGUCCCGAUGCCCGAAACAGGACUUCCCAUAUAUAAAUCUUUACCUCCGGACCAUUCCGGAACUCCUCGUGACGUCCGGGAUCUCAUCCGGGACUCCGAACAACAUUCGGGUUACUGCAUAUACAUAUCCCUACAACCCUAGCGUAACUGAACCUUAAGUGUGUAGACCCUACGGGUUCGGGAGACAAGCAGACAUGACCGAGACGACUCUCCGGUCAAUAACCAACAGCGGGAUCUGGAUACCCAUGUUGGCUCCCACAUGCUCCACGAUGAUCUCAUCGGAUGAACCACGAUGUCGAGGAUUCAAUCAACCCCGUAUGCUAUUCCCUUUGUCUAUCGAUAUGUUACUUGCCCGAGAUUCGAUCGUCGGUAUCCCAAUACCUCGUUCAAUCUCGUUACCGGCAAGUCACUUUACUCGUACCGUAAUGCAUGAUCCCGUGACCAAACACUUGGUCACUUUGAGCUCAUUAUGAUGAUGCAUUACUGAGUGGGCCCAGUGAUACCUCUCCGUCAUACGGAGUGACAAAUCCCAGUCUUGAUCCAUGUCACCCAACAGACACUUUCGGAGAUACCCGUAGUCUACCUUUAUAGUCACCCAGUUACGUUGUGACGUUUGGCAUACCCAAAGCACUCCUACGGUAUCCGGGAGUUACACGAUCUCAUGGUCUAAGGAAAAGAUACUUUGACAUUGCAAAACUCUAGCAAACGAACUAUACGAUCUUGUGCUAUGUUUAGGAUUGGGUCUCGUCCAUCACAUCAUUCUCCUAAUGAUGUGAUCUCGUUAUCAAUGACAUCCAGUGUCCAUAGUCAGGAAACCAUGACUAUCUGUUGAUCAACGAGCUAGUCUACUAGAGGCUUACUAGGGACAUGUUGAUGUCUAUUAUUCACACAUGUAUUACGAUUUCCAGAUAACACAAUUAUAGCAUGAAUAAAGACAAUUAUCAUGAACAAGGAAAUAUAAUAAUAAUGCUUUUAUUAUUGCCUCUAGGGCAUAUUUCCAACAUAUUGUGUGUAUGUUAUUGAAAUGCUUGGUAUGUGUGGGAUCUGACCAUCUAGUUGUUUAUCUUUAGUAGCCUCUCUUACCGGGAAAUGUCUCCUAGUGUUUCCAUUGAGCCUUGGUAGCUUGCUACUGCUCCGGAACACUUAGGCUGGCCGGCAUGUGUCCUUCUUCGUUCCUGUGUCUGUCCCUUCGGGGAAAUGUCACGCGAUGAAUACCGGAGUCCUGUUAGCCCGCUACAGCCCGGUUCACCGGAGUCCUGCUAGCCCAGUGCUACAGCCUGGAUUCACUCGCUGAUGACCGACACGUUCGAUGCUGGGUCAUGGAUGCCUGUCCCUGUAAGUCUGUGCCACUUUGGGUUUACGACUAGCCAUGUCAGCCCGGGCUCCUUAUCAUAUGGAUGCUAGCGACACUGUCAUAUACGUGUGCCAAAAGGCGCAAACGGUCCCGGGCAAAGGUAAGGCGACACCCGUGGGAAUACCGUGCGUGAGGCCGCAAAGUGAUAUGAGGUGUUACAUGCUAGAUCGAUGUGGCAUUGAGUCGGGGUCCUGACAGCAUUGGUAUCAGAGCUUGACUGCCUGUAGGAUUACCAAGCCAAACUGGUCGAAGUUGAGUCUAGAAAUUCUUUAGUUAUGUAAGGGAAUUGAUUGUGGGAUGGAGGUAAUUGAGUUUUGUGUUGACUUUGUUCCUGACCUUAAGCCGAUUGGUCUUCCUCGAUCGCGGCACGAGGGGAGACUAAGUGGAAAAGGCACGAUCGGAAGGAAAUCAACGAUAUGUAUGGACGGCCAUUCUCUGACUGAAGCACACCACACUGUACUGACCAAUUCCAGCUUGGUGGCUCCGUACUUUGAGAAACACAAGAAUAUUUUACGCUCGGACAACCCGGGGAAGCCUGAAUCCUGGAUUAGGAAGGCCCACAUGGAGACUUUCGGCAGUUGGUUGAGAAAACAUUUAAUGAAUGACAAUGAUGUUGUAGAUCAGCUGUACAUGUUGGCCAAGACACCAUCUUCGACUAUAACGACUUUCCAAGGGUACGAGAUAAAUGGGAAUACAUUUUACACGAUCGCCCAAGAUAAAAAGAGCACCAACCAAAACAGUGGUGUCCGCUUUGAUGCAGCAACCGAGAAUGGGCAAAAGGUCACAUAUUAUGGUUACAUAGAGGAGAUAUGGGAACUUGACUAUGGACCCUCCUUUAAGGUCCCUUUGUUCCGGUGCAAAUGGUUCAAGCUAACAGGAGGUGGGGUAAAGGUGGACCAGCAAUACGGAAUGACAAUGGUGGAUUUCAACAAUCUUGGUUACCUUGACGAACCAGUCGUCCUAGCGAAAGAUGUCGCUCAGGUUUUCUAUGUGAAGGACAUGAGUAGCAAACCGAGGAAACGGAAAGAUAAGAAAACGAUCAGUACAUCAUGCGAUGAUCCAAAGCGCCACAUUGUUCUUUCAGGGAAAAGAAACAUCGUGGGAGUGGAGGACAAGACAGACAUGUCAGAAGAUUAUAAUAUGUUUGCUGAAAUUCCGCCCUUCAAAGUGAACACCGACCCAAGCAUUAAGUUAAAUGAUGAGGAUGCUCCAUGGAUACGGCACAAUUGUAAGCAAGCAGGGACACAAGGGAAGAAAUGAUGUGUAAUAAUUUAUUGUACCAAACUUUGUUGAAUGGAUCAUGUGAAUUAUAUUACCCGUGAUGUGUUUGGUGUCCAUUUUCGAAUGAUUCGAGAUACCACUGAUGAUACAUGAAAUUUGGAGUUAUUUAGUCAUACUCCUGCCUAGGCGUAUAAUAUGCAUACUCGUAGUCUUCAUAGCCGCCGCCGUUGUACUGGUAGUCGUCGCCUUCUAAGUUGCCGCCGUCGUCGUCGCUGCUGUCGUCGCUGUCGUACUCCUGCCUAGGCGUAUAAAAUUUUGAAUUGAAUUAGUUUUAUUUUUCUGAUUUUUUUGAUAUAUUAUUUGUAUUUUUAACAUUUUGAAUUGAAUUAGUUUUAUUUUUCUUAAUUUUUUGAUAUAUUAUUUGUAUUUUUAGAAUUUUGAAUUGAAUUAGUUUUAUUUUUCUGAAUAUUUUGAUAUAAUAUUUGUGUUUUUAACAUAUUGAAUUGAAUUAGUUUUAUUUUUCUGAAUUUUUUGAUAUAUUAUUUGUAUUUUUAACAUUUUGAAUUGAAUUGGUUUUAUUUUUCUGAAUUUUUUGAUNNNNNNNNNNGCCGUAUGUUUGCACACCGCGCCCCGCCCCGGCCCACGCGCGCCGCCCCCUCUCGCCCACACGUAUGGCGCCGCCGGCCGUCACCGGCAUCCCUCGCCCACCGCACGCGCCGCCUCGCUCGCCCGCCCUCAACGCCGCCAGCCGACCUCGGUACUGCCGCGCAUGCACGGGCCACCGGUCUCAGACAGAGAGCGAGAUCGUGGAGAGAGAGAGGGGCGCCGCGGGCCACCGGAAUUUUUUCUUUUUUUUUGUUCUUUUUAAUUUUAACUAGUUAAUUAGUUUAACAAAAACGGUAAAAUAACUUAAAACUUGAUAAUUAACAAAAAAACCGUAAAAUUUGAUAAUUAACAAAAAAACGUAUAUAAAACUUGAUAAUUAACAACAAAAAAGUAAAACUUGAUAAUCAAUAUAUACAACGACACCGCGCGUCAAUGUACAACGAUCCCGCUUUAAAAAAUGUACACGACCCCGCGCAUAUACGGAGAGGGGGCGGCGAGGGGGGCGGCGAUGCGCGCGGUGUUUUUUUUUUGGGAUCGAGAGGGGGCGGCGAGGGUUAUACAUGUGUGUUGUCCUCGCCUCCCUCUCCGUGACGCCGUCGUCUGCCGCCCCGUCUCGCGCUCUACCGCGACACCCUCUCCCACCCCUUCCUCGCCCCCUCCUUUUGCCACCGCCCUUUCACCACCGCCACCGCCACCGCCCCCCUUCUUCACUUAAUUAAUUUGUUUUUACUACAUGUUUUCAGGACUGACAUAAUGGCGGACGAUAGAGCUGACCCGAUUAUGGACAACUGUGAUCCGGACGGUGAAGCACAUAUGUUCGGCAUCAUAAACGGCGAUAUUCUAUAUGUGCCGACCGGACAAGAAGAAGAUGAUAUCUCUUCUUAUCUGAACCUUGACGGUGAAGAUGAAGGGCGCCGUCAGCAAGAUGAUGCCGAACAAACGUCGAUAAACGACGAUCUUCAAAUGGAAGUAGCAACCACCUCCGGCGCCGAGGUAUAUAUAUACAUUGAGCCUCUGGUGAUACAAACUAACUGAUUUGAAUAAAUAUGUGUGUACUAACGCGCGCGACUCUCUUUCUUAUUUUAGCCCUCGGCCGGAUCGUCGAAACAAUCGAGUACGUCGUCAAAGCGUGGCGCAACCAAGACGAUGAAACAAGGAGAAACAUGCACCAUCGAGGUUGUCGACAGUGCAACCGGCAGGCCGCUGGAGCCCCGCAAGAAUGCCACCAAGUUUGUCAACCAAUGCAGAGCCAUUGUUAGAGACAACAUCUCGAUCACCGUCCAGGAGUGGAAUAAGCCAAAGAAGGCACGAAUUGCUGGUUUCACUUUUGUCGAUAAGAGAACAAAAAAAGAUUGCUUCAAGAAGCUUAUGGAACAUUUCGUUCUACCUCCGAAAUACAACAAAUUCGAUGAGGAGGGUAACAAGAUUGAGGAAAACAAGGAGAGGAGGAGGCUAGUCAAACAGUUCGCUCUUCAUAAGAUGGCCGACGCAUUCCGGAAAUUCAAGCAAAAUCUAGCCCAUGACUUUGUCAAGCAGAACAAGACUCCGGAUUUCAAAGGACAAUAUGAGAAACUGAAACAUGAUUGGCCAGAAUUUGUGAAGCAAAAGAAAUCGGAGCAGUUCAUUCAAAUAUCGAAAAAAAAUAAGGAAAAUGCGGCUAAGAAGGAGUACAAUCAUAUUAUGGGGCCAGGAGGGUAUCGCCUUUGGGAGCCUAGGUGGGAGAAGAUGGAGAACGAGCUGAGGGCGCGAGGAAUCCGUCCAGGUACGGAGGGAUGGGACCCAAGGGCCAAAAGCUGGUGGUACGGGCAUGGGGGAACGCUGAACCCGGAGACAGGGGAGUGUGUUUACCGGGGCAAAAUAAUUAAACCCACCCAAGCCCUUAUUGACGCAAUGAGGGAUGCUCAAGAGGGGAAGAUCAAGUUCAACAGAGAGAACGACGCGCUGACAAAAGCCCUCGGGAAUCCUGAACACGGAGGACGUGUACGUGGCAUGGGGCACAUUCCGUGGAAAAUAGGGUUCCCCCAGAACGAUGACCCGUACGGUUACAGAAGCCGGAAGAGAAAGAUGGAUCAGGAAGCAGAUGUUGUGGCGCGGUUGGCAUCGGAAAUGGAUGUGAUGAAGAAAACCGUGAGUGUACUAGUAGCCGAAAGAGAUGCAGCUCGGGCGCAGCAUGAAGAUCAUCCAGCGGAUCUCAGAAGCCAGCAGCGGAGAAGCAGUGUGGCUUCCACGGAGGCCCCACCGGCUGGUGCAGAUGCACCGACGAUCGAAAUUACUGCACCGGAGCCUCUGGUGGUCGAAAUUACUGCACCGGAGCCUCUAGUGGUCGAAAUUACUGCACCGGAGCCUCCUCGCUACCCCGUGGACGAUAUAAAGGAGAUGAAAGAAUGUCAUAUGUAUUAUCCUAUCGGGAACAUGUCCAUGAAGGUAGCCAUCGGCAGUGCUUUACCAUGUUUACCUGGAGCACUCCACCACAACAACCCCAUUCAAGAUGGCUAUGCUCGUGUCACGGUGGAGGACAUAGUCCAAGGGUUUGAGGACCUGGAGAUUGACAUUGCUACACCUGAAGGGGAGAAAAGACUUGGAGAUGUCAAGCGCCAUUUCAUUCUAUGGCAAAAGAAGUUUAUCAAGUUUCCAGGCGAGGCGCCAAGGACAACAAGUCCACCCCCCUACGGUGGUGGCGGUUCACCUACACCUCCGUCACGUUAGCCGACGCCCCCCAGUCCACAACGUCCGGCGGGUGAUCAGACGCCGCCCCCCAGUCCUCGUCCGGCGGGUGAUCAGACGCCGCCCCCCAAUCCACCUCAGGCAAAGAAGCAGAAGCAGUCCUGGAUUAUUAACCCGGACCCUUAUGUACCUAAGACCACAAAGGUACCGGAGCCAUCACUGAAGCCUCUCCCCACAAGGCCUUGGGAACGUAGUGCCGAGGAAACUGCCACGGCCGCGGCUGCUGAUCAUGAGAAAUGGAAGGCGGACUGCAAGAAGAAAAGAGAGCCCGAGCCCAAGCCAGUAUUUUCUGAUGAGCAAAAGAAGUGGGCUAAGUCAUUUUUGAGCACACCGUCCCAAGCCGCGAAGAAUCUGCCUGACGACUAUGCACGUGAACUUCGUAGGCAUGCACUCAUGUUGAAGGAGAAGAAAGAGCGGGUGGAGAACUAGGAGAACAAAGCCUUGGAGGAGGCCGAGAAAACGGAAUUAGAAAGUAAAAAAAGCGGGAAACGAGUUGCCCAGCUCGAGGAACAAAGUAAACAAUCGAUUGCCCCGCUUAUAGUGAAAGUCGCCGGUCCGGAUGACCCCGAUAUCAUAGCAGUUGCGGCAGCACAUGGAUUGACUGUAACGAGUGCCAGAGAACAAGCGGCCAACUUAGGUAUUACUCUUCGUGAACUGUUAGGCCUUGAUGAGGCGCCAGUGAAGGAGGUAGUAAUUACAUAUGUGAAGAAUGGGCCUCUCGUCGAGCCUGCGCAGGAAGAGGAUCUACCUCCACAAAUGAAAGGUCUGCUGAAAUGGUACAAGGGUUACAUAAAAAAUAAAAACGCCAAAGAAUAUAUUUAUGCGGAAGUUAGAUAUGAGCAUCACUUCAAACAUUACUAUGUACAAAUUCAUCUGAGUGAAUUGUUCCAGCUUUUCAAUAUGCGCGAGCUCGACAAAUCUAUCAUCAGUUGCUACGUUCUGUAAGUGAUUUAUUUCUACCCCAUCUCGUUCAUAUUGCCUGCACUAUAUAUAUGUCCUAACUAUAUUGUUGUGUCCGCUAUUAUACAUGCAGAAUGAAGAUUAAGGAAUGCAGAGUAAGGAACAUCCAUGAUGUUGGGUUCAUUGACCCACACAUCGUUAAUGGAUAUGUGUUGGAGCAUCACCCCGCCGACAUGGAGGCAGACCUGUGGCAGUUUCUUACAAAGCAGGAACUCAAAAGUGAUAUUCUAUUUCCUUACCAUUUUGGGUGAGUGUUUCUGUCUUGAGCACAUUCUCUUUUGUUUACUCCAUGCAUGGUAUGUGGCCGGCUAAUCGAUGAGUUAUGCAUGACGUACUGUGCAUGUAUCGUGUCCGCAGGUUCCACUGGAUUCUGCUAGUAAUUAAAGUUGACACCUCAAAAUGUCUCGUCCACGACUCUCUGAAUAAGGAUCCAAAGCUUUGGGGCGGCAUGAGAAGAAUGCUGUAGAAGUAAUUAUUUUCAUUCAUUUGCGCUCUAUAUUGAUCGGCCUAUUUCGUUCAUUUCCUAAUAUCAAGUAACUAAUAACUCUCUUGUUCAUUUAAUUUUCUUUGCCUCGUAGGGUUUGGAGACGGUUCGUAGAUACAAAGGUCGGUGAAUUCAAAAAAGAGCUAGAAUUCAAAAGGUCAAAGGCUAAGAAUGGUGAGGAUAUUCAGCCAGCGGGGACCAAUCUAUGUGCAUACUAUGUCUGUGAGAUGAUCCGGAGAUACACCUCUGAGCGGGUUCCGAGUGAUACCAAUGCUCAGAGGAAUAACCUCCGGAUGAUGCUUAGUCCAGAAGCUCGCUUCCGACCACUUCAAGAGGAACUAGCUGGGUGGUUCAGGAGGGAAGUCCUCCAUCCUAAAGGAGAACACCAUUACGAGGACGUAGAACUUUAUAUGCAUUAAAUUAUGUAUGGAAACUUGUUCAAAAUUGUAUAUGGUCAUCCGAUGAUAUUGAAUAUAUAUUGUAUAUUCCUCUUGAAUUCUUUUUGGUUCUAAUUUCAAAUUUGUUUGAAAUUGUACAUUCAUAUGCAUGUAUGUAGUACCGUAGAAUAUGUGAAACUCCUUCAAAAUUAAAAUAAAGCACAAAAGAAAUAAAACAAUACAAAUUAAACAGAAAACUGGUUUAGGGGGGGGGGCUAAAACCCUAAACCUGCGGCGGCCUUUAGUCGCGGUUGGCCAGAAGAACCGCAACUAAAGGUCCUCCGCCCCGACGGCCACCUGGCGCCCACGUGGACGGGCCUUUAGUCGCGGUUCUUAAGCAACCGCGACUAAAGGGGGGGCCUUUAGUCGCGCCUAUUUGGUCGCGGUUGCGCAACCGCGACUAAUGGCAGUUGCGAACCGCGACCAAAGGCCCUUUUUCCACCAGUGAUUCAAGAGAACCGAAAAUGUUGAACGAAGCGCCAAAUAGGCCUCUGGUCACCCGAAACCGCGCGAGACUAAUGUUUGGUGGUAGGAAAUUACUGUCCUGACUCUGGCCCAUGUAGCCUAUCGGCCCGAUGUCCAAAGGUCUAAACCAGGGUAGGUUUGUAACUUCACCAAGACGCGGUCUAAACCGCCUCCGAGAAGCAUUCAUAUGCCGUGGGCGCCUAAACACCCAUGCGCUCGGCCGAAAUUUAUCCCGCACACAUUUGGGACACCUGACAGGACUGUCCUACCCCCAACCCGCAAUAUGUCCAAAAUUUUACAUGGGGGCAAAGUUCGUAACUUUCCCCAAAUUUCAAACAAGCAUGUCUCAAACCGAAACAUUGUUCCCCCAUAGUUCCCCGCCUCCCUCCAUUUCCCCAUUCAUACUCCAUGUGCGCGAAAACGCCCUCUCCACCAGCCGCGAAACCCCAGCCUCCUCCGUCCUCCACCCCAUAGCGGCCAAUCCACCCCGCCCUCCUCCAUCACACUGGAGCCGAUACCCCGACAUCGUCGUCCAACGCAACCGCAACCGCAACGCCCUCAAGGACUUAGCAGCUAAAGCCAAGGCAGAGCUACCUCCACGACACAGACGCCGAUGUGCACCGUCCCAGAACCACUCCGACCACGCUGUCCUGCGCCUCACUGCUGCGGCUCCACUGUCGCAACCGUCCACAGCACCGGAGCUAUUCCCGCUACGCCAUCGUUCGCCGCCUCACAUCUGCUUCCCCUUCGCCGACAGACGGCCACCGCACUGCACUCAACAACUUGGCCAUGGGUUCGUCCAAGGCUGCACCGUCCUCCGCAACUUCUGGUUUCCGGCGAACAACAAGAAGAUCGUUGGAAAAACAAAAGGAGGACACAAUACUACCAGCAGAAAGAGGUACCCGUCUUCCCUUAUUCGUGCAAAUCUUACGUCUCCGCUCACACCGUAUUCAUCCCAUGAAAGAAACUAGUUGAGCGCUUCUUACUUCAUCUUCUUCGUGAUACUAAAUGCCCAAGGUUUCCUCCCUUUUACUAUUUCACCUUUUCUAGAGGUCAGUAGCCCGCCUGGAUUUCAAUUCAGGGUCAGUCGAACCGCAAUUAAAAGAAGCAGCACCCGCUUAGGCGCGCGGAGAUCCUAGUCCGCCUGUUCCCCGGGGAAGCGGUGCAUCGGUGUCUAUCAUAGGGGUGUGGGGCGCAGGAGCUGCUUGCGACCGAUCUGGAGGUCGGCGGGGCUUGAAUGGAUGGCCGGGGGGCGAUGCCAAGCACGGCCGUGCGGUGAGAUCAAGGGGAGGGCGCAGGCAGGGGAGGGAUACUGGGUCGGUGGUCUCUCGCAUUUCGAGGAAGAUCAUCAACACUGACUAGCUAGAGGUAGAUGAAGGCGAUCUGCCCGUUCUUUGUACAUCGGAUGGUGUAGAAAAAAUGGACUGACCUAUUUGCUUUCAGUCGACUGUUAUUUUCAUAGAAUCUUGUAGUAAUUUAGUGUGUCAUGCAUGUUGUAGAGCUAUCAUAUGUCUCCCGUCAUUUAUUUCUCACCGACCUGCUAUCUGCUACCUUUACACUGUAUUAAUUGUGCACACACUUCACCCAUACUCACACUAUUAUUUUUUUAUGCAUGGGUAUUUCAGACUUUGAUGCAGUGUUGAUGAAUGCAGAAAAGAAAAUACAGAAGUCGCUCCAGUGUAAUUCGAAGAUAAGCACUAAGCGUUUCAGCGCUCUAAUGGGUGCGGUGUCAGCAGUUGGAGACAAUAAACGUAGCUCUGCAGUUGGUGAUCUCAAUUGCCACACACAACCAUCCCAGGUGCUUGCUUUAACUUCUCGCUGUCAAAUGUGGUUGCAUGUUGCAUAUGGUAUCUAGCUUGUAUUGCUUCUAAUUUGGUUAAAUUGCAUCUGCUUACUUUACACAUUAUACCGUUGAUAAUGACAUGCCUUCCUGUUUUUGAUACAUACUACAUAUGUCUAUUAACCAUGUUCGUACAUUAAACUAAUGCUCUUUUGUAUCGCUCGUCAAUCACUUAUGAUGAGACAGUCACCCGAGUUGGUUACUGUGAGACGCCCUACUCGUUUAAAGAGUGCAGUGUUAUCCUCCCCACAUCAUUCUCAAGAAACAGCAAGGCUAAAUGAAGAUAGUCAACGUAGCUCUCUAGUUGAUCACCGUAGUUCCCCCACACCACCAUCGCAUGUGCUUGCUCUUACUUGGCAGUGUGAUAUGUGGUGGCAUGUUGCAUAUGGUGUCUACCUUGUAAUGCUUCUAAUUAGGGUAAAUUGCAUCUACUUAGCUAACACAUUAUACCUGUGAAUAUGACAUGCCUUCCUGUUUUUGUUACAUACUACGUCUUUAUAUUAACCAUGUUCUUACAUCAAACUAUUUUUCUUGUGUAUGCCUCAUCAAUGCUCCUAAUUUGUUAAAUUGUAUCUCAUUAGCUUACACAUUAUACAUGUGAAUAUGACACGCUUUCCUAUUUUUGGUACAUACUACAUCUGCCUAUCACACCAUGUUCUUACAUCAAACUACUAUUCUUGUGUAUCAUGCAUCUAUCGCUUAUGAUGAGACAGUCACGCGCGUGGGUUAAUAUGAGAUGCAAUACUCUUAUAAAGAAUGCAAUUUCAUCCUCUCCACAUGAUUCUCAAGAAAUAGCAAGCCUAAAUGAAGAUAUUGAACAUAGCUCUGUACCUGAAGACCGCACUUCCCCUGCACCACCAUCAUAGGUGCUUGCUCUAACUUCGCAGUGUGAUAUGUGGUUGCAUGUUGCAUACGGUGUCUAGCUUGUAAUGCUUCUAAUUAGGGUAAAUUGCAUCUCCUUAGUUUACACACUAUACCUGUGAAUAUGACAUGCCUUCCUAUUUUUGGUACACACUACAUCUAUGUGUUAACCUUGUUCUUACAUGAAACUACCUCUCUUAUGUAUUCUGCAUCAAUCACUUACGAUGAGUCACCUUUAUUCGUUGCAUAUUGCAUAUUAUUUCUAGCCUGUUGCCAUGUAUUUCUUCUAAUUUGGUCAAAUACAUUUGUUAGGGCACCCUUUUAGUUUGGCAGAGUUAUAUUGGUUUCAUCUUUCAUAUGGUUUCUAGCUUGCAUCGAUUCUAACAAGUUCAAGCACCUUGUGCUUAGUUUACACUUUAUACAUCAUACAUGUCAAUAUGUCACGCCAUCCUGUUUUUCAUACAUAUUCCAUCCUCCUAUCAUGCGGCUGCCUUAGAUGAAAGUAGUGUUCGUCAGUAUCAUGCAUCAAUGAGUUCUGAAGAGCAAAUUUUAUUCCUUUUUCUUGUGGGUUUGACUUGACAAGGCAAAAUCAAGAAAGAGGAAGGAAAAGAGUAAGGAAGGCGAUGAUGGUGGUCCUCUGCAGCAACGUAAAUGGAGCAUCUAUACCCAUUCUCCUUGUACUGAUAGUGCAUUACAAGGUCCAAGUCUCCGCUCCCCUACUCCACCAUCCAAGGUGCUUGCUCUAACUUUGCAGUGUGAUAUCUGAUUGCAUGUUGCAUAUGGUGUCUAGCUCGUAUUGCUCCUAAUUAGUGUAAACUGCAUCUGCUUAGCUUACACAUGACACAUGUGAAUAUGACACGCUUUCCUAUUUUUGGUACAUACUAUAUCUGUCUAUCACACCAUGUUCUUACAUGAAACUACUCUUCUUGUGUAUCCUGCAUCAGUCACUUAUGAUGGGACACCUUUAAGUUAGCAGUGUGAUAUUGGUUUGCGUCUUGAAUAUGAUUUCUAGCAUGUAUUGCUUCCAGUUUGAUGAACGCCACCUAUGACGAGACAGUUUUAACUUGGCAAAGUGAUAUUGAUUGCACCUUCCAUAUGGUGUCUUGCAGUGUUUCUAAUUUGUUGAAGUGCCUUCUGCUUAGUUACCACAUCAUAGGUGUGAAUAUGUCAAGCCGUCCAUUUUUUCGUACAUAUUCUAUCCUCGUAUCAUGACUUUGCCUUUCAUCAGAGUAGUGUUCGUCAGUAUCAUGCAUGAAUGAAUUCUGAAGAGCAAAUUAUAUUCCUUUUUCUUGUCGGUAUGACCUCACAAUGCAAAAUCAAUAAAGCUGAAGGAAAUUGGCAAGGCAUUGGAUGAUGGUGGUCCCUCCAAGCAACUAAAACGGAGGUUCUCUACAGAUUCUACUCCGCCAUCCUCCCAACAAGAUUCGCAAGACAACGCAAGGCUAGAUAGUCAACGUAGCUGUGUAGAUGAUGAGCACAUUUCCCCUACUCCACCAUCACAGGUGUUUGCUCUAACUUGGCACUAUUAUAUGUGGUUGCAUGUUGCGUAUGAUGUCUAGCUUGUAUUACUUCUAAUUUUGUUGAAUUGCGUGUGCAUACUUCUAUACCUCUAUAUACCUAUACUAAUUAGGCACUCCAAAAAAAUUCCCACGUUAAUCAGUAAUUAGGAGCCGUUAAUCUUGUGGGACCAAAUUAUUACGGUGUAGAUCUACUGGAAUUUUUCCACAUCAAUCUGAAAAAAAACAUAUGUAGACAAAUUCUAUUUGGCUGAUCUAUCUUUAGUUCUUUUUUUGUACUUGGCUGAUCUAUCUUUAGUUUUCUCACAGGUGCGGUCUAUCUUUUCAUGCAAUUUGUUGAACCGUUGUGGAAAAAACGAAACGGCCCUAACCUGGACACAUGCACGUAACAUUAUUUUUUUGAAAGUCUCAUGUAUAUCUAUUGAUGUCCUUUCUUUUUUAUGAAGGCAUGAUGAUUAUAGCUCCUAAUAAAGCCCCAUCAGCCCACAAAAUUUCUGGCAAAACAGGAAAAAAAACCAAUCUAUUCCAUCAUCUCCCCAUGGCACAGUCCUUCCUAAUCACGAUACCCAACUCUGAAUCGUCCUUCCUCUAAAAAAAACUAACGGACUCUUCCACUUGACGUUACUAUUAAACACGAGAAGCAAUCUCUAUCCACAAUCUAUUUCUUCUCAUUAUUAGAAAAAGUUUUCUCUUCUAUCAAAAAUAGCCCAUCGUCUCUCUCUUUCUCUCUCCCAUGGAAAACAAUACAUCAUCUCUCUCAAGCUCAAGCAUGCAGGUUGGGGCGACAUAGAUGAGUUCUUUCCGGCGACACGUGGGUAUAUUAGGUAAGCUCGACUACUUCUGAGCGGAUUGCAGUUCGGAGGAGAUGAAAAUAUACCGCGGAAUUUUCUCACGCAUAGAAGCUAGCAGGCUAUAGGAUCGAUUCUUCUAGAAGACGCAGGUAUACGAUGCUAAUCCCUUUGAUCCGUUCUGCAAAACACACAUAUACAUACGAGGACCCAAUUUAUUGGCCACAAAUUUUAAAGUCGGAUUAGAUCUGUGUAUAGGUGUAGUUUGAACCUUCCAGACGUGCAUUGAUUGAGUUAUGUUGAGCACAGGCGUGAAAAGAAAAUCCCGAUUACCAUACAUGACACAUCUGAUCAGCCUUCAUGCAGUACCUCAUGUCGACUGCCUAAUCCUUCUAAGCUUCUAUAAUACUAGAUGACCUGUCGCGCCAUUUGGCGUGCGAGACAAAUUUGAAGCAAAAACUAAAAGAGAUUACUUUGCUUUUUUUGGUAGCAGACAAUGUUGAUGUAUACUCUUUUGCGAAGUGUGUGGAUCUGUAUAAAAAUAUAUAUUUUCUCAUUUGUAAUGUAUGAAACUGAUAAAAUUGACGCAAAAGCCCAACUGAAACGAAGAACAAAAUGCAAAUGUUUGAGUUUGCAAUUAGAAGAUUCAAGUAGCUAUAUACGCAGGUGGCACAAUAAAAUGCACUAAAGACAUGAUAAUAUAGAGCACUGUGUCCAGGAGCACUUCUUAGUGAUAGUGGUCAAUUACAUCAUAUACUCCCUCUGUCCGAGGUGAUGAAACCUGCCUCCGCAGGUGAUUCAAUCCAAAUCAUGCCAGACCGAUGAACAAAAAUGGCAUGCAACAUCACCUAACACACAUCUGAGCUAAAACUCAGUAUUUCUUUGGUUCUCAAAAAGAGACAGUACCAGCAACAAUGGCUGAUGAUAGCUGCAAGCAAAGUAGUAUGCAUCAGCUGGGAGCAAAAACCACGGUUGCACUUUCAUAUCAUUAACAACAACAAGGAAUUGGAAACUCGUUAACUUCAAAUAUACCUGAAAAGAAAACACGUAGUUCAAUCUCAUUUCCUCACCUCCCAGUACAUUGUAGUCCAAAAAAGGGAAGCACAAUAAAUAAAAUAAAUAGGAAAACAACAUAGAAAGGCCUUGCAAAGCAUCCAAGAUCCAACUUUAUGCCUACACAUAAUAAGAGACAAUUGGAUUUCUAUUUACAGAAGUAAGAAAUGACUACCCGUCCUCUGGUUUAGUAGUAACCCACUCUACUUAUUUUGAAAAAACACAAAAUUAUUGCAUGUUUGCCUUUUUCCUGAGACCAUUUGUAUUCGGGAAGCAUUUAACCAGACCUAAUCGGGAAGGAGCUGCAAUUAUUCAUUUCUGUACUUGCUAAUUCAUUCCAACAUGUGUAAUACCCAAUUAAACCAAAUCAUCCAAAAGAUAUGAGAUAAUUUUCUCCAUUGUGAUUGUUCUAUAAUAAAGCCCAUGAUGUAAAUACAAAUAAAAGCAUUCUGAUCUCCUUCAAUACCUAAAUUGCAAAAAAUUAAUGGGACUACUCAACUUGUUAUCUUUGACUGGCACUGGUAGAAAAAGAGGCUUCUGUCCAGCCCCAUUAGUCGCGAAACUGUAGGAGCCGCGACUAAUGAAGUCUUUAGUCGCGGUUCGGCAGACGAACCGCGACCAAAGGCCUGGGCCCAGGGCGCUCGGUGGCCAGCUGGUGCACGUGAGGGGCUUUAGUCGCGGUUGGCCAGGCCAACAGCGACUAAAGGUGCGCAAAGGCCUUUAGUCGCGGUUGGCCAGGCCAACCGCGACUAAAGCUCCUCCCCUAUAUAUACCAGUUCAGCACGCUCACUUAGCCAUUUGGUGCCACUUCUCUUCACAAGCUUCACAAGGGGGUGUAGGUUUGCUUUUGGUUCCUCUUAUGCANNNNNNNNNNNNNNNNNNNNNNNNNNNNNNNNNNNNNNNNNNNNNNNNNNNNNNNNNNNNNNNNNNNNNNNNNNNNNNNNNNNNNNNNNNNNNNNNNNNNNNNNNNNNNNNNNNNNNNNNNNNNNNNNNNNNNNNNNNNNNNNNNNNNNNNNNNNNNNNNNNNNNNNNNNNNNNNNNNNNNNNNNNNNNNNNNNNNNNNNNNNNNNNNNNNNNNNNNNNNNNNNNNNNNNNNNNNNNNNNNNNNNNNNNNNNNNNNNNNNNNNNNNNNNNNNNNNNNNNNNNNNNNNNNNNNNNNNNNNNNNNNNNNNNNNNNNNNNNNNNNNNNNNNNNNNNNNNNNNNNNNNNNNNNNNNNNNNNNNNNNNNNNNNNNNNNNNNNNNNNNNNNNNNNNNNNNNNNNNNNNNNNNNNNNNNNNNNNNNNNNNNNNNNNNNNNNNNNNNNNNNNNNNNNNNNNNNNNNNNNNNNNNNNNNNNNNNNNNNNNNNNNNNNNNNNNNNNNNNNNNNNNNNNNNNNNNNNNNNNNNNNNNNNNNNNNNNNNNNNNNNNNNNNNNNNNNNNNNNNNNNNNNNNNNNNNNNNNNNNNNNNNNNNNNNNNNNNNNNNNNNNNNNNNNNNNNNNNNNNNNNNNNNNNNNNNNNNNNNNNNNNNNNNNNNNNNNNNNNNNNNNNNNNNNNNNNNNNNNNNNNNNNNNNNNNNNNNNNNNNNNNNNNNNNNNNNNNNNNNNNNNNNNNNNNNNNNNNNNNNNNNNNNNNNNNNNNNNNNNNNNNNNNNNNNNNNNNNNNNNNNNNNNNNNNNNNNNNNNNNNNNNNNNNNNNNNGAGUUCACUACGGGUUUGAAAGAUUUCCUCGUAGUGGCUAAUGCGAACAAGCAGGGGGGUUUUGUUAUCUGUCCAUGUGUUAUCUGUAAGAAUCAGAAGGGUUACUCUUCCUCAAGAGAUGUUCACAUGCAUCUGCUUCGGCACGGUUUCAUGCCAAGCUAUAAUUGUUGGACCAAGCAUGGAGAAAGAGGGGUUAUAAUGGAAGAAGAUGAAGAAGGGGAUGAUUUCAUCGAUGAAAGCUAUCUUGCUCAUUUCGAUGAUACUUUCAUGGAGGAUGCUGAAGGUGAAGGGGAAGGUGAAGAAGAGGCACGUGAUGAUCCCGUUGAUGAUCUUGGUCGGACCAUUGCUGAUGCACGGAGACGCUGCGAAACUGAAAAGGAGAGGGAGAAUUUGGAUCGCAUGUUAGAGGAUCACAGAAAGGCGCUGUACCCCGGAUGCGAUGAUGGUCUGAAAAAGCUGGGCUGCACACUGGAUUUGCUGAAAUGGAAGGCAGAGGCAGGUGUAGCUGACUCGGCAUUUGAAAACUUGCUGAAAAUGUUGAAGAAUAUGUUUCCAAAGGAUAACGAGUUGCCCGCCAGUACGUACGAAGCAAAGAAGGUUGUCUGCCCUCUAGGUUUAGAGGUUCUGAAGAUACAUGCAUGCAUCAACGACUGCAUCCUCUACCGUGGUGAAUACGAGAAUUUGAAUGAAUGCCCGGUAUGCACUGCAUUGCGUUAUAAGAUCAGAGACGAUGACCCUGGUGACGAUGUUGAGGGCCAGAAACCCAGGAAGAGGGUUCCCGCCAAGGUGAUGCGGUAUGCUCCUAUAAUACCACGGUUGAAACGUCUGUUCAGGAACAAAGAGCAUGCCAAGUUGUUGCGAUGGCACAAAGAGGACCGUAAGUCGGACGGGGAGUUGAGACACACCGCAGAUGGAACGCAAUGGAGAAAGAUCGACAGAUGGUUCAAAGAUUUUGUAGCUGACGCAAGGAACAUAAGAUUUGCUCUAAGUACGGAUGGCAUGAAUCCUUUUGGCGAGCAGAGCUCCAGCCAUAGCACCUGGCCCGUGACUCUAUGCAUCUACAACCUUCCUCCUUGGUUGUGCAUGAAGCGGAAGUUCAUUAUGAUGCCAGUGCUCAUCCAAGGUCCGAAGCAACCCGGCAACGACAUCGAUGUGUACCUAAGGCCAUUAGUUGAUGAACUUUUACAGCUGUGGGGUGGUGUCCGUGUGUGGGAUGAGCACAAACAAGAGGAAUUUGACCUACGAGCGUUGCUUUUCGUAACCAUCAACGAUUGUCCUGCUCUUAGUAACCUUUCGGGACUGUCAAAUAAGGGAUACAAUGCAUGCACGCACUGCUUACAUUAGACUGAAAGUGUACAUUUGCCAAAUUGUAAGAAGAACGUGUACCUUGGGCAUCGUCGAUUUCUUCCGAAAAUUCAUCCAGUAAGAAAGAAAGGCAAGCAUUACAACGGCAAGGAAGAUCACCGGCCGAAGCCUGCGGAACGCACUGGUGCUGAGGUAUUUGAUAUGGUCAAGGAUUUGAAAGUCAUCUUUGGAAAGGGUCCUGGCGGACAAUCAGUUCCGAAGGGAGCUGACGGGCACGCAGCCAUGUGGAAGAAGAAAUCUAUAUUCUGGGAGCUAGAAUAUUGGAAAGUCCUAGAUGUCCGCUCUGCAAUCGACGUGAUGCACGUUACGAAGAAUAUUUGCGUGAACCUCCUAAGCUUCUUGGGCGUGUAUGGGAAGACAAAUGAUACAAAGGAAGCACGGCAGGACCAGCAACGUUUGAAAGACCCUGAUGACCGGCAUCCGGAAUGGUUUCAAGGUCGUGCCAGCUACGCUCUGACCAAAGAAGAGAAGGUCAUCUUUUUUGAAUGCCUGAGCAGUAUGAAGGUCCCGUCUGGAUUCUCGUCCAAUAUAAAGGGAAUAAUAAACAUGGCGGAGAAAAAGUUCCAAAACCUGAAGUCUCACGACUGCCACGUGAUUAUGACGCAAUUGCUUCCGAUUGCUUUGAGGGGGCUCCUGCCGGAAAAUGUUCGAGUAGCCAUUGUGAAGCUAUGUGCAUUCCUCAAUGCAAUCUCUCAGAAGGUAAUCAAUCCAGAAGUUCUACCACGGUUACAGAACGAUGUGAAAUGAGGAGGUAAUUGAGUUUUGUGUUGACUUUGUUCCUGACCUUAAGCCGAUUGGUCUUCCUCGAUCGCGGCACGAGGGGAGACUAAGUGGAAAAGGCAUGAUCGGAAGGAAAUCAACGAUAUGUAUGGACGGCCAUUCUCUGACUGAAGCACACCACACUGUACUGACCAAUUCAAGCUUGGUGGCUCCGUACUUUGAGAAACACAAGAAUAUUUUACGCUCGGACAACCCGGGGAAGCCUGAAUCCUGGAUUAGGAAGGCCCACAUGGAGACUUUCGGCAGUUGGUUGAGAAAACAUUUAAUGAAUGACAAUGAUGUUGUAGAUCAGCUGUACAUGUUGGCCAAGACACCAUCUUCGACUAUAACGACUUUCCAAGGGUACGAGAUAAAUGGGAAUACAUUUUACAUGAUCGCCCAAGAUAAAAAGAGCACCAACCAAAACAGUGGUGUCCGCUUUGAUGCAGCAACCGAGAAUGGGCAAAAGGUCACAUAUUAUGGUUACAUAGAGGAGAUAUGGGAACUUGACUAUGGACCCUCCUUUAAGGUCCCUUUGUUCCGGUGCAAAUGGUUCAAGCUAACAGGAGGUGGGGUAAAGGUGGACCAGCAAUACGGAAUGACAAUGGUGGAUUUCAACAAUCUUGGUUACCUUGAUGAACCAUUCGUCCUAGCGAAAGAUGUCGCUCAGGUUUUCUAUAUGAAGGACAUGAGUAGCAAACCGAGGAAACGGAAAGAUUAGAAAACGAUCAGUGCAUCAUGCGAUGAUCCAAAGCGCCACAUUGUUCUUUCAGGGAAAAGAAACAUCGUGGGAGUGGAGGACAAGACAGACAUGUCAGAAGAUUAUAAUAUGUUUGCUGAAAUUCCGCCCUUCAAAGUGAACACCGACCCAAGCAUUAAGUUAAAUGAUGAGGAUGCUCCAUGGAUACGGCACAAUCGUAAGCAAGCAGGGACACAAGGGAAGAAAUGAUGUGUAAUAAUUUAUUGUAUCAAACCUUUUGUCAAACCUUCAAGGGGUUUUAAAAUGAAUUAGUUUUUUUUUCUGAUUUUUUUGAUAUAUAAUUGUAUUUUUAAGAUUUGAAAAUGAAGAAAAAACAGAAGAAAAAAACAGAAGAAAAAAGCAAACAGAAGAAAAACAUAAGAAAAAAGGAAAAACAGAAGAAAAAAACAGAAGAAAAAAGGAAAAAGGAAAAAGGAAGAAAAAAACAGAAGAAAANNNNNNNNNNNNNNNNNNNNNNNNNNNNNNNNNNNNNNNNNNNNNNNNNNNNNNNNNNNNNNNNNNNNNNNNNNNNNNNNNNNNNNNNNNNNNNNNNNNNNNNNNNNNNNNNNNNNNNNNNNNNNNNNNNNNNNNNNNNNNNNNNNNNNNNNNNNNNNNNNNNNNNNNNNNNNNNNNNNNNNNNNNNNNNNNNNNNNNNNNNNNNNNNNNNNNNNNNNNNNNNNNNNNNNNNNNNNNNNNNNNNNNNNNNNNNNNNNNNNNNNNNNNNNNNNNNNNNNNNNNNNNNNNNNNNNNNNNNNNNNNNNNNNNNNNNNNNNNNNNNNNNNNNNNNNNNNNNNNNNNNNNNNNNNNNNNNNNNNNNNNNNNNNNNNNNNNNNNNNNNNNNNNNNNNNNNNNNNNNNNNNNNNNNNNNNNNNNNNNNNNNNNNNNNNNNNNNNNNNNNNNNNNNNNNNNNNNNNNNNNNNNNNNNNNNNNNNNNNNNNNNNNNNNNNNNNNNNNNNNNNNNNNNNNNNNNNNNNNNNNNNNNNNNNNNNNNNNNNNNNNNNNNNNNNNNNNNNNNNNNNNNNNNNNNNNNNNNNNNNNNNNNNNNNNNNNNNNNNNNNNNNNNNNNNNNNNNNNNNNNNNNNNNNNNNNNNNNNNNNNNNNNNNNNNNNNNNNNNNNNNNNNNNNNNNNNNNNNNNNNNNNNNNNNNNNNNNNNNNNNNNNNNNNNNNNNNNNNNNNNNNNNNNNNNNNNNNNNNNNNNNNNNNNNNNNNNNNNNNNNNNNNNNNNNNNNNNNNNNNNNNNNNNNNNNNNNNNNNNNNNNNNNNNNNNNNNNNNNNNNNNNNNNNNNNNNNNNNNNNNNNNNNNNNNNNNNNNNNNNNNNNNNNNNNNNNNNNNNNNNNNNNNNNNNNNNNNNNNNNNNNNNNNNNNNNNNNNNNNNNNNNNNNNNNNNNNNNNNNNNNNNNNNNNNNNNNNNNNNNNNNNNNNNNNNNNNNNNNNNNNNNNNNNNNNNNNNNNNNNNNNNNNNNNNNNNNNNNNNNNNNNNNNNNNNNNNNNNNNNNNNNNNNNNNNNNNNNNNNNNNNNNNNNNNNNNNNNNNNNNNNNNNNNNNNNNNNNNNNNNNNNNNNNNNNNNNNNNNNNNNNNNNNNNNNNNNNNNNNNNNNNNNNNNNNNNNNNNNNNNNNNNNNNNNNNNNNNNNNNNNNNNNNNNNNNNNNNNNNNNNNNNNNNNNNNNNNNNNNNNNNNNNNNNNNNNNNNNNNNNNNNNNNNNNNNNNNNNNNNNNNNNNNNNNNNNNNNNNNNNNNNNNNNNNNNNNNNNNNNNNNNNNNNNNNNNNNNNNNNNNNNNNNNNNNNNNNNNNNNNNNNNNNNNNNNNNNNNNNNNNNNNNNNNNNNNNNNNNNNNNNNNNNNNNNNNNNNNNNNNNNNNNNNNNNNNNNNNNNNNNNNNNNNNNNNNNNNNNNNNNNNNNNNNNNNNNNNNNNNNNNNNNNNNNNNNNNNNNNNNNNNNNNNNNNNNNNNNNNNNNNNNNNNNNNNNNNNNNNNNNNNNNNNNNNNNNNNNNNNNNNNNNNNNNNNNNNNNNNNNNNNNNNNNNNNNNNNNNNNNNNNNNNNNNNNNNNNNNNNNNNNNNNNNNNNNNNNNNNNNNNNNNNNNNNNNNNNNNNNNNNNNNNNNNNNNNNNNNNNNNNNNNNNNNNNNNNNNNNNNNNNNNNNNNNNNNNNNNNNNNNNNNNNNNNNNNNNNNNNNNNNNNNNNNNNNNNNNNNNNNNNNNNNNNNNNNNNNNNNNNNNNNNNNNNNNNNNNNNNNNNNNNNNNNNNNNNNNNNNNNNNNNNNNNNNNNNNNNNNNNNNNNNNNNNNNNNNNNNNNNNNNNNNNNNNNNNNNNNNNNNNNNNNNNNNNNNNNNNNNNNNNNNNNNNNNNNNNNNNNNNNNNNNNNNNNNNNNNNNNNNNNNNNNNNNNNNNNNNNNNNNNNNNNNNNNNNNNNNNNNNNNNNNNNNNNNNNNNNNNNNNNNNNNNNNNNNNNNNNNNNNNNNNNNNNNNNNNNNNNNNNNNNNNNNNNNNNNNNNNNNNNNNNNNNNNNNNNNNNNNNNNNNNNNNNNNNNNNNNNNNNNNNNNNNNNNNNNNNNNNNNNNNNNNNNNNNNNNNNNNNNNNNNNNNNNNNNNNNNNNNNNNNNNNNNNNNNNNNNNNNNNNNNNNNNNNNNNNNNNNNNNNNNNNNNNNNNNNNNNNNNNNNNNNNNNNNNNNNNNNNNNNNNNNNNNNNNNNNNNNNNNNNNNNNNNNNNNNNNNNNNNNNNNNNNNNNNNNNNNNNNNNNNNNNNNNNNNNNNNNNNNNNNNNNNNNNNNNNNNNNNNNNNNNNNNNNNNNNNNNNNNNNNNNNNNNNNNNNNNNNNNNNNNNNNNNNNNNNNNNNNNNNNNNNNNNNNNNNNNNNNNNNNNNNNNNNNNNNNNNNNNNNNNNNNNNNNNNNNNNNNNNNNNNNNNNNNNNNNNNNNNNNNNNNNNNNNNNNNNNNNNNNNNNNNNNNNNNNNNNNNNNNNNNNNNNNNNNNNNNNNNNNNNNNNNNNNNNNNNNNNNNNNNNNNNNNNNNNNNNNNNNNNNNNNNNNNNNNNNNNNNNNNNNNNNNNNNNNNNNNNNNNNNNNNNNNNNNNNNNNNNNNNNNNNNNNNNNNNNNNNNNNNNNNNNNNNNNNNNNNNNNNNNNNNNNNNNNNNNNNNNNNNNNNNNNNNNNNNNNNNNNNNNNNNNNNNNNNNNNNNNNNNNNNNNNNNNNNNNNNNNNNNNNNNNNNNNNNNNNNNNNNNNNNNNNNNNNNNNNNNNNNNNNNNNNNNNNNNNNNNNNNNNNNNNNNNNNNNNNNNNNNNNNNNNNNNNNNNNNNNNNNNNNNNNNNNNNNNNNNNNNNNNNNNNNNNNNNNNNNNNNNNNNNNNNNNNNNNNNNNNNNNNNNNNNNNNNNNNNNNNNNNNNNNNNNNNNNNNNNNNNNNNNNNNNNNNNNNNNNNNNNNNNNNNNNNNNNNNNNNNNNNNNNNNNNNNNNNNNNNNNNNNNNNNNNNNNNNNNNNNNNNNNNNNNNNNNNNNNNNNNNNNNNNNNNNNNNNNNNNNNNNNNNNNNNNNNNNNNNNNNNNNNNNNNNNNNNNNNNNNNNNNNNNNNNNNNNNNNNNNNNNNNNNNNNNNNNNNNNNNNNNNNNNNNNNNNNNNNNNNNNNNNNNNNNNNNNNNNNNNNNNNNNNNNNNNNNNNNNNNNNNNNNNNNNNNNNNNNNNNNNNNNNNNNNNNNNNNNNNNNNNNNNNNNNNNNNNNNNNNNNNNNNNNNNNNNNNNNNNNNNNNNNNNNNNNNNNNNNNNNNNNNNNNNNNNNNNNNNNNNNNNNNNNNNNNNNNNNNNNNNNNNNNNNNNNNNNNNNNNNNNNNNNNNNNNNNNNNNNNNNNNNNNNNNNNNNNNNNNNNNNNNNNNNNNNNNNNNNNNNNNNNNNNNNNNNNNNNNNNNNNNNNNNNNNNNNNNNNNNNNNNNNNNNNNNNNNNNNNNNNNNNNNNNNNNNNNNNNNNNNNNNNNNNNNNNNNNNNNNNNNNNNNNNNNNNNNNNNNNNNNNNNNNNNNNNNNNNNNNNNNNNNNNNNNNNNNNNNNNNNNNNNNNNNNNNNNNNNNNNNNNNNNNNNNNNNNNNNNNNNNNNNNNNNNNNNNNNNNNNNNNNNNNNNNNNNNNNNNNNNNNNNNNNNNNNNNNNNNNNNNNNNNNNNNNNNNNNNNNNNNNNNNNNNNNNNNNNNNNNNNNNNNNNNNNNNNNNNNNNNNNNNNNNNNNNNNNNNNNNNNNNNNNNNNNNNNNNNNNNNNNNNNNNNNNNNNNNNNNNNNNNNNNNNNNNNNNNNNNNNNNNNNNNNNNNNNNNNNNNNNNNNNNNNNNNNNNNNNNNNNNNNNNNNNNNNNNNNNNNNNNNNNNNNNNNNNNNNNNNNNNNNNNNNNNNNNNNNNNNNNNNNNNNNNNNNNNNNNNNNNNNNNNNNNNNNNNNNNNNNNNNNNNNNNNNNNNNNNNNNNNNNNNNNNNNNNNNNNNNNNNNNNNNNNNNNNNNNNNNNNNNNNNNNNNNNNNNNNNNNNNNNNNNNNNNNNNNNNNNNNNNNNNNNNNNNNNNNNNNNNNNNNNNNNNGGUGGUGGUGGUGGUGGUGGCGGUUCACCUACACCUCCGUCACGUCAGCCGACGCCGCCCCCCAGUCCACAACGUCCGGCGGGUGAUCAGCCGCCGCCCCCCAGUCCUCGUCCGGCGGGUGAUCAGACGCCGCCCCCCAAUCCACCUCCGGCAAAGAAGCAGAAGCAGUCCUGGAUUAUUAACCCGGACCCUUAUGUACCUAAGACCACAAAGGUACCGGAGCCAUCACUGAAGCCUCUCCCCACAAGGCCUUGGGAACGUAGUGCCGAGGAAGUCGACGCGGCCGCGGCUGCUGAUUUGGAGAAAUGGAAGGCGGAUUGCAAGAAGAAAAGAGAGCCCGAGCCCAAGCCAGUAUUUUCUGAUGAGCAAAAGAAGUGGGCUAAGUCAUUUUUGAGCACACCGUCCCAAGCCGCGAAGAAUCUGCCUAACGACUAUGCACGUGAACUUCGCAGGCAGGCACUCAUGUUCAAGGAGAACAAAGAGCGGGAGAAGGCCGAAAGUAAAAAAGCGGGAAACAAGUUUCCCAGCUCGGGGAACAAAGUAAACAAUCGAUUGCCCCGCUUAUAGUGGAAGCCUUCUGUCCGGAUGCCCCCGAGAUCAUACAAGCUGCGGCAGCACAGGGAUUGACUGUAACGAGUGCCAGAGAACAAGCGGCCAACUUAGGUAUUACUCUUCGUGAACUGUUAGGCCUUGAUGAGGCGCCAGUGAAGGAGGUAGUAAUUACAUAUGUCAAGAAUGGGCCUCUCGUCGAGCCUGCGCAGGAAAAGGAUCUACCUCCACAAAUGAAAGGUCUGCUGAAAUGGUACAAGGGUUACAUAAAAAAUAAAAACGCCAAAGAAUAUAUUUAUGCGGAAGUUAGACAUGAGCAUCACUUCAAACAUUACUAUGUACAAAUUGAACUGAGUGAAUUGUUCCAGCUUUUCAAUCUGCGCGAGCUCGAUAAAUCUAUCAUCAGUUGCUACGUUCUGUAAGUGAUUUAUUAAUUUCUACCCCAUCUCGUUCAUAUUGCCUGCACUAUAUAUAUGUCCUAACUAUAUUGUUGUGUCCGCUAUUAUACAUGCAGAAUGAAGAUUAAGGAAUGCAGAGUAAGGAACAUCCAUGACGUGGAGGCAGACCUGUGGCAGUUUCUUACAAAGCAGGAACUCAAAAGUGAUAUUCUAUUUCCUUACCAUUUUGAGUGAGUGUUUCUGUCUUGAGCACAUUCUCUUUUGUUUACUCCAUGCAUGGUAUGUGGCCGGCUAAUCGAUGAGUUAUGCAUGACGUACUGUGCAUGUAUCGUGUCCGCAGGUUCCACUGGAUUCUGCUAGUAAUUAAAGUUAACACCUCAGAAUGUCUCGUCCACGACUCUGUGAAUAUGGAUCCAAAGCUUUGGGGCGGCAUGAGAAGAAUGCUGCAGAAGUAAUUAUUUUCAUUCAUUUGCGCUCUAUAUCGAUCGGCCUAUUUGGUUCAUUUCCUAAUAUCAAGUAACUAAUUAAUAACUCUCUUGUUCAUUUAAUUUUCUUUGCCUCGUAGGGUUUGGAGACGGUUCAUAGAUACAAAGGUCUGGUGAAUUCAAAAAAGAGCUAGAAUUCAAAAUGUUAAAGGCUAAGAAUGCUGGGGAUAUUCAGCCACCGGAGACCAAUCUAUGUGGAUACUAUGUCUGUGAGAUGAUCCGGAGAUACACCUCUGAGCGGGUUCCGAGUGAUACCAAUGCUCAGAGGAAUAACCUCUGGUGGAUGCUUAGUCCAGAAGCUCGCUUCCGACCACUUCAAAAGGAACUAGCUGGAUGGUUCAGCAGGGAAGUCCUCCAUCCUAAAGGAGAACACUAUUACGAGGACGUAGAACUUUAUAUGCAUUAAAUCAUGUAUGGAAACUUGUUCAAAAUUGUAUAUGGUCAUCCGAUGAUAUUGAAUAUAUAUUGUAUAUUCCUCUUGAAUUCUUUUUGGUUCUAAUUUCAAAUUUAUUUGAAAUUGUACAUUCAUAUGCAUGUAUGUAGUACCGUAGAAUAUAUGAAACUCCUUCAAAAUUAAAAUAAAGCACAAAAAAAAUAAAACAAUACAAAUUAAACAGAAAACAGGUUUAAGGGGGGGGGGCUAAAACCCUAAACCUGCGGCGGCCUUUAGUCGCGGUUGGCCAGAAGAACCGCGACUAAAGGUCCUCCGCCCCGACGGCCACCUGGCGCCCACGUGGACGGGCCUUUAGUCGCGGUUCUUAAGCAACCGCGACUAAAGGGGGGGGGGCCUUUAGUCGCGCCCGUUCUGUCGCGGUUGCGCAACCGCGACUAAUGGCAGUUUCGAACCGCGACCAAAGGCCCUUUUUCCACCAGUGUGGAACUAAAUUAUAGAAAAAUAAAAUCACAUGACUUGCAUAGAUUAAUUUUCUCAUGUCAGCCUUUUUGGAUUUUCAUCAAACAACCUGUAGACACAGAGAAACCAAAUCUACAAAAACAAAACGAGAAGCUCUGUGAGUAGGGGACUGGGAGAGAAGGCGAAUGCUCAGCUACUCCUGCUUCUCCUAUUGAGUGCUUCUCCUUUUGAGCACCUACAAGGAAGUCAAUGGCGACACAACCAUGUGAAUACCACAUAGAGUAUGUACAUGAAUAAUAGAUACAACAUAAGAAGAUAUGACAAGACCAUGCUAUGUAUGCAGUUAAAAAUAAGUGUUAUGUUAUCCGUCAUUAUGUCCUAAUAUAAUAUCAGUAUACUUGUCUGUAUGAUAUGCUAAAUAAAAGUUACAGAGCUUAUUCCAUUGAGCAGUGUUUCCGGGAAUAAGUUAACUCCUUUGGUACUUUGAUAUUUAUCUACUAACAAAUUGUAUCGCUUCACAUACAGUAAGUGUAAAAGAAAUGAGUAAGGGGUGUAUGUAUGACUCGAUGGCUUACCCCUAUGUUAACAAGUUGAGAGUGGAUUUCUCACGAACUUGAGGGACUUGCUCUCCUGUCACCGACAGCACACAUGCAUAAAAAAUAAACAAAAAGCAUCCAUGAGUGGCAAAGUGCAGGUAAUAGCAGUGAAUGUAGAGUAGGACCAAAACCAAACCUCCGUCUCCUUGGAGCAAAACCAAAACCAAACCUCUGGCCAUCGAGAGGGUCAGGGAAGAGAGAGAGGGCACAGAAGGGAGAGGGAGAGCACCUGCGUCUAAAGGGGAGGUUGGCCUCGCCGGCUUCCGCCCCUCCCGCUCCAGACCGGGAACCUACGAGGAGGUCAGGAGAGGUCAACCCAAACAAGAUCUAACUGGGUGCUAUUGGGAAAAUGAUCCCAACUGAUCACUGAAAAGCUCAUGAAAGCUCCAGAUUAGGAGAACAAAGCAAAUGCUCAUUUUAAUUUACUGAAUAACUUUUAAAAUUUCCAAUGAGAAGAUCCAAAUACCACAUUAUCAAAUUAGUGUUAGAAAUUUUUAGUGUACAGUCAGUGAAUGUGCAUACAUGAUUUAUAAUUUGCAGAAGCAUAUAAUCUGAUAACCGUAUUCUGAUUGCGAAAACAUACCUACACCACAUGCUUCUUAAAAAUGUAUUAGUAAGAAACGACAGAGCAGCAUCUAGCUGUGCAGGGUUCUUAAUCUGAAGCGACAUAGCAAGGAAUACUUCAGAUCAACAACAUAAGGAGAAACAAGCACUGAAACAUAACUCACCCUUCGCUUGAGCUCCUAGAACAGAACAGAUAAUGCAAAAUGUGUGUUAAAAGUGGACUGAAAUAUCAAUAGGCGGCAAAUAUAUACCUUCAUCGAAAUGAUAUAGCUAAUGAGAUAAGGACGAUGGACGAGUGCAUUUGUUGGGUAUUUCGUGGAAACCUGUUUCAUUCAUGAAUAAGUGCCAACAUGAGCCACACGCAUAAAACAAAAAUCUCAAAUGUAGCAGGGGAAAUUGGUACAGGUGCGUAUUGUACAUAGAAGAUUCACGAACAAGCAUGGGAGCCACUUAUUAUAUUUGUUGAUUGCGCUAGCAAGGAGAUCAGUUCCAAAUUCCAACCUCUAUUACCUGCUAUUCCUAACAGAAUAUCUCAUGAAAACUCAAAAGAAUGCUGAACCAAACAGAAAUUUACAAUGUUGUAAUUAGCUGCUCAAAGAGACUAUCUGCCUAAUACAAACUUUGAUGGAUGGCAACAUUGGAUCAAUCUACGUGUUCUAUGGUAACAUACCUGUACUUGCUCACUGUCUUUUAAGCUUAUUGGGUAAAAUUCUAGCCAUCCUACUACACAUUCGAUAUGGAUGAGUCAAUGAUAUAAACAUUGUGGUCCACUGGCUGAACAUAAGAACUCGGUAACCAUCAUUUGCUAAAGAAGGUAGAAGUUCUGCUAAGGCCUUAAAAAAGCCGAAAGUAAGGUAAAUCAUAAAUUGUACUUCAGUCAUAAUAUGCCUCGAUAGAAGACAUUUUAGUAAGCAAAAAACAGUUUACUUGCUUUAUUGUUGUUCUUCUUUUGAUAGAUGAGAGAACUUGCUAAUCAGAUAAAGGAAAAAAGGAAAGAAAAAAACACUACACCUGACAUUUCGCUGAUGCAAGAACAUGAUCAUCUUUUAGGGCACCCUUUGCACCAGUAUCACCAUAUGUAAUCAACAGCCGCAUGACAAACUAAAAAACAGAACAGAAACACAUGGUCACAACGAAAUGCCAAUUUAUUUCAUUUGAAACUAAACUACAAUGAUGCUAUGAUAAACUGAAAGGGGACGUCAAAGGGCGAAUUCAAAAUAUUUUCUCAUAAAUGAUAUGAGGCAUAAGAGACACAUACACACAACAGAGAGAUAUAUGUUGAAGAUGUUCAAUUAUCUGUCAAUCUAAGUAAUUGGUUUACUAACCACCAGUACAUGAGGUCUGUCAAUUAUUUAUGGAACCUGUCCAUUUGAGUCACAAUGGUUAGAGUGGCCAACGUGCAUUAGCCUAAGGCUCCAUAUCCCAAUUCUGGAAAUAAAUGUAUGACGCGCUAUAACUAUAUUAUUAAGCCUCUCACCAAUUGAUUCUUUCCUAUGUGGUCAUCUAAACACCCGUUAAUAUAUUAGGACAAAUAACGACAAAAAUUAGAAGGCUCUUUAUGAUAUUUUCUUUUCAGCUUGCAAGUGCCAUUAAUCGAGCGCGCAAAAGAUAAUAUCAAAUCAACUCCAUUCCCUGCUCGACAAACUCGAUCCACGUUUUUCCUUGGCAACCUCUCUAAGGAAAGGUAAGAGCUAAUUCAGUUGGGGAUAGGUCACCAUGUUGUCUGGUCAAUUAUGCACACACGGAAAGAGAUGGAAGAUCUGAAAAUGCAACAGUUACAAUGAGGACUCAAGAAAAAUGUAUCUGUUCUCCUCUUUUUCUUGGAUUUGCAUACAUCUCUCUCUCUCUCNNNNNNNNNNNNNNNNNNNNNNNNNNNNNNNNNNNNNNNNNNNNNNNNNNNNNNNNNNNNNNNNNNNNNNNNNNNNNNNNNNNNNNNNNNNNNNNNNNNNNNNNNNNNNNNNNNNNNNNNNNNNNNNNNNNNNNNNNNNNNNNNNNNNNNNNNNNNNNNNNNNNNNNNNNNNNNNNNNNNNNNNNNNNNNNNNNNNNNNNNNNNNNNNNNNNNNNNNNNNNNNNNNNNNNNNNNNNNNNNNNNNNNNNNNNNNNNNNNNNNNNNNNNNNNNNNNNNNNNNNNNNNNNNNNNNNNNNNNNNNNNNNNNNNNNNNNNNNNNNNNNNNNNNNNNNNNNNNNNNNNNNNNNNNNNNNNNNNNNNNNNNNNNNNNNNNNNNNNNNNNNNNNNNNNNNNNNNNNNNNNNNNNNNNNNNNNNNNNNNNNNNCUGAAAUGGCCAGAACAAUUUUUUAGAGCAAACACAGUAAAACGAAAUCCAUUUUUACUGAAAUCUCAAGCAUGUUUUGGUUGUUUCUGCAACAACAGCAACAAAAAAAAUCACUAUCAAAGAAGAGAGGGGGUGGAGAAGCUACCAUACCUGCAGAUACCGAGCUGGUGCUUUAGACGGCAGCGUGAAAGAAAAAAUUCUGAGCUGGUGUUCCUCAGCACACAUCAGCGGAGUUGGGCGCUACCACAAGAGUCAGAAGGUGAAAGGGGACGGGAAGACGAACCAAGCACGGACUGGAGGGAAGAACGGUUGGGCUCGUUCACGAACCAGGGCCGGCUUGCUCACCGAGAUGGGAGCACUACGGCCGCCGUCGGCUUCUCCUCGGCUCUGGCCUUGCUGCUCCUUCCCCCACCGCAGGCCUCCCCUGCCCCUGCUCCUCCAGCCCAACCGUGAAUACUGGCCGUCAACGGCGGCAGCCAGAGGGUGGAGGAGACGCACCGCUUCCAAAUGUCCACCCAGCGGAGACGACCUGAGCCCGAUCUGAACCAGGCGCCAUCGACGGAGGAGGGAGGUGGAGGGGCUACGUUGAGGAAGAGGAAGAGGAAGAGAAGGAGGCGGCUAGGAGGCCGUCCGCGCUGGGCGAGAGGGAGUAGGCGGCUGGGUGGAGAGCGAGAGGAGGCAGCUGAGGUGCUGCGGGAGAAGGCGGCUAGGGAUCUGCGGGAUCGGGAGGAGGAAGCGAGCGAGGGGACGAAUAAAAGGAGACGUGGCUGGUGCCGCUAGUUGGGCGCAUUAGCUCAUCCUUUAUAUGUUUAAUUCACGCCUGUAGAUUGUGCGCCGACAACACAAUGAGUCCUAGCCCAGUCCUUCAUCAUGCUAAGGGAAGUCCCACGCCUACAACACUCGGUCCCUCAUGCAGGCAAUUUUCUCACUGCCACUCUUUUCUCACCGUAAAACAGCUAUAGGUUGUUUCACUUCCGUACGUCUGUACUAUGUAGUGGCUGCACAGGCAUACGGCACCACAUGAAAGUUGUGCCACCGAUGCAGUGACGGAUUACCUUGCAUAGGACUCCGUACCACCUCAAGAUUCUUGAUGUACUAAUGACCGCCACAAGUUCAUGUGCAUGCAUGUAUUGAUUACGAAGGUCUCUUUGGGUCUACCUGCAAUCUCACGAAGUUUCUUUUUGUGAUUUCUCAUAAAACUUCCAUAGUUACUGAGAUUAGAUCAAUUAGUUCACAACAAGGGUCAAUGGAGGCAACCCAUGCACAUCAAAUUGGAAAAGUAUGACAAUGAAAUUGCAAGAAUGCCUUACACGAAGAAAACAAGGAGAGCGAACGGGCCGACUGACUAUCGCCUUAAUGUUUGUUCUUUGCAAAGUCUUUGCUUCUGUUUGAGAUGAAAAAUCAAUUGAUAAACAAAUCUUAGUUGGUGGUUGCUUGAUGCAUUAAUGCAUUCUGAUAAAAAAAUUAUAGGUAAAAGUAGCAGUGACAACCAGCAGGAUGCUCUACGAUUCUUGGAAGAGAUGUAGAAAAACUAACAAAGUCUCAUGGUGGAAAACUAUCUUAAGAGGGCGUGAGCUAGAUUCUUACAAAACAGGAUUGUAUGUCUGCUUGACAGCAUGGUCUUAUAUAUGGACUCUUCGGUCGAUAUCAAUAUGCCACAUGGGGUCGUUCAUAGUGAAUAAAAUAACAAGGAGAUGCAGCGAUAUGUUGGCGUUAUUCUCCUUCACUUGGGAAACAAGAAUCCAGCUCACGAGGUAGACUUGAAUAUCAUUAGCGCACGACCAGCCAGUGUCCAGAGGUAAGCACGCAGCUGGGGAAAAAGCAACAUCAACAAUUGGAGAAGUAGACUGUUGACCACAUGUCAUUACGGAAUUGUCCUGUGUCAUGAAUAAUAAUUCAAUCUACCUAUCUAUCUAUACCUCUAUACCUAUACUAAUUACAGACUUCGUAGAAAUUAUCACAUUAAUUAGAAUUUACGAGCCGUUAAUCUCGUGGAGCCAGAUUUUCACGGUCUAGAUCAACCCGCAUAAUAAUAUUGCUUAGUUGUGAAAAAAACAUCUCAACGCAACCUUUCUUCCUGGGCUACUCGGCCCUCCUCUAUCUCGUGGACUCCUACCCUCCUCUAGCUCCACGCAACCUUUCUUCGUAGACUACUCGACUAUUCCAAUCGCUAGGUUUUCUUAGUCAGAUGGCAUCAACUCAAAUAUGACAAGAAGCUGUGCCAUCCCACAAUGGAGACGUGAUGGCAUCUCCCGUAUCCUUCUGGUCAGUUUUCUCAAUACAAGACGGUGUGCCAUCCCACAACGAAGACGUGAUGGCGUCUCCCGUACUGUUCUGGUUAGUUUUCUCUAGAUUUGGUUCUUUAAUUAUUUAUUUUCUUCAGAUUUUACAUGGAAGGUAAGCAUCACGUACAUGAGAAAUUUCAGGGGAUAGAAAUUAUUAAGUUCCAUAACUUCAUACUUGGAAGGUCGUGGCUGAACGGGGAAAAUCGAAAUACAUGCCGCUGAAAAGAGUUUAAUGUAGCCACAAAUCACUCGGGCUCCUAUCAAAAUCGGUCGUCUUCCUCCUUAUUUGCAUCUACCUGAGACCCCACGGAAAAUUGGCUGCAGUACUAGCCUUCCGUAGUCUCGCGGCUCGGGUUUUCUUGGCGCCUCGGCUGUGGAUCGAAAUACAUGCCGCUGAAAAGAAUUUAAUGUAGCAACAAAUUACUCGGGAUUCCUACCAAAAUCACGGUCGUCUUCCUCCUGAUUUCAUCUAGCUGAGGCGCCACGGAAGAUUGGCCGCAGUCUUGCGGCUCUGGUUUUCUUGGCGACUCGGACGUGGGGUGCGGGAGCGCUGGACUGCAUGCAGUUCCGACGGUCCAUCUUCGCAUGAUGCAUCACGUAAGAACUGAUAAUCAACAUCAACCAUUGCUUUUGAAGAUGCAGAGGGCGGACAACCAUGGAUUCCUGGUACGUUUUCAGUUCAGAGGUCAAUCAAUUGGGAUCGAGAACCUAAAAACUGGGGCCGCGUUCCAGCCAUCGAUCCUUGGCGUUCCACGUCUCCACGCCGACUAUGAGCUAUGAGCUGGACGUUGGCGAACGACAAGGAUCCAUAGUUAUAUUAAUCUACAUGAUGAAAUUGCUUGAGAUAUAGAAGAAUAUUCAACAAAGAUUAACAUGGGGCGAUCAAGUAUAGGUGCAAUCCACCUCUGUGUUUUCAGCGACAAAAUUUAAUUAAUGACUAUUCAUGUUCUUUCAGUUGGCUCUUGGUUUGUAUGGGAACAACAUAAACACUUGACCAGGAUCGUAAUUUGUUUGUACAUCCUGAUUUUAUAAGCUGCUGUUGAAACUGCACAGAAAUUGUUGGUAUUCUACAUGAAUUGGUACCAAAUCUGCAUUGGAACAAUACAAAUUUAAACGGAAGGAGGUAAUUUUCUUGCUUUCAAGUUUCUUAAUAAGAGCCACAUAUAUGAACACCAUCAUUUGCCAUACUAUACCAAUACCUUUCACACCAGUGUUCAAAAUACUAUAUUUUAUUCAUUAGCCCAAAUGGAAAGUAAAAGGAACGACUAAGGCAAUAGGUUUACAUAGUUUUGUAGUUGUAUUAUCUGUUUCUAACAGCAAGAAGAUUAAAAAAAAGUAAUAGUAGUUUCUGUUGUGUUAAUGCAGAUUUUUUUAUUCUAAAAAUGUUGGCAAGAUUGGCAUUCGUCAAGAUGAUCCAUAGAUAACGGAAGGAAGUUCUAAAUAUUUUCAAAACACCAGUUUUAGAAGCAGCAUAUUACCUCAACAUAGAUGCUUUGAUCUGAUCCUAUUUUUUUGCUAUCAUCAACACUCAGAAGCCAAAUAACCAAAUUGACCAGUAAAACAUUGGGUGGCGUUUUAUAUUUCUUAUUCAUUUGUGAAUUAUGUUUUGCUAAAUCAAUAUUUUGAAGGGAAUAUCGAAGACUUCCUCUCUCUCUUUAUAAUUGACAAUCAUAUGCUACUGGAGUGGCCACACACAGGUGUUGCAGCUAAGACAACAAUCUAUAAAUGUGUAGGUAUGCUCUGCCGGAUUGUUUCUAAUCAGCUUACAUUGUCUCUCUUCCCUGUAGGCACUCUACUAUAUUUUAUUAUAAGUGCAAGCUGGAGGUGGAGAACAUGGAUUCGUACUGACAUUAAUCUCCUGAUGAUUACUUGAGAGAGGGAAUAGUAUUCAACAAAGAGUAACAAGGUGUGAUCAAGUAUCCGUGCUAUGCACCUCUCUUCUUGCUGGAAUCAAAUUUAAUUCACGAUUAUUCAGGUUGCUUCAGUUUGUUCUCGGUUCAUUAGGGGCACAACAAAAAUCACCUCUGCAGGUUCCUAAUUUGUUUGUACAUCCAGAUUUCGGAAGUUGUUUUCGGCAUUGACACUAAAAUUGUUGUUAUGCUAUAGGAAUUGGUACCAAAUCUACAUCAGAACAAUCAAAAUUUAACGGAAGAAUCUAAUGUUGUUUCUUUCCAGUUUCUUGAUCGCCAUAUAUGAAAGCCUUCCUUUGGUAUACUAUGUCAACACAUUUGAAACCAUUAUUCAUAUUGUUGAUUACCAUAUUCUAUAUUUCGUUAGAAAAAAAUGGUAAAUGGAGCAACUAAUGCAAUAUAUAUACAUAAUUGUGUAAUUGUACUUUAAGUUCAUAGAAAAAAGAAGAGGAAAAAAGUAAUAGGAGUUUUUGUUGCAACGUAUGCAUAAUUGUUGUAUUUUUCAAAGGUUACCCAAAGAUGGACAUUCGUCAGAAUGAGCCAAACAGGGCAGAGAGAAGUUAUAAAUAAUUCGAAAGCAGCGGUUCUAAAAGCGGCCUAUUACUUCAGCAUAGAAACUUUGAUUUGAUCAUUUGUUGUUGGUAUGAUAAACAAUUAGAUGCCAAAGAACCAAAUUCAACAUUAAAAAUUCAAGUUGCCUUUUACAUUUCUUAUUCAUUGGUGAAUUGUCUUUUUUCUAAAUGAAUAUUUUGAAAAAAAAAUCUUGAAGACUUUCUCUCUACCAGUCCAUUGAUAAUUAAGAAACGCAUGUUACUGGAUUGGUUGCACACAUGUAUUGCAUCCAAAACAAUAGUCUCAAAGUGUGAAGGUAUAAAAAAUUGUUGAUGUUUUAAUGUUUGUGUAUUGAUAACGAUAUUAUACAUGUAAAAAAGAUUUCAGCCAAAGCAGAAUCCUUCUUGAACUUCAGGCUAUAAGUAAUUUGAUCACCAUUAUUGUUUUCCACAACAAAAAGCUCUUUUUGUGAAUGAAAAAGAAAACAAUCUUACUUCUACAGUAGAUGAAAAUAAACUUUGCUGCACUUUCUUUCACAUGGUCUUUAGCAAUGCGAUGCAUUUUUUAGGGGAGCACUAUAACGAUGAAAAAAACAUCCAUAAAGAUAUAACUGGAAGCAUUCUUAUUUAAACAAUAUUUCCACGUAUAACAAUAAUUGGAUUCCGUCUUGAUUGUUGACAAAAUUUAUAAGCCCCUACAUUUGUUAUACAUAGUUUCGGACCAUAUAUACAUUCUAUUAAACUUCCAAAUAUGAAAAUUCACUAAUGAAAAAUGACAUAAUAGGAUCUCAAUGAUGAUAGAUUAAUAAGUUGAGUUGUGUCUAAUCUUUUAGUUAUUGUGGUAUUAUGUGCAUAAAGAUAUAGCUAGCCCGUGCAGUUGCACGGGUUGACGGCUAGUUCGUUUAAUGCCAGACUUUCCCAACAAAAAAUGACAUGGCGGCCGGGUUUUAGUUUAAUUCGAAAAAGUGAUUGAGGCAGGAAGAGGGAAAUUAUUGCUGCCUGGAUUUGAUAUUUUGAUUUUAAGUACGCAAAUAAGGAUGCACGUGACAAAAUUUCAAACAGAGCGCGAGAGCAGCAGUCCAUUGUAAUUAUGUUAUCUUAUUUGAUCAUAUGCAGCAGAGAAGUUAGAUCGGGUAUGCAUACAUCACGAGGAAUUUGAUUACUCUCAGUUCAAAACAGAGGGUUUUGCGGAAGUUUUACAGCUUAAUCUUGCUAUCCAUCUAGGUAAUGUAUUCAAAUGUUGUGGUAAGUCAAGUGAAGAAUUAAUUUUCUUAAUGUUACUACAUAUGACGCUUAUUUUUUUAUCUCAACACCAAUGCCGCAGGGAUUCACACAGAUGCAAUGUUUGGUGUAUUGCACUAAUUAAUUCUUUACUAAUUUGCUGCUUACAGCAUAUAUAUUAUCUGCCAUGUUAACUUACUAAUUAUUGAAAGUACUAAGCCACUUAUAUUGUAUUUACUGCAUGUAUGAUCAAUUUGUUUCAGUAUUGCAUAGACUUCGAGUAAACAUUUAAGGACAUGUAAAGCAGUCUAUUUCUUCCUCUAAUUUUACUUUUUCAAAUCUAUUUUAUUUCUUACAAAAUUUCUUUCAGUGGAAAUUUAAAUUAAUGCAUAAUAAUUGUGGGAACCUCCUCUCAUUUUUGUUAAUCACUAAUCACAAAGUAGAUAUAUUCAGAAGGCGCAUGUAAGGAUAUCGAUAUAACAUAGUUGCUCCAUUUCUAGCAAAAUCCGAUUGUAUGUAGCAGUUUUUAUACAAGGAUCACAAUACAAAUUAUCAAUAUUAAUUAUAUAUUGUAAUUAGUUAAGUUAGAUUACAAUUUUAAUUUGGCUGGAUAAGUUUUUGCAAUUACUGUAUAGUAAUUUCUAUUUCACGUGAGAUAUCAGCCUCUUAAUCAUAGUAGUAGCAUUAAUCAACAAAUAAUUAAGUGUAGCUAUAUCACAAAUUGAUGCAUGUACCACAUAAAAAUGUAUUUAAUUGCGUAAUAGACUCAUUAUAAACUCUGAGCAAUAUGAACUAGAGGCAAAGUCUCUAGUACGUGCUGAAGUAAAGUAGCACCAUAACGUAAACCAAACGUAGCGCUAGCUGGGUUUUUUCUACAUAAGAGAUUACAGUUGACUAAAAUGCUGAUGCAUAUACCUAUUUAUAUUUGGAUUUAAAUAUAUAGCCUUUAUUGGUAUUCACGUGUACAGUUUACUCUGAAUACAUUUUUAAUUUGCAAUUAUAUGGUAUUUGAAUAUAGAUUUCUAAAUUAUAUCUAUGAACUUGCAAAACUUAUAAAUCAAAAUAAGAAAUAGGACCAUGCAUAAUAACUACAAAAUAAAACAAAAAAAUCUAUACAAAAUAUACUCUAGCCCGUGAGAAUGCACGGGUUGACGACUAGUUACACAUAAUGCCUGUAAAUAUGACAUGUGUUCCUGUUUCUACAUCAGACUACUAUUCUUGCAUAUCCCGCAUUAGUCACUUAUGAUAAGGCCCCUUUAAGUCGCCACUGUGAUAUUGGUUGUGUCUUGCAUAUGAUUUAUAGCAUGUACUGCUUCUAAUUUGUUGAAACGCCAUACAGUUUGAACUUGGCAGAGUGAUAUUGGUUGCGUCUUUCAUAUGGUGUCCAGCUUGCAAUGCUUCUAAUUUGUUGAAAUGUCUUCUGCUUAGUUACCACAUCAUAGGUGUGAAUAUGUCACACCAUCCUGUUUUUCAUACAUAUUCCAUCCUCGCAUCAUGUGUUUGCCUUUCAUCCGAGUAGUGUUCGUCAGUAUCAUGCAUAAAUGAGUUCUGAAGAGCGAAUUUUAUUCCUUUUUCUUAUCGGUUUGACUUCACAAUGCAAAAUCAUUACAGCUGAAGGAAAUUAGUCCGACAGUGGAUGAUGGUGGUCCUUCGGAGCAACUCAAAUAGGGGGUCUCUACAGAUUCUACUCUGUCAUCCUCCCAACAAGAUUCGCAAGACAACAAAAGGCUGGACAGUCAACAUAGCUGUGUAGAUGAUGAGCACAUCUCCCCUACUCCAUCACAGGUGCUUGCUCUAACUUGGCACUAUUAUAUGUGGUUGCAAGUUGCGUAUGAUAUCUAGCUUGUAUUGCUUCUAACUUGAAUUGCAUCAGCUUACUUUACACAUAAUAUAUGUGAAUAUGACACAUGUUCCUGUUUCUAGAACAUACGUGUACAUGAUGAGCACAUCUCCCCUACUCCACCAUCACAGGUGAUUGCUCUUACCUGGAAUUGUUAUAUGUGGUUGUGUUUUCCGUAUGAUAUCUAGUUUGUAUUGCUUCUGAUUAUGUUGAAUUGCAUCUGCGUAGCUUAAAAUUUAUACCUGCAAUGAUCACUUAUCCAUAAGACACAUUUAACUUGGGACUGUGAUGUAGGUUGCAUCUUGCAUUGUCUUGCAGCUUGUACUGCUUCUAAUUUCUUGAAAUGGCACUUACGACGAGACACUUUUUACCUGACAGAGUGAUAUUGGUUGCAUGUUCAUAUGGUGCCUAGCUUUCAUUUCUUCUAAUUUUGUUGAAAUGCCUUUCGGUUACUGUUUUUUCAUACAUAUUCCAUCCUCCUAUCAUACGUGUGAAUAUGAAACGCUCUCUUUUUUGUAUAUAUUUCAUCCUCCUAUCCUGCACUUGCCUUACAUCAAAGUAGUGUUCGUCUGUAUCAUGCAUCAACCAGUUAUGCAGAGUUAAUUUUAUUUAUCUUCUUGUGGUUUUGACUUCAUAAGGCAAUAUCAGAAAGUAGGAAGGAAAAGAGUAAGUUAGGGGAUGUUGGUGGUCCUCCGCACCGACGCAAACAGAGACUCUUUAGAUUUUCCACUGCUAUUGCUAAUGAAGUUGAAGUCCCAAGUCUACAUGAUGAGUUCAUCUCCCGUACUCCACCAUCACAGGCGCUUGCUCUAAGUUCACAGUGUGAUAAUUGGUUUCAUGUUGCAUAUGUUGUCUAGCCUGUAUUUCUUCUAUUUUUAUUAAACUGCACUUGCUGAGUUUAUACGUUAUACAUGUGCAUAUGACACGGCUUUCUGUGUCUAGAAUACACUUCAUCUAUCUAUCAUACCAUGUUCUUACAUCAAAGUACUGCUGUGGUGUAUCCCGCAUCAGUCACUCAUGAUUGGACGCUUUUAACAUGGCAGUUUGAUAGUGGUUGCAUCUUGCAUUGAUUUCUACGUUAUACUGCUUCUAAUUUUUCGAAUUGCCACUUAUGACAAGACACUUUUAACUGGGCAGAGUAAUAUUGGUUGCAUCUUUCACAUGGUGUCUAACUUGCAUUACUUCUAUUUUCUUGAAAAUCCUUCUGCUUAGUUUGCACAUCGUAGCUGUGAAUAUGUCAUGUCGUCUUGUUUUUCUUACAUAUUCCAUCCUCAUAAGGUUGUCUUACAUCAAAGUAUUGCUUGUCUGUAUCAUGCAUCAAUGAGUUCUGAAGAGUGAUUUUAUUCAUUUGUGUUGUGGGUACAUCUUGACAUGGCAAAGUCAAAAAAGAGCAAGGAAAAUAAUAUAGUAGGGAGUGAUGUUACUCGUCGGGUGAAACGGAAAAGGAUAUGUCGUCGAGAUUCUGCUAGUACUUAUAGUGCAGUAGAAGGUCCAAGUCCACCGGCUAAAUCUACAGACAUAGUAUCACCUGCUCCACCGGCUGCAGCAUCCUCUUCAACUGUACCAGCAUCUCAACCGGUUACUCGUUUGUUUGCUCCGGAACUGGCCAGUUCCCAAGCUGCCCUCACACCUAACACUACUUCCAAAGCACUGCUGACACAAUAGGACUUGGCAAGAUCAGAUGAACCUCAUGAGCAUCAACACCAAGAUGGUACCUGACCGAGUCAAGUUGCAGUUGAAUGCUCCUUUAUAUGUACUCUCACAGUUUGAUGUACAUUAACACUUUCCAUAUUCGUUGUUGAACUAGCACCACGGUGCAAGCGGAAACAGACAUCAGGGAUAAUGCUUGACAGAUUAACAAAAUCUAAAGGAGGAAGAAUGCAGAUCCAUUUUGAGGCGGGUUUAAAAAGGCCACGUGAUGCUACAGAGUCAGCCAAGUUAGUAUCAGAGGCAGUCGUUGCCGUUAGGUAUCAUGCACGUAUCCUCCCAACGUGGAUCCAGUACAGGAAUGAGAAAGACAAUACCCAGUUUAACACCUUCCUUGACCAUUUAUCCGUAAGUAAUGUUAUUCAUCGCAAUUAGUAAUAUUGUCUUGCUCUGUCCCAUACUUUCUAGCUUCCUCCUAAUAAGACUCACAUUCCUUUUUCAAUAGCUGAGGUUCAAGUUGGAUCCGAAAUAUGAUGCAACUAAACAAGCAUGCACUCAUGUUUUUCAGUCUGCUCUACGACAGUAUCGGUACUACCUUAGAAAUCUCACUUUGAAGGCAAGGCUAACAAUGAAAUCGCCCAAGCAUCUCCAAUGGAAUAUAUUACAGAUGGAGACUGGACAACCCUCAUUAAACACUGGUCUGAUCCAAAGUAUCAGGUAGGCUAUGUGUAUUUGAUCAGACCACAUAUUGAACUUGUAUUUAUGUAUGUGCCUUACAAGUGUAUCUUCUUCUAGGCUAACUGUUUGAAGAACAAAACUAACCGUUCUAAAGUGAAAUUCCAACAGACAAUAGGAUCUCGUAGCUAUAUUGCACACUACGAGGCUCUUGUAAAUAGCUGCUACUUCCUUCUUCUUUUUUGUGCCAUAUUAUCGUAUCUAUAUUGACUUGUUCCAAAUACAGAGGAAAGCCCGUGCGGACCAAAAAGAACCUGAACCGAAUGCAGUGCAAAUCUCCAAGGAUUGCCACACCAGCAAGAUGAAGGGCAUGAGCACACCAGUUCAAUCCGCUGUUGUAAGCCCUUACUCCUCCUGCCUUGAACUGAUUGGUACUGUGAUGUGUUCAUUUAACUACUUGGUUUGCAGCCAAUGUCAGAUACUCUGUUCACUUUUAUACACAGUUGUCUUAACGUAUCAUUUCACCUUACAUGGUUCAAAAGAGAUGAAGGAUAUUCUUUCGGUCUUGAUGUGUAAUCUAGUUGUUAUGUUCACGUGCGCACACAAUGAUAAAAUAGCAUGUUUGUUUUAUAUCUGUUUGCCCAUGAUAUGAAUGAUGCCAUACUAUGUUCAUCCUACUUUAAAACAUGUUUCUUUAUCCUUAGAUGUCAACGAAUGUGAGGAAAUAGACAAUACAGUAGGCAUGCUACAUGGACAUAUGUUCCGAAAGUGAUUUUAUUAUGUAGUUAGCACUACAAUACAUGCUAAUGUAUUACAGUAGUUCACCAAAAUAAGUUAAGUAUAAACGUUUAACCUACUUUGUUUGUUUUUAUCUCAUUAGUAACUUAUCUGGUACACUAAUCUACAAGUUCAAACUUUCAGGAAGCUAUGGAACAAAUGAUUGAACAGCCAUAACCACCUGAAGGUAACGAGUCUACCACAGGCACAAUGUCACCUCUUGCUGCAGUGCGUCAGUAUCUCUCCACUAACAGUGCAAAAAGCACCUUCCCGUGUAAUUCUGGGUUGGUUGUCAAGGUAACCUCAUCCAAAUCGCCUACUAAACAAAAUCUCCCUGCUAGACAGAGUGAUAUAUUUGUGCUCCAGACACAAGUCCAAUCCCUAAUGGACGUUGUUUCAGAAACAAGAAUAGUGGUUGAGAAAUGUCAUCAAGAUAUGAAUGGUUUUGAAACCAAACUAUCAGACAUUCGCUUUGUUGUUCAAGAGCAAUGGCGGAAAAAAGGUGGAGAUCAUGCUGCUCCAUCAGAUUCUACAGCCUGAAACAUUAGCACUCAGGUCAAAUGAUUUGUGCUUCUAUACAUCUGAUGGUGCUUUUAUCUGGAAGGAUAGUAAACUUUAUGCCAACAGGCCUUUUGUUGUAUGGUUGGAAUUUAUUUUAUUAUGAUACAACAUUUAUGAUUCUGCCACAGGCUACAGUAAUUACGACGCUAUUUUUGUAUAGUGUAGGUUUAUCUUAGUAACGCAUUCGGCCGAAAGCUUCGUAGGAGCCCAACAUGCCAACAUUCGUCGGGCCCAUUCCAAUUGGGCUAAAAACGAUUACGGGCCGCAAUUCGCAUGUAGCCCACUAAAAAUAUCUGGGCCUAAAUCAGCAUAAGCUUUCAUAUUUUUUUGGUAGGCAUGUGCCCAUAGUGGGCCUUUAACAGGCCUAAACAUAAUUUGGGCCCUCAAUAAAAAUAGGUCGUCUACAGGUAUAAAUAUCUCGAGCCCAUAAAAACAUGGGCCUUUAAUAGACCGAAAGUGAGAUUGGGCCCUGAUUGUGCCAAAUAACCCACUGGUCUUAGUAGGCCGAAAUGGUGGCCCAUUUAUGAUGCGGAUCUUUGACAGGCCGAAAUUCGGACUGGGCUGUAAAUGCGCCGACCUAAUACACGAGCCUUUAAAAGGCCGAAACUUUGGUCGGGCUGGAUUAUUGUCAUUUUUAUAUGGGCCUUUAAUGGGCCCGAUAUGACAUUGGGCCACAUAUGGUCCAUGGUUCUCGUCCGGCGUUAACAGGCCGGAAAUGACAACAGGCUGAAAGUGGCCCAAAUCUAUAGUGGGCCUCUAACAGGCCGAAUGCCAGACGUGGCCGAAUAUGACCCAAAUCCUUCACGGUCGUUUAUGGGCCGAAAGUUUUGAUGGCCUGUAAAUGGGCCCAAAUGACUUUGGACCUUUAACAGGCCAGAAAUACACUGGGCCGUAAUUCGGCCCAAUUACUUAGCGGACUAUUAAUGGGCCAGAAGUGACCAUGGGCCACGUUGAUGACAAGUUUAGGAUGGGCCGUUGACGGGCCGAUUUGAUAGAGAAUGUUGGGCCUUUAGCUGGGCUGGCCCAUUAUGGUCUGCAGAAUCUUGUGGGCCUUUAGCUGGGCCGACUCAUUGUGGUCCGCAAAAUCUUGUGGGCCUUUAGCUGGACUGGCCCAUUAUGGUCUGCAAAAUCGUGUGGGCCAUUAGCUGGGCCGGCCCAUUAUGGUCUGCUAAAUUUUGUGGGCCUUUAGCUGGGCCGGCCCAUUAUGGUCCGCUAAAUCUUAUGGGCCUUCGGUUGGGCCGGCCCAUUUAAACUUUGUGGGCCACUUUUGGGCUGGUCCACGUGUCAACAUAUCAUAGGCCCAUCUCGACCGUUGGAUGAGUGACACCUGUGCCAACGCAGAGCUGACGCGUGGAUCCGUCGGCUAAUGAGAAUUUUACACGUGGAAAAUCGACAUUGGUCGUGGCUGUUAGCGGGUUAUCGGAUCCAAAAAACAGACCCGAUAGGUUAACGGUGGUUAAUGGCGUCCCGUUACGGUGGAUGCCACGUGUCGGUCACCCUUGACGAAACCACUUCUAUGAUGCGCGCUUUAUCGUCAUGGAAGUGGACACUUCCGUGAUGAUAAUUUUGGUAAUGUCAUGGAACACUUCUACGACAGCACAUGUAUGACUAUCUUGAUUCAUGGAUGUACAUGCAUGACAGAAAAUGUGACCUACUGUGACAAACAUGUAUCAUCACGGAAGUGUAUUUUUUUGUAGUGAUAACACGGUCAUGCCAUGAACUUGGCAUAAGCCGGCCGUCCAAACAGGGCGUGAUACGGGCUCUUGAUUUUGACCACCUCAAAGGUUAACUUCUCAGCCCUAGAAUCAUGCUCAUCUCCAAUGGCAACCUCCAGCUCAAUCUUACCCACUGGGUACGCAGACUUACCAGGGACCACUCCAUGGAAAACAGUGUUGGAAGUCUUGAGAUUUUUAUCAAUCAAACCCAUGCAACGAAAAGUCUCAUAAUAGAGGAUAUUGAUGCUACUGCCUCCAUCCAUAAGCACCUUAGUGAAUUUAUAUCCACCAACCUGAGGUGCCACCACCAAGGCCAAGUGACCCGGAUUGUCAACCCGGGGAGGGUGAUCUUCCCUACUCCAUAGAAUAGGCUGCUCAGACCAUCUCAAAUAACGAGGAACUGUCGGCUCAACAGCGUUCACAGCCCUCUUAUGAAGCUUCUGGUCCUGUUUGCACAAAAUGGUGGUAAACACAUGAUAUUGUCCACUAUUCAGCUGCUUCAGAUUACUCUGAUAUCCACCUUGCUGCUGCUGCUGACCACCCUGGCCAGAUUGCUGAUUAUAACCACCUUGAUGACCCCGAGAGCUUUGAAAAUUGGAAUUUGAACCGCCGCCUGGGCCAUGAAAGCCGCCGCCACCUGAGCCGCCGCCCGGCCCAUGAUUACUGUCAAACAUGUUGGAAUUCUUGAAAGCCUUCAUGAUCGUACAGUCCUUCCAUACGUGAGUGGCCGAUUUCUGUGGAGUAUGGUGACUUGGACAGGGCUCAUUUAGCAACUAAUCAAGCAUGGGGCUUGACCCGCCAGACCGAGGAGGCGGUCUCCCCUUACGUUGUUGAUUGUUACCCUGCACAUUGGUGUUAGCCACAAACUCCAACCCACCAUCAGCCUUACAUUUAUUAUUACCUCCUUGAUUUGCCGAGUUAUCCUGAGGACCCUUGGCGUUAUCGUUCUUCUUUCUCUUACCUGUCUUCUCAUCAUCAGACUCGGGAUCCUUGGUACUAUUAGAGUCGGCGUAUUUGACUAGAGUCGCCAUCAGCUCGCCCAUGUCAUUACAAUCGCUCUUGAGCCACCCCAGCUUCAUCUUCAGAGGCGUAAAACUACAAUUUUUCUCCAACAUUAAGACUGCGGAGCCAGCAUCCAUCUUAUCAGACGAAUGUAUUAUGGCUUUGACCCGGCGCACCCAAUGGGUUGUGGACUCACCCUCAUCUUGCUUGUAAUUAGUCAAAUCCACAAUUGACAUGGGCUGCUUGCAUGUAUCUUUGAAGUUCAGAAUGAAUCGGGCUUUUAACUCUGCCCAUGAACCGAUGGAAUAGGCGGAAGGCCCUUCAACCAAGUGCGGGCCGUCCCAACCAACAUCAUGGUGAAGUACUUGGCCAUCACAGCGUCACUGACUUCCAGUAGCACCAUAGCCAUCUCAUAUCUUUCAAUCCACGCCCCAGGCUGUAAGUCGUCCAUGUAAUUAGGCACCUUUCGAGGCCCCUUAAAAUCCUUGGGCAAACGCUCGUUACGUAGAGUCAGCACCAGACAAGGGACACCUCCGGUCCUAGUGGUCACGCCUGCCUCAAUAGAAGUCGUCGGAUAAACCAGAAAAGACUGGUAAGCCGCCCGCUCAGCCGUCUGCUCACCCGCCCGCUAAGCCUCUUGACGUAUUCUGUCCUGAUCAACGAAGUUAAGAGCUCCAUCACGCGCCGGGUCAUGCCCGCAUGGCUGCUCACAGCGGCGGGCGUUGCUUGAAAUGGCCACUGAAUCCAUGUGCCUGCUAUAACUCGGGCUCCGGCUUGGAUGAGGGGUCGAAUGAAUCAUGUCUCGGCUAUACGAGUACGCCUCCUACUGCGCCAAAGUCGUCUGAAGAAGUUCUCUGACCCUUCGAGUUUCAACCGCCGUCGGAGAGUCGCCCUCCAUCGGGAGAGUCGCCAAUCGUGUUGCCGCAGCAAUCAUGUUCUCCAAAGGGUUAGAAUAAUGACCCGGUGGUGUUGAUACAUAAUGAGGUGGAGCAGUAUUUAUCCAGCGAGGUUCCAUCAUAUGCGGCUGAACCGGCAUUCCAGCCCCGGGCGUUGCAACCUGGUCCAUCUCCGAUGGGUUACUGGGUCCUGCACUGGGUGUACGGAAGAGGUUUCGAGGAUCAUAAACCGGAGGCAGACGGGAUCGAGUCUUCUGGAACAUCCUCCUCAUGACCUCAUUUGACACGUUCUGAUCCUCGUGAGCUGGAAAGCCUGUGAUUGAAUCCGCUGAGCCUGGGCGUCCAAAGCUGCCCGCUCUGCGGUCAUCCUGACAUUUUCCGCCGCCAGGUCUUCCUUAGCCUGCACUAUAUCCUACUUUAACUACGCCACUUAUGCAUCAUAUUGAGCUUGAUCCGCCGGGUUUACCACGGCAGUUAAUAGGGCUGUGAUCUUAUCCAUGAGAUCCAUCAACACAUGAGCCGGCGGACGCACAAGGCCUCCUGCCCCGGCUGCGGAUGACCCGGAGGUUAUCGGUGCCACAACCGUAGAGUUUUGAACGGGUUGCGUGCCAGCCAUGAAGAUUCCAACUCUACUCGAUGGCUCAAGGAGGUCCGGAAUACUACUGCCAUCGGAACAUCCCUCAAGCCCAUCGUCUUGCAAUUCAUAUAGUGAAUCCGUCUCACCCGUGGACGACUCACCAUUAGAGUAGAUGGUCGUCUCACCGUCGGACAUAGAUCCUUCAGAAAGUUCCCCUCCGUGGAUGCAUCCCACGAAGGCACGCUUCAUGGCAGGCUGAGACUGGGCGGGUCUCGCACGCUGAGCCGUCUUGAUGAGGUCGGUGCAGACGUCCGGCUCGCCGAUCUUGCCGAUGAAGAUGUGGAUUCCGCCGAAGGGGACCCGGUACCCAUACUCAAUUAAGCCGGCGUCAGGGCCCCAACCUACAUCGUCGAUGUAGAGCUUGUCGUGAUGACUCUUGGUCAUCCAUCCCACAGCGUAUCCCUUGAGCCCUUCAAAGCUGCCCUUCAAGAACUCAAAUCUAUCAGGCGCUGGCCCCAUGGUGGGCGCCAAAUGUUGUGGAAUUGUCACGUCAAAUGUCCUAGUGAAAGGACUUAGUCGUGGAGCCAUCGCAACUAGGAAGCUUAAAGGGGUUAAUCGGGACAAAGGACACGGGGUUUAUACUGGUUCAGCCCCUUACGGUGAAGGUAAAGCCUACGAUCCAGUUUUUAGUGGGAUUGCUUAUGUCUCGAUUACCAGGGAGCGAAAUCGCUUGACCUAGCUCUCGAUCUGAUGUUACUUGUCCUGAACUGCCGCUGGGUCGUCCCUUUAUAUACAGAGGUCAACGCCCAGCGCCUCACAGAGUCCCGGUCGGCUCAUAAACAGUGUCCGACUCGGUCUCUAACUAUUCUUGACUUACAAUACAAGUUAUGUACACAGGGCAGUUUAUCUCUAUGGGCCUUAAGUCACCUUUGGGCUUUGGGCCUUUAACUGAACCGCCAUCUUCAAGCUUGUUUUGGGCUUCAAGAGUCCUCAUAGGUAUAACCCGGCCCCUCCUGGGCGGGUCAUACCUAAUAGUUAUAUCCCGAACAAAUACCCAUCUGAUCUUGAAAAUGAAUAUGAUUUGUGGGUAGUUUCAUUUGUUCUUAGGGACAUGGGAGUAGUUUUGUUGUAAGUAAUCAUAUGAAGUUGGUAUUUCAUUAAAUAUUUUGAUGAUGUGUAUGUUGUUCUUCCUCUAGUGGUGUCGUGUGAACAUCGACUACAUGACUCUUCACCAUGUUUGGGCCUAGGGGAAAGCAUUGGGGAGUAAUAUGUAGAUGAUGGGUUGCGAGAGUGACAAAAGCUUAAACCCUAGUUUAUGUAUUACUCCGUAAGGGGCUGAUUUGGAUCCAUAUAUUUAAUGUUAUUGUUAGAUUUAUCUUAAUUAUUAUUUCGUAGUUGAGGAUGCUUGCGAGAGGGGGUAAUCACAAGAGGGUUGCUUUUUAAAGUAAGAACAUCACCCUAGCACCGGUCCACCCACAAAUCAAUUUAUCAAAGUAGUGUACGUCAAUCAACUAAACAUGAUGAAAGUUAACUAGACAAUAUUCCCAUGUGUCCUCAAGAAUGCUUUGCUCACUAUAAGAAGUACUUUCGGCUUGUCCUUUGCUACAAAAAGAAUUGGGCCACCUUGAUGUACUCUUGUUACUAUUGAUACUUGUUAUUUGUUACAAAUUACCUCGCUACAAAACUAUUUGCUACUACUAUUUACAUCAGUUGCAGACAAUACCUUGAUGAAAACCGUUUGUCAUUUCCUUCUGAUCCUUGUUGGGUUUGACACUCUUACUUAUCAAAAGGACUACGGUUGAUCCCCGAUACUUGUGGGUCAUCUGUGUUCUUUGUUUCCUUUGUUUAUUCGUGUUCGUUUCUUUUGUAUGUUUGAAAAUUUUCAAAAAUCCAAAAAUAUUUCUCACUUCUUUUGGGUUUUUCUUUCUUGUUUAAUUAGUUCUAGUAGUAAAAGAAAACACAAAAGGAUUUCUCAUUCCUUCUUUUGUUGUUUGUUGGGAGUUGUCCGGUGUAAAUAGUUUUUCUCGCAUCUCAUUUUUCUUCUUUAGUUUGCUCUCUUUAGAAAAACCUAAAAACUCCAAAAAAAUAUUUUAGUGUGUUUCUCUGAAUUUCUUUUCGUUUCUUGAGUCAUUGUAAGGAAAAGACUUCCUAAGAAUUUUUGAGUGGCUCUCAAAUGCUUUAUAGUUGAUCUAACAAAGAGCCAUAUAUUUCCUCGUGUUCUCCUUUGAAUUAAGUUUGUAGAUUUUAGCUUAGUCCACGACACUCUUGUUCUAUUAUUAUUUUCACAUCAUUGGGUCGUGUAAGUGAAAGGAAAUAAGGAUGAUGAUUUGAUGAAGUGACUAUGGUAAAGAAAAGUUGGUAUGGAGUCUUCUUCUUUUUGUUUUUGUAAAUAUGCUUAACUCAGUAGUCCUAAUUCAGGAUAUUAUGAGUAACAUGCUUUUAAUGAAAAAUAGAGAUUAUAUAUGCUCAUGCCAUGCUUAAGUAGCUAGCACUGAAUAAUCAUUUAUCUUGCAUGUCAACAUGCAUUAAAAUGGUUGUUGAAAGUGCAACUAAUCCCUGGGUGGUUUUGGUAAUUCAUAACAACAUAUAGCUCAUUGAACUAAUAUCCAUUCAAGAUUAAUAUUUCAGGAUGUUCAAUGAUUGGCAUGGCAUGGAUUAGAGAUGUGGACCCCUCAAAAUGCUAAGGACAAAUAUUGGCAAAAGCUCAAGACUCUUCAUCUUAAUUUUAGUCAUCCAAGAUCACAUUGAGUCCAUAGGAAAGCCAAUGCUAUUAAAAGGGGAUGAGGUGUUGCUUAAUGUCUUACUUGCUCAAAUGCUUAGUGAUAUUGCUGCAAAACCCUCAGCCACUUUUUCCAUCCAAAUAUAUCCAGACCCAAAACUCUAACUCAGCUAUUUUUUCUAUCUGGAGCCACUGAGUUCAUAUGACAUACCCCCUGCCUAAAACCCUAACAUUUCAGUCCCAUCGAUAUGGAUCUCGGUCUCACCGAGAUGGCCUAGCCAACUCUCUGUUUCUUGUUGCAAUUAUUUCCGUCUCAUCGAGAAUUGCAAUCGAUCUCACUGAGAUGGCUUGACCAACUCCCUAUUGCCUUAUUGCUUCACUUCAAUCCCACCGAGUUGAUGGAAUCGGCGCCACCGAGAUGAGGUUUGCCCUAAACCCUAGCACAUCGGUCCCACCUAGUUGUUCCAGUCGGUCCCACUGAGAUUCCUAACAUUCACAUUUUUCAACUGGUCGGCGCCAUCGAGUUUAACCAUUCGGUCCCACCGAGAUGAGUCAAAUGUGUGUAACGGUUGGAUUUUGUGUGGAGGCUAUAUAUACCCUUCCACCCCCAUCUCCAUUUGUGAGAGAGCCAUCAGAACGUUCCUACACUUCCAAAGAGAACCACCUACUCAUGUGUUGAGAUCAAGAGAUUCCAUUCCUACCAUUUGAACCUUGAUUUCUAGCCUUCCCAAGUUGCUUUCCACUCAAAUCACUCUUCCACCAUAGCCAAAUCUGAGAGAGAGAGAGAGAGUUGAGUGUUGGGGAGACUAUCAUUUGAAGCACAAGAGCAAGGAGUUCAUCAUCAACACACCAUGUAUUACCUUUUGGAGAGUGGUGUCUCCUAGAUUGGUUAGGUGUCACUUGGGAACCUCCAACAUGAUGUGGAGUUGAACCAAGAAGUUUGUAAGGGCAAGGAGAUCGCCUACUUCGUGAAGAUCUACCCGAGUGAGGCAAGUCCUUCAUGGACAAUGGCCAUGGUGGGAUUUGCAAGGUUGCUUCUUUGUGGACCCUUCGUGGGUGGAGCCAUUCGUGGACUCACACAGCCGUUACCCUUCAUGGGUUGAAGUCUCCAUCAACGUGGAUGUAUGAUAGCAUCACCUAUCGGAACCUCGCCAAAAAUCUUCAUGUCUCCAUUGCGUUUGCACUUUCCAAACCCUUCCCCUCACCUUCAUAUGCAAUGUUUUAUUUUCUGUUGCUAUACUCUUAGAAUUGCAUGUGUAGGUUGAUUGCUUGACUUGUGUCAUUUGCUAAAAUCUUCCCACAGCUGAAAUUGGGAAAAGGACAGAUUUUUAUUUGGUCAAGUAGUUUAAUCACCCCCCUCUAGACCUACUUUCGAUCCUACAAGUGGUAUGAGAGCUUUGGUCUCAUUAGCCUUGAUUUCCAUAGCUUUGGUGAUCAUAGCCUUGGCUUCACAACCUAGGAGAGUAUGGUUUCUAGCGAGGGAAAUUACCACCGUAGAGGUCCUUACUUUCAUGGUACAAAUUUUGCUAGUUCGAAACAUAAGAUGAAAAUGCAUAUCCUUGGUCAUAACCCCGCCGUUUAGGUUGUUGUUUGUAUUGGCUUUCAAGGUGAAUACUUUGAAGAUGGAAAAGAACAGACCGUGAAGCCACCACCGACGAAUUAAAGAUGUUGCAAUACAAUGCUCAAGCUUGCGAUAUUCUCUUCAAUGGAUUGUGCCCCGAAAAAUUCAACAAAAUCAGCCGCCUUGAGAAUGCAAAGGAAAUUUGGGAUAGUUUGGUUGAUAUGCACGAAGGUACUGAGUCCGUCAAGGAAUCCAAGUUGGAUGUGCUUCAAAUUCAACUUGACAAGUUCAAGAUGAAGGAUGGUGAAGGAGUCACUGAAAUGUACUCUACGCUUGCUCUCAUCACAAAUGAGAUUGUCAGCUUAGGAAGUGAAGAGAUGACCGAAAAAUUCAUCAUCAAUAAUAUCCUUAGAGACUUGGAUGGAAAAUAUGAUACCAUGUGCACUUUGAUCCAAAUGAUGCCCAAUUACAAAGAUCUCAAGCCUACAGAAGUCACUGGUAGAAAUGUUGCUCACGAAAUGUUACUCCAACAACUACUCCAAGAGAUGACCGACAAAUUCAUCAUCAAUAAUAUCCUUAGAGACUUGGAUGGAAAAUAUGAUACCAUGUGCACUUUGAUCCAAAUGAUGCCCAACAACUACUCCAAGAGAAGCUAUCACUUUGACUCCGACUAUACUCAAGAUGAAGGUGUUGUCGGUCUUACACUUGUGUCAUCCAACUACUAUGACAUAUUUGACUCACCAAAUGAAUUUUAAGAUGCUUCAUGGCUAAAGGCCCCACUUUUGUCAUCCAACUCCUACGACAUGCAUUGAAGUUUCUGGUCAAUACAGUACUAACAUGCAAUAAUAAACAUUUAUCAUGAACAAGGAAAUAUGAUAAUAACCAAUUUAUUAUUGCCUCUUGGGCAUAUUUACAACAGCGUCACUAUUUGAGAUGCCCUAAGCUCCCAAGUUUUGGAGCCUCCUUGUGUGUUAGGGACUAUGCAUGGGGGAGGCUACGGGCCCCACUUGUAAGGGUGUGUGUCUAUGAGCUAACCAGUUUUUUUGGUUUUGAGAAGGUAUUACCUGGUCUAUUGUUUUUCCUUUUUUGUCUUUCUCAUCUGUUUAAUUUGUUUUGUUUUUGUUUUUCCUACUCUUUUUUAUCGUUUCUUUUUAUUUAAUUUUAUUUUUUUGGAUUUUAAUUCAUGAAUAUUUAUUAAAAGCUUUGAACAUUAAAAAACGAUGAACUUUUCUAGAAUUCAUGAGUAUUUUUAAAAUUCAUGAACAUUUCAAAAUUGGUGAAUAUUUUUCAAAUUUGCGAACAAUGUUGGUAAUCCAUGAGUAUUUUUUUAACUCAUGAACAUUUUAAAAAAAUUAGUUUGUAAAAAUAUUAUAAUUCAUGAUGUUUGUACAAGAAUUUCUUUUGGUUUAAUGAACUUAUUCAAAAAAAAUAUGAUAACAUUUUUUCUGAGCUAGCAGUGGAGCGAGUGUAAAAUAAGCUAAGAGAGUGAGCAAAGCAGGGAGCCUAGAGAGCAAGAGCUUCAUGGAUAGACCCAUAUGAGCUUUAUAACAAAAAUUCCACAGUUUCAAUGUCGAAUAAGAGCUUCCAAGGGGCUCACACAACUGAUACCGACUCAUACCAAGCAUGAAAUGUGUAAGGACACCACAACCACACACUUGAAAACUUCACCCUUCUCUCAGAAUAAAUGUCGUCUCUUAAGCCAGCCCAACACAACACAAGCCCAAUACAACAGGCAAAUGAAAAAAACACCACAAAGACAUAAUUCAAAAGCAAGCCAACUUGUUGAAACUAAAAGAAAACAACUAACCACAAUAACCUGCUAGAGCAAAAAUAUUGAUCCCACGAGUGUAGAACAGAGCAGCAAAGCGCACAUUAGUCUCUAGUAAUAAGUGAUGUCCUACCCUUUUGAGAGAAAAUAAUCACAUCAUUUGCUGCCAUACUUUUGAUAUCAUUGAGUGAUUUCCUUACUGAGCCCUUCUUGCUAGAUUAUAAACUGGUCACACAUUUUAAGAUUCAACUCUACCAUCAGUUAGGCCAAUAAUAUAUGAGUUAUUAAUUCAUAAAACAUAUACCAUAGGAAUUAUCCAAUACAAAUUCAAUGACAUGAUAUUUGAGUCACAUAACCCAAGUUUUGGUAAACAAAAUGAAGUUACAUACUCAAGUCACUAAUUCCUACUGUAAACCCUCGGCCAUCUAUUGCAUCCAAAUAUGGAUCAUCUCAAGGAGUCAAAAGGGCGGGAUGGUCAUUUUAUAUUAAACCUUAAUUAUUAUGCAUAAAUUAAAAUGCCUUGUCCAUCCAUCCGUCUGCCCCCUAUAUUAAUGGCACACGAUUACCAAGGCAAGCUACUCCGGCGCCACCCAUUCCUCCCUCUGCCUCCCACCACUGUUAUAUAAAAUGCCACCCCAACCAUAGCCACAGUCAUCCACCUCUGAUCCCUUUCUCCUCUCUGCAGCACUCCAAACAUGGUUUCCUCGUGCUCCAAAGCUCUCUGGGAUGGGCUAGCGACGGACCAGAAGAAGGAGAUGUCCUCCAUUGCUGCUGGCUGGCUAGCCGGCAGGCAGCCAGAGGAAGACCAUGUCCCAAUGGAGGACACGGUCAGUGACGAACCGGCGCCACCCUCCUUGUAUGCGCCACCCUCGCUGGCGCAUUGCACCAUGACCAUCGUGUGGCUCAUGCCCAUUACAUGGACAUGAUGUGGGAGGAGCAAGAGGAGCAAUCCCGGGAGGCGCUGGCCGACGCCACCUACAACCACCAGCUCCUCCUAGAGCAGCUCACCGUCGGCAAGGUGAUUGUGGCGGUCGCGUACCUAGCGGAGCAGGCGGCGCUGCUCGAGUCCUACCGCUCCGCCCGCAAGAUCCUUCGCCCACUGGUGGUACCACCAUCAUUGGGUAGAACUGGAGGGCGCCUACAAGGAGUUCGAUGAGGCGGCGGACGAGGUGUGGGGCAAGAACGACGAUGAGGCGGAGGAUAUCACCGGCUCCGCUAAGGCCGUGUGUGACGCACGGAUAAUUAAGCUACAGUAAUCCUCAGCUAAUGAUACCACGUCACCACGAUUACUAUUACUAAUCCUCGCUUGAUCCAAAUCUUAGUUAAAACUCAAGUUCAAAACCGAGAUUAAGUCAAAAGUCAAAUUUUGUAACACAUGAAAACUAAAAUGUUCAAAGUGUGGCAAAUAAUCCCAGGAUAAUUGUCAUGUUGAAACAAUAUUUUAUAAUGUGUUUAAAUCCUUUGAAAUGAAUAAAACAGGGCUAGCUAUUUAAUUUAUAAAGCUAUAAAAAGGUAAAGGCGAAAGAGCAAAAAUGGGAGAGGCCCACUGUCCCCUGGGCUUUAGCCACCUGGGUGGCGCAACCCAGCAGGCCCAACUGGUCCAGCUCAUCUCCUCCAGUCGCCUCCCUCCUCUCUACCCGAGCCGCUACAGGGGCUCGUCCCCACCGGACCAGCCUCGCCUGCGCCGCCCCGAGGGGUUAUGGGCGACGCCUAAGGCUCCCCUCAUCUCGUCUCUCCCACUUGCCCCUCACCCUAGGCACUCUUGCUCCAUUCCGCCCCUGCCCCAAAUCCCCUUCUCCACCCUCGGUCGAACGCAGCCGUCGCCAUGGCCUCCCUCAUCCAUGCGACCACCGCGCUCCUCACGAGCUGGCUCCGUGUCCAGGGGAUCCCUCUACCUCGCCCACUUCGACUACGGGGAGAAGAACAAGCCGGGAUGCCCCUGCUACGCCGGAUCGAGGUCGUCUUCAUCACUACAAAAAAAGACACAUCCGUGACAUUUUGGGAUGAACGAAAAAAAAUUAUGUCAUACAUAUGACACUUCUAUGACGAUAAUUGUGACAAAACCCGGUAUCAUCAUAGAUAUGGUGGGCUCCUACUUCUAUGACAAAAAAUCAUGACAGAAAAUGGGCUUUUUGUCUUGGGCGGGCCGGAGACGCAGCUGCAUGACAUUCUUUGGGCCGUCCAUGACAGAAAAAACCAUGGUAGAAGCGAGGGGGAGGAAAAUUUCGGGGAGUUGCCAGUUACGGUGGGAGGUCGGGGCCGAGCGAUGCGCGUUUCUCUCGUACGUACGCGCGUGUGUGCGAGGCGUUGGCUCUAACUGAACCUGAGCGAGGCGUUGGGAUCUAACUGAACCCAACCGAUUGCACUGCAGGCUACGUGUUACUGAACCCGAGCGAUCGGUCAAUGGCUAUUAACUGAACCCGAUGGAGCGAUUCCUUCGCUACUGCUGUUAACAGAAGCCGAUCGAUUGGAUGAACAGUGAGCGUUGCAGGGGGGGUUGGAUGAACAGUGAGCGGUGGUGUUGCCUCUGGAUGAACAGGACCCCAUGGUGUGGAGGGUUGGAUGAAUAGUAGAUGGUGGAGGGGUGGCCGUGGAGGGGUGGUGGAACAGGACCCCGUGGUGUGGAGGGCUGGAUGAACAGUAGAUGGUGGAGGGGUGCCCGUGGAGGGGUGGUUGAAUAGUAGCCGGUGGAGUAGCGCGCGGUGGAGGCUGGAUGAACAGGAGCCCGUGGAGGCUGGAGGAGGUCAACGGUAGCCCAUGGAGGCUGGAGGAGGUCGACGGUGGAGAUGAACAAUAUCUCGUGGAGUCCCGUUUUGCGGUACGCCACACCCCUCCCGAUGAACAGGACCCCCGUUUCAACCGUAGCACUCCAACACAAGUCUGUUUCGUCCGUUUUGCGGUACACCACACCCCUCCCGAUCAACAGGACCCCCGUUUCGACCGUAGGAGGUCCGUUUCAUCCGUUUUACGGUAUGCCACACCCCUCCCGAUCAACAUGACCCCCGUUUCGACCGUAGGAGGUCCGUUUCCUCCGUUUUGCGGUACGCCAGACCCCUCCCGAUGAACAGGAUCCCGUUUCGAAUGUGGCCGGUCUAACACAAGGUCGUUUCCUCCGUUGUGCGGUACGCCAGGCCUCGUUUCCAUCGCCUGUUCCGUCCAAGCCCUCCCGAUGAACACGACCACGCAUUCUGUUCCGACCCAGCCGGUUGGCUCCCACGCGUUCCGUUGCCUCCCGAUGAACACGACGCAUUUCGUUGCCUCCUCAUGAACACGACGACGAUGUUGUUUCUCCGUUCCGACCCAGCCAUGUACGUAUGCGCGAGUAGGCGUUCGAGACCCUGCCCGUAUGUACGUACGUGGCCGUAUUUUCUUUUUUGCACCCUCGUCGUUGUACGUACGUGUACAUGCUACGUGCACGCCUCUACUACGACACGUGCGCGCCUCUAAAUCUAUGACACGUGCACGCCUCUACAUCGACCAGUAUGUACGUACACGUUCGCGACCAGAAUGACAACGCUACGUAUGCUUCGACCAGGUGGGUCCUGACUGUCAGGCACUUCCUUGCAUGCGAAGAUGUAGCUGGUGGGUCCCAGCAGUCAGGGGGGCGAAUCGUUUUUUUUAACGCACUUCCUUGCGUGCGAAGAUGUAAUUGGUGGGUCCCAGCAGACUGGGGGAAACGUUUUUUCGCUAAAUACGGUGGCCCGUCCGGUGGGUCCCUGCUGUCAGGUGGAGGAAUAAUUAUUUUGCACGUAAUAAGGAGGCACUUCCUUGCUGCGGUCGUGGACCCAGCUGUCAACCUCUCCACGUACAGUCCACGUCUGAUGGAAGCCAUUCCUUCACCACAUUGACCACGCCGCGCCGAGAGCACCAGGGCGGUGGACGACAGCGAGGCCUAGGAAGGGGACGACGCGGACCGAGGAAGACGCGGCAGUGGAUGCCCACGCAUAGAGGAGUACAAGGGUUCACUGGUUCGCUGCGGUGUGAGGCUGCCGUCGCCGCAGAAUAACAGGGGGUGUGGGUGAGUAGAGGGAUGGCCUGGCCAGCGGUGGGAGUAGUAGGGGGCAGUGAGGCCUCCGCCGCAUCGCAGCCGGCCACAAGAGGCUGGAGCACGAGGCACGAACGACGCUGGUUUGGGCAGCUGAUGCAAGAAGACCAGAGGUUGAAGAAGCACUAAGGCCAUUGGAUGGACAUCGUACGGUCACUGGAGCUAGAAUCAUGCAUAUUGACUAAGUUGACAAAGCCCUCUGUCCCUGUCAACUUAGUAGGCCCACAAGUCAGCCUGCCACUAUACUGGGUCCCAGCUAACAGGGGGAGUAUUCAUUUUUUUGUGCGUAAUAAGGAGGCACUUCCUUGCGUGAGAAGAUAUAGCUGGUGGGUCCGACCUGUCAGCGGCGGUAACGUUUUUUCGUGAAAUACUGAGGCCCUUUCGGUGGGUCCCUGAUGUCAAGUGGACGAAUCAUUAUUUUGCGCGUAAUAAGGAGGCAUUUCCUUGUGUGCGGCCGUGGACCCAGCUGUUGGCAUCUCCACGUACAGUCCACUUCAGAUGCAUGUCGGUCGUUGACCACGUUGACCAGGCCGCACCGAGAGCACCAGGGCGGUGAACGAUGGCGAUGCCUAGGAAGGGAACAACAUGUAGGCAGGGAAGACUCAGCAGUUCUUUCCCACGCGGAGGGGAGUACGACUGAAUGAGGGUUUACUGGUUUGUCUGUCGUCGCCGGAGAAUAACAGCAGGUGUGGGUGAGUACAGGGUUGGCUAGGCUAGUGAUGGGAGUACGGUGGGGCAGUGAGGCCUAUGCGGCAGCAAAGCUGGCCGCGGGGAGGAGGGAGCAGGCAGUCCCGCCGGCGCUUGUUUGAGCGGCUGGAGCAGGAAGAGCAGUGAUUGAAGAAGCACAAGGGCCGUUGGAUGGCCAUCCAACAGUCACUGCUUGUGUGUCAACCUUUUUUUUAGGAAAGCCUCAAAUCUGUGGAAAACAGCAUACAACCCAUCUGCCAUUAUUUCUAAUAAUUUACAGCCCAUUUGCUAAUUCUUAAGGUUUUUCUGGAGCCCAUAUUCUUUUUGUUAGCAUUACAGCCCAUAUUGUAGCCACGGUUAAAAAAUUAUACGAAAUUUUGCAUAUUUCGGUGCGGUCCGAACUGUUUUUAAACCCGAAAUUUCGACUCACAUUCAAACUGAUUUUAAAACUAAAUGUAUAUCAAUAUAAAAUCCAACAAAUUCUCCAUGCAUAAAAUUAAUGUAAUUUAAAAUCUCGAAAUGAAAAAAAAAGAUAUUUGAAACUAAUUGCCGCUUUGAUGUGUUUUAAAAAUUUACAGCCCAUUUCUCAUUACUGAUGGGCCAUUUUCUCGGCCAGCCGAAUGAAAGCUCUCCUCGUCUUGAAAGAUUUGCAGCCCAACAGGCCUGACAAAGCGACUUAGUUGGCAAAUCACAAAAAAACUGGGCUGUUGCCGUGGACCCAGCUGUCAGCCUCUCCACGUACAGUACUCUUCCGAUGGAAGUUGUUCCUUGACCACGUUGACCACGCCACGCGGAGAGCACCACGACGGUGGACGACAGCGAGGCCUAGGAAGAGGACAACACGGAGCCGGGGAAGACGCGACAGUGGAAGCCUGCGCGGAGAGGAGUACGAGGGUUCACUUGUUCGGCUGCGGUGUGAGGCUGCCGUCGCCGCAGGGCUUGGCCAGCGGUGGGAAUAGUAGGGGGCGGUGAUUCCUCCGCGACAGCACAGCCGGCCACGGGAGGCAGGAGCAUGAGGCACGACCACCGCUAGUUUGGGCGGCUGGAGCAAGAAGACCAGAGGUUGAAGAAGCACCAUGGCCGUUGGAUGGACAUCAUACAGUCACUGGAGCUAGAAUCGUUCAUAUUGACUAAUUUAACAAAGCCCUUCAUCCCCGUCAACUUAGUAGGCCCACAAGUCAGCCUCCCACCAAGGUGGUUCCCAGCUAGCAGGGGGAGUAUUCAUUUUUUUGUGCAUAAUAAAGAGGCACUUCCGGUGGGUCCGAGCUGACAGCGGGGGAGGGGGGGACAUUUUUUUUGCAAAAUACGGUGGCCCGUCAGGUGGGUCCCAGCAGUCAGGGGGCAAAUGUUUUUUUUCCGCAAAAUACGGUGGCCCAUCUAGUGGGUCCCCGCUAUCAGUUGGAGGAAUCAUUAUUUUCCGCAUAAUAAGGAGGCACUUAGUUGUUGUGGAUGUGGACCCAGCUGAGACUCUCCACAUACAGUAUACUUCCGAUGGAAGUCGUUCCUUGAUCAUGUUGACCUCGCUGCGUUCCGUUGCAUGCAUGCGUUGAUGGGCGUGGUGCGUCCCCACUGUCAGCCUCUCACGUACAGUCAUCUUCCGAUGACUCUCGGUUGUUGACCACAUUGACCACACCGUGCCGAGCGCACCCAGACUGGAACGACCCAGAGAUGGGGAAGACGGGGCAGUGGAGUCGCAGAUGGAGAGGAGUGGGAAACUUCACUGGUUCGGGUGCGCGGCAGCACAGCCGCGGUGCCGCCCACAGGAGACAGGAGCAAGAAUAGAGGUUGAAGAAGGGGCACGGCUGUUGGAUUAACAUCCAAUGGUCCAGCUGCUAGAAUCAUUUGUUGAUUAAGUUGACAAAGCCAUGCGUACACGUCCGCUUAGCAAGCCCACAAGUCAGUCACCAAAUCUGACGGGUCCCAGCUGUCAACGGGAUGAAUAAAUUUUUUCGCAAAACAAGGAGGCACUUCCUUCCGUGCGAAGAUACAGCCGGUGGGUCCCAGCUGUCAGGUGGAGGAAACAUUUUUUUAGCUUAAUAAGGAGGAACUUUCCUUGCAUGCGACCAUGGACCUCGUGGGUCCCAGCCGUCAGGCUCUCCACGUACAGUCCUCUUCCGAUGACUCUCGUUUGUUGACCACGCCGCACCGAACACAGCGAGGCGGUGGACGACGGCGAGGCCCCAGACGAGAACGACUCGGAGAUGGGAAAACGCGGCAGUGGAGUCGCAGAUUGAGAGGAGGAGAAGGGUUAUAACUGGUUCUGUUGCAAUUCAUAUCAAACUCAGGUUCACAGGACACGUUCAUAUUCAUAGCCAACAUUCACUAUCAACAACUCAAAAGAUUCAUAUAUACACAAGCUCAGCAUAUCUAUGCAUCCAAAUGAUUGAUAGAUCACACGACAAUAUUCAUACAUAAUUCACAAAAAGAUUUAGAUAUACACAUGUUCAGUAUGUUUAUGCAUCCAAAUGAUUGAGAUCACAGCCAAUAUGAUCCAUGGACGAACUUUAAUUACCUAGGGUACAGACUGGUAAAUGGUGUUCAAUCAGAGGUACUUCUUGCUAAAAUUAGUUCUUGUACGAGUAAACUUUCGAGUACAUAAGAGGCAUCAUAGACAAUCUGAACUUUGCUUGUAGGUUUAUCCUCAAAUAGUGGCCUCGUGCCGAUGGAGGUUUGAGCAACUUAGCACUACUUUCAUCCAACUAGUUUACUGGCUCAUCUUGGUCCUGUAUCUCGCCAAAUUCUACAUUGCAGACGAGAAAGGAGGCGGUUGAAAAAAUGAACCACCCAAAUUUUUUGUGCAGUUCAACUAAAAUGGAGCAUCCUUGGCAUGCAGACUGAUUAAGUCCCAGAUGAAUAUACGCAUCAACCAACUUGUCUGGAAUCUUUAGACUCCAUGCCAUAUAGUUCGCUACCAUAUGUGCCGAUAACCAAAAGGCACAAGUUAGGACCAAAGACUGGACUGCGUUUUUCUGGGCUAUGCACCAAACACUAUUUUUGGCAUUCACUCUCCUAAUACUUGGAGUUUGACAAUUGGUUGACGCCGGUUGAUACUCGAAUGAAUAUAGGCACUUCUUGUCAACAUCGAUGCUUGUUUGAGUGAAUUUUGGAGUACAUAGCAGCAGCAUAAAUACCUGUCCAUCCGAUCAUUUUGCGCAGUUCAACUGAAAUCACCCGAUGUAAUGAUUUGCCUGCGAGUUCAGGCUCCAAAUUACUCCUUUAUGAAAUCGGCAAAUAGUAGCACAAUACCAAAUUACCAAUACAUAUGACAGGCACAAUAAUCAGGAUAAAGACCAGUACCAACCUAUGUGAGGUAGCAUAUCAAUUACUAUUUCCUUUGACUGGAAGCCGAGAUAAGCCAAGCGACUGACAGCAAAGGAAGAAAGCAAGCGGAGAUUAGUGACUGACAGGAAAGGACGGAAGCUGUCGAGGCAAUGAAGCACCCAAAGUUUUUGUGCAGUUCCACCAAAAUCGAGCAUCCCUGUUGGCACAUAUAUUGACAGAGUGAGAUUACUGUAAUAGUGGGACUAGUUGAUGAAAUAUACACUAACAAAUAGAAGCACCCUCAUUAUCUUAAUGGGUAAAGUUAGCAACACAGUAGUCUUGCUUAAAGAGAGGUAUUAGUUUAUUUAAUCAGUGCCAAUUAGCUCAACUCAACACUCAAAGCAUUGCCAUUUAUCAUAGGUCGCAAAACUUAAAAGUGCAAAGAUAAAGGAGUUUCUCAUGACAGUAGCACGAUACAAAUAGAGAUGACAACAAACUAAUAUGGAUGAAGGCCUUAGGCCCAUACGUACCUGAGAAAAAAAAGCUUAUUCAUGUAGUCCCAUAAGAGAUGAUAAAGCACACACUGGAAUCACACAAUAGUAUAUAUUUUUGUGCACUUCAAUUGUAUGGUUGAAAUCGCUCUUGUUUACCAGUGCUGAGAUUAUAUCGAAAGAUUAUCAAGAACUUCCAGCAGAGUUAAAGCACUGGCUGGGAUACAGUUCAUUGUAUUGUCUUGUGUAGUUCCACUAAAAUGUAUGAUUGGCACAACAUGAUCCCUGUUUACACAAGUAGGAACAAGGUGAAACCUUCAUUAGCUUAGUGAGAAAGGAUAGGAAGACAUUAGCAUAUUACUCAAAUAGUAGCAUCAAAUUCAUGAUGGACAAUACGCAAAACAUUGCCUCAUUGAACCAAUGGCAAUAAAUUGACAUGCAAAAGAAUAGCACUAUUAUGUCAUGAAACUAAUAAUAUUCCCUCCCUGCUCCACCACAUGAUUCACCUCCAUAGAAAAACAUUCACACGUACAUGAUUCAGCAUAGGGUCCUACUAAAGAUUUGUUUAACUCCAACAGGAAAAUUAGGCAGUAAUAAAUUAGUGGUAAUUAAGUGCUCCUAAUUAAUUAAGUGAGACAGCAGAAGUGGAAGGGCUCCCUGGAGGAUCGUCUCACAUGUAAGGUAGUCAUUGCCGGAGCCCUUGAAUAGCCUCGACUGAGGCAUCUGGCUUCAGCAAGAUCGCCUUGGCACUGUUUAUUCUUCUUCUUCCUCUUCAUGCUCUGUUUCUCUUUCUCCUCACCAGUUGGUGAAACCAAGUACAUGAUUGGCCUUCUAAUUUCAGAAUUGGUUUUGUCAGUGAGGGAGUACAAGUGUACUAGUAAAAAACAACAUUAUUUUCUCAUGGCAGUCAGAAAAUAGAGAUGAACACAUGCAUUAAAUAUCAUUCUUACCUAAAGGAAGGUUAUGGCGCCAAUAUGGAUGAUGAGGAUUGGAACAUAGAUCUCCCUUUGUGCAGUUCCAUCAAAAUGAACCAACUGUUCCAUCUGACAUUCCAGUUAAACAACACAAAAGUCACUUCUUUUAAGAAGAGUUUUGUGCAGUGCACCAAAAGGUCACAACAGCAACCAGGUGAAUUGGAUAUCCCUGUUUGCACAAAAAGGCACAGAGGAAACAGUCAGAGUCUCAAACAAUUACAGGCAAAAACAUUUGGCUAAACUUGUCAGAGUCUCAAACAAUUACAGGCAAAAACAGUGGCAUGGCUUCAUUUUUACCAGGGACAUUAUAUUAAGAACAGCUAAGGCUGCAUUCGGUUCACAGGUUUGGUGCGGGAUUUUCGUAGGAAUACAAUUCCUACCGUAUUCUUUCCCUUCCAACCGUUCGGAACACGGGAAAGGUGAAUAGUGUUUCAUAGGAAAGCUGGUCUGGUAGUAGUGAUUCCAUCGGAUUAGAAACAUCCACGCGCUGCUCAUUGGCCCUGUUUGAAUACUCUAACAUAGUUAGAGUUAGAGUUAUUUUCUAACCCACUCUAACCCAAAUAAGCACCUCUCCAUCGUAAUAGUUGGGUUAGCUGGAACUAACCCACUCUAACCCUCCCUGUUUGGAUACUUUUGGGUUAUUUAAGCCCCCAACUAACCCAAACUAGCUCUAACCCCAUGAUCCAAACAGGGCCAUUGUUUGGGCGGAAGUCCGAGGCACGCGCUCACUGCCAUGCGUUAGAUAGGUUGUUGUGCUGUGUUUGCCGGAAUAAAAAAUCAACCUAUGUGUGGUACGUGAGGUGAGGACAAGAGUAGUCACUAUGCAGCUGAAUAAACAAAUAGCAUCUCAUACUGCCAAGCAUGCUACUCUAAAAAACAAAUCUGUACAUUUCGUAGUCCAUCCAAACACAUUCUCUUGAGAGUUUCCUCCGGUUCGCUGUUCCAUAGUUUUAUACCUACAUUCCUUUCCUAUACCUCUAUUUUCAUCAAGACCUAUGUUUUCUGCCCCUUUAUUCCGACCGGAGCCUAAAUAUUUGGUAUAAGGGCAUGGGACAGUGGGUGCACCAGCAGUACAGCACCAUGUACGUAAACAGGGGCAUAAAUUGGUGAUUCAUAGUUUGUUGCCCCGAGAAACAAACAUCCAAGAAACAUAUCUGGGUUGGUCCCAUUUUUUUUCACUCUAGCCACCUACUCCUAUGUGCGGAUAGCAAAUCUAGUCCUGGUCAUACCACUGUGUACAGUGUUACCCCUAUAUUUCCCUUUUCAACCAAGAGACCGGUUGGAUGACCAGUCUGUACUACUUUCAUCCCCUUUCCUUCCUGUUUGUACCAAGUCAGAUGUACAUACUAAAUUACCCCACCCCCAUUUUAUUUCAACGACAAGUAUUUUUGGACGGAGGGAGUACAAGAUUCGACUCCAUGAAGUAGCUUUACCUCUAACAAUAGAAGAAGAAAAAUAGGUGACGUUGGACCAUCCGAUCAAGUGGGGCUGAGAGGUAGAAAAUGAUGCACAUGCAGUGACGUAGCGAGCUGGGGAAGUAGAGCUAAGGCGGUUUCGAACGAAGAUAUACCUAAGGGUCGUCGGGAUGUGGAUAGGUGGGCGGUGGGAGGCCGGAUCCGCCCACAGGCAACGACGAAGGGAUCGGAGGACCUUCAACGCCAGCGCUCGGCCAGAGCUAACGGUGCGGCCGGUAGUGGGUCUCCUCCCUCGCUGUCGACGAUGGCCUAAACGCUGCCCCUCCUCCCCUUCACCGGCGGAGGGGGAUACGUCCAGAUCUGUAACCAGCGGCGAGGAUAGAAAGCCAGUGUUUUUUGAAGGGAGAAAGACAGGGUUACUACCCCUAUCUUGUUUAGAUCUGGAGAGGAUGAGAGUGUGUUAAUAGAGCAGCCCUAGCAAGCAAGCGCGAAGGCUCCGGCCUAUAUAUAAGUAGUGGGGUAGUUUUCCUUUUUCACUCCAUCAAAACAAUCGUUUAAAAUUGUGUACUACUACAUGCCAGGUCGCGGUUUUUUUUAGUUGUUGAUUGUUUUUUGAGAUAGCUACCCGCUUGUUCCAAGUGGUGUUACGGUGUGCCAGGUCACACUUUGUAUCGUUCAAGUAUGGUAGUACUACAAGUCCCUCCAUUAAAUGAACAACCACCCCCUCGUAAAAAUUGUGAACAAGCCCACGGCUAAAAUUAGUGGAAAUGUGGGUUGCCCCAACAUGCAUUAUUAUUGAUAUUUUCUACUCCCUCCGUUCCUAAAUAUAAGUGUUUUUUAUUAGCCACACCUAAGACAAGAAUUUUUUUUAUUAGCAGUGAACCCCACAUGUCAUAGACACAAAAAUUGUGGCAAGAUUCCCUUAGGCAAGAUAAAGUGUGUCUAACAAUUUGAGCAACUCAGGUUAGGCAAGUGUGGCAAGUGUGGAAAAAAUAAUGUGGCAACAUAAGACAAACAUAGUCACAAUCCAAACAGCCCCGUGAUUUUUUAUGACAUGCAUGAAAAUUUGGUUAGUUAAAUUUAUAGUCAAAAUUUGGCAAGGUGCAUCAAAUCAACACAUGCAAGUAUCAAAAGGAAAGUCACGGCAUGCAUGCAUUCAUUGUACUCCCUCCGUUUCCAAAUAUAAGUCUUUUUAGAGAUUGCAACAAGUGACUACUCCCUCAGUUCCUAAAUGUAAGUCUUUUUAGGGAUUCCACUACAAACUACAUAUGGAUGUAUAUAGACAUAUUUUAGAGUGUAGAUUCACUCAUUUUGUUUCGUAUGUAGUUCAUAGUGACAUCUCUAAAAAGACUUAUAUUUUGGAAUGGAGGGAGUACAUACGAAGCAGAAUAUGUCUACUCCUACAUACGAAGUAGCCCAUUUCAAAUGUGUAAAAAGACUUUUAUCGAAUGCAGUGCUUUGAUGUGUCGCAUCAACUCGUACAAGCCCGAGAAAUUUGAUUACUACAACGCCCUCUCCCUCGCGGACUGAGCUCCGGUGCCUUCACUGCACCAGCCUUUGGCUGCAUGACAGGUGGGCCCACCUGUCAUGGACGCAAAGGUAGGAGCAGUAAGUAGAAGCUUUCACUACGCGCUAUCCCUCCCGCAUGAGGUGGACGGACAUGCAACAGUGGAUUUGAUACUGUAGAAGUAGGAGUAACAUCAUUGUUCGUCUUCUCGAAGAGGCAAAGAGCCAAGUGCAAACCGAACGUGGCAGUUGCGAACGCUCGCAUGGUGCGGUUCCUUGGAAUACUAGCCAGGCUCUUGCAUGAGACAAAAUUGCUAUUGUUUAACAAUUAAACUCCAUUAUCCAUUGGUUGACACUCAUUCUGCAUAGGUCCUAGGGUCACCAAUGUUUAUUUGUUAAUUAAUAGCAUUCCAUGCAAUGAACUAGCCAUUGCAAGUCAUUAAAAGCAUGCACACCUCUCAUCUCUUAUUGGUUGAUACGUAUGUCAAUAAACAAGAAACAAGGUAGAAGUUAAUGCACCGCACCUAAGUGUUUUGGGACUAUUUGGUUUUCGUAAGAUGACUUACACACCUAGACGGAGAGAGUAGUAUAGACCUGUAAAACGGAAAGGAGUAUUUGCCUUUCUAGAGAUUUCAACAAGUGACUAGACUUCGGCUCAAAAAAACAAGUGACUAGACUACACCGUGUGCAGUACCCCCUCCCUUCCGGUUUAUAGGGCUCAAAUCUCAAAUCUCAUGAACCAAGGCAUUUAGCAAUUGGAGGAAUGUAUCUCGUAUUUUACAAAACUACCCUAAUUAAACUCAUGCAUUAAUUACGUAGUUCUCUCGUUUUCCUCUCCGCCUUGGUUGCGGUGCACAAUAUUGAGAGAGUGCUUGGAUACGUUUUAGUCUCAUGACUAAAAGUAGUGGGACUAAAAUUUGUUAGCCUCAUCCAUGCUUGGAUCCAAAUAGUAAAGAGACUAAAAUCAAGUUAAUGACAUUUCAAAGCAUCCGGGCCCGCGUGCCAUCCACCAAAUCACAGCGAGGUGCUACAGUCGAGACUCACCUGUCACCCCGGUGUAGCCGUCAUGACCCAUCAUAUCACAAAACCCACACCUUUACAAGCAGUGGUAAGGUGGCCUCGAAGUUGGACUGGACGAAGCAACCAUCAUUUCAUUGGAACGCUCAUUCAAGCCCUUUCUUCCCUUUCUUGAACAAAACCUCACUCUAGGCUACUCACUUCUGCCAUUUUUCUUCUCUACCGAUGAAGGAAAGGUGGGCGAAUCAGUUAUGCUGCUAUAUUUUCAUUCCAAUAAUCUUCUUUUUGCGAAGCACCGACCGAUUCUCACAUCCUAUUCUUUUCCCGUUUUCAUUGUGAUUGUGGUUUCCUUUCGAUUGCUUUUUGUUUGUCAGUUCAUUGAUGGAUCCUGGAGCACUAGGCAAAGAGUUGUCGGCGGACAACCCACUAGAGACAGCAAUCUCCGGGAAGCGAGCACCGAUCAACGAGUUGACCAUGUUGGCAGGCCAACCCAUGGAGACGAAGAACUCCAAGAAACAAGCACUGGACAAAGAGUUGAGGAUGUUGGCGGACGAACUCCUCAAAGAAAGUUGGAAGAACAGCAAGGACCAGACCAUGCCUACCCCAGGAGCUCUGAUUGCCACCUAUGUGAGGCUCAAGACCGAGUUUGAGGAGAUAGUCGCUGUUGAGAAGCAGUAUUCCCCUGGCAAGGUGAUAGUCCCCAUCGAGGACGAGGAGAUGGCCCCCGGAGGGAUGAGAUCCCCCGGUGAGCUGCACAAGGUAAAAAAUAAUGGCUUAUUACCAUAGUUGUGGUUUUUGAUUAUUUGCAAUGUGCUUGAUUUUUGAUUAUUUGCAAUGUGCUUGCUAAUAUGUUAGUGUUGUGCAGGUGCCGGUGGUUGUCCUUGAUGAUUCCGAUGUCGUGGCCCGUCCUGUUGGCAUCACCCCGGAGAUCGAUUCCGAUGUUGCUGUCCAUCCUGUGGACAUCGCCCCAGAGAUCGAUUCCGAUGUCGCGGUCAGUCCUGUGGACAUCGCCCCAGAAAUCGAUUCCCAUGCCGCUGUCCGUGCUGUGGUCAUUGCCCGAGAGAUCGAUGACAAGAAAUAGUUGGUCGUGCUAAUCCUUCAGGGUAGUUUGCAUUGCCCUGUGUUUAAUUACUAGAACGAUGUGUGUUAUCAAACCAUCUUAGGGUUUUGCGCUGUCUUGUGUGGGCGGAUCUUGCUACUUUUGUUUGAUAGUGAAUCAUGUGAUGAAUCAUGCGAACCCUCUCCGAGUUAUGGAAACAGAUGUAUCCUCACCAGCUUUUUAUGUAAUAUAUGGCAUGCUUAGAUGUAAGUUUGAACUGUUUAUCAUAUCAGCAGGGCUUGUUUGAUGAUUCUUGGUGUUAGUAGGCUAGCUACUGUGCGAGCUAUAGUACUUGCAAAACACUCAUCAAAGAGAAACAUUGGGGCUGAUGAGCUCGUGGUACGCUUAUACUUAUCCCUCGUCGAUCGACCAAUAGCCCUAGCUCCUAAAAUUGUAGGCUUAGCGAUCGAUCAGACAAUAGUCGACAUACAUUCAGGCCUCAUUUGGUUCAUAGGGUAGGAAAAUCGUAGCAAAAGUAUAGAGAACGUGCAACACAAAAUCAUAGCAGUGCAGAGACAUACUCCCUCCAUUCCAAAAUAGAUGACCUAGGCGGGCUAGUUUGGCCUAGUGGGUUUCAGUGAUACGGCGUGGUACAGUGCCGUCUAGUCUUCGCGUGUGGUAGCAGUAUUGCGGGUACAGUAAGUUUUCUUGAAGAAGCGGAAUUCAACGAAGUCAUGAUGGUUCCUCCGUCCGAGCAACUUAUGGUGGGAAACGUUGGGCCUGCUAUACGACUGGGGUAGGCCAGGAUAAUUUUGUGCAUGCAGGUGGACCAGGAUGGUCGACGUCCCACAUGUCAGCGAAUGAAAGUAUUCUUUUCGAUAUAGAGGACGAGCAACGAGUAUUCAUUGUUUAUUUUUGAUGAAAGCUAUUAUCUGUUGGGGAACGUAAGAGAAAUUCAAAAUUUUCCUAUGAGUCACCAAGAUCUAUCUAUGGAGAAACCAGCAACGAGGGGAAGGAGAGUGCAUCUACAUACCCUUGUAGAUUGCUAAGCGGAAGCGUUCAAGUGAACAGGGUUGAAGGAGUCGUACUCGUCGUGAUCCAAAUCACCGGAGAUCCUAGUGCCGAACCGACGGCACCUCCACGUUCAACACCCAUGCAGCCCGGUGACGUCUCCCAUGCCUUGAUCCAGCAAGGAGAGAGGGAGAGGUUGGGGAAGACUCCGUCCAGCAGCAGCACGAUGGCGUGGUGGUGGUGGAGGAGCGUGGCAAUCCUGCAGGGCUUCGCCAAGCACCGCGGGAGAGGAGGAGGACUUGGGAGAGGGGGAGGGCUGCGCCAGAACUUUGGUAAAGCUCCCAUGUGCCUCCCCACUAUAUAUAGGGGUGGAGGGGGCUGGUUACUUGCCCUCCAAGUCCAUUGGGGCGUUGGCAAAGGUGGGAGGAAAGAAAUCCCAUCAUUUCCUUCCCCACCGAUUGUUAUCCCCCUUUUUAGGGAUCUUGAUCUUAUCCCUUCGGUAUAUGAUCUUAUUCCUUCUAAGGGGGGAUCUUGGUGCGCCUUGACCAGGGGUGUGGGGCCUUGCCCCCACUACCCACGUUCAUGUGGUUCCCCCAUGCAGGUGGGCCCCACUCCAGAACCUUCUAGAACCUUCCCGGUACAAUACCGAAAAACCCCGAAUAUUUUCCGGUGGCCAAAAUAGGACUUCCCAUAUAUAAAUCUUUACCUCCGGACCAUUUCGGAACUCCUCGUGACGUCCGGGAUCUCAUCCGGGAAUCCGAACAACAUUCGGUAACCACACACAAACUUCCUUUACAACCCUAGCGUCAUCGAACCUUAAGUGUGUAGACCCUACGGGUUCGGGAACCAUGCAGACAUGACCUAGACGUUCUCCGGGCAAUAACCAACAGCGGGAUCUAGAUACCCAUGUUGGCUCCCACAUGUUCCACGAUGAUCUCAUCGGAUGAACCACGAUGUCAAGGACUCAAUCAAUCCCGUAUACAAUUCCCUUUGUCUAGCGGUAUUGUACUUCCCCGAGAUUCGAUCGUCGGUAUGCCGAUACCUUGUUCAAUCUCGUUACCGGCAAGUCUCUUUACUCGUUCCGUAACACAUCAUCCCGUGAUCAACCCCUUGGUCACAUUGUGCACAUUAUGAUGAUGUCCUACCGAGUGGGCCCAGAGAUACCUCUCCGUUACACGGAGUGACAAAUCCCAGUCUCGAUUUGUGCCAACCCAACAGACACUUUCGGAGAUACCCGUAGUGUAACUUUAUAGCCACCCAGUUACGUUGUGACGUUUGGUACACCCAAAGCAUUCCUACGGUAUCCGGGAGUUGCACAAUCUCAUGGUCUAAGGAAAAGAUACUUGACAUUAUAAAAGCUUUAGCAUACGAACUACACGAUCUUUGUGCUCGGCUUAGGAUUGGGUCUUGUCCAUCACAUCAUUCUCCUAAUGAUUUGAUCCCGUUAUCAACGACAUCCAAUGUCCAUGGUCAGGAAACCGUAACCAUCUAUUGAUCAACGAGCUAGUCAACUAGAGGCUCACUAGGGACAUGGUGUUGUCUACGUACCCACACAUGUAUCUGAGUUUCCUAUCGAUACAAUUAUAGCAUGGAUAAUAAACGAUUAUCAUGAAGAAGGAAAUAUAAUAAUAACUAAUUUAUUAUUGCCUCUAGGGCAUAUUUCCAACAGUCUCCCACUUGCACUAGAGUCAAUAAUCUAGUUCACAUCGCCAUGUGAUUAACACUGACAGGUCACACCGCCAUGUGACCAACAUCCAAAGAGUUUACUAGUGUCACUAAACUAGUUCACAUCAUCAUGUGAUUAAGACUCAAUGAGUUCUGGGGUUUGAUCAUGUUUUGCUUGUGGGAGAGGUUUUAGUCAACGGGUCUGCAACAUUCAGAUCCGUAUGUACUUCACAAAUCUCUAGGUCAUAUUGUAAAUGCUGCUUCCACGCUCCACUUGGAGCUCUUCCAGAUGGUUGCUCCACUAUACGUAUCCGGUUUGCUACUCAGAGUCAUUCGGAUAGGUGUUAAGUCUUGCAUCGACGUAACCCUUUACGCCGAACUCUUUAUCACCUCAAUAAUCGAGAAACAUGUCCUUAUUACUCCAAGGACAAUUUUUGACCGCUGUCUAGUGAUCCACUCCUUGAUCACCUUUGUACCCUCUUGCCAGACAUGUGGCAAGGCACACAUCAGGUGCGGUACUUAGCAUAGCAUACUGUAGAGCCUACGUCUAAAGCAUAGGGGACGACCUUCGUCCUUUCUCUCUUUUCUGCCGUGGUCGAGCUUUAAGUAUUAACUUCGUACCUUACAACUCAGUCAAGAACUCCUUCUUUGACUGAUCCAUCUUGAACACCUUCAAGAUCAUGUCAAGGUAUGUGCUCAUUUGAAAGUACCAUUAAGCGUUUUGAUCUAUCCUUAUAGAUAUUGAUGCUCAAUGUUCAAGCAGCUUAAUCCAGGUUUUCUAUUGAAAAACACAUUUCAAAUAACCCUAUAUGCUUUCCAGAAAUUCUACAUCAUUUCUGAUCAACAAUAUGUCAACAACAUAUACUCAUCAGAAAUUCUAUAGUGCUCCCACUCACUUCUUUGGAAAUACAAAUUUCUCAUAAACUUUGUAUAAAGCCAAAAUCUUUGAUCAUCUUAUCAAAGUGCACAUUCUAACUCCGAGAUGCCUACUCUAGUCCAUGGAAGGAUCGCUGGAGCUAGUAUACCUUUUAGCAUCCUUAGGAUCGACAAAACCUUUCUGAUUGUAUCACAUACAACCUUUCCUUACGAAAACUGGUAAGGAAACUUGUUUUGACAUCCAUCUGCCAGAUUUCAUAAAUGUAACUAAUGCUAACAUGAUUCCGAUGGACUUAAGCAUCGCUACGGAUGAGAAAAUGUCAUCGUAGUCAACUCCUUGAACUUGUGAAAAACUCUUCGCCACAAGUCGAGCUUCAUAGACGGUGACAUUACCGUCCACGUCCGUCUUCUACUUAAAGAUCCAUUUAUCUCAAUGGCUUGCCGAUCAUUGGGCAAGUACACCAAACUCCAUGCUUUGUUCUGAUACAUGGAUCCUAUCUCGGAUUUCAUGGCUUCUAACCAUUUGUCGGAAUUUGGGCUCACCAUCGCUUCUCCAUAGCUCGUAGGUUCAUUGUUGUCUAGCAACAUGACCUUCAAGACAGGAUCACCGUACCACUCCGAAGCAGUACGCGUCCUUGUCGUCCUACGAGGUUCGGUAGUGACUUGAUCCGAAGCUUCAUGAUCACUAUCAUAAGCUUCCACUUCAAUUGGUGUGGGUGCCAAAGGAACAACUUCCUGUGCCCUGCUACACACUGGUUGAAGUGAUGGUUCAAUAACCUCAUCAAGUCUCCACCAUCCUCCCACUCAAUUCUUUCGAGAGAAACUUUUCCUCGUGAAAGGACCCAUUUCUACAAACAAUCACUUUUGCUUCCGGAUCUGAAUUAGGAGGUAUACCCAACCAUUUUGGGUAUCCUAUGAAGUUGCAUUUAUCCGUUUUGGGUUCGAGCUUAUCACGAUGAAACUUUUUCACAUAAGUGUGUCAGCCCCAAACUUUCAAGAAACGACAGCUUAGGUUUCUCUAAACCAUAGUUCUCACGGUGUCAUCUCAAUGGAAUUACGUGGUGCUCUAUAAAGUGAGUGCGGUUGUCUCUAAUGCCUAACCCAUGAACGAUAGUGGUAAUUCUAUAAGAGACAUCAUGGAACGCACCAUAUCCAAUAGGGUGCAACUACGAUGUUCAGACACAUCAUCACACUAUGGUGUUCUAGGCGGUAUUAAUUAUGAAACAAUUUCCACAAUGUCUUAAUUACGUGCCAAAGCUCGUAACUCAGAUACUCAUCUAUAUGAUCAUAUCAUAGACAUUUUAUCCUCUUGUCACAAUGAUCUUCAACUUCACUCUGAAAUUACUUGAACCAUUCAAUAAUUCAGACUUGUGUUUCAUCAAGUAAAUAUACUCAGUAUCUACUCAAAUCAUUCGUGAAGUAAGAACAUAACUAUAUCCACUGCAUGCCUCAGCACUCAUUGGACUGCACACAUCAAAAUGUAUUACUUCCAACAAGUUGCUUUCUUGUUCCAUCUUACUGAAAACGAGGCUUUUCAGUCAUCUUGCCCAUGUGGUAUGAUUUGCAUGUCUCAAGUGAUUCAAAAUCAAGUGAGUCCAAACGAUCCAUCUGCAUGGAGUUUCUUCAUGCGUACAUACCAAUAGACAUGGUUUGCAUGUCUCAAACCUUUUCAAAAACGAGUGAGUCCAAAGAUCCAUCAACAUGGAGCUUCUUCAUGCGUUUUAUACCAAUAUGACUUACAUGGCAGUGCCACAAGUAGGUGGUACUAUCAUUACUAUCUUAUAUCUUUUGGCAUGAACAUGUGUAUCACUACGAUCGGGAUUCAAUAAACUAUUCCUUUAGGUGCAAGACCAUUGAAGGUAUUAUUCAAAUAAUAGAGUAACCAUUAUUCUCCUUAAAUGAAUAACCGUAUUGUGAUAGACAUAAUCCAAUCAUCCCUAUGCUCAACGCAAACACCAAAUGACAAUUAUUCAGGUUUCAUACUAAUCUUGAUGGUAGAGGGAGCGUGCGAUGUUUGAUCACAUCAAACUUGGAAACACUUCCAACACAUAUCAUCAGCUCACCUUUAGCUAGUCCCCGUUCAUUCCAUAGCUCUUUUAUUUCGAGUUACUAACACUUAGCAACUGAACCGGUAUCUUAAUACCCUAGUGCUACUAGGAGUACCAGUAAAGUACACAUUAACAUAAUGUAUAUCCAAUAUACUUCUAUCGACCUUGCCAGCCUUCUCAUCUACCAAGUAUCUAGGGCAAUUCUGCUCCAGUGGUUGUUCCCCUUAUUACAGAAGCACUUAGUCUCGGGUUUGGGUUCAACCUUGGGUUUCUUCACUAGAGCANNNNNNNNNNNNNNNNNNNNNNNNNNNNNNNNNNNNNNNNNNNNNNNNNNNNNNNNNNNNNNNNNNNNNNNNNNNNNNNNNNNNNNNNNNNNNNNNNNNNNNNNNNNNNNNNNNNNNNNNNNNNNNNNNNNNNNNNNNNNNNNNNNNNNNNNNNNNNNNNNNNNNNNNNNNNNNNNNNNNNNNNNNNNNNNNNNNNNNNNNNNNNNNNNNNNNNNNNNNNNNNNNNNNNNNNNNNNNNNNNNNNNNNNNNNNNNNNNNNNNNNNNNNNNNNNNNNNNNNNNNNNNNNNNNNNNNNNNNNNNNNNNNNNNNNNNNNNNNNNNNNNNNNNNNNNNNNNNNNNNNNNNNNNNNNNNNNNNNNNNNNNNNNNNNNNNNNNNNNNNNNNNNNNNNNNNNNNNNNNNNNNNNNNNNNNNNNNNNNNNNNNNNNNNNNNNNNNNNNNNNNNNNNNNNNNNNNNNNNNNNNNNNNNNNNNNNNNNNNNNNNNNNNNNNNNNNNNNNNNNNNNNNNNNNNNNNNNNNNNNNNNNNNNNNNNNNNNNNNNNNNNNNNNNNNNNNNNNNNNNNNNNNNNNNNNNNNNNNNNNNNNNNNNNNNNNNNNNNNNNNNNNNNNNNNNNNNNNNNNNNNNNNNNNNNNNNNNNNNNNNNNNNNNNNNNNNNNNNNNNNNNNNNNNNNNNNNNNNNNNNNNNNNNNNNNNNNNNNNNNNNNNNNNNNNNNNNNNNNNNNNNNNNNNNNNNNNNNNNNNNNNNNNNNNNNNNNNNNNNNNNNNNNNNNNNNNNNNNNNNNNNNNNNNNNNNNNNNNNNNNNNNNNNNNNNNNNNNNNNNNNNNNNNNNNNNNNNNNNNNNNNNNNNNNNNNNNNNNNNNNNNNNNNNNNNNNNNNNNNNNNNNNNNNNNNNNNNNNNNNNNNNNNNNNNNNNNNNNNNNNNNNNNNNNNNNNNNNNNNNNNNNNNNNNNNNNNNNNNNNNNNNNNNNNUAACGUGGUGCUUCGAAACGACGAACUUUCGCAACGGUGCACAGUUAGGGGGAACACUUUCUUGAAAUUUUAAUGAGGGAUCAUCUUAUUUACUACAGUCGUUCUAAGCAAAUAAGAUGCAUAAACAUGACAAACAUCACAUGCAAUCAAAUAGUGACAUGAUAUGGCCAAUAUCAUUUUGCUCCUUUUGAUCUCCAUCUUCGGGGCUCCAUGAUCAUCAUCGUCACCGGCAUGACACCAUGAUCUCCGUCAUCAUGAUCUCCAUCAUCGUGUCUUCAUGAAGUUGUCUCGCCAACUAUUACUUCUACUACUAGGGCUACCGGUUAGCAAUAAAGUAAAGUAAUUACAUGGCGUUGUUUAAUGACACGCAAGUCAUACAAUAAAUUAGGACAACUCCUAUGGCUCCUGCCGGUUGUCAUACUCAUCGACAUGCAAGUCGUGAUUCCUAUUACAAGAACAUGAUCAAUAUCAUACAUCACAUAUCAUUCAUCACAUUCUUCUUGACCAUAUCACAUCACAUAGCAUACCCUGCAAAAACAAGUUAGACGUCCUCUAAUUGUUGUUUGCAUAUUUUACGUGGCUGCUAUGGGUUUCUAGCAAGAACGUUUCUUACCUACGCAAAACCACAACGUGAUAUGCCAAUUGCUAUUUACCAUUCAUAAGGACCCUUUUCAUCGAAUCCGUUCCGACUAAAGUGGGAGAGACUGGCACCCGCUAGCCACCUUAUGCACCAAGUGCAUGUCAGUCGGNNNNNNNNNNNNNNNNNNNNNNNNNNNNNNNNNNNNNNNNNNNNNNNNNNNNNNNNNNNNNNNNNNNNNNNNNNNNNNNNNNNNNNNNNNNNNNNNNNNNNNNNNNNNNNNNNNNNNNNNNNNNNNNNNNNNNNNNNNNNNNNNNNNNNNNNNNNNNNNNNNNNNNNNNNNNNNNNNNNNNNNNNNNNNNNNNNNNNNNNNNNNNNNNNNNNNNNNNNNNNNNNNNNNNNNNNNNNNNNNNNNNNNNNNNNNNNNNNNNNNNNNNNNNNNNNNNNNNNNNNNNNNNNNNNNNNNNNNNNNNNNNNNNNNNNNNNNNNNNNNGGAACCUGUCUCACGUAAGUGUACGUGUAAGGUCGGUCCGGGCCGCUUCAUCCCACAAUACCGUCGAAACAAGAUUGGACUAGUAACGGUAAGCAUAUUGAACAAAAUCAAUGCCCACAACUACUUUGUGUUCUACUCGUGCAAAGAAUCUACUCAAUAGACCUAGCUCAUGAUGCCACUGUUGGGGAACGUAGCAGAAAUUCAAAAUUUUCCUACGAUUCACCAAGAUCUAUCUAUGGAGAAACCAGCAACGAGGGGAAGGAGAGUGCAUCUACAUACCCUUGUAGAUUGCUAAGCGGAAGCGUUCAAGUGAACAGGGUUGAAGGAGUCGUACUCGUCGUGAUCCAAAUCACCGGAGAUCCUAGUGCCGAACGGACGGCACCUCCACGUUCAACACACAUGCAGCCCGGUGACGUCUCCCAUGCCUUGAUCCAGCAAGGAGAGAGGGAGAGGUUGGGGAAGACUCCGUCCAGCAGCAGCACGAUGGCGUGGUGGUGGUGGAGGAGCGUGGCAAUCCUGCAGGGCUUCGCCAAGCACCGUGGGAGAGGAGGGGGACUUGGGAGAGGGGCAGGGCUGCGCCAGAACUUUGGUAAAGCUCCCAUGCGCCUCCCCACUAUAUAUAGGGGUGGAGGGGGCUGGUUACUUGCCCUCCAAGUCCAUUGGGGCGUUGGCAAAGGUGGGAGGAAAGAAAUCCCAUCAUUUCCUUCCCCACCGAUUGUUAUCCCCCCUUUUUAGGGAUCUUGAUCUUAUCCCUUCGGGAUAUGAUCUUAUUCCUUCUAAGGGGGAUCUUGGUGCGCCUUGAACAGGGGUGUGGGGCCUUGCCCCCACCACCCACGUUCAUGUGGGUCCCCCCAUGCAGGUGGGCCCCACUCCGGAACCUUCUAGAACCUUCCCGGUACAAUACCGAAAAACCCCGAAUAUUUUCCGGUGGCCAAAAUAGGACUUCCCAUAUAUAAAUCUUUACCUCCGGACCAUUUCGGAACUCCUCGUGACGUCCGGGAUCUCAUCCGGGAAUCCGAACAACAUUCGGUAACCACACACAAACUUCCUUUACAACCCUAGCGUCAUCGAACCUUAAGUGUGUAGACCCUACGGGUUCGGGAACCAUGCAGACAUGACCUAGACGUUCUCCGGGCAAUAACCAACAGCGGGAUCUAGAUACCCAUGUUGGCUCCCACAUGUUCCACGAUGAUCUCAUCGGAUGAACCACGAUGUCAAGGACUCAAUCAAUCCCGUAUACAAUUCCCUUUGUCUAGCGGUAUUGUACUUCCCCGAGAUUCGAUCGUCGGUAUGCUGAUACCUUGUUCAAUCUCGUUACCGGCAAGUCUCUUUACUCGUUCCGUAACACAUCAUCCCGUGAUCAACCCCUUGGUCACAUUGUGCACAUUAUGAUGAUGUCCUACCGAGUGGGCCCAGAGAUACCUCUCCGUUACACGGAGUGACAAAUCCCAGUCUCGAUUUGUGCCAACCCAACAGACACUUUCGGAGAUACCCGUAGUGUAACUUUAUAGCCACCCAGUUACGUUGUGACGUUUGGUACACCCAAAGCAUUCCUACGGUAUCCGGGAGUUGCACAAUCUCAUGGUCUAAGGAAAAGAUACUUGACAUUAUAAAAGCUUUAGCAUACGAACUACACGAUCUUUGUGCUCGGCUUAGGAUUGGGUCUUGUCCAUCACAUCAUUCUCCUAAUGAUUUUAUCCCGUUAUCAACGACAUCCAAUGUCCAUGGUCAGGAAACCGUAACCAUCUAUUGAUCAACGAGCUAGUCAACUAGAGGCUCACUAGGGACAUGGUGUUGUCUACGUACCCACACAUGUAUCUGAGUUUCCUAUCGAUACAAUUAUAGCAUGGAUAAUAAACGAUUAUCAUGAAGAAGGAAAUAUAAUAAUAACUAAUUUAUUAUUGCCUCUAGGGCAUAUUUCCAACAGUCUCCCACUUGCACUAGAGUCAAUAAUCUAGUUCACAUCGCCAUGUGAUUAACACUGACAGGUCACACCGCCAUGUGACCAACAUCCAAAGAGUUUACUAGUGUCACUAAACUAGUUCACAUCAUCAUGUGAUUAAGACUCAAUGAGUUCUGGGGUUUGAUCAUGUUUUGCUUGUGGGAGAGGUUUUAGUCAACGGGUCUGCAACAUUCAGAUCCGUAUGUACUUCACAAAUCUCUAGGUCAUAUUGUAAAUGCUGCUUCCACGCUCCACUUGGAGCUCUUCCAGAUGGUUGCUCCACUAUACGUAUCCGGUUUGCUACUCAGAGUCAUUCGGAUAGGUGUUAAGUCUUGCAUCGACGUAACCCUUUACGCCGAACUCUUUAUCACCUCAAUAAUCGAGAAACAUGUCCUUAUUACUCCAAGGACAAUUUUUGACCGCUGUCUAGUGAUCCACUCCUUGAUCACCUUUGUACCCUCUUGCCAGACAUGUGGCAAGGCACACAUCAGGUGCGGUACUUAGCAUAGCAUACUGUAGAGCCUACGUCUAAAGCAUAGGGGACGACCUUCGUCCUUUCUCUCUUUUCUGCCGUGGUCGAGCUUUAAGUCUUAACUUCGUACCUUACAACUCAGGCAAGAACUCCUUCUUUGACUGAUCCAUCUUGAACACCUUCAAGAUCAUGUCAAGGUAUGUGCUCAUUUGAAAGUACCAUUAAGCGUUUUGAUCUAUCCUUAUAGAUAUUGAUGCUCAAUGUUCAAGCAGCUUAAUCCAGGUUUUCUAUUGAAAAACACAUUUCAAAUAACCCUAUAUGCUUUCCAGAAAUUCUACAUCAUUUCUGAUCAACAAUAUGUCAACAACAUAUAUUCAUCAGAAAUUCUAUAGUGCUCCCACUCACUUCUUUGGAAAUACAAAUUUCUCAUAAACUUUGUAUAAAGCCAAAAUCUUUGAUCAUCUUAUCAAAGUGCACAUUCUAACUCCGAGAUGCCUACUCUAGUCCAUGGAAGGAUCGCUGGAGCUAGCAUACCUUUUAGCAUCCUUAGGAUCGACAAAACCUUUCUGAUUGUAUCACAUACAACCUUUCCUUACGAAAACUGGUAAGGAAACUUGUUUUGACAUCCAUCUGCCAGAUUUCAUAAAUGUAACUAAUGCUAACAUGAUUCCGAUGGACUUAAGCAUCGCUACGGAUGAGAAAAUGUCAUCGUAGUCAACUCCUUGAACUUGUGAAAAACUCUUCGCCACAAGUCGAGCUUCAUAGACGGUGACAUUACCGUCCACGUCCAUCUUCUACUUAAAGAUCCAUUUAUCUCAAUGGCUUGCCGAUCAUUGGGCAAGUACACCAAACUCCAUGCUUUGUUCUGAUACAUGGAUCCUAUCUCGGAUUUCAUGGCUUCUAACCAUUUGUCGGAAUUUGGGCUCACCAUCGCUUCUCCAUAGCUCGUAGGUUCAUUGUUGUCUAGCAACAUGACCUUCAAGACAGGAUCACCGUACCACUCCGAAGCAGUACGCGUCCUUGUCGUCCUACGAGGUUCGGUAGUGACUUGAUCCGAAGCUUCAUGAUCACUAUCAUAAGCUUCCACUUUAAUUGGUGUGGGUGCCAAAGGAACAACUUCCUGUGCCCUGCUACACACUGGUUGAAGUGAUGGUUCAAUAACCUCAUCAAGUCUCCACCAUCCUCCCACUCAAUUCUUUCGAGAGAAACUUUUCCUCGCGAAAGGACCCAUUUCUACAAACAAUCACUUUUGCUUCCGGAUCUGAAUUAGGAGGUAUACCCAACCAUUUUGGGUAUCCUAUGAAGUUGCAUUUAUCCGUUUUGGGUUCGAGCUUAUCACGAUGAAACUUUUUCACAUAAGUGUGUCAGCCCCAAACUUUCAAGAAACGACAGCUUAGGUUUCUCUAAACCAUAGUUCUCACGGUGUCAUCUCAAUGGAAUUACGUGGUGCUCUAUAAAGUGAGUGCGGUUGUCUCUAAUGCCUAACCCAUGAACGAUAGUGGUAAUUCUAUAAGAGACAUCAUGGAACGCACCAUAUCCAAUAGGGUGCAACUACGAUGUUCGGACACAUCAUCACACUAUGGUGUUCUAGGCGGUAUUAAUUAUGAAACAAUUUCCACAAUGUCUUAAUUACGUGCCAAAGCUCGUAACUCAGAUACUCAUCUAUAUGAUCAUAUCAUAGACAUUUUAUCCUCUUGUCACAAUGAUCUUCAACUUCACUCUGAAAUUACUUGAACCAUUCAAUAAUUCAGACUUGUGUUUCAUCAAGUAAAUAUACUCAGUAUCUACUCAAAUCAUUCGUGAAGUAAGAACAUAACUAUAUCCACUGCAUGCCUCAGCACUCAUUGGACUGCACACAUCAAAAUGUAUUACUUCCAACAAGUUGCUUUCUUGUUCCAUCUUACUGAAAACGAGGCUUUUCAGUCAUCUUGCCCAUGUGGUAUGAUUUGCAUGUCUCAAGUGAUUCAAAAUCAAGUGAGUCCAAACGAUCCAUCUGCAUGGAGUUUCUUCAUGCGUACAUACCAAUAGACAUGGUUUGCAUGUCUCAAACCUUUUCAAAAACGAGUGAGUCCAAAGAUCCAUCAACAUGGAGCUUCUUCAUGCGUUUUAUACCAAUAUGACUUACAUGGCAGUGCCACAAGUAGGUGGUACUAUCAUUACUAUCUUAUAUCUUUUGGCAUGAACAUGUGUAUCACUACGAUCGGGAUUCAAUAAACUAUUCCUUUAGGUGCAAGACCAUUGAAGGUAUUAUUCAAAUAAUAGAGUAACCAUUAUUCUCCUUAAAUGAAUAACCGUAUUGUGAUAGACAUAAUCCAAUCAUCCCUAUGCUCAACGCAAACACCAAAUGACAAUUAUUCAGGUUUCAUACUAAUCUUGAUGGUAGAGGGAGCGUGCGAUGUUUGAUCACAUCAAACUUGGAAACACUUCCAACACAUAUCAUCAGCUCACCUUUAGCUAGUCCCCGUUCAUUCCAUAGCUCUUUUAUUUCGAGUUACUAACACUUAGCAACUGAACCGGUAUCUUAAUACCCUAGUGCUACUAGGAGUACCAGUAAAGUACACAUUAACAUAAUGUAUAUCCAAUAUACUUCUAUCGACCUUGCCAGCCUUCUCAUCUACCAAGUAUCUAGGGCAAUUCUGCUCCAGUGGUUGUUCCCCUUAUUACAGAAGCACUUAGUCUCGGGUUUGGGUUCAACCUUGGGUUUCUUCACUAGAGCANNNNNNNNNNCAGCUGAUUUGCCGUUUCAUGAAGUAUCCCUUCUUGCCCUUGCCCUUCUUGAAACUAGUGGUUUCACCAAUCAUCAACAAUUGAUGCUCCUUCUUGAUUUCUACUUUCGCUCUGCCAAACAUCGCAAAUACCUCAAGGAUCAUCAUAUCUAUCGCUGUAUGUUAUAGUUCAUCACGAAGCUCUAGCAGCUUGGUGGCAAUGACUUUGGAUAAACAUCACUAUCUCAUCUGGAAGAUCAACUCCCACUCGAUUCAAGUGAUUGUUGCACUCAGACAAUCUGAGCACAAGCUCAACGAUUGAGCUUUUCUCCCUUAGUUUGCAGGCUAAGAAAUUCGUCGGAGGUCUUAUACCUCUUGACGUGGGCACGAGCCUGAAAUCCCAAUUUCAGCCCUCGAAACAUCUCAUAUGUUCUGCGAUGUUUUGAAAAAUGUCUUUGGUGCCUCAACUCUAAACCUUUUAUCUGAACUAUCACGUAGUUAUCAAAACGUGUAUAUCCGAUGUUCGCAACAUCCACAGACGACGUUUGGGGUUCUGCACACUGAGCGGUGCAUUAAGGACAUAAGCUUUCUACUGAUCGCAUAAUCGCUACUAUCAACUUUCAACUAUAUUUUCUCUAGGAACAUAUCUAAAACAGUAGAACUAAAGCGCGAGCUAUGACAUAAUUUGCAAAGGAUUUUUGACUAUGUUCAGGAUAAUUAAGUUCGUCUUAUGAACUCCCACUCAGAUUGACAUCCCUCUAGUCAUCUAAGUGAUUACAUGAUCCGAGUCAACUAGGUCGUGUCUGAUCAUCACGUGAGACGGACUAGUCAUCACCGAUGAACAUCUUCAUGUUGAUCAUAUCUACCAUACGACUCAUGCUCGACCUUUCGGUCUCUUGUGUUUCGAGGCCAUGUCUGUACAUGCUAGGCUCGUCAAGUCAACCUAAGUGUUUCGCGUGUGCAAAUCUGGCUUACACCCGUUGUAUGUGAACGUAAGAAUCUAUCACACCCGAUCNNNNNNNNNNNNNNNNNNNNNNNNNNNNNNNNNNNNNNNNNNNNNNNNNNNNNNNNNNNNNNNNNNNNNNNNNNNNNNNNNNNNNNNNNNNNNNNNNNNNNNNNNNNNNNNNNNNNNNNNNNNNNUAACGUGGUGCUUCGAAACGACGAACUUUCGCAACGGUGCACAGUUAGGGGGAACACUUUCUUGAAAUUUUAAUGAGGGAUCAUCUUAUUUACUACAGUCGUUCUAAGCAAAUAAGAUGCAUAAACAUGACAAACAUCACAUGCAAUCAAAUAGUGACAUGAUAUGGCCAAUAUCAUUUUGCUCCUUUUGAUCUCCAUCUUCGGGGCUCCAUGAUCAUCAUCGUCACCGGCAUGACACCAUGAUCUCCGUCAUCAUGAUCUCCAUCAUCGUGUCUUCAUGAAGUUGUCUCGCCAACUAUUACUUCUACUACUAGGGCUACCGGUUAGCAAUAAAGUAAAGUAAUUACAUGGCGUUGUUUAAUGACACGCAAGUCAUACAAUAAAUUAGGACAACUCCUAUGGCUCCUGCCGGUUGUCAUACUCAUCGACAUGCAAGUCGUGAUUCCUAUUACAAGAACAUGAUCAAUAUCAUACAUCACAUAUCAUUCAUCACAUUCUUCUUGACCAUAUCACAUCACAUAGCAUACCCUGCAAAAACAAGUUAGACGUCCUCUAAUUGUUGUUUGCAUAUUUUACGUGGCUGCUAUGGGUUUCUAGCAAGAACGUUUCUUACCUACGCAAAACCACAACGUGAUAUGCCAAUUGCUAUUUACCAUUCAUAAGGACCCUUUUCAUCGAAUCCGUUCCGACUAAAGUGGGAGAGACUGGCACCCGCUAGCCACCUUAUGCACCAAGUGCAUGUCAGUCGGNNNNNNNNNNNNNNNNNNNNNNNNNNNNNNNNNNNNNNNNNNNNNNNNNNNNNNNNNNNNNNNNNNNNNNNNNNNNNNNNNNNNNNNNNNNNNNNNNNNNNNNNNNNNNNNNNNNNNNNNNNNNNNNNNNNNNNNNNNNNNNNNNNNNNNNNNNNNNNNNNNNNNNNNNNNNNNNNNNNNNNNNNNNNNNNNNNNNNNNNNNNNNNNNNNNNNNNNNNNNNNNNNNNNNNNNNNNNNNNNNNNNNNNNNNNNNNNNNNNNNNNNNNNNNNNNNNNNNNNNNNNNNNNNNNNNNNNNNNNNNNNNNNNNNNNNNNNNNNNNNNNNNNNNNNNNNNNNNNNNNNNNNNNNNNNNNNNNNNNNNNNNNNNNNNNNNNNNNNNNNNNNNNNNNNNNNNNNNNNNNNNNNNNNNNNNNNNNNNNNNNNNNNNNNNNNNNNNNNNNNNNNNNNNNNNNNNNNNNNNNNNNNNNNNNNNNNNNNNNNNNNNNNNNNNNNNNNNNNNNNNNNNNNNNNNNNNNNNNNNNNNNNNNNNNNNNNNNNNNNNNNNNNNNNNNNNNNNNNNNNNNNNNNNNNNNNNNNNNNNNNNNNNNNNNNNNNNNNNNNNNNNNNNNNNNNNNNNNNNNNNNNNNNNNNNNNNNNNNNNNNNNNNNNNNNNNNNNNNNNNNNNNNNNNNNNNNNNNNNNNNNNNNNNNNNNNNNNNNNNNNNNNNNNNNNNNNNNNNNNNNNNNNNNNNNNNNNNNNNNNNNNNNNNNNNNNNNNNNNNNNNNNNNNNNNNNNNGGAACCUGUCUCACGUAAGUGUACGUGUAAGGUCGGUCCGGGCCGCUUCAUCCCACAAUACCGUCGAAACAAGAUUGGACUAGUAACGGUAAGCAUAUUGAACAAAAUCAAUGCCCACAACUACUUUGUGUUCUACUCGUGCAAAGAAUCUACUCAAUAGACCUAGCUCAUGAUGCCACUGUUGGGGAACGUAGCAGAAAUUCAAAAUUUUCCUACGAUUCACCAAGAUCUAUCUAUGGAGAAACCAGCAACGAGGGGAAGGAGAGUGCAUCUACAUACCCUUGUAGAUUGCUAAGCGGAAGCGUUCAAGUGAACAGGGUUGAAGGAGUCGUACUCGUCGUGAUCCAAAUCACCGGAGAUCCUAGUGCCGAACGGACGGCACCUCCACGUUCAACACACAUGCAGCCCGGUGACGUCUCCCAUGCCUUGAUCCAGCAAGGAGAGAGGGAGAGGUUGGGGAAGACUCCGUCCAGCAGCAGCACGAUGGCGUGGUGGUGGUGGAGGAGCGUGGCAAUCCUGCAGGGCUUCGCCAAGCACCGUGGGAGAGGAGGGGGACUUGGGAGAGGGGCAGGGCUGCGCCAGAACUUUGGUAAAGCUCCCAUGCGCCUCCCCACUAUAUAUAGGGGUGGAGGGGGCUGGUUACUUGCCCUCCAAGUCCAUUGGGGCGUUGGCAAAGGUGGGAGGAAAGAAAUCCCAUCAUUUCCUUCCCCACCGAUUGUUAUCCCCCCUUUUUAGGGAUCUUGAUCUUAUCCCUUCGGGAUAUGAUCUUAUUCCUUCUAAGGGGGAUCUUGGUGCGCCUUGACCAGGGGUGUGGGGCCUUGCCCCCACCACCCACGUUCAUGUGGGUCCCCCCAUGCAGGUGGGCCCCACUCCGGAACCUUCUAGAACCUUCCCGGUACAAUACCGAAAAAUCCUGAACAUUUUCCGGUGGCCAAAAUAGGACUUCCCAUAUAUAAAUCUUUACCUCCGGACCAUUCUGGAACUCCUCGUGACGUCCGGGAUCUCAUCCGGGACUCCGAACAACAUUUGGUAACCACAUACAAACUUCCUUUAUAACCAUAGCGUAACCGAACCUUAAGUGUGUAGACCCUACGGGUUCGGGAACCAUGCAGACAUGACCUAGACGUUCUCCGGCCAAUAACCAACAGCGGGAUCUGGAUACCCAUGUUGGCUCCCACAUGUUCCAUGAUGAUCUCAUCGGAUGAACCAUGAUGUCAAGGACUCAAUAAAUCCCGUAUACAAUUCCCUUUGUCUAGCGGUAUUGUACUUGCCCGAGAUUCGAUCGUCGGUAUGCUGAUACCUUGUUCAAUCUCGUUACCGGCAAGUCUCUUUACUCGUUCCAUAACACAUCAUCCCGUGAUCAACCCCUUGGUCACAUUGUGCACAUUAUGAUGAUGUCCUACCGAGUGGGCCCAGAGAUACCUCUCCGUUACACGGAGUGACAAAUCCCAGUCUCGAUUCGUGCCAACCCAACAGACACUUUCGGAGAUACCCGUAGUGUACCUUUAUAGCCACCCAGUUACGUUGUGACGUUUGGUACACCCAAAGCAUUCCUACGGUAUCCGGGAGUUGCACAAUCUCAUGGUCUAAGAAAAAGAUACUUGACAUUAGAAAAGCUUUAGCAUACGAACUACACGAUCUUUGUGCUAGGCUUAGGAUUGGGUCUUGUCCAUCACAUCAUUCUCCUAAUGAUGUGAUCCCGUUAUCAACGACAUCCAAUGUCCAUGGUCAGGAAACUGUAACUAUCUAUUGAUCAACGAGCUAGUCAACUAGAGGCUCACUAGGGACAUGGUGUUGUCUAUGUACCCACACAUGUAUCUGAGUUUCCUAUCAAUACAAUUGUAGCAUGGAUAAUAAACGAUUAUCAUGAACAAGGAAAUAUAAUAAUAACUAAUUUAUUAUUGCCUCUAUGGCAUAUUUCCAACAUUGUCUCCACUGUUACUCCUUGACUUUGUCAAUCCCUCUCUCUCCUCCACAUAAGCGGGGACUACUUGCUAUGCAUGUAGCGGGCAGCUGACGUCUUGAGGGGCCAGGGCGGUGAGAGCGGGCUCCGGAAGCGGUCCGGACUCCAGCAUGGCCCACCUCACAUUAUCACCAUAUAUUUCUUGGAGUCCGUGCGCAUCGGGCAGCCGAUCUCUUCUCCCUCCCCCGUUCCUCUCUUCUCAGCCGACGCCCGCUGAGCGAUUAGAUUUUGGCUAUCGACGGUUUAUUCAAUUACGGUCCCACAUGUCAGUGAAACUGCAAGACAACGCGUGUCCCCUUUGGUGAGCGGCGUGCGAGCCGGACUGUCGGGGUUGCGACGCGUACGAGUCGUAAGUGUGUCGCCUUUUCCUUUAGAACUUGCGAAGCGUAACAUUUUCGUGCGAUCGAUCGAUAGAAAUCCAGAAAAAAAUGACGAGGGCGGUGCUUUCCGGCUCGUUAGGCGGGCUAGUUCGAGUGAUAUGACGUUCUACAGUGCCGUCCACUUGCUCCAUUUUUAUGUAAGCAAGAGUUUACACUCGUACGCAGGAGGAAUGCGAAACACCGCGGAUCUGAUUUUGAUCGAGGGAUAACUGUUCCCUGCCAAAUGAUGGAGGAUUGUUAGCGAUUAUAGCAUGAUAGUUAGGGCAUCUCCAGUGCUGGCCCACAAAUUUACACCGGCAUCUGUCCGAGGACACUGAUGGAUGCCAUCCGAUGCUUCCCGCAUACCUUUUGACAACUAUAUAAACUAACCGGACGAAAUUCGUGCAAACAAAGCAAAUUUCAAUAUAACCGGAUAAAAUUAAUCGAAUUAAAUUCAUUACAUUUCAAAAACUUUUCCUACAAACUGGACGAAAUUCAUUACAUAUUUUGCACAAACCGUACUAAACCUACUAUAAACCUAAUCUAAACGAUCAUCGGCGCCCGACCACCAAGUCCGGCCAUGAACCCGAGAAAGUCGGCCAUUGCCUUUGCCUCCUCCUCAUCCGCCUCGAUAACCUCCUCCUCCGGCCGGAGCACAAGGUUAUGAAGAUUUCUGCAUCCACGUCGCCGUCAAGCGGCUAAUCGGCCGCCGAUGUUUACCCCACCAAGCUUGGCGUCGACUGAGUGGAGUAGCGGUGGCCUUCCCGGGACCAGAGCGGCGGCGACCUACCGUGUACUACUCUUCCUCGCUGCCAGCUGCGCCUGCGCACGUGCGACGGCUUCGUGGUCGUGGCGGCGGAGGGCGGCCUGGGGGGUGCCGGCGAUCUCCUUCGUUUGCUCCUGCGACAGUACGUCGAAGAGAGCUUUGGAGCGCGCCCAGAGCGGAUCCGCCGAUGUCCCUCAUCUGCUCCUGCGACAGUACGUCCAAGACAGCUUCGGAGCGCCAUGAGGCCAUGGUUGAAGUGGUGCUGACAGAAGGAAGGGACCGGAGGAGAAUAAGUGUGGGUCUUUGGCUAUGGCUGGGAGUUGGGGCUCAAGUUAAUAUAGCGGGCGAAUGGCAAUGAGCCGCGGCAGACGGAUGGACAACUGGCACCGGAGUAGGUUCGUCGGGCGUGAAUGCGGACGCUGCUUCAGUGACUUAACUACAGAUGCGUUUGGGUGUCUGACAGUGGGCCCAACGGGCGUCUGGCCCGCAUGUCAGUGACACACCAAUUGCACCUGUAGUUAAGUCUAGUGAAUGCGGCAUUGACAUUCUGGAGAGACGGUGACCAUUUCAGGCGCAUGCGGACUGUUUGAUUGGUCAACCAUACAAAUACGGAGCUAUACGCUGAGCCAGCGACCGUAUAAUCACCAUAUCUCGUAUACAAUGAUCAAAGUGAGCUAUCAAGACAAGUUCGAUGACCGCCAAUGCAUUUUACUCGGUAAUAAAUGACCAGGAUUGAAGGGGAAUCCUAAUUUGCUUCGUCUUCUGUCCUUGAGCUCUUGACAAACCAAUGCACUAUACAGUUGUCCGGCCACUCCACCCCAGAGCUCUCACCAACUGUCAUUCAUGCCACCGCGCUUCACACUAACCGGUAAGGCAGCGAUGGCAUCCCGCCGCGCCGAGUUCCUCGCCGCCCACGAAUGCACAUAAAAUGGUAGGGAAGCGAUGGCAUCCCGCCGUGCCGAGUUCAUCACCGCUCGCGACCUCAAAACUAUGUGGGAGGAAUUUCAAGAUGCCAAGGCCGAAUGGGCGGUAGAGCAAGAGGCGGCCAAAGCCGCACAAAGGGAGCGGAAAAGUCAGAAAGCACUCAGGAAAAGAGAGGCCCGCGACCGCAAGAAAGAAAAGGAUGCACGCGCUGCUGCGGAGAGGUCGGCGGAGAUCCAAGCACGGUGGGGUGUCGCCAACAAAGCCGGGAAGGAGAACGAUGGCGUCUGGCCAGCAUGUGAGAAGUAGUAGUACUAGUAGUUAGUGUGUGUGUCUGUAUCUGAGUACGAGCAUGUACCACUACUACUAGUUACUACUAUAGUUUUUAGAGCAAAUUACCAGUACAUUAGCCUAGACUAAGUGGAAAAAUUCCUAUCAUAUGCAUCAAAUGGCAUCUCUUUCUCUAUAGGAAUUGAGAUGCAUGUCACCUCACUUCCUAUGAUUUUCAUAUUCAUAUCCUAUGAACGAAAGGAGGCCUCUGUUGGAGUAAAUACUAUAGCUAGCAGUACUGCUGGUACAGUAGUUUUCUUCAAGAAGCGGAAUUCAACGAAGUCAUGAUGUUCGUCCGAGGAACUUCAAAGUGGGAAGUGGGCCUGUGAUUUGACGGCUCAUUAGUCAUUGUUACUACGGCGCAAUGACCUGGGUGACUCUCCCUUGGAGUUCUGCGUGCAUGGUAAGUGGACCAUGAUGGUCGACGUCCCACAUGUUGGCAAAUGGAAGUAUUAUUUCCGAUAUCGAAGAGCAAGGAAACCGCGUGGUAUAGUAUCACUGCUGAUUGGUUCGCAAAAAAUAGUAUCACUACCGAUUUAUAAUUAUUUUUUAUUUCUGAUGAAUGCUAGCGUUUCAACUCUUACGACGAAGGGUGCCAAACAUGGCACGUGCUAGAUGUCCCACACGUCAGCGAAAGGAGUGGGACAUGAACAGCUUGGUAGAGCCCAACGUAAAAAAAUAGCAUGGUAGAGCGUCUCCACUUCUUCCACUUCUGGGUCGGAGACCACACGUAGUAGUACUUAGCUGUAUGAACGAUACAAAGUGCGACCUGGAGAGAAAGACACGUCUAGUUGGAAGGUCUCGGGGCAUACACGUAAACAAAUAUAAAAGUUAAUGUGUGCCUCCAACUAAUAUAGUAGUAGUAGAGUACUUAGACACGUACUCCAUAACAUCACCGUGCAUUGCACGUACAACAUUUAGUGGUAGUACGUAGUAAGAGACAAAUGCCGCCCAAGAGUUCCCUUCUCGACCUACUUUUGGGUGUUUGGUAGAGUGUAUGGAAGGUGCAUGAGUCCACACUAGUUUAGCACAAAUACACUAGAAGCAUGCAUGAAGAGAGCAUGCAUGAAGAGGGGUGUUGAGUUGAGCAUGCAAGAAGAGGGAACAACUAUGCUGAGACGAGAACGCAACCAAACACACCCUGUAUGCCACGCAUGUUCAUACCAUUUGUGCCUUUCUACUUCACUUACUGCGCUACAUUACUCAAGUUCGUACGUCCACUCCUGGGUACAUGUCCGUCUCGUAGUUCCAGUGCCACGUGUUCUUCAUAUAGAUGGAACAAUCGUUGCAUAACACGUGCGCCUUGAUGCUAGAUGUCUCGCGUGUUGGCAAAAGGAUGAACUAAGCUCACGUAAAAAAAUAGAGUGGAAGAACAUAGAUUUCGGACGACCGACAAGGAGCAAGGAACCUCGUGGUGGAGCGUCUGCACUCAUAAUAUUUAAUAUUAUUCAGCGAUAUAAAAUUAACCAAUCAUCUCCACAGUGGACUGGAAGAGUACAAAACACGGAAGCCCAGUGUAGUUACAUCAUACUAGUACAUGGCUAACCCACGCUAUCACCAUAUUUCUUGGCUUCCGUGCGACACCUAUCUCUAGUAAUCCAGCAGCCUGUAUUGCUUCUCCCUCCUCGUCUCUAUCGAAGUGCGGUGGGUUGGUGUUUCUGCCGUCUAUUGAGGUCGGUUAACUAUCACAUGUUAGCGACAUGCCAAGAGCAUUCUAAAAAAAAUUCCUUUCACGUUCCAUUUUCAAAAAGAAAAAAAAUCCUUUCACGUACGAAUUUGCAUGUAUGCUUUGAGCAACUUGCAUGUCCUAUACUGCUCCUGUUUGAUACUCUAACUUAGCUAGAGGUUAGACUAACUCAUGACUAACCCUGGACUAACUGUAGUCAAAGAGGUGUUUGGGUGACAGGGUUAGAUUGACAAUAAAUGCACUUCAUGGAGAGAGAAAAGUGAUUUUUAGUGGUCCCAAUGAGAACUAUCUCCAGUUAGCACCUCUUGGGUGGGAUAGUUUUUUUGGUGGGUUCGGUGCAACUUGCUCUAAUUUAAACCCUCAUGCUUGGAUACUUUAGGGCUAUUUGAGCCCCAACUAGCUCAAACUAACUCUAACCCAUGGAUCCAAACAGGGCCUAUGGCCAGUCUCGAUGCGGGGCAGUCGCGUGCAUCGAGAAGCGGCGCUCUCUCGGCCGUCGCGCCACUUCAAAGCCAGCGCCAGUGAGAGGUCGCCUCCGCUCUGGCCGGGCAUUAAUGCGGCACUGACGCUCUAGGCGACGCUGACCGUUUCACGCGGGAAGCGCGUGCUAGCAAGGGAGUAUAGGUUUUGAACCGUUUCAGGUGUAGUAGUAAUGUAGUUUGCAAAAAUACUCAAUUAUUGCACUCAGUUUCCUAAGAAAUUGUGGUAAAAACGUUACUCCACAGCCCGCUUCCCUUCUCCUUCCUGCUCGUGAUUUACGUGGCCAUGUUAACGUGGUUGUGUCAAAAAAAAAUUCACUUCCUGCUCGUGAUUUGUGUUAUAUAAUUACAAGCAAGAUUCUCGUGCAUUGCACGGAACAUCAAUAUGCAUUUUUUACAAAACACCUGUUGUGAUUGACCCAUGCAGGAGUAAUCCCAUGUGUAAAAACUAAUGAUAUCUCGAGAAUUUUAUCGGAAAACUGGUAUCUCGAGAAUGUCAUCAAAAAAUGAAAGAUGAGAGAUAAGGCGAGGAGGAGUGGAGCGUGGUGGUGACUGGUGGUCGGAAUGGGCGGAGGCAUGGGGAUGGACGGCGCCGGCAGGCGGCAGCGGCCACCAUGCAUGCUAGAUUGUUCCAGAGACUUAUUCCUUUUUUUAAUUGCUGAGCAAUGAGGUUGCGAGAGAUAAUGAUGUGGAGAGAGGUGCGGGUAUCUUUUGUAAAAUUAUCAUAGUUUGCUUCCUAUCCAUCAGAUAUAGAUCAUACGGUCUGUAUUACAAGAUGGUAGGCACACCAUCAUUGCCAACUCAUUUUUUUAUAAGGGUAUAAGGGUAUACAGAUGAUAAGUUUGCUGACUACUAAAGUAAAGUGGAAUCUGUCCAUGUUAUGCAAGUAAAUAAAGGUGAUUGUUUAUCAUACAGGUAAGGUUGGAUGAAGGGUGGUAGGAACAUAUGCUCCGCCUAGAGCAUGUGUCUGUAAGAUGGAGUCUUAGUGUGUGUGGUGUGUGUGUGUGUGAGAGAGAGAGAGAGUGAGAGAGAGAGAGAGGAGAGAGAGAGAGAUGGAGUCUUAGUUUGUGUGUGUGUGAGAGAGUGAGAGAGAGAGAGGAGAGAGAGAGAUGGACUCUUAGUUUGUGUGUGAGAGAGAGAGAUGGAGUCUAAGUGUGUGUGGGGAGGUGCGUGUGUGUGUGUUUGUGUGUGUGAGAGAGAAAGAGAGAGAGAUGGAGUCUUAGUGUGUGUGGGGGAUGCGUGCGUGUGUGUGUGUGUGUGUCGGGGUCCUCUGUGGCGGAUGUAAUUUAAGUGUGCAUGGCUUCAUCAUAGAGAGGUGAUGUGUAUCGCAGAGGCCACCAACNNNNNNNNNNNNNNNNNNNNNNNNNNNNNNNNNNNNNNNNNNNNNNNNNNNNNNNNNNNNNNNNNNNNNNNNNNNNNNNNNNNNNNNNNNNNNNNNNNNNNNNNNNNNNNNNNNNNNNNNNNNNNNNNNNNNNNNNNNNNNNNNNNNNNNNNNNNNNNNNNNNNNNNNNNNNNNNNNNNNNNNNNNNNNNNNNNNNNNNNNNNNNNNNNNNNNNNNNNNNNNNNNNNNNNNNNNNNNNNNNNNNNNNNNNNNNNNNNNNNNNNNNNNNNNNNNNNNNNNNNNNNNNNNNNNNNNNNNNNNNUAAACAAAGGGAUGGUCCUAUUGGUUUCGGGGAUAUAGGGGAAGAGUGAGAGGCGCGCGGGGCGGGGGGGGGGGUAGCUAGAAGGAGAUUGUUAAGUGUGAGUGUGUGUUUUGCCCAUCCAGGCGGAAGUUAUGCGGACAAAAGAGGAGAACGAUUCGAUGUAGCGUUAGGAUUGAGGGUAAUUAACUACGUAUGGAGACAUAGAGACCUUGAACGUGCAUGUGUGAGAGGUAUACAUGUAUACGUGGGAUGUGUGUGUGUGCGCGCGCGCAUGAUCGAGAUAAAAGAAAGAAGACAUAAGUCCUAAGAUCAACGACAUGGGAGAGACGGGUCGGUAUGACAAUAUGCAUGCAUGUGAGAAUGCAGGGAAGAAGGCCCGACAAUUGAGCAUGUGUUUUUGUCUUUAAGAGAUAGUGGCGUGGGCUGGAGCAUGAAUCUAUGGCGAGCAGAGGGGGUGAGGCACAACGAUUGUGCAAAAGAGAUCAACCUAUAAAUGCAUAUGUAUGGAUAGACAUAUAUAGUGUGGGUGAUAGGAAGCAAGACUCCGUGAGAGAAAGAAAUGUUGACAGAGAAACUACAGAUAGAUACAGAGAUGGAGAUGCUAGCUAGAGAGACAUACGUUAGUUUGGCUGUCGGAGAUGACCGUCGGGUGGUUCAAAGGGUGAAGUUAUAUAUGUGUGUGAGCGGGCACUUGACUGCAUGCAUGUAGAGAGAAACAUAUGUAGUGUGCGUGAUAGGAAUCAAGAGUGAGGGCGAGAAAGAAGGUUGAUGGAGAAACAAAUAAAUAGAAAGAUAAAGAUGCUAGCUAGUGUGCUCUAGAGAUAGGAGUCGAGUGGGUCAGAAGGCUGGGUUAUGUGUGUGGGUGUGAGAGAGAUAGAGAGAGGGUGCAUGUGAGUCACAUACAAACAAAUAUCAGAGAGAAAUGAGAUCCAGAGAGACAGAGUUUUGUGUCUGCGAGAGAGAAAGAUAUUUCAGAACAAGAGUGAUAGCUAGAGAGACAUAUGAGGGAACGCAAGAUAUCUCUAGGGAGAGAGGGUGUGUUUGAGAGACAUACAAGAGAACAAUGGAGAAAUAUGAGACCCCGGGAGACAGAGUUUGUGUUUGUGUGUGAGAAAGAGAUAUUGAAGAGGAAGAGUCAUAGAUUCUCAUAUCUAAGACAUCCCUGUAUGAGGGGUGUGCGAGUGGCACACAUGGGAAUAGUUGAGAGAAAUGAGACCCCGGGAGACAAAGUUUUGUGUUUGUGUGAGAGAAAGAGAUUCCACAUGGAGAAUCAUAGCUAGAGACACAUAGCAGGGAGCGAGAUAUACUUAGAGAGAGAUAGAGUGACGAAGGUCGAUGGAGAGAGUACCGUCAGUGUGUUACAAAGAUAAAAGAUCAUUGUCGACAUACAGGUAGCACGAGAGAUGCCUGAGAGACGAUGAACGCGUAUAGGUCCAGAGAGAUAGUCCUAUAUAAGCAUGAGUGAUAACUAUAUGAGACGAAUAUCUGGAUUAAAGGGGAUUCAAAUAUUUAAACUGGAGAUCACGACAUCGAUAAUAUCAUAACGCAAAUUGGUGUAUCAAACAUGCAUAUUCAUUUGAAUUUGGGCACACGUGUAAUGUUAUAUAGUUUAUCAAUAUUGGUGAUCCAUAGAUUCUUCAAUUAUAAACAAUGCAUGGUUUAUAUGCAAUUAAUGUCUAAACGGGAUUACACUAUAUGUUGCGUGUGUGAAACACAUUAUACAUGUUUGAGAAGUUAAAAAAACCCGCAUGAAACACACAUUAAUUGGAGACAGUUAGCGAGGAAUGCAUACAUUGGAUUUCAACAUAAAGUGGUUUCAAAUAUUUAAAAAUCCAAAUUGAUGGAUACAACCUUAUGAAUCUGAGAUCAUGCCAUUUGUAAACCAUAUUUAUGUAUAAAUGGUGUUGUGCUUUUGAAAGUAUAUAUAUAAAAAAAUGAUGUAUAUAGAAUGUAAUUCCAAUUAAAAAUGGAUCCCGCCCGAAAAAAUAGUAGAAUACAAACGGGGUUCGAAUUGAGUUGGCACGGUAACCGUGCACUAUGCAAAAUUUGAACAAAGCAUGGAAAGUCGCAGUAACCGCCCGAAACCAAAAUCUGCGAGAUGGAAAUCACUACUGCCUAUCCCUGCCGUGCAAAGCCUAUCUGCUGGAGUUCUAUUGUUUUUGAUAGGGGUAGGUUUGUAAUUUCACCCAAACGUGGCGUAACCGCCUCUCACCCGGAUUCAUACACGAUGGGCGCCAAAACACAGUGUGCCCUCGGCCGAAAUCGACUCCCUCCCCGAUUCAUAUUCAUACACAGUGGGCGCCAAAAACAAACUCUCGUCGGCAAAUAUUCGGUGUAUGCGAGAUUACCGUCCUAUCCCCAACCGACUAAUGUUGCUGUGAUGUAGUAGAAAUUUGAAACGCGGGCUAAGUUUGUAAAUUUCCUCGCAUUUGAUACAAGCGCACCCUGAAUACAUGGUCCCCCUUCCUCUCUACCUCCCUUUUCCCCAUUCAUACUCCGUGGGCGCCAAAACACCCUCUCCACCCCACCCUCCUCUGUCCGCCGCCGUUCGCCACCCCAUCCACCGCCGUCCUCCUCCACCAUGCUGAAGCUGAUACCCCAACGCCACCGUCCAUUACAAGAGAUCGACCUCUCUCAUCCAUGCCUUCGGACCGGGAUCAUUGCAUCCCGUCCUCUCGCUUCAUCCCCGCCAUCGUCCACCUUGCCGGCGCCGCUCCUACGACCGUCUCGUCCACCGCGCCCCGCCGCCACCGUCUACCCUCCUAGAUCUGCUUCCACGCCGCCGACAACCAUCACUACCGCAGCACCGUCAAAUUCUCACCAGAUGCGUACACGGCGCCGCACCAGAGGAGGUACUCUUUCGUAUCUUCUCAACUUAUUUAUCGCAGCAAGAAAAUAGAUCGCCACUGCUUUACUCUGAUUUCUUGUCUUGGUUGCGAAGUUGCCUUUGUCCGGUUUGCACCUUCAGAUCCACCAUGGCACGCUCAACAGUCAACACUAUACUCCCAAUGCUUAUGGUUUUCCCCUUUUAUAUUCCACACUAGUUAAAUCAUAGUAGACUAAAUUUCAAAAUUGGGUCAGUCGAUUUUUCAGAGAUCGCCGGAGUUCGCUGGUGCGAUGGAAGGGGCUCGGGUGGUUGUGGGGCCUCGCCGAAUGAAGAAAACUCGACGCGGGUGGGGGUGGGGGUGGCGGAGGAACACAGGCGAUGGGGGCCGGUGGUCCGGCCGGCGGCCCAUGCAGUGUUCUGUAUGGGAAGAAUCAGAGACGAGGAAGAAGAAGGGUUAGGAGACGUAGGAUCUUCAUCCAACCGCCUGAAAUGGUCGAGAGACAGCUGGGAGUUGCAUUCUUAAUGCGCUCUGGUUCAUCAUGUGUGGGCACUGCACAACCAACAUUUUAUUAUCCAAAAUCUGCUUGCUCUUCUUUACCAUGUUCGAUAGUGCUGGCUUGUACGUGAUCGAUAGGCUUUCAAUUACUAGCGGCAAUACAACACCGUAUUUUCAAGCCAGUUCCACUUUCCCGAUUUAUAUAUCGUGGUUAUGGUGUACCCCUGUUAUGUACACUAUGAUCUGCCUAGUUGUUGUGUGCUCUUGUUAUCGUGGUUUGGCAAUAAACUAUCUAUACAGUAUAUUAUGAACCUAUCAUCUCCCAGCUAUCCUUACUUCUGGAGCCUAUUUCUUUGUGUACUUGUGCCAGAUUAUAUAAAUGCACGCACGAUAUUACAGCACACAUGAGCUCUCUCAUCAGAAUCCAGUGAUAGCACAUAAGUGUUUACAGGGGCGCCCCUAUAUUAGAAUAUCAUCUGCAUUACAAAGAUAAUCUCACAACUAUUUAUGUUUUCAUGGUUCUCAGAUAUUAUACGCAAUUACAGUGAAUAUCAGAAUCCGCGCAUUAGAAGAAUAUUGUGGAACACUGCAAUGACUUACAAAAUUGGCACCAAGGCAUUGAGUGCCAUUCUGGAAGCAAUGAAACUCGUACGCUCCCCACCUGUUGAUUCUUGUUCAGAAUAUCAUUCUAAUGACUAUUCUAACCUUGAGGAGUCAAAGGCAGAUGGCCUGUCCUAUUCACCCAUCAAGGUGUCUGUUCUAAUUUGGCAAGGUUUUAUUGAUUGUGCGUAUCUUGCAUAUGUUGUCUUGCAUUUCUUCUACUUUGUUGCACCACCAUCUGCUUAGUUUACUCAUCAUAUAACUCGAGAUGCUAUGCCCAUCCAUUAUCAAUACAUAUUCCAUCUGUCGUCAUACCAUGUUUUUUCACUCAAAUGUUUUUCUUGUGCAUCAGAUAUCAAAAAGGAAGAGAGUGAUUGCCAAACCUGAAGAAGCACCAGCAAAGUCCUUGAAAAACAUGGUGGUGCCGGAGAAAUCAGACAGCGCCCCACUUAUAUUGGUUGUACAACCAAUGGCACAAAACAUAGGACCGACUCCAGCAGACUGUACCCAUACUUCACUGGCCACACCACUAGCCCCACCACACAGGACCUACACUCCAGAAAAAGGUAUACCGAUUUCAUUUGCCAUAGCACCAGCCGUACCACAGAAAAAUCCCACUCCAGCAAAAAGUACAGCAAGUCCACCGGCCGAAGACCUAUCCCAACUGCAGAGACGGCCAAUUCCUGUAGAUUGGAACCCCAUUCCAUUUAUUCCCAGUUUAAAAGACAAUGCUUUCAAUGUUGUUAGGGACUACGUGCAUAUAUUCCCAUCAUGGGAAGAUUAUAGUGAAGACAAACACCAUUUUCACAUCUUCCUGUCCAACUUACGUGUAAGUGCUAUUAUUCAUGGUUAUUAUUUUCCUGUUUUCUGCUGAUCGAACACAUCAAUGAUUUACAUUACAUUGUUGUAACUAGGUGAGGGUCAAUCUGGAUAGACAUGACGAGCAAAGCUUGCUUGUGCUUUUCAAGGAAGCAUUGCAGCAGUAUCAGUGUUACCUGAGGAAAUCACACUUUGAUGGCAAGUCUAUAAACGAAUUUCCGGUGAAGUCUCCUGUGCUAAAUUUAGAAGACAUUGAAUGGAAAAUCCUUGUUAUGCACUGGUCUCGUUCCCAAGAUGAGGUAUUGUCUAUGAAAUCACAUGACAAUUUGAACUUCUACUUUUUCGCAUGUGCCUUACGGAUCAUUUUUGCAGGAAAUCAGCUCGAAGAAGAAUUCCGGUUUGAAAAGAACGACAGGAUAUCGCAAAUAUGCUGCCCGCUGCUUUGCUCUUGUUACUACCUGUUGUCCUGUAUCACUGUACUUGCAUACAUACCUGGUUCAUUAUGUGACAGCGGUAUGCAUGAUAGCUUGCUUAUCAAUUAUUCGCUCCAAAUUAUCUGAUCUGUAUGAAUGGUUACAUUAGUGUAGAAUAUAUCCAAUGCCAAUGAAUUUUUUUAGCUCUGCAUUGGUCUCUGUAAGUACAUGCCGUCCUUUAUCAGUGUACUUAUAUUGACAGGUAGUUGCUCAUGUACCAUCACUCUGCAACUUAUUUUCCUUUUCCCUCCAUUUUCUACACAUCAGAUCUAUAUUUACUCUUACCAUAAGGUUGGUACUGAAGAAGUUUAGCUGUGCAUUGCUCUUGGCUGUGCCUUUUGCCUGUAUCGCUGCACAUACAUUUAUAGCUACUUGGUUAUGUAGCAUCACUCUUCAUCUUAUCUUAAAUAUUCUCCAUUUUUUUGUAUAUUAUCACAUCUAUAUUUACUCUUAACAAAAUGUAGAAUAAAGGCAAUGCUUAUGAAGAACAUUCUGUGCUAAACUUCUUGAAUUUCCCCCCCCCCCAUCAGCAUGGACAAGGGCUUUAUAGAGCCUGUCUUCACCAGUAAUGUAAGUUUGUCCUUCUCAAGCCUUCAAACUUUGUUGUGUAUAUUUGGUUAGGCAUGACUGCAACAGCUGUUUAUUUUUGGUGUUUGCAUCAAAUUGCAUGUUUAAAGUUUAUUAUGUAGUUCAUAAACAAAAGUUUGUCCUUCUCAAUUUAAGUUUUUAGUUGUACAACCAAGUUCCUUCUUCAUACCAUGUAAAUUAAACUAUACAGAGCAAGUGAUCUUCUUUUGCAUUGCAUGUAUGCUUCUGUUCAUCAUCCGUAAUCCAGUGGCGUGGUGAACCUACCCACUACAGCACAAGGUCAUAUUCUGCAAUGUCUUAACUAUGAACAAUGUCAUAUCAUUCUACUAUUAUUUAAACCGCCUCUUUAUUUGCCAAUCUGAAAUGGGAUAAAUUGACAGCACACUAACCAUUGAUACUUAUGAGUUCUUGAUCUGUAAUCCAGUGGUGUCGUGAAGCUGCCAACUCCUUCACAAUGUCAAUUCCUGCCAUGUCUUGACCUGAACAAUACCAUAUUGUGUUAAUGCAAUUUUAAACUGUGUCACUUUAUUCGUUAGUAAGAAAUGUGAUGAAUUGUCAGUACUGAUACUUUUAUGUGCAAAACCUGUCAUCUGUCUGCUUGUUUAUCUUUCAGAGUGAGGAAGAUAUAAGUGUUGAACAAGCGCAGUCUCAUCAUCUUGCUCAGCUGCUUGCGCUGCAGCUCCCCAGCAGGGCUAACCUUUCCUGAACUCUAUUGAAGUGCUGUCGGUUUUGUAUAUUAUUUUGUCGGCGUAUUUAUUUGCACUGGUGGCGAUCUUUGAUGCCCAGUGUAUGUAAACUGUUGUCUGCUUGUGCUUUCUUAUCAUAGUGGCGAACUUUGAUGCCCAGUGGAUGUAAUAUGCCAUAAUUUCUUCAUUGUAUAGUCUAGGUUUUUUCUUAUUCACGAUGCUGUAGUCAUUUUACUGUAUAUAUAUCUUGUCUUCGUAGUAAACCGGCCAAACCGUAAAAUUACGGUACAUAAUCGAGCCGUCAUGCAAUCACGAUUUAUGAUCCGCAUCAUGGUCCCCGUCAAACUAGCCCACUAGUAGAUUCGGGCCUUUAAUAGGCCGACUAACCCCCGGCCCUCUUUUCGCAAGAAAACUCAAUGGGCUUUUAGGAGGCUAAGAAGUAGUCUGGGCCUGAAACAUGCCGAAUAGCUCACGGGCUGGCGGCAGCCCGAAAUGGACCCCGACCCAUGAUUGUGCGAAUCAAUUCACGGGCUUUUAACAGGCCAAAGUUGUCUCGGUCCUUGUUUGGCCCAAUCAGAUAUCGGCUGCGAGCAGGCCGGAUGCAAACCGGGCCGUAGUUAGGCCCAACUAUAUGACAGGCUUUUAACAGGCCGAAAUUAAUAUAGGGCCGAAAUGUUAAAUGGGCCCUUAACAGGCCGAAACUAAUAUCAGGCCGAAUUACUAAAUGGGCCUUUAGCAAGUGGGCCCAAAAGCAUAGCGUCCAGUCAACGGGCCGAAUCUGAUAUGGGCCAUAAUUGAGACCAAAGCCUCUUAAAGGGCCGGACCUGAUCUAGGCCGUGAUUUGGCCUAGAAAGUGGGAGGCUUUUAACGGGCCGGAUCUUAUAUGGGCCAUUACUAGGCCCGGAACGUGGCAGGCCAUUGAUGGACCGGAUCAAUUAUGGGCCGGCAUUUGGCCCAAAACAUGGCAGUCAGUUAAUGGGCCGGCCUACUAGGGUCCUCAAAAUCUUCUGGGCCUACAGCUGGGCCAGCCCGUUAAUGUCGGCGAAAUCUCGUGGGCUUUUAGCUGGGCCGGCCCAUUAUGAUCCGCAAGAAUUUUGUGGGACUUUACCUCGGCCGGCCCAUUAUGGCACACAAAAAUCUUGUGGGCCUUUACCUGGGCCGGCCUAUUAUGGCCCGCGAAAUCUUGUGGGCCUUUAGCUGGGCCAGCCCAUUAUAGUCCGCAAAAUCUCGUGGGCCUUUAACUGGGCCGGCCCAUUAUGGGCCGCAAAAUCUUGUGGGCCUUUAGUUGGGCCAGCCCAUUUAAACUUGAUUGGCCGUGCCACGUGUCGACGUAUCAUAGGCGCCUUCUGUCCAAUGAGUGGAUGACAUAUGUCCCAACGAUGAGCCGACACGUGUUUCCUCCAGCCAAUGAUGAUUUUACACGUGGAAAAUCCCCAUUGGUAGGGGCUGUUAACGGGUUAUCGGAUCCAAAACCCGACCCGAUAGCUUAACGGCGUUCCGUUACGGUGGAUGCCGCGUGUCGGUCACCCUUGACGAAAGCACUUCUGUGACGCGCGAUUUAUCGUCAUGGAAGUGGACACUUCCAUGAUGAUAAUUUUGGUAAUGUCAUGCAACACUUUUAUGACAGCACAGGUAUGACUAUCUUGAUUCUGUCAUAAAUUUGUCAUGGAUGUACAUGCAUGACAAAAAACACGACCUACUGUGACAAGCACGUAUCAUCACGGAAGUGUAUUUUUCUUGUAGUGCAUCCUGCUGCCGUCGUCGUUCCUCUCCGAUUUCGGCGGCCGCCCUGCGCUACUAAACUGCCCCCGGCCACCAUGUGCCACUCGGUGAGCUCCCCCUCCACCUGUCCCUUGCUCCUUCCCAUAGUUGUAGUCGCCCCGUCACCGUUACCGAUGCUCGUCGCCGCUGCUUAUCUUUCCGCCGUCGCUGUCGUCCACUCCAUGGCCAGGCGAGCAUGCCAGUGUGCUCGUGACCCCGCGUAGGUGCUGUAGGUGGCUAGCACUGGUCGUUUUACUUGUCAUAGAACCGUCGCCGCCCGACCCCGAAUGCUACUGCCGCUCGCCCGCUCGGCCGGUUCCUCGCGUGCGCCUCAUGUUUGCCUUGCUGCCGUCCGGAGCCUCCCGUUGCUGCUUUAGACCGUCUGCUGCUCCUGCUUACUGCUACUGUCAUGUACUGCUGCUGCUGCUACGACCUGCCGCUGCCGCUGCCGUCCCUAGCCUGCGCCUGCAUCCGCGCCUUGCCUCCUGCGCCGUCCGCCCCGCCCGCCACAGCGCGCUGCCUCGCAACAGCCGUCGCUUGCCGUGGCCUCGCCCACCCCGCCAUCCUCUGCUGCCCCACAUGUGUCGCGUCGCCGCUCACCACGCUGACCCGCUGACUCCGCCCUUGCCGCCUCACCCUCGCGCUUUGCCUCGUCGGCGCUGCUGUGACGCCCCAACCCGUUCGCCCCGCCUCUAGCCUCACCGCGCCGGCCACCGCACCCCCUGCUGCCGAGCGCCACACGCUGCGGCCCCGCCGCCGUUCCCCACGCUGCCGCCUCGGGCGCCGCACCUGCGAGCCCAUCAGCCCGCGCCCGCUAUGUCCUAUGGGCCACUGCCCAGUAAGCCCCACCAGCCUCUUUUUCUUUUAAAAAAAGGUUUCAAAAAAAUGUAUAUAAAAAUAUUAAUUAAAUAAAUAACUUAGUUAAUUAGGUUUAGUUAAACUAAUUACUUGCUUAAUCUAACUAUCUAACUAGUUAAUCAAAUGGGCCUAUGACAGGGGGGCACACCCCUUGUUGACUAGUCAAACAUUGACUGGUCAACCGGGACCCCCUGGUGCACCUGUCAGCCACUUGGUGCACUUUUGUGUACCCUGUGCUGGGUGCACCUAGCAUUUACUCAUUCUUUUCGAAUUAAAUAAAAUUGCAGAAUAUCAUUAAAACUUUGGAAAAUCAUAGAAAUUAAACCAUAGCUCGGAUCGAAAAACUUUCUACAUGAAAGUUGCUCAAAAUGACGAGACGAAUCCGAACACACGAUCCGUUCGUCCGCCACACAUCCCUAGCAUAGCAAAAGUCAAACAUUUCCCCUCUGGUUCAUUUGUCUGACACACAUCCGGAACCGGGAAAACUUUUCCGGAUGUUUUCCCCCUUCACCAGUAUCGCCUAACGCUGUGUUAGAACACCUCUAGGCCCACUUAUUGUCUUGUUAUGCAUAUGUUUGCGUGUAUUUACUAUUUCUUCCCCCUCUUCUCUUUGGUAGACACCGAGACCGCUGUUGAUGCCCCUGUGAUCGACUACGUCACUGACGGCACUUCUUCCCUUUUCAGCGGAGCUUCCAGGCAAGCCACCCCCCUUUGAUCAUACCGAUAUCGCCCAUUCCAUUCUCUCAUGCUUGCAUUAGAUUUUGCUACUGUUAUUGUUUGCUCCUAUUAUGAUGCAUAGCCUGCUUUUAUACCUGUUGUUGUACCUUACCGGCUUAUCCUAAACUGCUUAGUAUAGGUUGGUUAGUGAUCCAUUAGUGACCCCCACUUGUCCUUGUUGCCCCUGAUUCAUCAUCGACGCCUCGAUCAACAUGAUCGAUGACCAGAGCCCUACACCUCACAUCACAUCACGCCCCUUUUGUUGCUCGACUCUACAGAGCUACUAUCAAGUGUCGAGGGGUACCUCAUACAUCACUCCUGAUGAGAUCGCUGUAGUGUAGCUAUCCGGUCGUGUUCAUCGAGGGUGAUUCCUCCUUAACCACUUUCGAUACGGCUCUGUCGUGUAACCCCUCAAGUGCGAACCACGAGGGUGGUUCCUCUUAUGUUCACCUUGAUGAUUACAUCUAGUGGAAUCCAUCGAGGGUGAUUCCUCGAGUUUUCCCGUUGAUGUUUGGACACACGGUUACCCAGACUUCACUUGAGACCAUUGUUGAACUCGGGUCAGCCCUGAGGGGUACCCGCUAGUUGAUGUGAAAGUCGGGUGGGCCCGUAGAGCACCCGCGAGUUUUCCACAUGGCACGGCCGGGCAGUCUGGGCCCUUGCCGUAAGUCCACGAGACAAGGCGACGGGGUCACAUUAUCGUGAGUCUCUGCUCGUCUCCACGAGCCCCCAAUGCACUAAUGGUUUGGGUAUUUGUUAUGAGUUGGCCUCUGGCCUUUACGCACUAACCACCACGCGAGAAUAGUUAUGGGCCUCGACGUCGCAGUAUCAGCCGAAGCUUUGUCAGACGUCCAGUUCAGCAGUGUGGAACGGUCGGAUCAUGCUGGCCAUCCGAGGCGGUGCUGGUAUUCACCCUGCGCGCAACGACCCAAAGUGUUGCAUGCAAUGGGCCCAAGACCCAGAGUGCUUAGGAUGUAGACCGGCGGGGACCUCUCUGCUGAGCCUAGGUAGGGCUGCGACAUGUUGAUCUUCCGAGGUCAGGCAUUGACCCCAGAAAGGUGUGUCCGGCCAGAGUGAUCGAGUGUGUUGGGUAACGUGAUGCACCCCUGCGGGGAAGAUAUAUAUUCGAAUACCGUGUCCAUGGUAAUGGACAUUCAGAGUUGUAUCCUAAUAUUAUAUAACUAGAAAUGGAUACUUGAGAUAUGUGAUGGAUAUGUGGCUCCGAGAUUUAUUUUCCGUAGGGAGUCGGGGAAGGAUCUCUGGGCGUUGGUUCUACAACAUAUUUGUUAAAUAUUAAAUGCUAUUCUUUACUCUUGUACAUGCUGCAAGAUGCUUGGAGCUGCUUGAAGAUGCUAGUCUUCGAUAGGCUAGGCCUUCCCCCUCUAUUCUGGCAUUCUGCAGUUCAGUCCACAGAUACAAACCUUCCAUUUGACACCAAUGCAUACUUAGUAUAGAUUUGAUGCUUGCGAGUACGUUGGAUGAGUACUCACGGUUGCUUUGCUACCCCUUUUCCCCCUUCUUUCUUCUUUCCGGUUGAUGCAACCAGAUGAUGGAUCCCUGGAGCCAGAUGCCACCGCUGAUGGAAGCUACUACGUGGAGGCCGCCGACGACCAGGAGUAGUUAGGAGGUCCCAGGCAGGAGGCCUUGCCUCUUCGGUCGUUGUUGCUUUGUGCUAGCCUUCUUAAGGCAUCAUUGUGUAACUUAUGUCUAUACUCAGAUAUUGUUGCUUCCGCUGACUCUUGUGUAUCGAGCUUGUAUUCGAGCCCUCGAGGCCCCUGGCUUGUAAUAUAAAGCUUGUAUUACUUUAUUUGUGUCUAGAGUUGUGUUGUGAUAUCUUCCCGUGAGUCCCUGAUCUUGAUCAUACACAUUUGCGUGUAUGAUUAGUGUACGAUUGAAUCGGGGGCGUCACACUGUGCCCCACGGCCACGACCACAAAGGCGACACAUCUGUGGGCGUCGCUGACAAUGAGGAAGAGUAGAACAUGCUAGGUUGCCACCGCUCGGGUCCCAAGAAGGCCACCACUCCUCACCUCCUGUUGAAGCCAAGCUUGGUGAGCUGAACAUCGAUGGCCGAUUAGCCGCUUGGCGGCGUCCUGGAGGCGGACAGGUUUACUUCUAGGGCUCCACAGGCAGAGCUGGAGAAGUUGAAGCUUUAGUUCUCCGGGUUCAUGGCCGGACACGGGGACCGGGCACCGAGAAUCAUAGAUCAGGUUAAUUAAUUAUACAUUCAGAGCCAGACGAGCACCGCUUAUAGUUGAAGUAUGUCUGAAAUGUAAUGAAAUCCGGCAUGUUUAUAUGAAAUUCGGCCGUGUUUGAACAAAUUUCUUCUGGUUAGUUCGGAUUGUUGCCCAAAUGUAUGCAGGCAGCGUUGGAUGGCGUCCUCCCGCAUCCAUGUCCGCAGACUGGUCCCCCCUGUCCACAGAUAGAUGUGGGAGAAAAUAUGCGGGUCGCCGUUAGAGAUGCUCUUUCAAUGAUAAAAUAUCAAAAUAUUCGGAUAUUAACAAAUAGCCCCUGCCCAAUCAAAGACUGACAUGGCUAUAAUUCUAGAACAGUGUGGUGAUGUGCAAACCAACUAGUUCCACAUGGCACACAUACUGUCUCCUUCCACUCACUACCUUGGCUCUAACUCUGGGUACUGGUUUUCUUCAUCUGAGCGUAGAACUCAGGGCACCGCGUGCUUCCUGUAGUUUCAUAUCCUGGCCUUUUCCACUUCCAAGGAAGUACAUGUACAGUUGAUGCGUGUUGAAUAAGAGAGCUUGGUGAUCAAGAGAUAGGAACAACAUCAAUCACAAUGUGAGGAUCUCUUAGUUGCAUUGAUCAAUCUAUAAUACAAACUGGGCAUUUAUCCAAAUUGCGCCAUUGCAUUGUGUGUGAAGCUAGUAAAAAAUUCCUUUUUGUAACGAAGUUUAUAGACUAUCAACUAUGAAGAAGGCCGCAAAAGGAAAUGGUAGUCACCGCCCUACAAGGCAACGGACGGUGCCCUUUCUCCACCAAAAAGAAGACACCCACCACACUUUGGCAAUGGGGCCUGCCAGCACCUUGAUGAGGUUGAAGGUAGGGGCUGCGAGGACAAAAUUUAUGCGACACGCCCCCUAGACUGACAUUGGCCCCUUCCCCCGCCUGGGAAAAGCUGUGCGUUAUGGAGCAGUCGGAUCAAGAGGUGAAAGUGGCGGUGACAAAGAAUUUAGGUACAUCAGAUGAGAUUAAAGUCCAAGAGCCUCAAGUGGUUGAGUUGCAUAUCUGUAUAUAUGUAUUUGUUCGUGGACCAAUGACUUGUCUACAAGUUACUAGUUUUUCUCUAUGUGAACCAACACAAUUGGAAUCAUAGAACGUUGAUCUAAGGGCAUGUAUAGAGAACUGGAUGAUCGAGAGAGCAGUAGUGAUAAACUAUAAGUGGCACCGGACCAUAAGCAUCACUCACUAGGAAUAUGAUGCAUGAAGAUUUCGAGUUCAAGACUAGCUGCAAGUGUACACACAAGAACUCUUAUCUUCGCUACUCUUGGAUACAUGUGUGGAUUUUGUGUUGGUUGGUGUCGUGAGGAAAUAUGCCACGCUACCUUCUUAGUAGGAGACCUUGACUUACUCCCUUUGUGCUUCAAUAGAAUUAGUAUAAUUUUCUAUAUGAAUUCAAAUGAAGUAAGGUUUGACCAAGUUUAUUGAAAAAAGUAUCAACAACGACAAUACUAGGUAGAUAUAGGAUGAAAACUUUUAGUAACAAAACCGCACUAUAAACUCAAGUAACUAAUUCCGUAUGCAAACCAACAACUGGCUAUUGGUUGCUUUUAUUGUGCAUGGGCAUGUGUAUAAUAUUGCAUCCCGAGAUUGCAUUUAAAUAUGGAUCAUCUCGAGGAAUCAAAAGGGAUGGAUGGUCAUUUUAUGUUAAACCUUGAUUAUUAUGCAUAAGCCUGAAAGGUCAUGUAAAGAUUAAUAGAGGGGACGAAAUAACUUCAUGUACAAUAAAAUCAAGUCUGAAUUUCGUACAACGGGACAAUGGACGGUGAGGAUGCUUAGCACAUAUGCGAUUAAUGCUGCCUUUUUCUGGAAAAGGAGGCGUGCCCCCGACCUCUGCAUCUGAAUGAUGUAUUCAGCCAUCUUUUUUAAAAGUCUCAAAGUAUCACAAAGUCAUAAAAGUAUUACAACUCGCAGGCGGAGAAAACAUAAAAGAAGCUGAAUACCACAACCGGUAUGAAAAGAAGGACAAGCUCCCUAGACUCCUAUCCUGUUAUGCGACCGCCAUCUAAACCGGUUGAAUAUAGCCCGUGCUACCAUCAGCCGCUGGUUUCACCCAGUAACCAAUGGCUCUCCGGAGUCCGUAGGAGUGAGUAAGGACAGUGUACUGAUCCAUGCCGUAGCUCUGAAAAUGACCGGCAAGAAUGUUAAAAUAUGUUGUCUGUUAAAAAUAAUAUCAUUCCUGCAAUUCCAUAUAGCCCAAAUAAGCGCAUAUAUUCCAAUCAGAAUAUGAGACGCGGUAGUAUGAUCAACUCCAGCUAACCACGUCCCAAAUAACGAUUCAAUGCUAACUCGAGGACUGAUGUUAAAGGCUAUAUGAAUCAUUCGCCAGAGUAAUUUUGUGAGAGGGGAAUCUAUGAAUAGGUGUUGUAUUGUUUCAUCAUGAUCACAAAAACAACAUCGUGUACUGCCUACCCACUGUCGCUUUAGUAAAUUAUUUUUGGUGAGGAUCACUUGCUUGUGGACAAAUUACAUAAAAUAAUUAUGCACUAAACCUUAACCUUCCAGAUAUGUAUCGAUCUCAGGAUUGUGCCAGAAUUAAUUAGAUCCAUAUAAAAGGAUUUUACCAUACACUCUGUUUCUAGCCAACUUCCAGUGCAACGAAUCUGGUUGGUCAGAUAGUUGAACAUCUAUCAAUCCCCGUACCAAGUGCAUCCAGGAAGUCCAACGUUCCGCAACUAACGGUCGCCUAAAUUGAAUAUUAUUCAAGGGGACCGAUUGUAAUAUUGUGCCCACGUAACCGUCCUUAUUUUGCACAAUGUUAUAGAGGGUAGGGUAUUCUAUGGCUAGUGGCGUCUCCCCUAACCAUGUAUCCUCUCAAAAUCUUGUUGCCAUCCCAUUGCCAACAAAGAAUUUGACCCUACGAAAGAACAAAUCUUUCGUUCUCAUAAGCCCCUUCCAGAAUGGCGAGUCAGUCGGUCUCGCGGUGACUUGGGCAAGCGUUUUUGAUUGUAGAUAUUUGUUGCGUAAUAUAUGUGCCCACAUACCAUCAGUCUCAACUAAUAACCUAUAUAAUCAUUUACUCAUAAGAUAUUUAUUCUUAAUUUCCAGGUUUUCAAUGCCGAGACCACCCUGGUCCUUGGGUCGGCAAAUUAUAUCCCAUCGUGCUAGGCGAUAUUUCCUCUUAGUCUCAUCGAACUGCCAGAAAAAUCGAGAUCGAAAGAAAUCUAGUCUCUUUCGCAUCCCAUUGGGUACCUCAAAGAAAGGUAAUACGAACGUUGGCAUACUAGUAAGAACUAAGUUAAUAAGCACUAGCCGACCUCCAUACGACAUUAGCUUGCCCUUCCAACAGCUAAGCUUUUUUUCAAUUCUAUCUUCGAUACACUUCAAUUCCUAUUAGAAAGCUUGCAAUGAUGAAUCGGUAUGACCAAAUAGCUGAAGGGCAAAGAAACUAAUUCACAACCGAACAUUUGUCUAUAUGUGUCUUGCUCCUCUUCGACCCUACCAAAGCAGAACAAUUCGCUCUUGUGAAGGUUGAUUUUUAACCCUAACAAUUGUUCGAAGAGACAUAAUAUUAGUUUCAUAUUCCGAGCUUUUGCAAUGUCAUGUUCCAUGAAAAGGAUAGUUUCGUCAGCAUACUGUAAAAUGGAAACUCCCCCUUCGACUAGAUGAGGGAGAACUCCAUCAACUUGGUCGUUCUCCUUGGCUCUGCCGAUAAGCAUGGUUAACAUAUCCGCCACUAUAUUAAAUAGGAGAGGAGACAUUGAAUCCCCCUAUCUCAAACCUUUAUGAGUCUGAAAAAAGAGACUAUUGGGGAUAUAACUAUUUGUUUAAGCCGCCCAGGAGGGGCCGGGUUAUGCAAAGAAAACUCACCAGAAAGAAGCCCAAGACCAAGCAUGAAGAUGGCGGUUCAAUACAGGGUCUGAAGCCCACAGGCGACUUAAGGCCUGUCGUAGUAAACCGCCAUAAUGGCAUCACUUGUAUCAUAAGGUAGAUUUAACUAGUCACCGAGCCGGACACUGUUUAUAAGCCGGCCGGGACUCUGUAAGCCAUAGGGCGUCAACCCGUCUAUAUAAGGGGAUGACCCACCGGCGGCUUAGGGUAAGAAAAAACUGAUCAAGAGUCGGGCAUAGCAUAUCUCGCUCCCUGGUCAUCGAAACAUCAAUACCAACCCAACUAGAUGUAGGCUUCCCUUCAUCAUAAGGGGCCGAACUAGUAUAAAACCUCUCGUAUCCUUUGUCCUGAUUAACCCCUUCAAGCUUCAUAGUUGCGAUGGCUCCACAACUAAGUCCUUUCACGAGGACAUCUGACGUGACAAUUCCACGAUAGUUGGCGCCCACCAUGGGGCCAGCGCACGGUGGAUUUGAGUUCUUGAAGGGCAACUUCGAAGGGCUCAAGGGAUACGUAGUGGGCCGGAUGACCAAGAGUCGUUGCGGCAAGAUCUACAUCGACGAUGAAGGCUGGGGCCCCGACGCCGGCUCAAUUGAGUACAGGUACCGGGUCCCCUUCGGCGGAAUCCACGUCUUCAUCGGCCGGAUCGGUGAGCCGGGCCCUGAGCCGGACAACUACACCGACCUCGUCGAGACGGCUCAGCAUGCGAGAAAGGCCCGAGUUCAACCCGUCAUGAAGCGUGCUUUAGUGGGCUGCAUCCACGAAGAGGAAUUUUCUGAAGGGUCUGAAGAUGGUGGUGAGACGACCGUCCUUUCGAACGAUGAUUCAUCCGCCGGUUCAACAGAUUCACUAUACCAAGUGCAAGACGGCAUGCUUGGGGGCUGUUCCGAUGGCAUUAGUAUUCCGGACCCCUGUGAGCCGCCAAGAUGGGCAGGAGUCUUCAUGGCUGGGACUCAACCCGGCCGAAAUUCUACAGCCGCUACAGCAAUAACGUCCGGGACGAGGGCAGCCGGGGCAGGAGGCCCUAUGCGCCCGCCGGCUCAGGUGCUGAUGGAUCUCAUGGACAAGCUUACGACCACGUUAACCGCGACGGUUAUUGCCGCAAAUAAAGAUGAGCAUGACGCGGAGGUGGCACGGGUGCGUGAGGAGAUAGCACGGGCCAAGGAGGCCUUGGCAGAUGAGGUCACCAGGCUAGCCGCAGAGCGGGCAGCUCUAGAUGCACGGGCGCAGCGACUACAGUCAGAAGCCUACCAGCUCACGAUGAGCCUAAAUGCGUCCAACGAGGUGAUGAGGAGGAGACAUCAGAAGUCCCAGUCCCGUUUACCUCCGGUUUAUGAUCCUCAGAAUCUUUUCGCGACACCCGGAGCCGGUCCAAGCAACCUGCCAGAUGCAAAUCAGUUUAUGACAGCCGGGACAGGAGGGACGACCCAGCCUCAUGGGAGUAUGGCUCCACCCCGAUACGUGCCGAUACCGCCGGGUCACUUUUCCAACCCCAUGGAAAACUUAAUCGUAGAAUCGGCGCGCUUGGCGGCUCUCCCCGUGGACAGAGAUGAUCCGAAAGUGGUGGAAACCCGGAGGGUCAGAGAACUUCUCCAGACGGCCCUGGCUCAGCAGGAGACUUAUUCUUACAGGCGGGACAGGAUUCAUUCAACUCCUCCGCCUUGGUUAGCGCCGCCUCGUCAAAACCGGAGCCCGAGUUACAGCAGGCACAUGGAGUCUGAAGCCUUGUCAAGCAACGCCCAAUGCCGUAACCAGCCCGGUGGCUAUAAUCUAGUGCAAGACUGAUUAUGUCAGGAGAACGAGCGGGUGGCUCAGCUAGCGGCUCAGCAGAAGGUUCAUCAAGAUCUCCCAGAAUAUCCGACGACUUCCGUUGAGACGGGAGUAGCCACUAGGACCGGUGGUGUUCCUUGUUUGGUACCGGCUCUGCGUAAUGUGCGCUUAUCCAAGGACUUCAAGGGACCUCGAAAAGUGCAGAAUUACACGGCCGAUUUACAGCCCGGAGCAUGGAUUGAGAGUUAUGAAAUGGCCAUGGAGAUGUUGGAAGUCAGCGAUGCGGCAACGGCUAAGUACUUCACCAUGAUGUUAGAUGGAACGGCCCGGUCUUGGUUAAAUGGUUUGCCACCCAAUUCCAUUGGUUCAUGGGCAGAGUUAAAAGCCCGUUUCAUCCAGAACUUCAAGGACACCUGUAAGCAAUCUAUGUCGAUCAUGGAUUUGACGAAUUGUAAGCAGGAGGAGGGUGAGUCCACCACUCAUUGGGUAGGCCGGGUCAAGGAGAUAAUACGUUCAUCUGACAAGAUGGAUGCCGGCUCUGCAGCCCUCAUGUUGAAGAAGAAAUGCCGCUUUGAGCCGCUGAGGCAGAAACUGGGGCGCCUUAAGCGUGACUACAAUGAUAUGGGUACGCUGAUGGCAGCUUUAGUCAAAUAUGCCGAUUUUGAUAGUACCAAGGAUCCUGUGUCUGAUGAUGAGAAGACAGGGAAGGGAAAGAGGAACGGCAAUGGAAAUGGUCAGCAGUAUAACCCGAUGAAUCAAGGUGGCAAUAAGCGUAAAGCAGACGGCAACCCAGAGUUUGUAGCCAACGCUAAUGCGCAAGGUAACAAUCAGAGAUGUAAGGGCAAGCCGCCCCCUCGAUCUGGCGGGUCAGGCCCAUCUCUUGAGCAGUUACUUAAUGAGCCUUGCCCGAGACACGGCACCCGGGAAUGACCCGCCACCCACUUAUGGAAAGAUUGUGCGAUCAUGAAGGCUUUUAAGAAUUCCAACAUGUUUGGUGACAAUUCUGGGUCUGGUGGCGGUUCAGGAGCUGGCGGUUUUCAUGGCCCGGGCGGUGGUUCAAACUCCGGCUUUCAGGGACAUCAAGGCGGUAAUAAUCAACAGCAGUCUGGUCAAGGAGAGCAACAGCAGCAGCAGUCGGGUUAUCAAAGCCAUCCGAAGUAGUUGAAUGGUGGGCACUAUCAUGUGUUUACCACUAGCUUAUGCAAACAUGACCAGAAGGUUCAUAAGAGGGCCGUGAAUUCUGUUGAGCCGGCAGUUCCUCGUUAUUUAAGGUGGUCAGAACAUCCUAUUGUAUGGAGCAGAGAAGAUCACCCUCCACGGGUUGAUCAUCCGGGUCAGUUAGCCUUGGUGGUAGCACCUCGGGUUGGCGGAUAUAAAUUCACUAAGGUACUCAUGGACGGAGGUAGCAGUAUCAAUAUCCUCUAUUAUGAGACCUUUCGACCCAUGGGAUUGACUGAUAAGAAUUUGAGGACAUCCAACACUGUUUUCAUGGAGUGGUUCCUGGUAAGUCGGCUUACCCAAAUGGCAAGAUUGAACUAGAAGUGGCCUUUGGAGAUGAGUAUGACUCCAGGGCUGAGAAAUUAAUGUUUGAAGUGGUUAAAAUCAGAAGUCCGUAUCAUGCUCUGUUCGGGCGGCCGGCUUAUGCUAAGUUCAUGCACGGCCAGGUUACGUUUAUUAGCAGCUCAAGAUGCCGGGUCACAAGGGCACCAUCACUGUGCAUGGGAGUUGAAAGGUAGCCUUGGAGUGUGAAGAAGGCGACACGGCUUAUGCUGAGUCUGCCUGCGCAGUGGAAGAGCUCAAAUUUUAUCAAGACAAUGUUGACCCGGUGGAUAUGACCUCCCUGAAGAAGCCAACUACAGAGCAUGACCCAGCAUUGAAAUUUAAAUCGGCUGCUGAGAUGAAGCUCGUUGACUUCACCCCAGGCGAUUCCUCUAAGCAAUUCAGCAUCAGUACCAAUUUGGAUCCUAAAUAGGAAAGCGCGCUCAUCGAGUUCAUCCGUGAGAACCGGGACAUAUUUGAAUGGAAUCCUUCUGACAUGCCGGGUGUACCAAGGGAACUCGCUGAGCACACACUCAAUAUUGAUCUGAAGUAUAAGCCGGUCAGGCAGUUUCUCAGACGGUUCAACAAAGAGAGACGGAAAGCUAUUGGGGAAGAAGUCGCCCGGCUCUUAGCUGCCGGGCUUAUUGUUGAAGUUUUUCACCCGGAGUGGUUGGCUAACCCGGUGCUUGUACUCAAGAAGAACGGCACCUGGCGGAUGUGUGUGGAUUACACAGACUUAAACAAGGCUUGUCCGGCUGAUCCCUUUGCACUCCCCCAUAUUGAUCAAAUCAUUGAUGCUACGGCAGGUUGUGAACGUUUGAGUUUUUUGGAUUCUUACUCUGGUUAUCCUCAGAUCAAAAUGGCAGUUAAGUACCAGGAGAAUACGGCUUUCAUCACUCCGUUUGGAGCCUUCUGUUAUGUAUCUAUGCUGUUUUGGAUCAAGAGUGCUCAGGCGACUUAUCAGCGAUGUGUGCAGAACUGUUUACAUGAUCAAAUCGGGCGUAAUGUUCAUGCUUACGUGGAUGACAUCGUGGUGAAGUCCAGAGAGAAGAAAACCUUGAUAUCUAACUUGAAGGAGACCUUUGAUAACCUCUGGGUUUAUAAGAUGAUGCUUAACCCGGCCAAGUGUGUGUUUGGUGUACCUGCAGGUAAGCUCUUGGGAUUUCUGGUCUCGAACAGAGGCAUUGAAGCUAACCCGGAGAAAAUUAAGGCGAUUACCUCUCUGGCUAAAUCGGCAUGCAUCCAUGAUGUUCAGCGACUGGCAGGUCAUGUUGCUGCUUUAAGCCGGUUCGUAAGCCGGCUGGGUGAGAAGACCCUACCGAUGUAUCAGCUGAUGAAGAAAACAGACACCUUUGUCUGGAGCGAUGCUGCUGAUGCUGCUUUUGAAGAUUUGAAGAGACAGUUGUCAGAGCCACCGGUCCUUGCGGCUCCCAUUGAUAAGGAGCCAUUGCUGUUAUACGUGGCUACUAAUUCACGAGCCGUCAGUGUUGCUAUUGUGGUAGAGCGUAAGGAAGCUGGCAAGGAGCAUCCAGUUCAAUGGCUGGUUUAUUACAUCAGUGAGGUGCUCAUUGAGUCUAAACAAAGGUAUCCACAUUCGCAGAAACUUGUUUAUGGAGUGUUUAUGGCAAACCGGAAGUUGAAGCAGUAUUUCAAAAGUCAUCCUAUAACAGUGGUAAGUUCUGCCCCCUUAGGAGACAUCAUCCAGAAUAGGGAAGCCACAGGACGAGUCGCCAAGUGGGCUAUUGAGCUUGGGCCUCAUGAUUUGAAAUAUAUGCCGCGUAUGGCUAUCAAGUCUCAAGCCUUGGUGGACUUUAUCAAUGAUUGGACAGAGUUGUAGGGACGUGAGGAGAAGCUGGAUAACACGUAUUGGACUAUUCACUUUGACGGAUCCAGGCAAUUAGAAGGCUCGGGGGCUGGAGUUGUUUUAACUUCCCCUCGAGGUGACAAAUUUUGUUACGUGCUCCGGCUUAUGUUUCCUUGUACUAACAAUGCGGCUGAGUACGAGGCCUUACUCCAUGGUCUCCGGAUGGCUAAAGAGAUGAACUUAAGCCGGGUAAGGUGUUUGGGCGAUUCAGAUCUUGUGGCCCAAUAGGUAUCAGGCAAGUGGGACUCCAAGGAUCCUCUCAGGGCGGCUUAUCAUCGUGAAGUAGAUGCUAUGGCUGGGCACUUCAAGGGCUAUCAAGUGGAGCACAUUGAUCGAAGGAAGAAUGAGGCAGCUGAUGCUUUAAGCCGACUGGGAUCUCAACGUAAGCCAGUGCCACCUAACACCUUUCUCGAUGUUUUACAUAACCCUUCUGUCAAAGUACCUACAGAGGAAGAACUAGCAGUGCCAGACCCGGAGGCACAGUUGGUGGCAGCUCUUCACGUCAUCCCGAAUUGGACAGUGCCAUAUUUGGCCUAUAUGACCCGGGGAGAGUUGCCUGAGGAUGAUACUUCGGCGAGACAAAUUGUCAGGUGGUCCAAAUCCAUGACGAUUGUUAAUGGUGAGUUGCAUCAUUGCAGUGUCACUGGGGCGUUUCAACGCUAUGUGUCGCCUGCGGAGGGACAAGAGAUACUUCAUGAGAUUCAUGAAGGAGAUUGUGGUCAUCAUGCCGGCUCAAAAUCUCUUGUGGCCAAGGCCUUUCACCAUGGUUUUUAUUGGCUGACGGCUCAUGCUGAUGUGGAGGACCUGGUCAGUAAAUGUGACGGUUGUCAAAAGUUCUCACGAUGAGCUCAUGUGCCGGCUCAAGAGUUGAGGAUGAUUCCACUCACUUGGCCAUUCGCAGUCUGGGGGCUUGACAUGGUUGGGCCUUUCAAGAAGUCUAAAGAUAAAAAGACACACCUCCUGGUCGCAGUGGAUAAGUUUACAAAGUUGGUUGAGGCAGAGCCAGUCAGUAAGUGUGAUGCAGCCAUGGCGGUUCAGUUCAUGAAAAAGGUGAUCUUUCAUUUCGGUUUUCCACAUAGCAUUAUAACUGAUAAUGGCACUAAUCUCUCCAAGGGUGCUAUGGAAGAGUUCUAUCAAUGAGAGCAUAUCCGGCUUGAUGUCUCGGUGGUUUCUCAUCCUCAAUCCAACGGUCAAGCAGAAAGAGCUAAUCAAGAGAUCCUGAAGGGUAUCAAGCCCCGGCUCUUUGUCCCCUUACAGCGGACUCCGGGUUGUUGGGUGGAGGAAUUACCCUCUGUAUUGUGGAGCAUCAACACUACGCCUAUCAGAUCUACAGGAUACACACCUUUCUUCAUGGUGUAUGGGGCAGAGGCAGUCCUGCCAAGUGACGUCCGGCACGAUUCACCCCGCGUGGUGGCUUAUGUUGAGACUGACAACAAAAAAGCUCGUCAGGAUGCACUUGACUUGUUGGAUGAGGAGCGAGACUUGGCAAUAGCCCGCUCGGCGAUUUAUCAACAAGACCUGCGCCACUAUCACAGCCGCCGGGUUAGGAGCAGAACCUUUCAGGAAGGCGACUUGGUACUCCGGCUCAUCCAAGACCAGUCUGACAUGCACAAUCUAUCCCCGCCUUGGGAAGGACCCUUUCUAGUCAGCAAGAAUCUGCACAAUGGGUCAUACUACCUCAUCGAUGUUCGAGAGCACAAAGACUCACGUAAGUCGGAGGAGGAGACCCGUCGGCCAUGGAAUAUUGCUCAUCUUCGGCCUUACUAUACUUAAGCUACCGGCUCUUAAGAUGUAUAUAUUUUGACAGUGUUUAUAUUAUAUAAAGCAAUAAAGCAGGACCUCUGUCCUUUUUAUCCUCAAAAAGUGUAUAUGUCUUCUUUAUUAGGUGGUGAAAACAACUAACAGGGAGCGGAUCAUACCUGAAUCCGGCUUUCCUUUUGGUCCGGCUUAUGAUCAUAUCUGAAUCUAGCCAUGAUCAUUUGGGGGCUUCCUGUUCAAACAUAGGUCGUAUUCGAACCAAAUAGAACAUAGUUGUCGAUACCCAUUUGGUCGGCAUACUGCCAAACCCACUUGGGGGCUUCUUGAUCAUAUUUGAAUCAUAGCUUAACCCCUUUGGGUCUGACGUGGAUCGUAUUCGAAUCAGCGUCAUUAAACAACUCUUAUGGUCACUUGGGGGCUUCCUGUUCAAACAUAGGUCGUAUUCGAACGAAAGAGAACACAGCUGUCGAUACCCACUUGAUCGGCAUCGCCAAAGCCACUGGGGGCUAUAUGAUCGUAUCCGAAUCUUAGCUUAACCCCUUUGGAACGGUUUUUCUAAUCGUAUUCGAAUCAGAAGCCUUUGAAUAUUGUUUAUUAUUCAUGAUAUUUCAUAAGUAUAAUUAUUUGACUAUCUCGAGACAUUUUUGAAAGCACUAUGAGAUAUUUCUCCAACUCAAAAUUGAUCACCCCGGGAUGUUAAGUGCCAGGUGAAUAUUACACGUUCGGCUUUUAGGAGUUGAAUUUCACCAUAUGGUGAAGGUCAUAUAAGCCGUCGGGACUACCAAAGGGAUCGCAGGUAUGUUUAUGUUUAACAAAUAUCGUCAUAAACCAGCAUAUAUGUGAUAUUUUGGAUUUGCCCUCUGGAUUAUCAAUACCUUAUGUAACCCCCGAUGCGAUAAGCUACCAAGGGAAUUUUUGAUUGUUUUAUAUGUAUGAUUAGGCAAGCAAAAUUUAACAUCAAGGACAUAAGCUGGAAAUAUAUAGCAAUUGUGGCUUACGAAAGUAUUAAGCACCAUAAACAUGCGCGAAGGCAUGGCAAAAUUUUAGAUGUUUUUUCUACCCUAUUACAAGACUCCCCGAGUCUGAAUAAAUGAAGCAUUGUUUUUGCAAAGUCAUAAAAUGUCUGGCGGUUCACUCCUUCGGCGGGCUUGAAGAUUCUGGGUUAUCCUUCUCCGCCUCUCCGUCGGUUGCUUUGUCCUAGAAGGUUGACGAGGCCCAGUCAAUGCCACUCAAGGCUUCAAACUCAGCUUCAUCAUCUAUUAAACCGGCUGGGUCCACUUCAGGGGUAAAAGUAGAGGGAUCAGGCUGACUUGAUCAUAUGGAGUGUUUGGAAUCCUCUGAUUCUCACUGUCAUAGCCCAGCGAAUACUUGGUAAGAUCAGUGUCGUUCCCAAUGAGGGUAGCCACGGGGCGUAUGUCCUUGACGCAGGCGGUGAAAUCUUGAUCAUCAAACACAGUACCAUCCUCUUUCCGACUCGGGUAUCCAAGAGCGAGGUCGGUCGGGUCUAGUUCUGGAAUCCAUGCUUUCGCCCGGCUCAACGCGGUUACGGCUCCGGCUCUUGAGGAUGCCGCCUUAAAUCCUAGAUCCGUUGAGGUAGUACAGUGAGACACUUCAGCACGUCUUGCAGGAGGUGGGGAGGGUCAUUUUACAAAGCUACAACGGCCAAAGCACGUUGUGACCCGGUGUACAGCUGCUCCACUAGAGUGUAAACCGCUUUCAGCUUGAUCAACAUAUUCUGCUUGAGGUUUGUGCUUCUGGGGCCUGUGUUCACAAGCACACAGUGAGGCGGACAUAACGAUUACGAUAGUCAUCAAAGGAAGGAUCACAAUGUUUGAGGUUAUGUACAGUAACUUACCGAAGAUGGCUAAGACCAUUUGAGAUAUCUGGCGCUUUAAGUUGCACAGCUCGGUUGUUGUUUCUGCAAGUGAUGCCUCUGCCAUUUCGGCCCGGGUCACCAACGAAGCCUUCUCAUCAGACCAGAUUUUCUUCUCUACCUCAAACUCCUUCUUCAAUUUCUCUUGCUCAGAGACGCUGAAUUCAAACUUGGAGUUGGCCUUUUGAAUUUCAAGUUCUUGAGCUGUCAGACGACUCUUUAGAUCAUUAAUUUCCGAUUCAAAUUUAAUUAUGCUGACCUACAUUGAUGUCGGGUUAUAGUCAGAAUCAUGGUAAAGUAACAUUAAGUCCCAAGCACUUUGCAAGCAAAGGUACUUGGCACUUGGGGGCUAAUGUAUGCUGAAGAAAUUUUAAUUAACAAGGCCGGUUUAUGUUAAGAAGUAUGGUAAGAUAACAUUAAGUCCCAAGCACUUUCCAAGCAAAGGUACUUGGCACUUGGGGGCUAAUGUACAGCGCAAGUUCAAGGCAUCAUGUUACAACCGGAUUAAAUAUCUUCUUUUUUGAACCGGACAGAGCAGGAUUAAGCAGUUUUCUAAGUCUACAGCAUAUUUAUUCAUAAGCAAUAGACUUGGGGGCUGAUACAGUAAGUAUGAAUCAGGAAAAUAGCAUAAAUUAUACCUUAGAUUUGUGUUGUAUUUGUUUCACCAUGUCACUUUCCAGGUCACGACUGUUAUGCACUUGGUUCAGAUAGCCUAAGACUAUGUCUCCAAUGCUUAAGUGAGUAUAAUUAGCAAUGUCCAGCUUGGCCUUCCGGCGUUCGAUGAGUUCUUCCUUGCCAGUGCAUUUGGCAAGGACAGUGGGCCGCCCUGUCUCAACAAACUGACUUUUCAGAAUCUCAACUUCUGGGUCAUUUGUCUUGACCGGGCUAGGAGCUUCCGGGUUAUCGGAGCUAUUGAGAGUAUCUUCGGUAGGCGGGUCAGCGGUUGGCACCAGAAUGUCAGAGACCGGUUCAGGCGGCGGCUGAUGGGUGGAACUGUCAGGAACUGACGUAUCAAGCGCCGGUUCAAUCAUGACCGGGUUUUGGGACGGCUUAUUUUUCUUUGCCCUCUUACUGGGCUUCACUUGCAUGCUGUCAAUAAAGGUAGAAGGAUGAAUACAAAAGCAUGAGUAAGGUAAAGCCUAAGAUAAACAAAGUUACAUUACCCAGGGGCGGUUUUGAAAGCUGGCAUGUUUGAUUGCAUAGACUCGCCGGAGGAAGGAGAAGAAUCCUGAUAAUUGGAGGCAGAUGAAUUGAGAGGUUGGCGAAUUAAACCCGCCAAAUGUAAAACAGAACGUAAAUCAGAGAUAACCUCAGUCCGACGCUUCCUAGUUACAUCAGGUAAGCCGGAGGAGAGUUUUGCGUCCUUGCCGGUCCGGGUCUGUCUCCGGUUUUCAAGCCGUUGUUGCUUCAAAAGAAAUUGAGGGUCUUGAUAAGCUAGAGGAUGUGAAAAUCUUACUUUCUGGGUCACCCUUCGGAUUUUUUGCUUUGGCAAAGGCUCUGAGUCGGAGGAGAUUAUAGUUACCUCUUCGUCAGCUGCUUGGUUGUUCCCCGUAUCCUCCUGAAAAUACAGAAUGUCAAUCAAACAAUGACAAAGAAGUUAAAAGAAUUAAGGAUUACCUCUUCGUCAUCCUCGGAAGUAUCAUCUAAUUUGAGUAAAUUGGAAGCACUUGGCUUCUUCUUCUUUGAAGUUCCCGUUUUGGCGGAUUUCCUUUCGAUUUUCUUGGCUGUCCGGGCUUGUUUGGCAGCCUCAUGAUCAUACUUGACCUUCCAGAAGUUGUCAUCGGCCUGUGGAAAAUGAUAAGAGAUUAUAAGUAAAAACAAGGUGUAACAUAGCAAAGAGUAUUCAUUGAGGUUGAUGACUCACCGCGGGGGCCGGGUUCUUCUUGCAGAAGGGAAGUAAGCCGAAGACAUCACUAGUCACUGUGCCCUCUUUCAGCAGCGAUUGGGUCGUAGCUUCCACCACAUCAUCUGGUAAGUCGUCAGGGCUAUGACGUAGUGGAUCAUCCUUUUCUCCUGAGUAAGUGCACAUUAAGCCGGAACGGCAGCUUAACGGAAGUACUCGCCAAGUGACCCAGACUCGGACCAGGUCGAUGCCGUUUAGGCCAUUUCCCAAAAGAGCCUUGAUUUUCUUAAUGGUGGAGGCGAGAGGUAGACGCUCAAUAGCAGUCAGUUUAUCCGCCAGCGGGUGGUUGGACUCAAGGCGCAGAGCGCGGAAGCCGGGCAGAGGGCUCUUGUCAGCUGGAGAGGUGUCCUGACAAUAUAACCACUUUUGAUUCCAAUCUUUCGGAUGACUCAGCAGUUCAGCAUAAGGGAAAAGGCAUUCUCUCCGCUGCUGAAUUGAGAUGCCGCCAAGUUCGAGACUGGGCCCGUUGGCGCGUUCAUUCUGCCAGUUUAAGUAGAAAAGCUCUCUGAACAAAAGCAGAUUGGGCUCCUCUCCCAGGUACACCUCGCAGAAGACUUGGAAAUUGCAGAUAUUUGACACGGAAUUGGGUCCAAUGUCUUGAGGUCUAAGGUCAAAGAACAUCAAUACAUCCCUGAAGAAUUUUGAACCAGGAGGAGCAAAUCCCCAGUUCAUGUGAUCCGUAAAAACUAUCACCUCCCCUUCUUUGGGUUGAGGCUUCUCUUCAGAUGGGUCAGGGGCACGAUAAGACAUGACUUCCUUCUUAGGCAGAUGACCAGACUUUACAAACUCCGGCAGUUUACUUCUUGUGACUGUGGAUGGGACCCAGUUAUAGGUCACAGGAGCUUCGGUUGCCUUAGGCACCAUGACGUAAAUAGAAGCCUAUGUCAAAAUAAGAAAUUCCGGUUCAACUUUAAACCCGGAGUAAAGCAGUUUAAAUUUAUUCAAGAUGGCGGCUUAAGAAGGGGCCUAAUGAUAUAUGGGCAAUUACACAGUGAUAUUUAAGCCGCUAUGGAUGUCAAGAGCAAUUGAAUAUCCUUAAAUCUGAAGAGAAGCAAGUAAGGUUGACAGAUUAGUGUUAUUUACUUAAACCGGCUACAUGGACAGUCAUGGUUAAACAUAUUUUACAGAGGCGGGUUUUUAUUUCCGGGUGAAACAAACAAGUUUCGCAAGUUGCCGCUGUUAUUUUGGAUCAAACAGCUGUUCUGAAAAGAAAAUUUUCUAAACCUAGGACAGGCGCAGAUGAAGUUCUAGGGCUUGAACGGGGCGUCUGUGUGAUAAAAAGGGAUCUGUUCGCGUUGGAAAUGGGUGCGGAAUAUCUACCGCAUCGGUUUUAUACCAUCUUCAAGAUCAAGAAACAGCGAUGGUGAUAAAAUAUAUGAAGGGUUCCUAAUGAACAGCUAAGAACACUGAAGAACUUGAAGAUCCUACUGCGGAUCUGAGAAGCAAGAAAGAGGAGACUUAUAGAUGCAGGAUUGCUGCGGAGGAUCAUCGCGUUUUUCUGGUCAAACCAGGUUGAUGCAACGGCCAGAGUUUAUGAAGACGAGUAGAUCUGCGGCGGCGGCGGCGGAGCUCGAGCGGCAGAGAAGCAGCGAGAGGAAGAAGAUGACUGAAGGGGGAGAAUGAGAAAAACCUAGGUCGUGCCUAUUUAUAAGGAAGAGAUGACGAAGACGGCACGAGAAAAGAGGAGAUAAGUAUUAUUAUCCAGCGGCCCCAAUGCCUUGAUUUUCGGAACGGUCAGUAAAGGCAAGGAUCCGUUGGAGGAUACGGUGGAAUAAAGAAUGAAUUUAAGUAAAGAUGAUGUCACGGCGGGUUAACGCGGAUCCAAAAGAUGACGUCAUGGCGGGUUAAGGAAAACCUUUUUUGCACAGGCAGAAGGCUGAAGAUUUAUUUCUUAAAGGUAUUUUAAGAUUGACAUGAACCGGUUCAAAUCAAUCUAGGGCCUAAUGUUGGGGAUAUAACUAUUUGUGUAAGCCGCCCAGGAGGGGUCGGGUUACGCAAAGAAGACUCACCAGAAAGAAGCCCAAGACCAAGCAUGAAGAUGGCGGUUCAAUACAGGGUCUGAAGCUCACAGGCGACUUAAGGCCCGUCGUAGUAAACCGCCAUAAUGGCAUGACUUGUAUCAUAAGGUAGAUUUAACUAGUCACCAAGCCGGACACUGUUUAUAAGCCGGCCGGGACUCUGUAAGCCACAGGGCAUCAACCCGUGUAUAUAAGGGGAUGACCCGCCGGCGGCUUAGGGUAAGAAACAACUGAUCGAGAGCCGGGCAUAGCGUAUCUCGCUCCCUGGUCAUCGAACAAUACCAACCCAACUAGACGUAGGCUUCCCUUCAUCGUAAGGGGCCGAACUAGAAUAAAACCUCUCGUGUCCUUUGUCCUGAUUAACCCCUUCAAGCUUCCUAGUUGCGAUGGCUCCACAACUAUGUCCUUUCACGAGGACAUCUGACGUGACAAUUCCACGACAGUGACCGAUAUCAUCAUUAACCUUAAUCCCGACACUACCUUUUUGGACUAGAGAACCCACUUGGUUCCACCAUGCCUCACUAAAGCCUUUCAUGCGCAUUGCCUGCUGAAGGAAAGGCCACUUAAAUUCAUCAUAUGCCUUCUAGAAAUCCACUUUGAAGAUAACCCCAUCUAGUUUCUUCAAAUUAAUUUCAUGUAGCAUUCAUGAAGGACAACGACCCCUUCUAGGAUGUGCCUCCUAGGCAUGAAAGCCAUCUGACUCGAUUGCACCACCAAAUGUGCGAUCCAUGUUAGUAUAUUAGUUCCCACUUCCGUGAAUAUUUUGAAACUCAUGUUGAGAAGACAUAUUGGCCUGAACUGAUCAAUUCGAACUGCUUCUUCUUUCUUUGGCAAUAAUGUAAUCAAACCAAAGUUAAGAUAAAGAAUUUGAGGUGGCCAUUAAAAAAUCUUUAAACAUAGGCAUGAGAUCAUCCUUAAUUAUAUGCGAACAUUUCCUAUAGAAUUCCGCAGGGAAGCCAUCUGGUCCUGGUGCUUUAUUUGGUUUCAUUUGUGAUAUUGCAUCAAGGACCUCUUUCUUAGUAAACGGUGCAGUUAGAAUAUCAUUCUCCUCUAACCAAAGCAGAGGUAUAUCUCCAAUAACAGACUCAUUUAGGGAAACUGUGCCCUCUGCCGGAGGCCCGAAAAGUUGCUUAGAGUAGUUGGAAAUAUACGAUUUGAGAUUCUCAUGACCCACUACGGUUCCUUCGUCCUGUUCAAGUUGUAUUAUUUUCUUCUUCCUAUGCUUAUCAUUCUCAAUCAUGUGAAAGAAUUAUGUAUUGUCGUCCCCUCGGACAACCUUAAGAACCUUAGCACGCAAUGUCCAUAUGAUCUCUUCUUCUCUAAGAAGAGCACGUAGGCGUUGCUCAGCUUUGGAUUUAGUGGCCUGUUCUGCCACAUCGAGAAGAUUCACUUCUGCUUUUAGGUCCAAAGCCUCUAUUAACUGGGUGAGUCUUUCUUUUUCUUGUUUGUAGAUUCCACUCUCGUUUCUGGCCCAACCCCAUAAAAAUUGUCUUACAUGUCUAAUCUUGUUUUGCCAUCUCUCUACACUUGAUCGUCCACUAACCGGCUUCGCCCAUUCUCUUGCUAUGAUGGCCAUGAAAUUCUCAUUCUCGAACCAUCUGAGUUUGAAAGAGAAAGUGUUCUUGCUGCCAAUAUGUGUUGCGUCUCCCAAAUCUACUAGCAAUGGUGUGUGGUCUGAGAUCGCCCUCUACAUUGCAUGCACCGACACUAAUGGGUAUUUCUGCUCCCAUUCCACACUAGUGAGCACCCUAUCUAACUUCUCAUAUGUUGGAUUGGGCAACGAAUUGGCCCAUGUGAACUGCCUACCCGUGAGUUCAAUCUCCCUCAGACUGAGACUCUCGAUAAUCAUGUUAAACAUUAGGGAUCGACGUCCAUCAAAGUUGUCGUUGUUCUUCUCAUCUCUCCUUCUUAUAAUAUUGAAAUCCCGUCCGACUAGGAUUGGAAGUGUUUCAUCCCCACAAAUCCAUACCAGGUCAUCUAGGAAAUUAGCAUUCAGUUUGGGUUGGGUUGCUCCAUAUACAGCUACCAGAGACCAGCGGAAACCAUCCAAUUUCGAUCUCACCUGAAACUUGACUGCAAAGUUCCCCUAGAACCACAUUAAUCAUCUCUAGAGUUUCGCACCUAACCCCCUGCAAAAUCCCAUCGGAUCUUCCUCUAGGAGGUAAACAGUGCCAAUCAAAAUUGGUUCCGCCGGAUAACGUUCCAAGGAACUAUGAGGUGAAGUUAUAUCGUCCUGUUUCGAGCAGUGCAAUAAAAUCUAGUUUUUGCUCUAUCGAUGUCUCUGCUAGGAACCUUCUUUUAGCCAAGUUAGCUAGACCUCUGCUAUUCCAAAAGAUUCCUUUCAUAGAUCAUCAUGGAAUUUUUUAUUAAGCUUAAUCCUAGCACUUCUACGAACAGCCGAAGUCGGAUACACGUUCCUUUUCCAGGCUCUCUUGGGCUUAUCCCCUUCGACCUUCGUAUCCUUAUUAUCAGAAUGACUCAAGACAAUACCUUCCAUUACUAAAGGCUCUACAUUGUCCUUAGUCUCUGAUCCUUCCAUACCCCCUUCAGCCUCCAAAGUAGGCAUGAGAUCAUUACAUAGGCUUUCAAGUGUUGAUAUCCCUAGAUUUUUCAUAGCAUCCUCAUUCAUAGGUCUAACGCCCGUGAGGUUACGAAAAAUUUCGGAUGCCUGCUCUGCUUCUAAGUCUAAAAGGUCAUUAACAGAUUUUGCAACUUCUUUCUCAUUUGAACCAAGUGAAACUCCUAAGUUAUGGGCCUUGUCGAUAAUUUCAUGUUCAAAGAAAUGCAAAAUUGAACAACUCUUAUUAGAAGACAUACCUAUAGUUGCCUCGACAUCGUGAAGCUUGGCCACCCUCAUGGCACGCCCUAACUGUAGGUCGGCCGCAUCUGGUUGCUCCUGGAUUUGGUUGCUGACACGCCUGCCAGCCGACACCGGGUCCAUGAUCCCACCAAAGGCGAUAAGCUCCUCCGUAGACCUCUCCUGAGGUGUCUACUCAUUGAUCUUACGCCCGCCCCUCAUGGCCGGUGAAGACGGGUGGGGCGCAGUCUAGUUAGCACCACCAGCAGAAAUUGAGGUAGGAAGGGACUGUAUAGCCUCCUGUUCGGCAGCCCCACUCCCCACCAUAUCAUCACAGCGGUCGGGUACCGCCACAGGAGGUGUGAAGGUAUGGGCCUCCUACCCGCGCCCCUCCUUAGUUCAGUGGGUGAUCACCAUAGGUGAGGGGCGGUGAGGGCCUCCUGCCCGUGCCCCACCCCUCUCUCGUCGGUUGUCCUGGCAUCUGAUAUGUCUUCAAUGUAUCUAUAAUUUUUGAUUGUUCCAUUCUAUUAUAUUAUCUGUUUUGGAUGUUUAAUGGGCUUUACUAUACACUUUUAUAUUAUUUUUGGGACUAACUUAAUAACCGGAGGCACAGUCCAAAUUGCUGUUUUUUUGCCUAUUUCAGUGUUUCGCGGAAAAGGAAUAUCAAACGGAGUCCAAACGGAAUGAAACCUUCGAGAGAAAUAUUUUUGGAACAAAAGCAAUCCAGGAGACUUAGAGUAGACCUUAGGGAAGCAACGAGGUGGCCACGAGGGUCCAGGGUGUGCCCUACCCCCCUGAGCAUGCCCCCCACCCUCGUGGGCCCCUUGUGUCUCCCCUGACCGACUUCUUUCGCCUAUAUAUAUAUCCAUAUACCCCGAAAACAUCCAAAAACACAAUAGAACGGGUUCCACCGCCGCAAGCCUCUAUAGCCACCAAAAACCUCUCUGGAGCCCGUUCCGGCACCCUGUCGGAGGGGGAAUCCAUCACCGGUGGCCAUCUUCAUCAUCCAGGUGCUCUCCAUGAUGAGGAGGGAGUAGUUCACCCUCGGGGCUGAGGGUAUGUACCAGUAGCUAUGUGUUUGAUCUCUCUCUCUCUCUCGUGUUCUUGAUUUGGCUCGAUCUUGAUGUAUCACAAGCUUUGCUAUUAUAGUUGGAUCUUAUGAUGUUUCUCCCCCUAUACUCUCUUGUAAUGGAUUGAGUUUUCCUUUUGAAGUUAUCUUAUCGGAUUGAGUCUUUAAGGAUUUGAGAACACUUGAUGUAUGUCUUGCAUGUGCUUAUCUGUGGUGACAAUGGGAUAUUUACGUGAUCUACUUGAUGUACGUUUUGGUGAUCAACUUGCGGGUUCAGUGACCUUGUGAACUUAUGCAUAGGGGUUGGCACACGUUUUCGUCUUGACUCUUCGGUAGAAACUUUUGGGCACUCUUUGAAGUACUUUGUGUUGGUUAAAUAGAUGAAUCUGAGAUUGUGUGAUGCAUAUCAUAUAAUCAUGCCCACGGAUACUUGAGCUGACAUUGGAGUAUCUAGGUGACAUUAGGGUUUUGGUUGAUUUGUGUCUUAAGGUGUUAUUCUAGUACGAACUCUAUGAUAGGUCGAACGGAAAGAAUAGCUUCGUGUUAUUUUACUACGGACUCUUGAAUAGAUUGAACAGAAAGGACAACUUUGAGGUGGUUUCGUACCCUACAAUAAUCUCUUCAUUUGUUCUCCGCUAUUAGUGACUUUGGAGUGACUCUUUGUUGCAUGUUGAGGGAUAGUUAUAUGAUCCACUUAUGUUAUUAUUGUUGAGAGAACUUGCACUAGUGAAAGUAUGAACCCUAGGCCUUGUUUCAACGCAUUGCAAUACCGUUUGUGCUCACUUUUAUCAAUAUUUACCUUGCUAUUUUUAUAUUUUCAGAUUACAAAAACCUAUAUCUACCAUCCAUAUUGCACUUGUAUCACCAUCUCUUCGCUGAACUAGUGCACCUAUACAAUUUACCAUUGUAUUGGGUGUGUUGGGGACACAAGAGAUUCUUUGUUAUUUGGUUGCAGGGUUGUUUGAGAGAGACCAUCUUCAACCUAUGCCUCCCACGGAUUGAUAAACCUUAGGUCAUCCACUUGAGGGAAAUUUUCUACUGUCCUACAAACCUCUGCACUUGGAGGCCCAACAACGUCUACAAGAAGAAGGUUGCGUAGUAGACAUCAAGCUCUUCUCUGGUGCCGUUGCCGGGGAGGUGAGUGCUGGAAGGUAUAUCUUUAGAUCUUGCACUCGAAUCUUUUUGUUUCUUGUUUUAUCACUAGUUUACUAUAAAAGAAAACUACAAAAAAUGGAAUUGAGUUUGCCUCAUACGCUUCAUCUUUUUAAUAUCUUUCGUGAGAAUGAUGGAAAGGAAAAUUGUGCUCAGGUGCUAGAAGAAGAAGUCUAUAAAAUGUUUGGCACUAAAUCUUUGAAUGAUGAGCAUGAUUGCAAUGUUGUUAGUAUGAACUCUUUGAAUACCUAUGAUGCUAAUGAUAUGCAAAGCCACAAGCUUGGGGAUGCUAUGUUUGAUGAAGAUGAUAUUUUUUGUCCCCCAAGUUUUGAUGAGCAAAUUUAUUAUGAUGAAAGCAUACAUCCUACUUAUGAUGAUUAUUGUGAUGAUACAUAUGCCAUAAAGAAUAAACAUAAACAUGAAACUUGUCAUCUUGAUUUUAAUUUUCAAUUGGAUUAUGCUUCACAUGAUAGUUAUUUUGUUGAGUUUGCUCCCACUAUUGAUGAGAAUAAAUUUGCUUAUGUGGAGAGUAGUAAAAUUUCUAUGCAAGUAGAUCAUAAAAAUAAUGCUUUAUGUUCUGGUUAUAUUGUUGAAUUCAUUCAUGAUGCUACUAAAAAUUAUUAUGAGGGAGGAAUAUAUGCUUGUAGGAGUUGCAAUGAUAUCAAGUUUCCUCUCUAUGUGCUUAAAGUUUUAAAGUUAUGCUUGUUUUGCCUUCCUAUGCUAGUUGAUUAUUAUUCCCAUAAUUUGUUUGCUCACAAAAUCCCUAUGCAUAGGAAGUGGGUUAGACUUAAAUGUGUUAGUAAUAUUCUUCAUGGUGCUCUCUUUAUGUUUCAAUUCUUAUCUUUUAUGCGAGCAUCAUUGAAAUCAUCAUGCCUAGCUAAAAGGCAUUGAAGAAAAGCGCUUGUUGGGAGACAACCCAAUAUUUAACUUUAAUGUUUUUGUGUGCUACUGUAGUAAUCAUGUUUUAUAGUUUUUGUUUCAAUAAAGUGCCAAGUAAGACCUUUAGGAUAGCUUACGGUGAUAGUUGUGUUGAUCCUGCUGAAAAACAGAAACUUUUUCACCUAGUAAAUUAGUUUUGGUAAUUCACAUACACGUGCUUUUGAUCUGAUUAUUUUUGCUCUGGGUUGGUACACAACUUGCUUAGGAAUUCCUAAUUUGUUAGAAUUUUUUGAGUUACAGAAGUAUUCGAUUGUUACAGAUUACUACAGAUUGUUCUGUUUUUGACAGAUUCUGUUUUCAUUGUGCUGUUUGCUUAUUUUGAUGAAUCUAUGAGUAGUAUCGGAGGGUAUGAACCAUAGAGAAGUUGUAAUACAGUAGAUAUUACACCAAUAUGAAUUUAGAAUGAGUUCACAACAGUACCUAAGUGGUGAUUUAUUUUCUUAUACUAACGGAGCUUACGAGUUUUCUGUUGAGUAUUGUGUUGUGAAGUUUUCAAGUUUUGGGUAAAGAUUCAAUGGACUAUGGAAUAAGGAGUGUCAAGAGCCUAAGAUUGGGGAUUCCCAAGGCACCCCAAGGUAAAAUUCAAGGACAACCAAAAGCCUAAGCUUGGGGAUGCCCCGGAAGGCAUCCCCUCUUUUGUCUUCGUCCAUCGGUAACUUUACUUGAUGCUAUAUUCUUAUUCACCACAUGAUAUGUGUUUUGCUUGGAGCGUCAUUUUAUUUUGUUAGUAUUUUCUUGAUGUUAUUUAGAAUAAUGUUUUGCAUAUCUAUUUUCAAUAAAAGUGGCAAUGAUAGCCUUUGCCAUGCUUAUUUUGCAAGUAUACUUGUUGCUGUUUGAAAACAGAAAGUUUACCGCUGUUGCAAAAAUUCCCUAGAAAAGUCGGAAAAUGAUAAAAUGUUGAAACUUUUUGCAUAUUGAGAUCUGGUAAAGUAUCUACAGUUUAGUAUUUUUCUCAUAACUUUUGGAGUUAGGUAAGUAUGAUGAAUCUUACAAUCUUUACAGACUGUACUGUUUUGGCAGAUUGCUGUUAUGUUUGCAUUGUUUGCAUAUGUUUGCUUGUUUAAUGAUUCUAUUUGAGGAUAGGAGUAUUAAAUAUGCAGAGGCAUUUAGUAUGCAAUGUUGAAUAAUAAUUUUAGUGAUUUGUUACAGUAGAAAAUGAUAAGGUUUUUGCAUUGGUUUAUACUAACUUAUCUCACGAGUUCUUGUUGAGUUUGGUGUGGAUGAAGCUCUCGAGAUUUAGGAAACCGAGAUAUAAAAGGAAUUAAGGAGACACAAAAGCUCAAGCUUGGGGAUGCCCAAGGCACCCCAAGAUAAUAUUUCAAUAAGUCUCAAGCAUCCAAGCUUGGGGAUGCCCCGGUAGGCAUCCCACCUUUCUUCUUCAACAAUUAUCGGUUAGUAUCGGUUGAACCUAAGUUUUUGCUUCUUCACAUGAUGUGUGCUAUCCUUGAAAUGUCAUUUUGUUUUGUUUUGAUUGAUGUUUGAAUAAAAUACCAAGAUCUGAAAUUCUUAAACGUUAGAGAAUCUUCACAUAGUUGCACAAUUAUUUGACUACUCAUUGAUCUUCACUUAUAUCUUUUGGAGUAGUUUGUCAUUUGCUCUAGUACUUCACUUAUAUCUUUUUAGAGCACUGUGGUGGUUUUAUUUUGAAGAAAUAGAUGAACUCUCAUGCUUCACUUAUAUUAUUUUGUGAGUCUUCAAUAGCAUGGUAAUUUGCUUUGGUUAUAAAAACUUUCAUAUAAAGUGCAUUGAAUACUAUGAAAAUUUGAUACUUGAUAAUUGUUUUGAGAUACAAAGGUGGUAAUGUUAGAGCCAUGCUAGUUGGAUAAUUAUGAAAUUGAGAAAAAAUUGUGUUAAAGUUGGCAAGUCCCGUAGCAUGCACGUAUGGUGAACGUUAUGUGACAAAUUUGAAGCAUGGGGUGUUCUUUGAUUGCCUUCCUUAUGAGUGGAGGUCAGAAUCGCGCGAUGGUUAACUCCCACCAACCCUUUCCCUAGGAGCAUGCAUAGUAGUACUUUGCUUCGAGGGCUAAUAAACUUUUGCAAUAAGUAUAUGAGUUCUUUAUGACUAAUGUGAGUCCAUGAAUUAUACACACUCUUACCCUUCCAUCAUUGCUAGCCUCUACAGUACCGUUCAUUGCCUUUCUCACCUUGAGAGUUGGUGCAAACUUUGCCGGUGCAUCCAAACCCCGUGAUAUGAUACGCUCUAUCACACAUAAACCUCCUUAUAUAUCUUCCUCAAAACAGACACCAUACCUACCUAUUAUAGCAUUUCCAUAGCCAUUCCGAGAUAUAUAGCCAUGCAACUUUCCAUCGCUCCAUUUAUUAUGACACGCUCCAUCAUUGUCAUAUUGCUUUUGCAUGGUCAUGUAGUUGACAUCGUAUUUGUGGCAAAGCCACCUUCAUAAUUCUUUCAUACAUGUCGCUCUUGAUUCAUUGCAUAUCCCGGUACACCGCUGGAGGCAUUCACAUGGAAUCAUAUUUUGUCCCAAGUAUUGAGUUGUAAUUCUUGAGUUGUAAAUAAAUAAAAGUGUGAUGAUUUCCAUUAUUAGAGCAUUGUCCCAAGUGAGGAAAGGAUGAUGGAUAUUAUGAUUCCCCAUAAGUCGGGAUGAGACUCCGGACUUUAGGAAAAAUAAAAGAGGCCAAAAAAGCCCAAAUAAAAAAAGAAAAAAAUGAGAGAAAAAGAGAGAAGGGACAAUGUUACUUGUGCUUCAAAGUAGCACCAUGAUCUUCAUGAUAGAGAGUCUCCUAUGUUGUCACUUUCAUAUACUAGUGGGAGUUUUUCAUUAUAGAACUUGGCUUGUAUAUUCCAAUGAUGGGCUUCCUCAAAAUGCCCUAGGUCUUCGUGAGCAAACAAGUUGGAUGCACACCCACUUGGUUUCUUUUGUUGAGCUUUCAUACAAUUAUAGCUCUAGUGCAUCCGUUGCAUGGCAAUCCCUACUCAUCGCAUUGACAUCAAUUGAUGGGCAUCUGAGCCCAGUGAUUAGCCGCGUCAAUGUGAGACUUUCUCCUUUUUUGUCUUCUCCACAUAACCUCCAUCAUCAUAUUCUACUCCACCCAUAGUGCUAUAUCCAUGGCUUACGCUCAUGUAUUGCGUGAGGGUUGAAAAAGCUGAAGCGCGUUAAAAAGUAUGAACCAAUUGCUUGGCUGAAACCGGGGUUGUGCAUGAGCAUUUUGUGUGAAGAAAAUGAAGCAUGGCCAAACUAUAUGAUUUUGUAGGGAUAAGCUUUCUUCAGCUAUGUUAUUUUGAUAAGACAUGAUUACUUUGUUAGUAUACUUGAAGUAUUACUAUUUUUAUGUCCAUAUGAACUUUUAUCUUAAAUCUUUUGGAUCUGAACAUUUAUACCACAAUAAAGAAAAUUACAUUAAGAAAUAUGCUAGGUAGCAUUCCACAUCAAAAAUUCUGUUUUUAUCAUUUACCUACUCGAGGAUGAGCAGGAAUUAAGCUUGGGGAUGCUUGAUACGUCUCCAACGUAUCUAUAAUUUUUUAUUGGUCCAUGCUAUUAUACUAUCUGUUUUGAAUGUUUAAGGCUUUACUAUACAUUUUUAUAUUAUUUUUGGGACUAACCUAUUAACCGGAGGCCCAGUCCAAAUUGCUGUUUUUUUGCCUAUUUCAGUGUUUCGCAGAAAAGGAAUAUCAAAUGGAGUCCAAACAGAAUGAAACCUUCGGGAGAGUUUUUGGAACAAAUGCAAUCCAGGAGACUUGGAGUAGACGUCAGGGAAGCAACGAAGUGCCCAUGACAGUCCAGGGCGCGCCCUACCCCCCUGGGCGUGCCCUCCACCCUCGUGGCUCCCCCUGACUGACUUCUUUCGCCUAUAUAUAUCCAUAUACCACAAAAACAUCCAAAAACACAAUAGAUCGGGAGUUCCGCUGCCGCAAGCCUCUCGGGAGCCCGUUUGGGCACCCUGCCGGAGGGGGAAUCCAUCACGGUGGCCAUCUUCAUCAUCCAGGCGCUCUCCAUGACGAGGCGGGAGUAGUUCACCCUCGGGGCUGAGGGUAUGUACCAGUAGCUAUGUGUUUGAUCUCUCUCUCUCUCUCUCGUGUUCUUGAUUUGGCAAGAUCUUGAUGUAUCAUGAGCUUUGCUAUUAUAGUUGGAUCUUAUGAUGUUUCUCCCCCUCUACUCUCUUGUAAUGGACUGAGUUUUCCCUUUGAAGUUAUCUUAUCGGAUUGAGUCUUUAAGGAUUUGAGAACACUUGAUGUAUGUCUUGCAUGUGCUUAUCUAUGGUGACAAUGGGAUAUUCACAUGAUCUACUUGAUGUAUGUUUUGGUGAUCAACUUGCGGGUUCAGUGACCUUGUGAACUUAUGCAUAGGGGUUGCCACACGUUUUCGUCUUGACUCUUCAGUAGAAACUUUGGGGCACUCUUUGAAGUACUUUGUGUUGGUUAAAUAGAUGAAUCUGAGAUUGUGUGAUGCAUAUCAUAUAAUCAUGCCCAUGGAUACUUGAGGUGACAUUGGAGUAUCUAGGUGACAUUAGGGUUUUGGUUGAUUUGUGUCUUAAGGUGUUAUUCUAGUACGAACUCUAUGAUAGAUCGAACGGAAAGAAUAGCUUCGUGUUAUUUUACUACGGACUCUUGAAUAGAUCGAUCAGAAAGGAUAAUUUUGAGGUGGUUUCAUACCCUACAAUAAUCUCUUCGUUUGUUCUGCGCUAUUAGUGACUUUGGAGUGACUCGUUGUUGCAUGUUGAGGGAUAGUUAUAUGAUCCACUUAUGUUAUUACUGUUGUGAGAACUUGCACUAGUGAAAGUAUGAACCCUAGGCCUUGUUUCAACGCAUUGCAAUACCGUUUGUGCUCACUUUUAUCAAUGGUUACCUUGCUAUUUUUAUAUUUUCAGAUUACAAAAACCUAUAUCUACCAUUCAUAUUGCACUUGUAUCACCAUCUCUUCGCCGAACUAGUGCACCUAUACAAUUUACCAUUGUAUUGGGUGUGUUGGGGAAAUAAGAGACUCUGUUAUUUGGUUGCAGGGUUGUUUGAGAGAGACCAUCUUCAACCUACGGCUCCCAUGGAUUGAUAAGCCUUAGGUCAUCCACUUGAGGGAAAUUUGCUACUGUCCUACAAACCUCUGCACUUGGAGGCCCAACAACGUCUACAAGAAGAAGGUUGCGUAGUAGACAUCAGCGUCGCUAGCACUUGAAGCCGGAGAGGCAUCUGGAUGCGUCUGCUCCCCACGAUCGAGUCGGCGCCCCGAACAUCUGCUGCCGGAGAGACGCCAGUGAGGGCCUCCUGCCCCUCCGUCCAUUCGGCCACAGCAUCCGCAAUACGCGGCGUAACCACGUCCGGUCCGGAGAUCUCUGUUGGCGCUAUGUAAUCAAGAAGCAUCACAGACGGUAGCUCAAGUUCCACCGGGUCGUCCAUCUCCACUCCGUUGCUCCAUAACCGGCUGGAAGCCGAACACGAACCAAAGGAACCAAAACGUAAUGUAUUCUCCGGCAUGGAUGAUGUGGUCCCCUUGGCAGACUUACCUGCCUUAUCAGACUGCAAAUUGGUCCCCUUGGCCGGCUCCCACGACGUGUCCUCGGACCCCUUGUUCUGAUUCCCAUGGGCUCCAUCCCUCUCAAUCAUGUCCAUAUCCUGAUGCUCAUCAACCCCCUGGAAUAGAGGUGUAUCCUCGAUCUCGAUCUCUAACUCAUAUGUGACCCCCGCGUGGGUCCACUUAACCACAUCCGACACGAACUCAAUACUGAUCACACUGACAAGUAGCCUCGCCACACCAUGUGCAUGAGUGAAAGGCAUAUCUACAUGUUCUGUCUUGCCAAUGAGAGAUCCCAAGCUCUAGGUAACCAGAAAGUUGUUCAGUGGUUUAGGUGGCGCACCCGAAAAACGAACCCAAAUCUGAUCUAAAGGUGUGCCAUGUGGUUCUUUCUGCUUCCACUCGUCGAACUCCAUGAUGAUGCUAGUACUCGGGACUCUGCACAUACCAAACUAAAGAAUAUGUAGAUGAUCCUCCUUAGUGGGAAACUCUACCUUGUAAGUCUGGUUCUCCAACUUGACAUGGUUCCACUGAAAAUUACCCGGUGUCAACUCGCGCAACUGCUGUACAAUCUGUGCUUCGGUGAUGAACCCAUUAGUCACCCUGACUACUCCUGGAAAAGAGCUCCCCAUCGCUUGCAUCGAUGGUGCCACAUCAGGUGACUCUAAGAACAUCAACUCUUGACAGCAAACUCCAUAAAUGUUAACCACCGAUUUAGGUCCCGAAAGAAGAGGACAUUCACCGGACAAAUGUUGCGACUUAAGGCAGUAGUCACAUAACUCCUUAGUGCAUUCUGCCACAAAGUGUCCCGGCUCGCCGCAUCUAUAGCAUGUCAACUUCUUCUUCUUAAUAGCCCACUUAGAUAAUUUUUCGCCAUCUGUUUUGUCAGCCCCUUUAUCAGAAGCACUGUCCCCGGUCUUAGCAGCCUGGACCGGCCACCGAAAUGUUGACAGCCGCAGGAGCCCGAACUGUAUCUACAACAACCGCAGGCAAAGCAGGGGAGGACGAUGCCACAUCAGCCGUGGCAGCAACCGGCUUGGCUUGAGCCACCUCAGCAGCAUCGGUAGGAGGUGGUGGAGGUCGCGGUGGAAGCGGGCAGCGACCCCCUCCUCUCCCGCCACGGAANNNNNNNNNNNNNNNNNNNNNNNNNNNNNNNNNNNNNNNNNNNNNNNNNNNNNNNNNNNNNNNNNNNNNNNNNNNNNNNNNNNNNNNNNNNNNNNNNNNNNNNNNNNNNNNNNNNNNNNNNNNNNNNNNNNNNNNNNNNNNNNNNNNNNNNNNNNNNNNNNNNNNNNNNNNNNNNNNNNNNNNNNNNNNNNNNNNNNNNNNNNNNNNNNNNNNNNNNNNNNNNNNNNNNNNNNNNNNNNNNNNNNNNNNNNNNNNNNNNNNNNNNNNNNNNNNNNNNNNNNNNNNNNNNNNNNNNNNNNNNNNNNNNNNNNNNNNNNNNNNNNNNNNNNNNNNNNNNNNCGGUUAUUAGGUCCGGCUACUCCUUCAACGAAGUUCCCCGGUGGUCCUUGGAAUCCACGUCCCGAUCCUCCACCGUUAAACCACGCAUAUCCCGAACCACCUCCGAAAGAAGACGAGCCGCGGUGUUUGCCCUCGCCGUACGCAUCAUAGCCGUCAAUGCCCCACUGCCCUCGUUGGCGCGGUCAAUGCUGCCUAUUUUCCAUCGUACAAAAAUCGGACAGGAUUUGUCGUACGUCAAGCAUCACUCUAGAGGGGUUUUUUUUGCGGGGCACUCUAGAGGAGGUAUUAACAUGAGUGCCUAGCAAGCAAGCAAGAACAUCAUCAGUUCUCGUCUAAGUUGUAGAGGGACUCACUACGUAAUCGUUGAAGAGCGAAGCCAUGAAAAUUGGAAUUAACAAAUCAUCCAGAACUGAAUCAAAUGGUCUCUGCACUUACGAUGAUCACCAUUUGACCCCAUCAAUAAUAAAUUAAAAAUUCAAUAAACUUUUGUAUUCAACUUUUUUGUUGAGUUACACAGAGGGUUCGGUGUCGCGAUGUAUCUUUUGUUUGUUAUACUCAGCUGGAAAUCAAUCAACACGUCCUCCGUUGUUGGUUGAGUUCAUGGUGGCUUCUUUGUCAUGGCCUGUAGCAGUAUUUGCUUUAGGCGUGAUCAUAUAUAGAUGUGUGAUGAGCGCAACAAGUGUUGGCAACUGUACCAUUUAUGGUAGAAUUGAAUGGCCACAAUGGUUGAUGGCAUGUGGUGUCUGGUGAAAAAAUGAUGUCCUGCAACAGACAACGUUUCACUCCCUGUUCUUCUAUACAUAUCUGGCUUCCCCAUGUAGCAAGAUCGCGUCUAGUUGCUAGGGCAGAAUGCCAGAGUGUAGGAGAGCGAUCCUGGCGAGCACGGUGGAUGCACCAAUGGUCACAUAGCGUGUUCUGGGAAGGAAUGGGAUGUAUCCGAAAUUUAGAGUUGGAGACGAGUAAACAGAAGAGUGCUAAGAGCACUGGUGGAACGGCGGCUCUACGUUGCCAGUUCGGCAUGGUUUACUCUCCACUGUUGAGCCGUUGAUUUCAUCACUCAAGUAUCGAGCUGCUCAAGCUAAGCAUGGCCAGGUCUCCAACACAUGAAGAUGCUGAAAACGUGCGCGCUCUAUCCAUGUCACUCGGUUAAAUGGAAUCAUGUGACUUAACACUUAAGCAUGAGAAGAUACGAUUAUUUGCAUCUAUUGAUCGCGUCACCCAUUAAUUUACAAGACGCUCUCAUUACUUCAGUGCCUUUUGUUCCACUUGGUGAUCGCAUCUAGAGUAAAGCUCAUAGUUCGUUUGCUUGGAAAAGAACCUUUUUCUCCAUAACGAAACUCAAAACCAUAAGAUUAAUGCCACAAAAGGCAAAGGAUGCAGCGGCUUAGGUCGACCAUGCUAGAUCUGUCUUGACGAAGAAUGUCAAAAGAUCCAACUGUUCUGAAAUCAACAGGUAGCCACUAACCAAUCAAAGGUGAUAGGAAAUCAGAAAUGCUUGCGUGAUCAAGCAAGUGAAUCGCCUUAGCUGACAAACACAUAGCAGGCUGCAUCAACACUGCCACUAAAAUGAACAAGUAAUUUUAAUUUACUCCCGCAAACAUAUGCAAAUAUAUUCCACCAAGAAUAUUAGUCGGUCCUCGCUAUCAACCACAUCUAAAACCAUGUCAACAAAUGGAAACAACACCACCUUAAAGUAUCCACACGAGAAGGCUCCUUAUAUUUGUAUUAACAGAAGAGCAAAAAGAUAUAGCUGUAUGAUUUCAGCGAUCCAAAUCCGCACGGUGCAGCGAUGCGCAAGACUACCAUUUCCAAUCGGCACACAUCCUCUCUCCUUCCACUCACUACCCUGGCUACAACUCUGGCUGCUAGUUUUCUUCAUCAGAACGCAGAGCUCAGGGCACCUCGUGCUGCAUGUUGUUGCAACUCCUGGGAUUUUCCACUUCCACGGAAGUACAUGUACACUUGCUGCAUGUUGAGUAAGAGAGUUUGGUGAUCACGAAAUAGGAACAACAUCAGUUGCAAUGCAAGGAUCUAUUGGCUAUGCCGAUCAGUCAAAUACAAAUUGAGCAUUUCAUCCAAUAUGUGCCAAUGCAUCUGCUCAUCAGUAAGGAGGGGCUAACACUACAUUUUUCGAAAAGGAAGAUAACCCCCGGCAUCUGCAUCACUCCAUGCACACAACCGCCUUUAUUAUUAUCCAAUAGAGUCUGAAAACAUGAAUACAUGGAUCAACCCGAGGCCACCUAUCUCGCGAACAAACACGCGAUACCUACAAUUUGUAAUGUGCCCGAACAGCAUGAACGCAUACCAUCUAAUCUGCCUCACACAGCUGCACUGCAUUGGGCCAAGAGCACCACCUGUUCUGGGCGACCCGCAACACGCACCGCAUGUGCACGCUCUGAUCCGCUGCCGCCAUCUUCCAUCGUCCCAUAUCCAGGAGUGAUCUACGCUUUGACCUUGUCAGGCCCAACUGCCAUCGGCGCCACCACGAGGCCAGACAGUGCCACCAGCCUACACGUGUCCAUCAACCUGCAUCCAACACUGAGAACCACUUCGCCACGCCGCCAAGACCCAUCCUCUUCGAUGCGGUUGAUACAACACUACUCCACCUAUUGGCCCCUUGAGUUAGUACCUUCUUGAAAACAAUGCGCCCAAGAGGGAGAACGGCACCGAUGUCCCUGUCAUCAUCCGAUCAGGGAGGCCCAGAUCUAGGGUUCCCCCAGAGCAAAUGCCACUAGAGGGAGAAGGGCAUGCCAUCUGCUGCGGCCAACGAGCCCACACGGUUCCCACCACCACAAUACUCUCAUGGCAACGCCUUCAAGAAGGACACGGUGCCCAGAGCGUCAGCGCGGCCCACCGAAGUUAGGGUUUUCACCCGAGUAGUAGUGAGGUGGGAAGAGAUAGGACAGAACCGACCGGCAAACGUCUCCAAGAAGAAAACUAGCGCCCCCGAGCAUAGUCGCCAUCACGGUCGACCGUAGACGAUCAUGGAGUUAUCCUCAUCUGAAGCCCCCACCACCCGCUCCGCCAACGGCCCUAUGACCGGCUAGACAAGCAUGGCCAAGAUCCGGCCGAGGUGGAAUGCACCAUGUCGGGACGAGAUGCAACCGCCAGAUCCGACGUCAUCGGCCAUCGGGGCAACAAAGCUCCGGCCCAACCUGCAAGGUAGCCGUCGGUCACCCGAUCCAGCGACCUGCAACCCUCCAGCCCCUCCUCAACACAUGAGAGGUUGGCCUCGCGAGAGGGCCACAACCCUAGAUCCGAGCUCUCAACCCUAGAUCAGGAGGAGCAGCGCAAGCCCUGCCGCCAUAGUCCUUGGCUGCGCCGCGGGCUCACCCAGCGUCAGCCUCAUGUGGCGGCGAGGUGGAAGGGAGGAAAUUGGGAGUCCUGGCAGCGCAAGGAGGAGUCGCCCUAGAGGGGCGGUGCCGCUCGAGGUAAAUACUACAUAAUCAUAACCUUAUGAAAAACAUGAGAACUAAAACAUUCAAUUGGCUUUUGGUUGUUAACUAAUCAAGCGGUCAACGCAUUAUCAUGGUUGGAAUAGAGAGAUAACAGCACCACCUGAAUAACAUAUAAUUGGCCAUGCAGACUAAGAUCUUCAAAUAACAAGAAUUUAAUCAUCCCAAGAAAAAGGAGAGAAACCACACCACCUGAAUGACUCCUAUGCUCAGCAGUCAUUCAAGGCAGAACAGUCCAAAUCCAACAAAGUAAAAUAUCUGCCAAAUGAAGUUCCACAAAAAUAAGACUGGCAGACACAAUCUCGUCCAAAUGCAAUCUACGAAGUAAAACCCUGAUACUCAUAUGCGUGUGAGGUAUGCCGCAGUUAUGUGACACUCCAACGUUCGUAAUGCACUUUAUCAAGGAAACAAGAUGAUCAUCGUGCAACUCUGCUACACGAAGAAGACCUGGGAUAUGUUGAAGGCAGUGGUUACGACUUACGAGGACCAAAUGAAGGACAACAUUUGCCCUCGCUACUGCAUGUGAAGAGCGGUGGGGAUGGGGGAAGUCGGAUCAAGGGAGAAAGCGGCGAUGGAGAAGGAUUGUGGUGCGUGAUAUAAGAGACAUUUUUCACACAAAUAAAAAUGACGUGAUAUAUUAUUCAUGAAACUGAAGUCCAGGAGUCUAGAGCGGUUGAGCCGCAUAUCUCCAUAUAUGCAUGUGGUCAUGGACCGAUGGUCCGUCUACAAAUUACUAGUGUUACUCCAUUUAAACACACACAAUGUGCAAUCAUAGAAUGUUAAUCUUCGGAUAUGUAUGGAAACUAGAUGAUUGGUUGAAGAGUCGUAGUGAUACGUCAACUGGCAGCAGACAUAAGGUGAUUCAUCUGGAAUAGGAUGCACAGAGAAUUGCAGUUGAAGAUCAACACUAAGCACAUGAUCUGCUUCUUGCUUCUCCCGGAUACAUGUCGUGGCUAUGUGCUUCGUGGCAUGAGGCAGUAUGCCCCUACAGAAUGUCCCAUGCCACACCAUAUGGUUAGCAAGAUGCUAUGGACUAAUUGGUUAAAUUGUUACAUCUUGAAUUGAGUAUAUAACAAAGCGAACUGAGCAUAGCUCAGAUGAUUAGGUUUCUUGUGGUGGAACCUGCCCACCAUGAUACUAAGUCAUAGACUUGACACGGAUGGUCACAAUUUUUUGGAUUUAUUCUGGGCUUUCUGACGCUAUUCUUUGAUCAGUAUGGCAUGCUCGUGAACUAUGACUCUCCCAGAGGCGUUCGUAAGGGUAGGUGAGUGUGUGCGCAUGUUUAUGAGAGUCUAUGUUUGUAUUCUGUUACUUAAAAAUUGAUUAUAUAACAACCAUAUAUCACCAAUUCACACAUAGCUACAUGUACUUGCAAAACACGUGAAAAAUUAUUCGUAAAUGUCAUGCUCCAUCUUUGGUUGUUUAUUAAUCGUCCUUUCCUCCAAAAUAGAACAAAACAUGUGUUAUUACUUAUUAACCAAAAUUUCAUCAAGCACGGAGACUUGUGCAUAUAUGGUCCUUGCGCAUAGUGAUAUCAUUGUCCUCCAGCCAUAUCAAGAAAAAGCGCCAAAUUUAUAUUAAGAUAAGUAAGAAAAAAACAUGUUUGACUUCACAACCUCUCCCAUUGCAAAGUAAAUUAAAAUUUAGGCAUCUGCUUACUUUCAGUAAUAAGUGAUGCCUACCCUUUCUAGAGAAAAUAAUCACAUCAUAUCCUGACAUGCUGUUGCCAUCCUUGAUUGAUUUCCUUACUGGUCCCAUUUUCCUAGUUUAUAAACCGAUCACACAUUUUAAGAUUCAACUUAGACUAUCAUUCAAUCCAAUAAUUUAUAAAUUAUUACCAUAAAAAUAUACCAUAGGAACUAUUGAAUAUGAAUGCAGUGGCAUAAUAUUUGGAUCACAUAACCUACGUUUUGGUAAAGAAAAAAGAACUUUUAUGCUCAAGUCAGUAAUUCCUAACGCAAAACAACAGUCAUCUUUUGGUUGCUUUUAUUGUCCACAGGCAUGUGUGUAAUAUGGCAUUCUAAGUUUGCAUUUAAAUAUGGAUCAUCUCGGGGAGUCAAAAGGGUAGGAUGGUCAUUUCAUGUUAAACCUUAAUGCAUAUGCCUAAAACACCUUGUAAAAGUUAAUAGAGGGAAUGCUAACAUGAGUGCCUAGUAACAAAGCAAGUGCAUCAUUUUGGUUCUUUCUUGGUCAUCUUAGCGACUUGCCUCGUGAGCCCUGUAGAUCUACUCAUUACAUGUUCAUUGUACAGUGAAGCCAUGAAGAUUGAAAUUAGAAAAAAUCAUGUGGACUAGAAUCAAAUUGUCUUUGUUCUUAUGAUGCUCACUACUUCACUACUAGUAAUAAAUUAACAAUUUAAUAAUAUUUUGUAUUAAUGUUUCUAUUGAGUUACACAGAGGAUUUGGUGCCAUGGCCUAUCUUCCGUUUGCUAUACCGAGUUGGAAUCAAUCAACACUAAGAAGUUUUUCAGUUUUGGUUGAGUUCGUGAUAGCUUUGUCAUGGUUUUCUAGCGGCAUUCGCUUUAAGGUUGCCCAUAUGUAGAGAAACAUUGCUAAUUGCACCACUCAUGGUAGACUUAAAUGGCCAAACCAUUGGCAUGUGAUGUUUGGUGGAGAAAUGAUGUAUUGACCACACAAAUGUUUAACUCCUAGACUUUAUAUGCAUAUCUAUCUUCCCCAUGUGGUGGGAUCAUGUCUAGUUGCUAGGAGAUAAUGCCAAAGCAUAGGAGAGCAACACUGAUGAGCAUGGUGAAUGCACCGAUAGUCACAUAUCAUGACCUAGCAGGGAAUGUGAUAUAUCAAAACUUUGAUUUGGAGCCUAGUAAAAAGAAAGAAAAUCCAUGUAAGAGUGGUUGAACUAGCAAACACCCAUCGUAUGGUGGCUCUAUGUUGUCAAUUCAGUGCAAUUCAUCCUAGAGUAUUGAGUUGUUGAUUUGAUCAGUCAGGUAUACUGGUUGCAUGAUCUAAGACUUCACCGAUCUCUAAUACUUGAAAAUGGAAGAGAAUAUGUAUGCAUUGUAUCCAUGUUUUCAUAAGUGGAAUUCUAGUCUUAGUCCUAAGAACACACAGUUAUUUGCAUCUGUUAAUCGCAUCACCUCUUGCCUUACAUCCUUAGAGGGCAUGUCGCAUUACUAUGAUUUACAACGCAUACCUUUAUACAUUGUUGUUGCACCUAGUUAGCACAAUUAGAUGGCAUGAUAGUAAAGCUCACAGUUCAUUCGCUUGUUCGAAACAAAAAAUCCGUCGUAAAUAAACUCAAACCAUAUGAAUAAGGCCACAUAAGGCAAUGGAUGCAACAAUUUAGUUCGACCAUACUUGAUCUAUCUUAAUUAACAAUGAUAAAAGAUCCAAUUGUUCUGAUAUUACAAAUAACCCAUGCCCAGCCAAGGAAUAUCAUGGCCAUAAUUAUGGCACGGUGUAGCAAUGUGCAAGACUACCAUGCCCAAUUCACACACAUCAUGUCUCUUUCCACUCACUACCCUGUCUCUAACUCUGGCUGGUGGUUUUCUUCAUCAAAAUGGAGAACUCGGGGCACUGUGUGCUUCCUAUUGUUUCAUUUCCUUGGGUUUUUUACUUCCACGGAAGUACAUGUACACUUGAUCCAUGUUCAAUAACAGAGUUUGAUGAUCAAGAGAUAGGAACAACAUCAGUUGCAAUGUGAGGAUCUCUUGGUUAUGCUGGUCGAUAUAUAAUACAAAUUGGGCAUUUCAUCCAAAUUGUGUCAGUGCAUUGUGUAUGAAGCUAGUAAAAAUUUCCUCUUUGUAACAUAGUUGAUAGACUAUCAACCAUGAACAAGGACACAAAAGGAAACAGUAGUCACCAUCCUAUAACACGACCGUCACGUGCCAUUUAGCCACAAAGAAGAAGACACCUACUGUACUUUGGUAGUUGGGCCUGCCACCAUCUCUACGAGGUCAAAGGUAGUGGCUGCGAGGACCAAAAUUAUGGAACACGCCCCCUAGACAGACAUUGGUCCUUGCCGCCGCCUGGGAAGCGACACGGGUUAUGGGGAAGUCGGAUCAAGGGGUGAAAGCGGCAAUGACAAAGAAUUUAGGUGCAUCAUAUGAGAUAUACUUUCCACACAAUGAAGAACAUCACAUGAUAUUGAUGAAACUAAAUUCCAAGAGUCCUGAGUGGUUGAGCUGCAUGUCUCUAUAUAUGUAUUUGGUAAAGGACUGAUGGCUCGUCUACAAGUUACUAGCUUUUCUCUAUGUGAACAAACACAAUAUGGAAUCAUAGAAUGUUGACGUAAGGAUAUGUAUAGAGAACUGGAUGGUUGAUUGAGAAAGUGGUGUUGAUAAAUGUUAAGUGGUGUUGAAUCAUAAGUACCGCUCAUUAGGAAUAGGAUGGAUGGGGAUUCAAGUUCAAUACUGACUGCAAGUGUACAAACAAGAGAUCUGAUCUUCACUGCUCUUGGAUACAAUGUUGAUUGUGUGUCGGGUGGUCCCAUGAUGCAAUGUGCCAUGAUGCCUACUUAGUAGGAGACUCUGACUUGGGCCCGUUCGGCUCCCCUCCACGGGCUAGCUUCCUGAAAUACCUGUGUGAAGCUACCCCGGACGCUCCAGCGUUGUGAAGCCAACUUUGUGGAGACGAGGAUCAAGCAUGUGCAAAUUUUGCGGAGAGCACCAGUCACCCAGCUGCACUAAAGCGAUAAGUUGGAGUUCCUUGAAAUUACAUGGGAAUGCCACCCCUAAAUUGCGUACCAGUUUGAUCUCUUUUCUCCCGGGCUCCCGUACGAACCAGCGAGUAGACAUAGAUGUGUCCACACCUUUCACUCCGAACUGGCCGACAGCCCAUGUCACCAUCUACGUACUUAAUAGCCCAUGUCCGCAACUUUCACUCCAAACAGCCGUGUAGGCCAGCGCCAGCCCAUACAGCCGUAGGGAAAAGCUGGCCACAGCCUACCGAACGCACACAGCUCCUCACAGAAGUUGGAGUCGUGGAUUUCAUGACCUAGAGAGCUUCCGAACGGGGCCUUACUCCAUUCGUGCUUGAAAAGAAUAAGUAUAAAUUUGUGUAUGAAGUGAAACUGUGUAAGGUUGACCAGAUUUAUAGAAGAUAAACUAACAAUGAUAAUACAAGGUAGAUGUGGCAUGUAAAUAUGUUUUAUAGUGUAAUUAAUGAUACAAAAUUGGUAUGAAAGUUGUUUAUAGUUUUUGAUAAACUUGUUCCAACUUUGCACUGUUUGACCUAACAAAAAAAUUAUACGCCUUGAUUUCAAGCACACAGGGAAUACUUGGUUAAAUUAUUGUAUUUGUAAAUUGGGUAUGUAGCAAUUGUAUCUCACUAGCUAAACAUAACAGCAAAGAGAUGCAAAACAUGUUGUAAAUGUCAUGCACCAUCUAUUAAUUUCAUGCUCCAUUUGUUAACUGUCUUUGUCCGAGGCCCCCCUUCUUUCCUCGGAAGAUAGAAUAAACCUUAUGUGUUAUCAACCAAAAUUUCAUCUAGGACGCCAUUGCACUCAACAAGGAAUAUGGUGUAAUUUGUAAAUUAAAAACAAGUACGAAGAAGCAUGUUUUACUUUGCAACGUCCCCAUUUCGAAAACAAAUCAUCUACUUAUACCUUCCAUAAUAAGUGAUGUCUUGCGCUUUUCAGAGAAAAAUAUCCCAUCAUCUCAUGUCUUACGCUUUUCAGAGAAAAAAAUCACAUCAUCUCAUGUCAUUCGCUUGCCCUCCUUGAGUGGUUCUCUUACUACUCCCAUCUUCCUGGACUAGAAAGUGUCCAUAGAAUUUUAAGGUUCAUUUUUGGCACCGGUUAGGCCAAUCAUAUAUGAGUUGUUACCUUAGAAAUUGCAUAGAAGAAACAUCUUUCUAAUAUGAAUUCAGUGGCAUAAUUAUUGGAUCACAUAACCCACGUUUUUUAGUAACAAAUUGCACUUAUCAACUCAAGUAACAAAUUCCCUAUGCAAACCAACUACUGACUAUUGGUUGCUUUUAUUGUGCAUUGGCAUGUGUAUAAUAUUGCAUCCUGAGAUUGCAUUUAAAUAUGGAUCAUCACGAGGAAUCAAAAGGGAUGGGAUGGACAUUUUAUGUCCGACCUUGAUUAUUAUGCAUAAACCUAAAAGGUAUGUAAAGGUUAGCAGAGGGGAUAUUGAGGGAGUCCUGGAUUAAGGGGCCCUCGGACAGCCGGACUAUAUACAUGGGCCAGACUGUUGGGCUAUGAAGAUACAAGACAGAAGACUGCUUCCCAUGUCCGGAUGGGACUCUCCUUUGCGUGGAAGGCAAGCUUGGCGAUUCGGAUAUGUAGAUUCCUUUCUCUGUAACCGACUUUGUACAACCCUAGCCCCUAUAAACCGGAGGGUUUAGUCCAUAGGGGACAAUCAUAAUCCCAUAGGCUAGACUUCUAGGGUUUAGCCAUUAUGAUCUCGUGGUAGAUCAACUCUUGUAAUACUCAUAUUCAUCAAUCAAUCAAGCAGGAAGUAGGGUAUUACCUCCAUAGAGAGGGUCCGAACCUGGGUAAACAUCGUGUCCCCGUCUCCUGUUACCAUCGACCUUAGACGCACAGUUCGGGACCCCCUACCCGAUAUCCGCCGGUUUUGACACCGACAUUGGUGCUUUCAUUGAGAGUUCCACUGCGUCAUCACCAAAAGGUUCGAUGGCCCCAUCAAUCAUCUACAACAAUGCAGUCCAGGGGGAGAUUUUCCUCCCGGGACAGAUCUUCGUAUUCGGCGGCUUCGCACUGCGGGCCAACUCGCUUGGCCAUCUGGAGUAGAUCGAUAGCUAUGCCCCUGGCCAUCAGGUCGGAUUUGGAAGCUUGAAUUACGUGGACGAUAUCCGCGGAGAUUUGAUCUUCGACGGAUUCGAGCCCACGACGGCUGCUCCCUGUCACCGCGAUGAACAUGACCUAAAUCUGUCAUUGGACCGUGCUCAGGAGAUAGCACCUACAACUGCUUUGGCCCUAGAUCUGGAGCAGAUCGCACCAUCCGAGGACAGGAUGCUUAACCCCGCCGCGGAAGCCGUAGACUCAGCGGCGAUAGAGCCGCACACAGAUCCAACCUCAAGUGGACCCUGUGUCAUCGGAACCUCUGAUUCGUCUCCGGCCAUAGGUUCCUAACCGCGUGCAUCCGUGCCCAUCGAACCUGAUCGGGCGCCGAUUGUUGAGUUCAGCUUCGCGGACAUCUUCCGGCACUCGCCUUUUGGCGAUGUGCUGAACUCAUUAAGAGCCCUCUCCUUAUUAGGGGAAUCUCAGCCGAACUAUGUCCGGCUUGAGUGAGAAGCUGAUGACGAAGAAUUUCAUUUCCCACCCACCACCCACUGCAUAGCCACUGUCGAAGACUUAACCGACAUGAUUGAUUAUGACUCGAAGACAUCGAUGGUAUGGACAACGAUGCCGGAGAGGAGCAGGCACAGCAACCGCCGCUUACAGGGCGUUGGACAGCCACAUCCUCGUAUGACGUAUACAUGGUGGAUACACCAAAAGAGAACAACGACGACGACGAGAAGGAUCCAGUUGAGGAGAAACCUCCUGAGACACAACCAAAGUGCCAAUGACAGCGGCGACGCUCUAAACCCCGUCAUGGAAAAAACAGCAGUACCGGCACAGGAGAAAAUAACACUCCUGACGAUGCCUAAGACAAUGAAAACCCCGUGUAGCCAACGUCUGAACAAGACGAACGGGAAGAUGGGCAAGCUAGCCUUGAUGAACAGGCUGCGCAUGAAGACGCAGAGGACAGUAACUACCUUCCGCUCUCCGAGGACGAGGUGAGCCUCGGCGACGAAGACUUUAUGGUGCCCAAGGAGCCCACCGAGCAGGAGCUUUUUAAGCGCCGGCUAAUAGCCACUGCAAGGAGCCUAAAAAAGAAGCAGCAGCAGCUUCAGGCAGAUCAAGAUCUGCUCAAUCACAGAUGGACUGAAUUCCUAGCAGCCGAGGAAUACGGCCUCAAGCGCCCUACCAAAAGUUACACGAAGUGCAAACUAUUACCACAGUUCACUGACGAGGCGUUGGAGCCAGUCCUACCAGCAGACAAUGCGGCUGACCGGCCACCACGCGGCCAGGACAAAGUGGCACCUCGAGCCGAACACCAGCCCGCACUACCUCACUGUAAAAACAGAAAUACAAUAGCUCAGGGAUGCACAUAUGACCUGCGGCAUGACCUAGAAAACAGAGCAGGCCAGACCAGAUCAAUCUACGGAUCGCGGUGGCAUGCCCCGAUGCGCGACGACGGCCAUCCGGCUGGACGUGACAAACAUAACCAUGUCUAGGCCGAAAACUGUGGACGAACUCCAUCUGAGCUACGUCACGAUUUGGCCCGAUAUAGAGGCGCCGCACACCCCCUUUGCUUCACUAACGAAGUAAUGGAACAUGAAUUCCCAGAAGGGUUUAAACCCGUGAACAUCGAAUCAUAUGAUGGCACAACAGACCCCGCGGUAUGGAUUGAGGAUUUUCUUCUCCAUAUUCACAAGGACUGCGGUGAUGAUCUUCACGCCAUCAAAUACCUCCCGCUCAAACUCAAGGGACCAGCCAGGUACUGGUUGAACAGCCUGCCUAAAAACUCCAUUGGCAGCUGGAAGGACUUGGAGGAUGCCUUCCUCGACAACUUCCAGGGAACAUAUGUCUGACCUCCGGAUGCCGACUACUUAAGUCACAUAGUUCAACAGCCCGGAGAGUCAGCCAGGAAAUUCUGGACUAGGUUCUUAACUAAAAAGAACCAGAUCGUCGACUGUCCGGAUGCUGAAGCCCUACGGCCUUUAAACACACCAUCCGUGACGAAUGGCUCGCCCGACACCUCGGCCAAGAAAAUCCAAAGUCCACGGCAGCCCUUACGGCACUCAUGACCCACUUUUGUGCGGGUGAAGAUAGCUGGCUAGCCCGUAGCAAUAACAAGACAGGCGAACCUGGCACUUCCGAAGCCAGAAACAGCAACGGCAAGCCCUGACGCAGCAGACACAAGCGUCGAAGCAAUGGCGACAACGCCAAAGACACGGCGGUCAAUGCCGGAUUCAGCGGCUCUAAAUCCGGUCAGUGGAAGAAGCCGUAUAAAAGAAACAAUCUGGGCCCGUCCAGGUUGGACCGCAUACUAGAUCGUCCAUGCCAAAUCCACGUCAUUCCUAAUAAACCAACCAAUCAUACCAACAGAGAGUGUUGGGUCUUCAAACAGGCCGGCAAGUUAAACGCCGAGAACAAGGAGAAGGGGUCCCAAAGCAAGGACGAUGAGGAGGAGCCCGGGCCAACAAACACAGGCAAACAUAAGAAGUUCCCCCCCCCCCCAAGUCAAAAUGGUGAACAUGAUAUAUGCUACCCAUAUCCCCAAGAGGGAGCGCAAGCAUGCACUCAGGGACGUCUGCGCGAUAGAGCCAGUCGCCCCAAAGUUCAAUCCAUGGUCAUCUUGACCGAUCACUUUNNNNNNNNNNNNNNNNNNNNNNNNNNNNNNNNNNNNNNNNNNNNNNNNNNNNNNNNNNNNNNNNNNNNNNNNNNNNNNNNNNNNNNNNNNNNNNNNNNNNNNNNNNNNNNNNNNNNNNNNNNNNNNNNNNNNNNNNNNNNNNNNNNNNNNNNNNNNNNNNNNNNNNNNNNNNNNNNNNNNNNNNNNNNNNNNNNNNNNNNNNNNNNNNNNNNNNNNNNNNNNNNNNNNNNNNNNNNNNNNNNNNNNNNNNNNNNNNNNNNNNNNNNNNNNNNNNNNNNNNNNNNNNNNNNNNNNNNNNNNNNNNNNNNNNNNNNNNNNNNNNNNNNNNNNNNNNNNNNNNNNNNNNNNNNNNNNNNNNNNNNNNGAUGAGGAGGAGCCCGGGCCAACAAACACAGGCAAACAUAAGAAGUUCCCCCCCCCCCAAGUCAAAAUGGUGAACAUGAUAUAUGCUACCCAUAUCCCCAAGAGGGAGCGCAAGCAUGCACUCAGGGACGUCUGCGCGAUAGAGCCAGUCGCCCCAAAGUUCAAUCCAUGGUCAUCUUGACCGAUCACUUUUGAUCGCAGGGAUCAUCUGACCAGUAUCCGUCAUGGCGGUUCAGCCGUACUAGUCCUUGACCCAAUUAUUGAUAGGUCCCAUCUGACACGAGUCCUCAUGGACGGUGGUAGUAGCCUAAACCUGCUUUAUCAGGAUACAGUGUGCAAAAUGGGUAUUGACCCUCAAGGAUCAAACCCACCAAAACCACCUUUAAAGGUGUCAUACCAGGUGUAGAGGCCUGUUGUAUGGGCUCAAUCACACUGGAAGUGGUCUUCAGAUCCCCGGACAAUUUCCAAAGCGAAGAAUUAAUCUUCAAUAUUGUCCCCUUCCGUAGUGGUUAUCACGCACUGCUCGGACGAACCGCAUUCGCUCGAUUCAAUGCGGUGCUGCACUACGCCUAUCUCAAGCUCAAGAUGCCCGGACUACGCAGUGUUAUAACAGUAAAUGGAAACACAAAACGCUCCCUCCGCAUUGAGGAGCACGCCACCGCCCUCGCAGCAGAAGUACAGAGCAGCCUUUUCAGGAAGAACAUCAAUUUGGCAGCCAAGCUCCCGGACACCGUCAAGCGAGUCCUAACUACUCUGCAGCAGGACAGUCCAGCUCGUCCAGAGCUUGACUAGCAAUUUAGCCUCUGUCCCAGUCCCGACCAAGCGGCGACACUCAUGCCGCGCGUACAUAACUACACACUUAAAAUACCAUGGGCAUGAAUGGAGGCACAGCUAGAUCGUGGUCCAUAAUGUGGCUCAACCGCUCCUGGACCCGCAUACCUCCACUUGUUCUUUUUCAUUUGAGGUUUUUCUCUUUCUGAGGGCUUUCCUAGCGACCUGAUGGACGGACCUAUAGAGGGACGAAUACACCAAGAUGGCAAGGAGCUCUAACGUAUAAGGGAAACCCCAGGUGGUCUCUUUAAACGAUUGUUAUACCUGUUUUUGAGGACCCACACGCAGCUCUCUCUUGGUGGCGGCAUGCUAAAUAGCCCUGUUGCUUAUCGCAUUACUUGUAUAAAUACGCUUUGACGUAUUAACCAAAUUAUAAUGAAAAAUAGUUGCGGCCCAAUUUCUGCAGCAUUAGCCUAUUACCUCAUUUUUUUUCUUUUUCCUUUUUGAUAUUUUUAUCAAUUGCACCCAUACACUCUGGUACGCCUUAAUUUGUGAGGGGCUUCCUUAUGCCCCCAUACAGCAACAAAGUCCGAACACUUUUUCAUAGUACAGUUCGGCACCCCCGAACUUAUAGCAUUAUAUGCAUCGGCUCCAAAUCAUGUCUUUGGUCAAUAGUUGGGUUGCCCGGUUCCUGUGCUUACUACUUUACGUUCCGCUAUAUCGGCUAGGAUAGUAAAGGGAGAACUACUGAGAUUGUGUCCUGAUUCAUCCGGAUGAGCACCUCAGUAGAGAAAGCCGAAAACUGACUGUCAUGAUGAGGCGAGAGCCGGUUAGCUGUUCGAGAGGUUUCAAAUCUUUAGCGAUAUUUCCCGCAUUAUGCGAGGAAUCGGGUUUUUUUAUCCGAUCAGGUGUUGACAGCUUCCCAAGUUCGGAUUUCCGAAUACUAGGGGUUGCGCAUAAAUUUUAACUGUCAAACUCCUAUGGCUAAGUGAGGGUGGUAAAGCCACAUAGUCCGAUUGCCUUGUUCAUUGCGUUAAACACCUCCUUUCAGGACCAAACUUUGGACUAAAGAGUGUUUAGAUUUAUCCCAAACACUCCCAUACUAUCUACAUGGGGGCAGAAGCCGAUGACUGGCCAACUCUUAGAUUUCACAAUACGGCCGCACAGGAGGUAAAAUUGUAAAUAACAAGCAUUAUAUUACAUAACGUUCUUGUUUCAUAAUACAGGACAGGAUAACAUGAAUGCAUUCACGGAAAUAUAACAUCCUUAGCACAUUGCUCCGCCACAAGGCAGGAUCCCUCCAGGACAUUAUCAAAAUACAGUUCGGGUGCGCGGUGCUCCUUGCCUGCGGGCGGUCCCUCGGUCAUCAACUUCGUGGCGUCCAUCUUCGCCCAGUGCAUCUUGGCGCGGGCAAAGGCCAUUCGCGCGCCUUCAAUACAGACGGACCGCUUGAUGGCAUCAAGUCAAGGGCAGCCACUGACAAGCCACUUCACGAGUCCGAAGUAGCUACUGGAAAUGGCUUCGGCAGGCCAUAGCCGGAUUAUUAAAUCCUUCGUGGCUAGUUCGGCCGCCCUAUGCAGCUCGACCAACUGUUUCAGUUGAUCGUUAAAGGGCACCAAAUUUUCUGGCGCAAGGUAUUGCGACCAAAAUAGUGCCUCCGUAGAGCUCCCCUCUUUGGCUCGGAAAAAUUCCGCAGCAUCGGAAACGCUGCGUGGCAGAUCUGCAAACGCCCCUGGAGAACUUCAAAUCCGGGUCAGUAAUAGGAACCCUUUCUUCACAUAUUUGCUCUGCAUAAUAAUGGACUUACCCGUCACGAUUUUCCUGGCCUCCUGGAUUUCAAGGAGGGCACCCUGGGCUUCGGCUCGGGCAUCGUGUGUGCUCCGGCGGGCCUUGGCAAGUUCAGAUUCUUGAUCCUUAAAAUUGCUCUCCAAGGACUCGCACUUCUUAACAGUGUCAUGGAGCUCUUGCUGGACCUCACUGACCCGGGCCUCAUGCUUUUCGCGUGCGGCUCGUUCCUUGGCCGCUUUGUCCUCGGCCUUGGCCAGUGCCUUCUUGAGGGCCUCUACUUCGGUCGUUGCCCCUAAUAAAUAUCAUGGAACUUUAGUCAGCACAAAUCAUUCAUCCUUCUUGAAUAUAUACAAGGUUACUGCAUACCUUGACUGUCCUCCAUCUGCUUCUUCACGCGGCCGAGCUCUUCCUCGGCCCACUCUAGACUCUGCUUCAGUCCGGAGACUUCCGCAGUGUGAGAGGUCGUAGCCAGCAGCGAUGCCUGCUUAUUCACAUAGACAUUUUAGAUUAGUCUCCUGCGAAAAUUAUUUGAUCCUCUAUCCGGCUAGUCUUUUCGAACACCGGACAGUGUCUGAGGGGCUACUUUCUAUAUUGUGACAUUAUUUUUACAAAAUUACAUUACUUACCUCAAAGCCUGUUAGAAGGCUAGUGCAGGCUUCGGUCAGUCCGGACUAGAUCCUCUCAAUCACCGUACCCAUAAGGGUACAGUGUUCCUCGACAAUGGAAGUGCCUCGCGGCGCUUCCAGCAAAGUGUCCAACGCCUCUAGAUGGACAGAGGUCACCGGCAGAACAGGCACGCCCCCUUCCUUCGAAAAGGGGUGCUUGCCUGAUUCCGGAGCCGUAUGGGUCUCCGAAAUUAUAUUCGGUUGGGGGCUGAAUUGGAUACGGUCUCCAUCAUCCGUAUCAAUCGGGGUUUACUCCCCCAUGUGUCCGGCAGUCGAGGCUUCACCCUCUGGUGCCUCCCUGACGGCCUCUGGAUUCUAUCUCGGGCCUGGGAUCCUUCGGGACAACGCCUCGGCGCCAUCCAUGUCCUUGGGAGAGGAGGCCGCGGGAAUGGUCCCGCUGUCCAUCGUGUCCGGGUCCAGCGAAUCCUCCGAAGAUAAGGACCGCUCGAGGUUGGACCUAGCCGGACUGUAAAUUCAUAAUUCAGUACAUUAAAACAAUGAAGUAAAGGGGGCCAGAUACAUGAACAUGUCCAGACACUUACGAUUUGGCUAGGGGCUUGUCCCUGGGCUCCCACUCCCAGCUAUUGUUGGUGGCCGCUGCGGAGCUGUCCGGAAGGGAGGUUUUCCCCUUCUUGGACGCCUUGGCCUCCACAUGCGUGGAGGCUGACCUCUUCUUUCUCCCCCCUGCAGGUGGGGAAUGGUUUUCUUCUUCCUCCUCCUCUUCCACGUCAUCCUCAGCGGCAGAGGAGUGCGCCUCGGCUUCUUCGGAUGUCACAUACGAAUUGCCCUUGCGACGGGGACCACCCCUGGUCCCCUUGGCCUUCUUUUUGGCCUUCUUCUCCGGCACCUGAUGUCGGUGGGAAACGACACCUAUGGGAUCACGAGGACCCCUUCUGCGGUUGCGGGGCGCGGGGUUGUGAGAAGAGCAGGAUUAGCAAUCAGCACAAGGAUCGUUUACCCAGGUUCGGGCCGCGGGGAAUGCGUAAAACCCUAGUCCUGCUUUGGUGGGUGAAUUGGAUGUUCUUGAGCUUUUGAACUAGCUACGAUGGCCGCGUGGUUCAAAAUAGCCGAAUCCCUCUCCAGUAUGCCAUGGGCCUCCUUUUAUAGUCGAAAGGGGCUGCCACAGUGGCACACAGGAGGUGGAAAAGCCUACAGUGCUAUGAGCUUAUCGCUCGUAUUACAAGACAAGAAGCAUUUAAUGCGUUGCUUAGGUGUCUCCUUGCUUUAUCGGGGACGGGAGCGAGGCCCGUCCCGUCCGUCGCCGCUCCUCCUCGCUUUGACACGCGCCCUGGCCAGCGAUGCAUGCGGCGCCAUGUAGGCAGGCAAGCAGCUGAGGUGGCGCGGUGGUGGAGCCUUCACGAAGAUCUGCAUGCCGCCACGCAGGCGUGUGCUGAGUUGGCCUGGAAGCUGCAUGUUGCCACGCAGGUGCCUGCCCAGCUGGUUGGGCUGGCAGCUGCAUGUGAACAGCGGCUAAGACUUCGUUGGUGUGGGCUGGCAGUGGCCCCGCUGACGCACUUGGCAAGGGCCUUGCCGGGUGGCUCGGCAAGGGUCUUGCCGUGGCGCGCUGUCGUCCCCGGCAAGGAUCUUGCCGGGGGUCUUGUGGGUUUUCUCGGCAAGAAUCUUGUCGAGGAUCGUUGCCUUCCAAUCCUCAUCCGAUCUUGAAUAUUCUUUGUCUUCACAAAGAUCUGCAUGCCACCAUGGAGGUGCCUCCCGAGCCCUAGCCCAACGUGGUUGAUGGUGUUGGAGACUGUGGGUUCGAGGGUGGCUCACUCCGCUGGUGUGGGCGAGCCGCCCCGGCAAGGGGCUUGUCGGGGCUACUGAGGCUGCCCCAGCAAGGGUCUUGCUGGGGAAACCUGCUCCGUCCAUCUGCUCUCCUUGGCGUUGCGUUGAUUGUUUUUGUGUUUGUGGCUCUGGGUGUUGCUUUGACCAUCUUGCGGCUUCGACUCCUCCCUUUUGCCCUGCUAAGUGUGGCUUCGGCCCAUGGCUCUGACUACCCGCGCACAAGUAAGGGGUACAAAGGAGUGCCCCUACUUUAGUACACCGACAGGAUCCCCCGGGCCUGGGCCACACAUAGGCGCAACGCAUUGUUGGGCCAGGCCGAAAACAGUCCGCGGGCAGGCGGGCGGUUUUUACCGCAGUAACUUUCCGUCUGAUGCGCUUGCCCAUGACCCAUGUUGAAUGCGCGACAUGGGGGUCGCGCGCGCGUGCGUGACCGAAGCACGCUGGCGUCACCUUGCGGUGGAUAGUAAAGAGGCAGCUUGCGUGUCCCCUUGAGAGUGCAGGGCCACCGCUCAUUUACUGCCCUUACUUGGGAACCGUCGCUCCACGCGUCCCAUUGCGCCCGUCUCUUGCGCCACGUUUGCUGCAUGCAUGACGCAGAGCGAAUGACAGGUGCGCGGGAUACAGGAAGUCGCGCACGCGUGGGUCGGUUCCCCACGCGCCUUCAAUUGGGCGGGGAGGGUGGUUGACGGCCCUGCCCAUUGUCACUUCAAUGGGCCGGCUUGGCCAAAAGGGGCGGCUGAGCCCCGCCCCUGCCCCUUUAUAAAGAGGGGGGCAGGAGGAAUGGCGCCUCUCAAUCCUUCGUCAUCCGCUUCUCUUUGGGGUGGCCACCGGGAUGUUCUCCUGGUGCCUUCUGCUGCUCAUACCUCGCCUAGGCGCCCCUUUUGCCCUUUUGCUUUCUUGUUUCAUUUCCUGAGGAGAGGGACAAGAAAGGGAUUACGGGCACCUUAUCUUUUUUCAACUUGCAAGCCUAUGGACCUUAAUUAGAUCUAAAACCUGUAAUCUCCCUAUUCAUGUUUAUGUUCUGUACUUAUUUUACCUGUAUGGAACGUAUUAAUGGCAAAAGGGUGCUUGCCGGGUCUUGUGCGUGCGUGUGAGCAAAGCCCAUACCAAGGAACAAGUCCUUGUUAUUUUUAAUAUAAGCAUCAUUACCCGGCAGCAGGCCUUGCCGUUUCCCCACCCCAUUCGUCCAUACUCACGCCUUUGGAGAAGGCAGGGACCAAGUGGGGGUGGGCCCUACGCUUGCUUCCUUGCCGCCGCGGCUACGACCAUAUUCCGGACCAAGAAGUUCUUGGGUGAUAGGAACAAGGGGAGCAUGGCAGCCUUGGAACAAAACGAGGUUCCAUAUGUCCCAAGUUUCUUACGGGAAUGCAUGACAGGGGAUGGGAAAACUUAUCUGAAUCUACAGCCCUCGGCAACCUUGACUUGCCGUGGGUGCAUCUCUGUGUCUUCUGCCCUCGGCAAGCUCGGCUUGCCGGGCCUGGGGCGCUGGCUCGUUUUCUUCGUUCCACUUGGCUUGGCGGAAACAUAUCAUGUACCCUGCAUACCAAAGAGAAUGGACAGGAACAAAAUGAUGCAAACUCGACCUGUAUGCUAGGGGUCAGUCGCCGCUAAGCACUAUCAACCCUUACCGAGGGAGAGACUCAAUCUAGCAUGCAUGCUAUGACUUAGGGCGCCAGCGCUUCGUUUAUUUAUGCUCAGGGUCUGCGCCUGGCUUUGUUCAAAGGGUCACAUGCCUUGCCGACAAGGCUUGUACAAAAAGGGGGCUUGCCAGGGGGCACGGCAGUCGCGCCUUAUGGGUAAAACUUGCGAAGAUGCUCGAUGUUUCAGGAGUUAACCGAAGUACUUGCCGGGGCCAUGGCAGGAUCGGCAUCCACGGCAGCAUCUUCGCCAGCGGCUCCGGUGAGCUCGAUGGGGAAGUACAUGCCGGGGCCUAGGUUCCUUCGCUUGCUCUGCCCGGUUGAUGGUUCGACGGAUGGUUGAGUUAACCGAAGCACAAAGGUACCUGGUUCCACAGGUAGCUUGAGGGCAGCGCGCUUUGACAGGUAGUCGGCGAUGUCAUUUUCCGUACGAGGGAUAUGCUCCGUUUGUAUACCGUCAAAGCGCUCCUCUAGUUUCCUCACUUCAUCCACAUAAGCUUCCAUCAAUGGGCUUUGGUAAUCUUUGUUGAUCUGCCUGAUGACGAAUCACCCCUAACGAUGAGCUUUUUGACUCCGAGGUCCGCCGCGAUCCUGAGACCGGCAGCAAGCCCUCGUACUCGGUGGUGCUGUUAGUUGACAUCUCCCGGGGAAAGUGCAUUUGGACGACAUACUUGAGGUGCUCUCCGGUGGGGGCGACAAGCAGCACACCAGCACCAGCGCCUUGCAGUGAAAAAGCCCCAUCAAAGUACAUCAUCUAGUUGCGGCUCGUUUCCUUGCCGGGGAGAGUGGUCUCCUGUACCUCUUCAUUGGGCGCCGAGGUUCGUUCUGCAACGAACUCCGCCAAGACUCUGCUCUAAAUCAUCGAGGUGCUUUCGAACUUUAAACUGAAACUCGACAGCUCCAGGGCCCAUUCCACGAUCCUUCCCGUUGCGUCUGGGUUAUGCAGUAUCUGUUGCAACAGGAGGCGGGUGACCACGGUGAUCUCGUGCACUUGGAAGUAAUGAUGCAGCUUCCUCGAGGCCAUAAGGAGGCCGAAGAGCAAUUUUUGCAGACCUGAGUAGCUUGUCCUAGCCCCCUGCAAGAGGGAGCUGACGAAGUAGACUGGGUGAUGCACCAUUUUCUUCUUCUGUGCCACUUCACCCAGUCGCGCAGGCCCUGUCGCACUAGCGUCAGCCUCUGCCGGGGACUCAGUCUUUCCGGGACCGAGCCUUGUCGGGGAGGGUUCCGGCUCGGCAUCCGUUGACUCUGCCGCUGCCACUGCCUCUUCAUCGACCUCUCUCUGCGCCACUAGUGUAGCACUAACCACCUGAUUCGUUGCCGCUAGGUACCGCAGCAAGAGUUCUUGUGGUUUGGGCGCAACCAGCACUGGGGUAGAGGAGAGGUACUUCUUCAAAUCCUGCAGUGCUGCCUCGGCCUCCGGGGUCCACUCCAUUGGGCCCAUCUUCUUCAAGAUCUUGAAAAAGGAAGAGCACACUCCGCGGACUUGGAGAUGAAUCUUCUCAUGGCGGCAACAUAGCCAGUGAGCCGAUGCACGUCUUUGAUCUAUUUAGGUGCCUCAAUAUGCUCGAUGGCCUUGAUCUUAUCCGGGUUUGCCUCAAUCCCGCACUGUGACACAAAGAACCCAAUAAGCUUGCUGGACGGGACACCGAAGACACACUUCUCAGGGUCCAACUUGAGGUUGAUCUUGCGCAGGUUCGCAAAUGUUUCCUCCAGAUCUUGCACAAGUGUUGCUUUGUCCUUGGUUUUGACCACUAUGUCAUCCAUAUAAGCUUCCAUAUUUCUAUGUAGUUGGGGCUCAAAACCAAUUUGGACUGCUCUUGCAAAGGUUGAGCCAGCACUCCUCAACCCGAAAGACAUCCGUAAAAGGCAAUACGUACCACAUGGGGUGAUGAAUGAUGUCUUCUCCUCGUCUUAUUUUGUCAUGAAGAUCUGGUGGUACCCUGAGUACGCGUCGAGGAAUGAUAACAGUUCACACCUAGCUGUGGAGUCAACAAUUUGGUCAUUGCGCGGUAACGAGAAGGGAUCCUUUGGACAAGCCUUAUUGAUGUCUGUGUAAUCAAUACACAGUCUCCACUUCCCGUUUGCCUUGCGCACCACUACCGGGUUGGCCAACCACCUCAGAUGGAGCACCCCCCUUACCAACCCUACCGCAUCUAGUUUUCUAAUCUCCUCCGUGAUGAACUCCUGCCUCUCCAGAGCUUGCUUCCUGACCUUCUGCUUGACGGGCCGUGCAUGAGGACAGACAGCAAGAUGGUGCUCAAUCACUUCCCUGGGAAUGUCGGGGAUGUCGGAGGCAUGCCAUGCAAACACAUCGACAUUCGCCCACAGGAAAGUGACGAGCUCGCUUUCCUAUUUGUUGUCGAUGGUGGAGCUUAUGGUAAAAGCUCCCCCCGUGCCGUCCUCCUUGACGGGCACCUUCUUGGUCUCUGGUGGUGCAGCUGUGGACUUCUUGCUCUUGCCGAUGGAGCUCUCUGGCAUGUCCUCAAUGGGAGCGCAACACCCUGAAGAGGUGCGCUUGCCGGAGUGGGUGCGAGGGGUCUCGCCGGUCUUUUUCCCUCCCAGGACUCUGUCGGCAGAAGCAGGUGCCUUAGCAGCAGCUGCUGCAACUGCUUCCCAGUAGAGUUGGUCGACGCAAAUCAACGCGUCUUUCUUGUCGGAGGGGACGGUGAUGAUGUUCAUCGGCCCGGGCAUCUUCAGCGUGUUGUAGGCGUAAUGUGAAGCCAACAUGAACUUGGCUAGUGCUGGGCGGCCGAGGAUCCAGUUGUAGGGCAAGGGGAUCUCAGCUACAUCAAAGAAUAUCCUCUCCGUCCUGUAGUUCACUCACCUCCGAACGUCACGGGCAGCGUGACCUUUCCCUUCGGCUGGCUCCUCCCUGGGUUGACCCCUUGGAAUAUGCCCGUCUCCUCGAGGUCUCCAUCAGGGAUCUGCAGCCUCUUGUUCACAAUAGGCGAGAUCAAGUUCAGACCGGCCCUAGCGUCAACCAGCAUCUUCGUCACCUUGAGGUUGCGGAUUGUUGGUGAAAUCAACAACGGCAAGCACCCGACUGCAAUAGUGCGGUCAGGAUGGUCCUCGGUGUCGAAGAUGAUAGGUGUGAUGGACCACUUCAGCAGCUUCCAUGCGUCGAACGACGGCUCCACCACUGUGAUCUCACACACCCACUGCUUGAGCUGGCGGUGGGAUGUAUGCAGUGAGGUGCCACCAUCGAUGCACAUGGCUUCUAUGGCUUUCUGGAACUCGUGGUCGCCGGACUCACCGUCCUCGUCGUGAUCAUCGUCUUCCUGCUUCUUGUCGCGGCCCCGGGCGGGCCUCUCCUGCUAAUUAUCUUUGCCGCGACGGCCUCCUUGGCUGCCACGCUUCUUGUUGGAUCCCUCGGCACCCUCUUGGCCCUUCUCCUUGUCCCGCCGCUCAUACUCGGCUUUCUGCUUCUCAGCGAGCAGCUCCACUUGUCGGCAGUUCUGGAGGUCAUGGUCCUUGGUGCGGUGGAUCUUGCAAUACUCCUUGUCGGAGCCCCGUGGCUUAUCGGCAUCCGCCAAGGCCCGGCAAGCGACACACCCGGCAACCUCCUUGACGGGGUCACUCGCCUUGGGUUUCUUGGUGGCGCCGGUAUCGUCGGACCACUCGAUGGCAAGCACGGUCUUGCCCUUGUGCUUCCUGUUACGGCGCUGGCCCUUCUUCGCCGGGGUGGCCGUAUCAUCCGUGGUGUUGGUUUCCACGCCUGCGUCUUCGCCGGGGUACUUCCUUCCCUCUUCAGCGCGAGCGCACCGAUUGGCUAGAACAUAAAGCUUGGCCACAUCCUUGACCUUGUUCAUCGCCAGCUCCUCAUGCAUCUUGUGAUUGUGCACAUUCUGAUGGAAUGCACUAAUCACGGCGGCAGGAUGAACGUCGGCAAUGUUGUACUGCACUCGGCUGAACCUUUGGAUGUACUUACGCAAGUUUUCUCCUUCUUUCUGGGGGAUGAUGUGCAAGUCGCUCGCCUGGCCAUGAGCUUGGUGGCCUCCAGUAAAGGCGCCAACAAACUCAUGAUGCAGAUCCGCCCAAGAAGAAAUGGAGUCCACCGGCAAGUGCAUCAACCAUGACAUAACAUUGGGCUUGAGUGCCAACGGGAAGUAAUUGGCAAGCACCUUAUCGUCGCGGGCCCCAGCAGCUUGCAUCGCGAUGGUGUAGAUGCUGAGGAACUCCGAUGGGUGAGUCUUGUCGUUGUACUUCUCGCCAACGUCAGGCCUGAACAUGCGGUGGGAGGGCCAUUGGAACUGCCGCAGCUCAUGGGUGAAGGGCGGACAACCCACCUCGUAGGGUAGGCCACCGUAGCCUCCUGGUGUUGGGUGGUCUGUAGUGGGCCCUACCCGCCUGUCCGACUGGUGGUGCGCGUCACGCCAGCGCUCGAUGGUGGUUCGAGCGUCUUCAUGAGCUUGCUCCCGAAGAACUUGACGUUGGUCGCGGUGGGUUCGCGGGUCGGACGACGCUAUGAAGAUAUCAUCACGAGCGUCGUCACGACGGACCGACACCCGCGGUGGACGGUAUGGAGGAGGGGAGUGCACCAUGGCCGCAUCACCUCCGGCCCGACGUCCGCUAGCAUGUGGUGGCUCGAUGGAGCGACGGCCUACGGGUCCUGCAGGCCGCAACUCGUCGUUGUUAGCGUUGCCGACGAGGCUCCGAACGGUGGCCCUCCAUUUGUCAAGCUUCUCAGUAGCGGGAGGAAAGUCGAGGAGCAGCUGCGUGCGUGCUAGGGCUUCUGCUGGCGUGGGCAGUGGCGAAAGCUGUGUGGACCGCGAUGCGCUUAGACUUCUAACUGCGUUAGAAGGAGCCCCAUCACGGCCCCGCAGCCGUCCGCCACCUUCGCCAGCACCUCGGCGCGCAUGCUAGCCCUCCUCAUCAUGUGAAGGGCGCAUGGGACUCUUCCCAGGGAGGCGCCCAGGGUCACCGGCAGGGCGGCGCUGCUCCUCGCGCACGGCCUGAGAAGAGCGCGCCAUGGGCGCCGGUGUUGGUGUCUUGGAGGUCGUCGUGCCGCCGUCUGGCGGCACGACAACGCCCCUGGAGGGCCCCGCACCGCCUGCGGGGGGGCGACUCCGUCUCUGGAGCUCGCGAUGCAUGGCUCAUCGCCUGGUGUACGAACGACGCCGCUCACCAGGCCUGGACUGCUAGGGUGAUGUGGAUGUUCGUGGGCCGUGCCACGGGUUCUCUCCGCGACUGGCCCUCUACUGGUCCACACCAGUACUGGUAGUCCGGUCCUGGACGAACCGACCGCCGUGGUCGUCUUCUUCUCAGGAGCCAUGGCGAUGAAGGACUGCUAGGCCAACUACUAGACCAGAUUAUCACAAUUUUGCGCCCCCCGCCUGGCGCGCCAAAGAUGUCAGUGGGAAACGACACCUAAGGGAUCACGAGGAUCCCUUCUGCGGUUGCGGGACGCGGGGUUGUGAGAAGAGCAGGAUUAGCAAUCAGCAUAAGGAUCGUUUACCCAGGUUCGGGCCGCGGGGAAUGCGUAAAACCCUAGUCCUGCUUUGGUGGGUGCAUUGGAUGUUCUUGAGCUUUUGAACUAGCUACGAUGGCCGCGUGGUUCAAAAGAGCCGAAUCCCUCUCCAGUACGCCAUGGGCCUCCUUUUAUUGUUGAAAGGGGCUGCCACCGUGGCACACAGGAGGUGGAAAGGCCUACAGUGCCAUGAGCUUAUCGUUCGUAUUACAGGACAAGACGCAUUUAAUGCAUUGCUUAGGUGUCUCCUUCCUUUAUCGGGGACGGGAGCGAGGCUUGUCUCGUCUGUCGCCGCUCCUCCCCGCUUCGACAUGUGCCCUGGCCAGCGAUGCAUGCAGCGCCAUGUAGGCAGGCAAGCAGCUGAGGUGGCGCGGUGGUGGAGCCUUCACGAAGAUCUGCAUGCCGCCACGCAAACGUGUGAUGUGUUGGCCUGGAAGCUGCAUGUUGCCACGCAGGUGCCUGCCCAACUGGUUGGGCUGGCAGCUGCAUGUGAAUGGCGGCGGAGACUUGGUUGGUGUGGGCCUGGCAGCCUCGCUGACGUCCUUGGCAAGGGCCUUGCCGGGUGGCCCAGCAAGGGUCUUGCCGUGGCGCGCUGUUGUCCUCGGCAAGGAUCUUGCCGGGGGUCUUGUGGGUUUCCUCAGCAAGAAUCUUGUCGAGGAUUGUUGCCUUCCAUUCCUCGUCCGAUCUUGAAUAUUCUUUGUCUUCACAAAUAUCUGCAUGCCACCAUGGAGGUGCCUCCCGAGCCUUGGCCCAACGUGGUUGAUGGUGUUGGAGACCGUGGGUUCGAGGGUGGCUCACUCCGCUGGUGUGGGCGAGCCGCCCCGACAAGGGGCUUGUCAGGGCUGCUGAGGCUGCCCCGGCAAGGGUCUUGCCGGGGAAACCUGCUUCGUCCAUCUGCUCUCUUUGGCGUUGUGCUGAUUGUUUUUGUGUUCGUGGCUCUGGGCGUUGCUUUAACCAUCUUGCAGCUUCGACUCCUCCCUUUUGCCCUGCUAAGUGUGGCUUUGGCCCGUGGGUCUGACUACCCGCGCACAAGUAAGGGGUACAAAGGAGUGCCCCUACUUUAGUACACCGACACCUGAUAAGGCUCCAGAACCAGCAUCUUCAUCAGAAGCGGGAUUGUUGGGUCUUCGGGCAGCGGAGCCGGACAGUUAAUCCACUUCGACAUCUCUGUCCAGGUCUGAAAAAAUUAAUAGGGAAGCUUAGAUGCCUUCCUCGAAUAUGCAAGUAAAGGGUAUACCUUGAAAACAGGAAAGAAUUUACCGGAUUAGCAGGGUGACUUAAGUCAUGCCCGCGAUCCUCGGUCGUGGGCGGCGGCGCCUCGUUCGCCUUGAAGAGCACCUUCUAGAUGUCUUCGUGCGUCAUGUCAAAGAGAUCCAAUAGGGUCUGGUGCUUGGUCGGAUCGAACUCCCAUAGAUGGCAAGUCCGGUGUUGGCACGGAAGGAUCCGGCGAACGAGCAUCACCUGGAUCACGUUGACGAGCUUGAUUCUCUUGUUUAUCAUGUUCUGGACGCGUGUCUGGAGCCCCGUCAGCUCGUUCGGGGAAGACCAGGUCAGGCCUUUCUCUUGCCAUGAGGUAAGCCGCAUCGAGACUCUGGAUCGGAAUGCGGGAGCUGCUACCCAGUUGGUGCCGCGCGGCUCUAUGAUGUAGAACCACCCCGACUACCACCCUUUGAUAGUCUCCACAAAGGAGCCUUCGGGUUAGGUGACAUUGGGCAUCUUGCCCACCAUGGCGCCUCUGCACUCUGCUUGCUGACCACUCACCAUCUUUGGCUUCACAUUGAAGGUCUUCAGCCAUAGUCCGAAGUGAAGUGGGAUGCGGAGGAAAGCCUCGCACACACAAUAAAUGUCGAGAUGUUGAGGAUGGAAUUGGGGGCCAGAUCGUGGAAGUCCAUCCCGUAGUAGAACAUGAGUCUAUGGACGAACGGGUGGAGAGGGAAUCCCGGCCCACGGACGAAGUGUGAGAUGAACACCACCUUCUCCUGGGGCUCCGGGUGGGGAUGAUUUGUCCCUUGGCCGGAAGCCGAUGGGCGAUUUCCUUGGCCAGGUACCCGGCCUCCCGGAGCUUCGUGAUGUCCUUCUCCUUGACACUGGAGGUCAUCCACUUGCCUCCUACUCCAAAUUUGGACAUGGUUGGAGUGCUUUUUUGGAUGGAAAAGGUGAGAGCUUGGGCGCUGGAGCUCGAGAAUGGAUUGGCAGAGGAAGGAGAAAGCAUGGGCAAAAAGGGGUGAACCCUUAUCCCUUUAUAAAGCCAGUGAAAAUUAUGCGCCUCCCCACUCGCCUAAAACUCAUCUAUUCCCCAAGGGUCGUGUGUAUGGCACGGUUGGGUUACCCAUGCCCGUAUUGAUGAGAAUCCUGCAAUAAGGGGACACGAUAUCUACUUUGACAAGACGUGCCAGUGAAGCCGCACCUCGGAAUACGGAGCGGCAGGCUAAAAAACGGUUCGAAUAAUGGCCGGGCGGUGACGUGAUGUCACACUAUAAAAAGUUGUCAGCGGAUUGGACUCAUCAAAAUAGAGUACUCUCACCAAUGGAAUCAGCUUCUUUGCCGUCCGCCAUGGCAGACGGCAAAGGCAUAGAUCCAGGACGGAAAACUUCUUUGCCAUCCGCCAGCAGACGGCAAAUUGUCCAUCUGAACAGGUGCCAGCAAAGGCCUACUUUGCCAUCCACUUCCAUGAAAUGGACGGUAAAGGAUUGUGCCGUCCGCCAUCUGAGGCCAGCAGACGGCAAAGACAAUGGGCGGCAGUGGGGUGGCGUCAGAGCCAUUAGGGGGUUAACGACGCUCUUUGUCGUCCGCCAGCACACGACACAGAGCCGAAGCUCUUUGCCGUCAGCUUACGGAUGGCAAAGAGCUCAGUUAGGCCAGCACUGGGAAGCUGCCACGUGGCCAGCUAUGCCGCCUGCCAGCAGGCGGCAAAGAUUCAAAGGUCUUUGUCGUCCGCCAGCGGACGGCAAACUGUCCAAAUAGGCAGCCAGUGCUCCUAGUUUCUACAGGUAGUUGCCACGUGUCCUCUUUGUUGUCUUCUAGCGGACGGCAAAGCUCUUUGCCAUCCGCUAGAAGACGGCAAAGAGGCUAUAUAUCCCCUAUUUUUAGUUAUAUCCAUUUAAUUUCACUGGAUUUCACACACAGAUAUACAUAUUUUUUUCACACGCACAGCAGACAUAUGAUGUAUCCAACACAUAGCUCCACCCAUGACAACAUACAUAAAUAAGAAACACAGUUUCAUCCAUACAUCUUACACUAAUAUCACAAUGUUCAUCCAAGACAUUGUUCCAUGCAUCCAUAUAACAAGUUCCACAUUAUUCUUCGAUACAAACGAAAAGAAGAACAGAGAAACAAGCACUCCAUCCAUGCAAGCUUCCAUAUAUUGAAUUAAAUAUACAAAAUGGGAAACAAGAAAGUUAAAAGAAGAAGAAGAAGAAGAAAACUAGAAUAAGAAUAAGAAGAAGAGAAGGAGAAGGAGACUAGAAGUAGAAGAAGAAGUAGUAGAACUUCUUCUUCUUCUUUUCUUCCUAUUCCUUCUUUUCUUCCUCUUCCUUGAUUUUCUUCAUCUUAUUAUGUCAUUUGUGGACUAAAUAGGCUAAAUUAUGUCAUAAAUGGACUAAAUAGGCUAAAUAAUAAGAAAAAUGCCAUUUUUGAGCUAACGUAGCAAAUUAUGCCAUUUUUUACCUAACUAAGCUUAUUGUGUCAUUUUAGAGGACAACAAGCUAAGUAUAUGACAUUUAUGAGGUUAGCAAUGUUAUGAUGCCAUCUUCUUCUUCUCCUUCUUCUUCUUCUUCUUCUUCUUCUUUUCUUCUUUUCUUCCUCUUCCUUGAUUUUCUUCAUCUUAUUAUGUCAUUUGUGGACAAAAUAGGCUAAAUUAUGUCAUAACUGGACUAAAUAGGGUAAAUAAGAAGAAAAAUGCCAUUUUUGAGCUAACAUAGUAAAUUAUGCCAUUUUUGACCUAACUNNNNNNNNNNNNNNNNNNNNNNNNNNNNNNNNNNNNNNNNNNNNNNNNNNNNNNNNNNNNNNNNNNNNNNNNNNNNNNNNNNNNNNNNNNNNNNNNNNNNNNNNNNNNNNNNNNNNNNNNNNNNNNNNNNNNNNNNNNNNNNNNNNNNNNNNNNNNNNUUCUUCUUCUUCUUCUUCUUUUCGUCUUUUCUUCCUCUUCCUUGAUUUUCUUCAUCUUAUUAUGUCAUUUGUGGACAAAAUAGGCUAAAUUAUGUCAUAACUGGACUAAAUAGGGUAAAUAAGAAGAAAAAUGCCAUUUUUGAGCUAACUUAGUAAAUUAUGCCAUUUUUGACCUAACUAAGCUUAUUGUGUCAUUUUAGAGGACAACAAGCUAAGUAUAUGACAUUUAUGAGGUUAGCAAGGUUAUGAUGCCAUUUACGAAUAAAAACAAGUAAGAGGAGGAAAAGAAGAAGAAGAAGAAGAAGAAGAAGAAGAAGAAGAAGAACUUUUUCUUCUUCUUCUUUUCUUCCUAUUCCUUCUUUCCUUCCUCUUCCUUGAUUUUCUUCAUCUUAUUAUGUCAUUUGUGGACUAAAUAAGAAGAAAAAUAUCGUUAUCACGGAGGUGUAGGAAUGGUCGGGCAUGCGCCAGUGGCAGACGGAGGUGAAGAACCGAUCGGGGUUUCGGCAUUGGCAGACGCGGAAGGAUUGGUCAAUGCUUGUCGGGAGCCAUGCUGAACCAAAGAUCAUUUCCAAUAAUGUCUUGUUAGCAUGAUGCAAACUGAAAAGUGAAUAGUAGUAACUAAGGACCAUUCAAAUCAAACUCACCGUGGUCGCCGGAGCAAUCUGGGGCAUCGGCGGAGGGGCCUGACCGUUUUUCUCGCACAUGGUCUGCACAUUUGGUUCUCAUGAGUCAGUCAUAUUAGUUAGUAAUGUGAACAUUACGUGCAUGAUUGGGCUAAUAUGCACGAGAAAUGUACCACGAUGAGCUCGUAUAGGGCCCGGUGAGAUGCCUCAUUCCGGUUCCUCUCCUCCUCCAAUAGCUUAGCUGUCCUCUCAUCCCUCUCCCUCUCCCUCUCUCCGCCUCCCUUUUUACCUCCUCCAAAAGCGCCUGGGUCUUCAAUCUCUCAUUCUCAACCACUGCAUGCAACACAGCACUCCUCAUUGGCAUUGUAAUCAUCGACGGACACACACAUAAUGUAAUGGAGGAAAGGUCAGAGAGUCCUUAUAACUAACCGCCACGGUGAGCUCCGCGGGCCGUGCACGAGGCGUUAUCUCAGGAUCAGAGCUACUCAGGCGCUUCUUGAUCUGCGGGAGAGUCUUAGGACAACGUAUCAGUCCAUCACCAAUGGCUUGAGAGCCAUGGGACCUCCCGCCACCAGAUAUCAUCACCAGCUCUGUAUCAAAAGGAUCCUGGCUCGGGUUAAAGUCCUCCCCUUUCCUCGUCUUCCCCUUGUCUCUGUACUUCACAAGCUUGUGAUGGGAGGAGAUGUUGGUGAAGCUCUCUGGAUGAUCUAGGUCAGACUCCGUGAAUGGCUUGGCCUUCUUGUACGGGGCCAUAUGGGCCAUGCCAUAGAGGCCGAACAGACUUGGCACAGGCUUCUUGUGGUACUACACGUGAGAGAGAGGAACAAUAUUAGUUAAGGGCUCAAGCUAGCAUGAAGAAUGAUAUUGAUAUGUAAAUAGGUCAUUUUGGAGCUAAGAAAUGUUUUAUGUCAUUUUCGAGGAAAAUAAGCUAAGUUUAGGUCAUUUUUGAGGUAACCAAGAUUAGUAUGCCAUUUUUGACCAAAGUAUGCUAAUUAUGUCAUUAUUGAGCUAUCCAAGGUAGUUAUGCUAUUUUUUAGCUAACUAUAACAUAUUUAGGCAUUCUAUAGAGCUAUCUAAGGUUAUUAUGUCAUUUUAGAGCUAAUUAUGUCAUGAAUGAACUAGCUAAGAUUAGUUUAGGUCGUUAUUGAGCUAUCGAAGGUAGUUAUGCCAUUUUUAACUAACUAAAGCAUAGUAAGUCAUUUUAUAGAGCUAUCUAAAGGUUAUUAUGUCAUUUUAGAGCUAAAUAUGUCAUAAAUGAACUAUCCAAGGUAGUUAUGCCUUUUUUUAACUAACUAAGCAUAUUAAGUCAUUUUGGAAAGGAUAAAUGCUACCAUGAAGAAUGAAAUUGCAUGAAUCAUGUAGCAAACCACAUACCCAGUUAUCCCCGUACUCAAACAGGUUGGAGCUACCUUGAUGGUGUGGCACACCUUCCAUUUGGUCGCGCUUAUCCUUGGCCCUUUGGUGUUCGACUAGCCAUUGGGGAGAGCACCACGCAUCCACCAACGCCUCCCAAUAGUCCACCAUCCUGUCAACACCUGCAAUGACAAAAAGUAAAUGAAAUUAGUACAACAUAAAAAAAUUGGAUACCUCACAUGAACAUAAUAAUAUGUAUAUAAUUUAAGUGUAUCAUCAUCAUGAACAUAAUAAAAAUACACCCGAUCAAAACAAAUAUAUAUGAUGUUUUUGUAUCAACAUCAUGUCCGGGGUCAAUCGGGGUGUCAGGGUGUCGGGGUGUCGGNNNNNNNNNNNNNNNNNNNNNNNNNNNNNNNNNNNNNNNNNNNNNNNNNNNNNNNNNNNNNNNNNNNNNNNNNNNNNNNNNNNNNNNNNNNNNNNNNNNNNNNNNNNNNNNNNNNNNNNNNNNNNNNNNNNNNNNNNNNNNNNNNNNNNNNNNNNNNNNNNNNNNNNNNNNNNNNNNNNNNNNNNNNNNNNNNNNNNNNNNNNNNNNNNNNNNNNNNNNNNNNNNNNNNNNNNNNNNNNNNNNNNNNNNNNNNNNNNNNNNNNNNNNNNNNNNNNNNNNNNNNNNNNNNNNNNNNNNNNNNNNNNNNNNNNNNNNNNNNNNNNNNNNNNNNNNNNNNNNNNNNNNNNNNNNNNNNNNNNNNNNNNNNNNNNNNNNNNNNNNNNNNNNNNNNNNNNNNNNNNNNNNNNNNNNNNNNNNNNNNNNNNNNNNNNNNNNNNNNNNNNNNNNNNNNNNNNNNNNNNNNNNNNNNNNNNNNNNNNNNNNNNNNNNNNNNNNNNNNNNNNNNNNNNNNNNNNNNNNNNNNNNNNNNNNNNNNNNNNNNNNNNNNNNNNNNNNNNNNNNNNNNNNNNNNNNNNNNNNNNNNNNNNNNNNNNNNNNNNNNNNNNNNNNNNNNNNNNNNNNNNNNNNNNNNNNNNNNUUCUUCUCCUCCUCUCCUCUAGCUUUCUUCUCCUCCUCCUCCUCCUCUCCUCCUCCUCCUCUUCCUUCUUCUUCUUCUUCUUCUUCUUCUUCUUUCUUCUCCUCCUCCUCGUCGUCUUCUUCUUCUUCUCCUCCUUUUUCCUCUUUUUAAACCUAGCACUAAUUAACCUAAAACAAAACAAGAAAAAACUACACCUAAACCUAGCUAUUCUUCUUCUCCUCCUCUUCUUCUAAUUAUUCUUAGUUUUUUUCAUGACUAAACAUAAACCUAAAACUAAACUAAACCUAAGACCAAACUAAAAGUCAUCUAAACUAAACUAAAUAUAAAACCAAACUAAAAGUAAUCUAAACUAAACUAAAUCUAAAACAAAACUAAAAGUAAUCUAAACUAAAAAAGGAAAAAAUAGAAACAAAGAAGAGGAAAAGAGGGGUGCGGUCGGGGCUCACCUGCAGUAGGGGUGGGAGUCCUGCGGCAGGCCGGCAGGGCCCGGGGGCACCGGACGACGGGGUUGCUCGCCGGUGGAGGGAUGCUGGCCGGGAGGAGGGGGCACCGGGUGGUGGUGGCGGCGGGUCCGCAGCUCCGGGGCGGCAGGGUGGCGCUGGCCGGGCGGAGGGGGCACCGGGCGGUGGUGGCGAUGGGGCCGCAGGGCUCCGAGGCGGUGGGGUGGUGCUGCGGUGGGGUGGGGCAGCGGCAGCGUCCGAGCGGCGGCAAGGUGUAAGUGCAUCUAGUGCCCCUUAGUGAUUUUGGUGUAUUGAAGACUUAUAGGUUAAGGGACUAAUAUGUUUGUGAGUAUACACAGGCUCUAUAAGUCAAUGAGGAGUUUGAUAUUUACAGUGAAAGUCGACCCCUAAAAAUGAAUGUCUACGGCUGAAGACAUUGGUUCUCCUGAAAACUUUAAAAGUGAAGAAAUUGGUGUGACCAUGAAGACUCGAUAUUCAUGCGAGAAAUCUGAAGCGUGAAGACAUUUGUUUUCAUAGUUUCAUUUUCUCUUUCUUGAGUCAUAGGAAACACCGUACUGUUAAAGGGGGUCGAGGUAAUACUAAGGAAACAGAUUUCCAAGUGAUGCUCAUCUCAAAAUCCUACACCUACCCAAUCCUUCGAGUGAAGCCAUUGGAAAUCUCAUAUUAGUUCAGUCAAUUUCUUCAGUGACAGAGACAAAGAUCUUCUGGUCUCCGAGGAAUUUGCUAUGAUUGAGGAGUUAGGAAUUCGCUAGUGUGGGUUGCCUACACAGUGAGGAACAUGAUAGCCCUGAGGAAUUCGAACCUCAAAAUAUCUAACCAUUGCUGAGCCGCGCGGCGGCUGUUCCAAAAUAUCCUACCACCUAACGGUCAUAUCUGCCAAGGGCAUUUAUGUCUUAUCAUGUUGGGCUACUCCCUGGGCUAUAAAUAGCCGCCCCCUACAACCACUAGCUGGUUGGCUACUCCGAGAGAAACUGACACUUGUCAUUCGAGAGCAUCCCAUCCUCCUAGGACUUUGAGCAAAAAUCAUCGAGUGAGGAAAACCCUAAUCCCAAACCCAAACCUACAAACCCCAAAGUGAUUGAGCAUCACUGAAGAGAUUGUUCCUGUGUGGAACCGACGCUUGUUACCUUUGAGGACUAUGUAUCCUCCAUACGGUUAGGCUUCAUGGUCUGAGCAUCCAAGAGGAAUUGUGGAUUGUCGAGUGACCUAGUCUGUGAAGGUUUGGAAGUCACCUGUGAAGACUUACCACUACUGUUGGGAGAGGUCUAUGUGAUCUUAGCUCAAGGAGAAUACGGUGAGGACUGUGUGUCCGGGACUGUGUGUCCUCGAGUUUAAAUACUCAGUAGCUCCAACCAGACGUACAACUGUCACAGCAGUUGGAAUUGUUCUACCAAAUCAUUGUCUUCACCAAGCCAACUGGUUCUAUUUCCUCAACCCUUUCAUUUCCUCAGUUAUGUGUUGAUGAACCUGAUCAUUACUGUUUGAAGACUUUGACUGAAGACUUUCUCUAAUUCCUCAAUCCUAAUUCUUCAGUCAGUUUUGUCUUCAUCCUGCUUAUCCUGUGUUUACGCUUUCUGUACUCAGUGCUUGUCUUUCAUUUCAUCAUGAUGACUAUGCUGUUACUCUGUUUUGCUUAUACCUGAGUACUUAUUCCGCUACAAGUAGUUCUUCGCUUAGGAAUUUCCUCACCUUGAAAUUCCUCAAUGAAGAUUUCUUAAAAAUCGCCUAUUCACCCCUCCCUCUAGUCGACGUAAUGCACUUUCAAUUGGUAUCAGAGCAAGGUACUCCCUUGUUCUGUGUGAUUUUGGUUUAACCGCCUGGAGUUUUAGUUAUGUCGACUGCAGGUAUGAUCAAGGUCUUGGCUAGGUGUCCUACCUUUGACGGUACGGACUACCCCUACUGGAAGAACAAGAUGCAUAUGCAUCUUGAGGUAAUUGAUAACCAUCUCUGGUACGUUGUUGAAAAUGGUGUUCCCUCAGUCACUCCGUCUAUGAAUGCUACCGAUGUGAAGAGAUUCAAGCAACUCGAUUCCCGUGCAGAGAAUAUCAUAUGUGGCCAUCUGAGCAAAGGUCAGUUUGGCAGAGUGAGUGCAUUGGAAACUGCUAAGUUGAUUACAGGUUGUCCAAGGUCAACGAAGGAGUCUCAACUCAACGUGACUCCCGAGUUGAUGUUCUUCGCAAUCUCUUCAACCGCUUCAAAAGACUCGACAACCAAAAUGUUCAGCAAACCUUCGAUCGCCUCACUGACAUCUCAAAUGAGCUUCAAGCACUUGGUGCCACUGAUAUCACCGAUCAUGAGGUGGUGAAGAAAUUGCUGAGAUCACUUGACACCUCGUUUGAUACCCUCACAAUGAUGAUUCAAGAACGAGCUGAUUACAAGUCACUUGAUCCCGCUGAUAUCCUCGAGAGGCUAAAUACACGUGAGUUCUAGCUUGCUGAAAAGAGAGAUCUCUAUGGAUCAAGCUAUGGAAGAUCACGUGCACUGAGGGCCAAGGAAGUAUCUGAGUCUGAAGCUGAGGAUUCUGGUAGUAGCCUUGGUGAUCCUGAAGAACUGAGCCAGGAGCUAGCAAUGCUCGUGAGGAAAUUCCAGAAGUUCUCUCGCCGUGGAUGUUUUGGAAAGUCUUCAAGAAAUGAUGAUUCCUCAUCCCGUGACUACAAGAAGAGAACUUGCCACAAAUGCAAGAAACCUGGUCACUACAUGUCUGAUUGUCCUCUGUGGGAAAACGAAUCAAAGAAGAAGAAGUACAAAGAUGAUGACACUGACGAUUCAAAGAAGAAGAAGAAAUCAUCAAAGUCUUCAUCAUCAAAAUCCUCAAAGUCUUCAUCUCACAAGAAGAGCAGCUCCAAGAAGGCCCGGGCAUUCAUUGGCCAGGAAAUGGACUCUGAAGCGGAAUCUGAGGAUAAUGUGGAAGAGGAGGAAUCUGAGGAAUCUGACUCUGGUGUGGCUAGCCUAGCCCCCGCUACUACGUAUGUCAGCAAGUCCAUCUUCAACAAUGAAGAAAAUGACUUCUCCGACUCUGCUGACAAGGGCAACGAUGACUAUGCUCCCACCUAUUGCUUUAUGGCAAAAGGUGCCAACGUACUCAAGCAUUCCCCCUCUGACUCUAGUGAGGAUGAAUCUGAUGACAAUCUUAAGCCUAGCUAUUCAAAACUUGCUAAAAUUGCUGUUAAACAACAGAAGGCUUUAGAAAAGAUUCAAAAUCAACUAGACAGAAGCGAUGACCUGUUGGGUGAGGAAUUUAAUCAAACUAAGACUCUGACAGAUAAUCUUCAGAGACUUCAAACUCGGCUUGACAACCUUCAAAAUCAUCAUAACACUCUCUUAACUGAUCAUGAGACGCUUUCUUAUGAAUUUCUUCAGAGAAAGCAAGAUCUUGAGACAUUAAAAGUGACUUAUGAAGAUAUUUAGAAGGAAAAUGAUUCAUUGCUUGCUCAACAGAUCAGUUCCGCUCAGGAAGAAUUUGUUCCACCAUGUCUUAAAUGCAUUGAGCGUGAGUCUGCUAAUUCAUCACCUGAAUGUUCAAAUGCUUCUAUUGCUGCAAAUUCUUCAAUUGUCUCUGCGGUUACAAAUUCCUCAUCUGAGGAUACCACAUGUAUCACUGACGAUAAUGCAGGGCUGAAGGAAUUGUAUGUGACAGGCAUUUACAAAAGGCAUCAGACUCUUUGUGAUGUGCUCAAAAAGCAUAUCUUGAACAGGAACCCUAGGAAAGAGGGUAUUGCCUUUGAGAGGAAACGCAAUGCUGAUGGAACCUACUGGAGCCCUGAGCAGUACCCCAAAACCUCAGGGUUGCUGCGAAAGGACCUCCUGUAGAUCCAUGCAAUUUAUCUGGCUUUACCUCUGAUUCUUCGUAUUCCUCUGAUGAGUCAUUUGAAUCCAUAUAUAAACUGUUCAAAAAUCAGAACGGUGAAGUAUUUGCUCGAUAUGUUAGAACUAAUUGCAGGAACGGUCCUCCUAUGAAGAAAAUCUGGGUUCCUAAAAGUUGCCUUGAAAAUCUUCAGGUGAAUGUCAUCAUGACACCACCCAUGAAGAAUAGGAACCCCAAAUCAAAUUCUUCAUAUGGACCAAACUCUUCAUAUGGAUCCAAGUCCUCAUAUGGACCAAAUUCUUCACGAGGAUCAAAUUGCUCACAUGGAUCAAAAUCCUCAUAUGAUUAUCAUCGUGCUAACACUUCUGUUUCGUAGGGAAAGUCUAAGGGCCAUGAAUAUGUGCAUUAUUCUUCAAAUCAUUAUGUUCAUAAGUCCUCGGAGAAUUUCUAUGCUUAUUCAUAUGCUUAUCCUAACCACUCUUCUAUGAAACGAAGUGCACUGGCUUCUAUGCCAUCAUUUUCUUAUGGAGAUCACAGAAUGAUGAACUUUUUGCCACCCCUCCAGAUGUGGGUGGUGAAGAAAAGGAACUAACCUCUUAUGCAGGGUCAGGUCUCCAGACGAACUUGAUCGCCUGAAGAAUUUGUUGGAGACCUGAAUGUGCUUGAAAGGACACAAGCUAAACAUGAAGAAAUGAAUCAUUCAUUUCUCACGUCCUCAUAUUGCUGAUGAACAACCCAAAGCUACUGAGUGGGUCCUUGAUAGUGGAUGUACAAAUCACAUGACUGGUGACAGGAGCUUGUUGAUGGACACUGAUUUGUCACCAUCUCAUAUGAAGCAUAUCACCUAUGCUGACAAAGGCAAAAGCAAGGUAUUGGGUCUAGGUAAGGUUGCAAUCUCAAAGGAUAAACACAUGGACAAAGUCAUGCUUGUUGAGUCCUUAGGAUUCAAUCUUAUGUCAGUCUCAAUGCUUUGUGAUCUAUGGUUGUUGUCUUUGGCAAAUUUCUUUGCCUUGUGCUAAUGGAAUCUGACAACUCCAAAGUCUUCGAAGGCUUUAGGAAAGGAGACUUGUAUAUUGUUGAUUUCUCUGCAGUACCACAGCCUGCCACAUGUCUACUCACAAAAGCUUCAGAAUGCUGGUUAUGGCAUCGACGACUUGGUCAUGUUGGGAUGAGGAACUUGCAUACACUCGCAAAGAAUAAGCACUUCAUUGGCAUCGAGGGUGUCAAAUCCUCAAAGAUCAUCUUUGUGGGGCUUGUGAGGCUGGAAAGAUCACUAGAGCCAAGCAUCCCGCGAAGACUAUCAUGACUACUUCUCGUCCCUUUGAAUUGCUUCAUAUGGAUCUAUUUGGCCCUACUCAUUAUGCCACGUUCACCAGUUCUGCAUCAUUAUACGGCUUUGUCAUAGUUGAUGACUAUUCUCAUUACACAUGGGUGCAUAUCAUCACUUACAAAAAUGAAGUGCAGGAAGUCUUCAGACGAUUUUCCUCAAGGGCUUCCACAAACUUUGGUGUGAAGAUCAAGCAUAUCAGGAGUGAUAAUGGAACCGAGUUCAAGAACACUGGCCUCGAUGAAUAUCUCGAUAUGCUUGGUAUUACUCAUGAAUUGUCUACUCCUUAUACUCCUCAGCAGAAUGGCGUCAUGGAGCGCAAGAACAGGACUCUUGUUGAGAUGGCUCACACUAUGCUUGAUGAAUACAAGACAGCUGGGCGCUUCUAGCCUGAAGCAAUUGAUACUGCGUGCCACAUCAUCAAUAGGGUAUAUCUUCACAAAUUCUUCAAAAAGACCUCAUAUGAACUCCUCACUGAAAAUAAACCCAAUGUAAGUUAUUUCAAAGUCUUCGGUGCUAAAUGCUGGAUUAGAGAUCCUCACCAUCACUCUAAAUUUGCACCGAAAGCACAUGAGCGUUUUAUGCUUGGUUACGGAAAGGACUCGCACACCUACAGAGUCUUCAACAUCCAUCAUCACAAGGUUGUUGAAACUGUAGAUGUGCGGUUUGAUGAAACUAAUGGCUCGCAAAGAGAGCACCUACCUCCUGUGCUAGAUGAAAUGUCACUUGAGGAAUCCAUCAAGUUCAAAGCUACUGAGGAUGUCAUCCCUACUGAAGAAAUUGCUGAAGAAGUCAUUCCUGAUCUUGAAGAAAAUCAUCCUGGUGCUGAUGAAGAAACUGGUCCUGAAGAAACUACUGGGCCUAAGCAAAGUCAUCAACCUGCACAUCCUCGCAUUGCAAAUGAACUGCAAGUCCAGAAGAUCGUUAAUGACAUUCGUGCACCAGGUCCCCUCACGCGCUCAAAAGCUUCACAUUUAUCUAACUUUUGUGGGCAUUUUGCAUUUGUCUCUAUCACAGAGCCCACCAAAGUAGAUGAAGCAUUCAUGGAACCCGAGUGGAUUCAAGCCAUGCAAGAUGAAUUGCAUCAAUUCGAGCUCAACAAUGUGUGGGAGCUUGUCAAGCGACCAGACCCUCGCAAGCACAACAUCAUUGGUACCAAAUGGAUCUACCGCAACAAACAAGACGAAAAUGGCCUUGUGGUGAGGAAUAAGGCUCGUCUUGUAGCUCAAGGCUACACACAGGUUGAAGGAAUUGUUUUCGAUGAAACUUUUGCACCUGUUGCUAGACUUGAGGCUAUUCGCAUAUUGCUUGCUUAUGCUAACCAUCAUAAUAUCAUCUUACAACAAAUGGAUGUGAAAAGUGCAUUCCUCAAUGGUAAGCUUGAGGAAGAAGUAUAUGUUUCUCAACCACCAGGUUUUGAGGAUCCAAAAUUUCCAGAUCACGUCUACAGACUCAACAAGGCCCUCUAUGGCCUCAAGCAAGCACCUCGGGCGUGGUAUGACACACUGAAGGAAUUCCUCAUGAAGAAAGGCUUCAAAACCGGUUCACUUGACCCUGAAUCUUUUCACCAAAUCAUAUGAUGAUGAAUUAUUCGUGUGCCAAAUAUAUGUUGAUGAUAUUAUCUUUGGUUGUACUAACCAACGUUACAGUGAUGAAUUUGCCUAUAUGAAGAGUGAAUAAUAUCAAAUGUCUAUGAUGGGAGAAUUGAAAUUCUUCUUAGGUCUUCAGAUUCGUCAACAAUACAAUGGCAUAUUCAUAUCUCAGGAGAAAUACCUCAAGGAUGUGUUCAGGAAAUUCGGUAUGCAAGAUUGCAAGGACGUCAAAAUUCCCAUGCCCACAAAUGGCCAUCUAUGCACUGAUGAAAAUGGUAAAGACUUCUAUCAAAGGGUAUACCGUUCCAUGAUUGGCUCUUUAUUGUACCUAUGUGCAUCUAGGCCGGAUAUUAUGCUUAGUGUUUGCAUGUGUGCCCGAUUUCAAGCUACACUGAAGGAAUCACAGCGGCUGUGAAGCAUAUUCUUCGAUAUCUAGCUCACACACCAACACUUGGAUUAUGGUAUCCCAAGGGCUCUUCCUUUGAUCUCAUUGGAUAUUCAGACUCUGACUAUGCUGGCGAUCGGGUGGACCGCAAGUCAACGUCAGGCACAUGUCAUUUCCUCAGACGAUCCUUGGUAUGUUGGUCCUCGAAGAAGCAGAACUGCGUAUCACUCUCCACUGCAAAAGCUGAGUACAUUGCUGCUAGAUCUUGCUGUGCUCAAUUACUAGGGAUGAAGCAAACACUCAAGGACUAUGGCAUCAACAUUAAAAAUGUGCCUCUCUACUGCAACAAUGAGAGCACUAUCAAGAUUGCUCACAACCCAGUUCAGCACUCGAAGACAAAGCAUAUCCAGAUUCGUCAUCAUUUUCUUCGUGAUCAUGUGUUGAAGGGCGACAUCUCCAUCGACCACGCAAGUACUAAAGACCAGCUGGCCGAUAUCUUCACAAAGCCCUUGGAUGAGAAGAGAUUUAGCAAGUUGCGGUGUGAGCUAAAUAUCCUAGAAUCUUCAAAUGUUCUUUGAAAAGGACACACAUCCUAACACUUAUGCUGACUUGAUGACUUAGAUGUGCAACACACGAAGUAACGUUUUUCUUCAAUCAAUGAAGACUAACCCUCUAAGUGUGAAGAAAUUGAUUCUUAGAACCCUACGAGAAUUGUACGCGGUGUCUGAAAUCAGCUUUCUUAUACGGUGGGUUACGCCACCAACCAAAGUUUAAAAUCUUCAAUUUGAGUUUUUUUUUCAUUUUUGAAAUUCCUCAGUUUUUCAAAUUCUUCAACUUUGCAUUAUCUUCACUCUUUCGGUUGUUGUUCUUUAUUUAACUAUAUAUAUAUAUAUAUAUAUGUGUGUGUGUGUGUGUGUGUGUGUGUGUGAGUGAGUUUAUGUCCUCUACAGUAUUCACUUAUUGCUAAUUCUUCAAGUUGAUUUUUUUUUGCUAAGUGAAUGUGAUCGGGCCCUUCCCCCUCUAUGCUAAACUCAACCCAGUCCAUUCACAAAUUCUUCAUGUGCGUUCUAUUUGAAACUCGUUCAAAUUCUUCACUGUGUCCUUGUCAACUGAAGAAAUUGCAAACGAUACUUUAAAAUAUUCUUAUAUAAAAUUUUCGGCCUUAGCCGCUCAAACCGUUACGCAUUCCACGGUAUAAUUAUCUAUUCAUCCAUGAUCUCACACGAUCUCCACUUCUCAGUACGUGGGCGACACAUGUCGCGCGAAUGAGAAGGGUCAGGGGCACGUUCAUCCAAAUUCUCUGGGCGAACAGUUAUUCAUCUCCGCUAUAAAUACCCCCUCCCCUUCCUCAUUUCACUUUUACUCCGCUCGAACUCACUCCCUCACUCGAGCUUCUCAAAACCUAGCGCCGCCGCUAACUCCAUCGUCGCCGGUGAGGAAGAGCUUCACUGCCUCGACCUCGUCGUCGUCGUACUCGCGCCGGCCGCGGAAAUCUUCCCUCCGCCGCUGAUGUAGACGUCUUCCUCCGCCAAGUUAGGGCGUGGAAGAUCUGAGCCGACGAACUUCACAAUCUACACUUCUAGUUCGUCUUCUUCUUUGUCAAGGGUAAUUAAAAGUUACUUUUACCGCAUUUAUUCUACUAAUGAUUUUCAUCAAAUCUUCAAAAGGUGUUUAUUCUUCGAUCUCCACACUCUAAACACCUAGCACAAAUCUUCAGUUCUUGAUCUGUUUCUCUAAGUGACGUUUUUCUUCAUGAUUCCUCAAUUGUGUGAAUCUCAUGAUCCGCACGACUCUGGAACCUAAGACAAAGAAUGCUUAGUGAAAUUCUUCAAGACACAUCGAGUCAAUAUCCUCAAACUGCAUCAAAUUUUACAAAACCUUCUGAGAAUGCAUAUGACCUCUCCAAAUUCUUUGCACCUAUACUCUAUUCACAGAUACUCAUGUCAGCUGCUGAAUCACUAGGUUCUCAUCAACUUAACUCAUUUGCAGCAUUCCUCGAAGAAAAGCUGCAUACUUCUUCAGAGAACUCAAUUGUGCAAAUUCCUCAGAUGAAGAACAUGGCUGACGGUAAACUUCCUCAGAAAGGAGGAAAGAAGCUUGAAGUAAAUACUGCCGUUGAGAUCCCUGCGGACAUCCAUGCAGGGUACUACACGCCUAAUGAGGCAAAAUAUGGCAAGGAAACGAAGAAUGAGUGCAAAGUGCGCAUUCAGAGGAUCGAAAGGAGAUGGGCAAGAGAGUGGAGGGAGUAUAGAUAUGUUACUCCCAAAUACAUGAAGAAAUUUGCUCUCAAUCCUCCGUGCUCAAGACCUCCUCUGGCACCUGGCCGGUUAGAUGAUCCAACAAGCCUUAAACGUGGUGAGGAUUAUGCUGAUGAAUGGGCCAGGCGGCAGGCAAAGUUGGCCAAGCAGGCCAAAGAAGCAGUGAAGAAAUUCAAUGAAGAUUCUGCUGUUGCCGCUGCCACUGCUGAAGCUUCUUCAAGUAAGAAGGCCAUGCCUAAGAAGCCAGCAAAGAAACCACCAAGUACUUCUACAAUGCCCUCACGCCCAAUUUCCUCAGUGCCACCGAGGCAAAUUCCUCAAGCUGCCCCAGUUCCUCAAGCUGCACCAAUUUCUCGGGCUUCAAAACCCUCAACUCCUCCGGCAAAGUCCUCAACACCCGUGCAUCUCGCCACGUGCCAAAGGACCACUGGCAUAUCUAUUGCCUCAGGAGCUUCAGCGAGUCCUUCUUCUCAUCCUUCAACUACCGAUCCCACUCUGCUGAAGAGCAAGGCCACUGCUGGACAAGGCACUAGAUCAAGUCCUCGCAAGAAGCAGGUGGUCUUUCAAAUUACAUCUGAUGAUGAUGAGGCUGAUGAUGAUGAAAUUGACAAUAUCAUCAAGGACAGACUGCAGCGGGCCGCUAGAGCCAAAGGAAGUGGUGUGCCCCUACUUCUGGAUUCAAAGAAGAUCCUUGAUUUCAUCGACCUCUGGCACCAGGACCCCAAUGCUCCAAUGCCAGAUUUGGGCCUCACUCCUGGACAAAGUCACGUUGUGAUGGCGUUCAUCAUUGAAGAGAAGUGGAAGUAUGACCAAGCCAGGUCAUUGAAGAGAACCCAAUACAAGAAGCAGCGCUACUUAAAGGACAACGUCCUCAGUCUUUCGCCUGAGCAGCUCCUUGCACUACAAGCUAAAAUCAAGAAGCUCAGCAAAGAAUUUGAAGCCUACAGGGCUGACUAGAAGGGCGCCAAGGUCAGAUUCAUCAAGCUGACGAAGACAUUCACUUCAAGUCAUGCUGCUCAUGUGCGCAUUGAAGUCACUCCGGCUGAAACAUCUGCCCAAGCCACUGAAGGAAUUGCCAGCACCGCUGAUGAAUUUCAGGUUGCUGAUGAAACUGCAAGCACCAGGGCUGCUGAAGAAAUUCCAGCCUCUGAAGAAACUGUCAGGGCAACCACUAGUGUUGGCCUGAAGAAAUUGUCAGGCCAGCUGAAGACUCUAUCGCUGCGCCUGAAGAAACUGCUCAAGACAGGCCAACUGCAUCAGUUGUGCCUGAAGAAAUUGAUCCCACUGCCACUGCUCUGCCCGCACCAACAUCAAGUCUGAUUCUUCCUUCUGCUCUGGAAGUGAAGAAAACCAAAGCUGCGGAGCGUGCUGCUUUGAAGAAGAGGAAGGCAUCAGCUGCAUCAGAAUCUUCGGGCCCCAAGAAGGCAAAGAUUUUGACAAGUUCACUAGAGAAUCCCAUUGAUGUUGUUCCUCUCGCAAGCAUGCCAUCUAAGGAACUUGUUCCUCAUGGCAAAGAAUAUCAGAUUCCUGAAGAAUCUGCAGAAGAAGAUCCCUCUGUUGCUUCCACAAAGCAGAUGGAUGAAGAAAUUGAGGUUGAAGCUUUCACCUCAACUCCUCUGGUAUCAUCGCCAACGCCUUAGUUUACUGCUGAAGAAGCCGGCAUUGAAGAAAUGGAAGUGGAUGAGGAUGUGGACAUUGGCUGCACCACUCCCGUGAUGAAUGAUGAUUUUUGGGAGAGUCAGCACCCCAACUUACCUCUGUUCACACUGAUCCAACAAAUUCCUCAGUCCCCGGCUCCAACUAAAGUUCUCAUGGGUUCUGAAGAAAUUCAUGCCACCCCUUACAUUCUUGAAGAGAUUCCAGCCACUAGUGUUGAUGAACAUGUUGCUGAAGAAAUGGAGGUCCAGGCUACUACUGAAGCAAAAGCUGAAAUUCCUCAGCCUGCGGCUCCUGAAAUAGAAGUCCCAGAAGUUAUUCUUCAAAUCACCGAUACUCCUCAGCCACAGUCGAAGAAUCCAUUCUCCAAGACUCCGAAGUUCAAGGCUGAUGCCUUCUUCAACGAGCAUGUAUUCUUCACAGACUACAAUCCAUAUGAUUCAGCUCGUCUGAGGAGGAAGCGAUUCUGGACUACCAGCCAGGCAAACUUCUAUUCUUCAGUGCUAUUCAACAAAGACAAGGUCUUCGAUCAUGAGCAUAUUCCUCACUAGGAUAUGGAAUCACUGCCUUGCUUUAGGCCAGUCCUCGCUGCCAUUCAUGAUACUGGCCUGCUCAAUUUCUGCUCGGACAUAUGUGAUUGGAAUGAAGAACUCAUUCUUCAAUUCUACACGACGCUGCACAUGACACGAAAUGCUGAAGAUGUGAACUCUUGGGUGUUGGACUGGAUGACAGAAAACAAUCACUAUAAGGCCCCAGCAACUGAAUUGCUUCGUGCCAUGCCAGUCAGUCCUCCCCCAGAAGGUGCGCAUCUGAUAUAUUUUGAAACUGAGAUGUCCGAUCAUUUUAUGCAAGUGCUGAUGAAGCCACUAAAGCCUGGACAAGCAUCAAGGACCAAAUUCCUCGUGAAGGAAUUGCAGUAUGUGUCGAGGACAGUCUAUCGUAUUUUGGCGAAGACUUUGAGUCCAAUCAAGGGCCACGACUCAAAUGAUGAGGAAGUCGUUGGCAUCAUGAAGAACCUGUUGUUCAACAUCAUGCACGGUAUUCCCAUGAAUUAUCAUGAUUUCUUCAUGAGGACUCUAGCAAAUAUCGCUAUGUCCCUGUUUGAGCUAAAACCUUACGCUCCCUGGAUCAUGAGAUUCCUCAGAACAAGGUCUUCACUCAACUACAAAGCUGAUAUGCUCAACCAUGGCAGCUUCUUGCCCCCGAUUGAAGUCCUCAAACGGACAUUUUCCUCAGCUGAUGAGAAGGGCAAGGCCACUGCUGUCAUUGAUGAGGGCAUUCGUCCAUUGGAUGGAUAGUUCCACAAAGCUGCUUCAUACUCCACCAAUGAUGAUUCUGCCACUCAUGAUACUGCCGCAAAUGCUUCAAAGCAUAGUCCUCAAGCAACAGCUCCAAGGGUGAUGACUGAUCGUGAGCUUCUCCUCAGUCUUCAUCAGAAGGUGGAUUGCAAUCACAAAUGGGUGAAGCGCCAGUUUGCUUCAAUUCUUCACAGUAUGACUGCCACUUAUAAUUCGGUGAAGAAGAACCAUUACUACCUCAAUGAAAUGUUCGUCACACCUGGGCUAUAUUGUCUCACCUUUACGGUGAAGAGGAUCUCAAGCAGAUGGGCUUCAAGCAGGACUUCGGCUAGGCUAAGCAACCACCGAAGAAAUUCAAGAAGGUCAAAGUUCCUCCCUUGGUGCCCAGUUCAUAUUCCUCGUCCCGUGACACUGAUGAAAAUGAAGAUCUGGAGGACACUGUGGCAGGCCCUACUCCAACAACGCUGGCGCUCCUCCAUCGACUUCGUGAAGAAAUUUUUCAGGGGUGUUAGUCCUCACUUCUCGUCCCUUUUGGCCAUUUGAUGACAAAGGGGGAGAAAUUUGAGUUAGUCUUCAAGCGGGUCUAUAUAUAUGGGCGGUUUUUUUUAUUAAGUUGCAACUCUCGCUCUUCUGAAGCUUUUGUUGAUCGAGUCGUAAACUUAAGUCCGAUGGUGACCUGAUACUUUUGCUUUGUUUUUCUGCAUGCUAUUUCCUCAUUAAUCCUAUGCACGCAUGCUGAAUUACAUCAGCCACCAUAUUUCAUCAUGCAUUUCAAAUUCUUCAUUCUGUAUGUUAAAUGCGUGUAUGAAUUACAAGAUAUAGGGGGAGAUCUCCAUGAUUCUACUCUUCAAGUGUGCAUUACUUCAAAAGCAAAAUCCUCACUAUGCACAUCUUGAGGGGGAGUUCUUCUAUAUCUUGCAAUCAAAUUCCUCAAUUUUGAGCACUUUCAAUUCAUAUGUUUAUCCCCGUUGAAAACUUAACCUAUAUUGUCAUCAAUCACCAAAAAGGGGGAGAUUGAAAGUGCAUCUAGUGCCCCUUAGUGAUUUUGGUGUAUUGAAGACUUAUAGGUUAAGGGACUAAUAUGCUUGUGAGUAUACACAAGCUCUAUAAGUCAAUGAGGAGUUUGAUAUUUACAGUGAAAGACGACCCCUAAAAUGAAUGUCUUCGGCUGAAGACUUUGGUUCUCCUGAAGACUUUGAAAUUGAAGAAAUUGGUGUGACCAUGAAGACUCGAUAUUCAUGCAAGGAAUCUGAAGUGUGAAGACUUUUGUUUUCGUAGUCUCAUAUUCUCUUUCUUGAGUCAUAGGAAACACCGUACUGUUAAAGGGGGUCGAGGUAAUACUAAGGAAAUAGAUUUCCAAGUGAUGCUCAUCUCAAAAUCCUACACCUACCCAAUCCUCCGAGUGAAGCCAUUGGAAAUAUCAUAUCAGUUGAGUCAAUUUCUUCAGUGACAGAGACGAAGAUCUUCUGGUCUUUGAGGAAUUUGUUCUGACUGAGGAGUUAGGAAUUCUCCAGUGCGGAUUGCCUACACAGUGAGGAACAUGAUAGCCCUGAGGAAUUCUAACCUCAAAAUAUCCGACCAUUGCUGAGCCGCGCGCCAGCUGUUCCAAAAUAUCCUACCACCUAACGGUCAUAUCUGCCAAGGGCAUUUAUGUCUUAUCAUGUUGGGCUGCUCCCUUGGCUAUAAAUAGCCGCCCCCUACAACCACUAGCUGGUUGGCUGCUCUGAGAGAAACUGACACUUGUCAUUUGAUAGCAUCCCAUCCUCCGAGAACUUUGAGCGAAAAUCAUCGAUUGAGGAAAACCCUAAUCCCAAACCCAAACCUACAAACCCCAAAGUGAUUGAGCAUCACUAAAGAGAUUGUUCCUGUGUGGAACCGACGCUUGUUACCUUUGAGCACUGUGUAUCCUCCAAACGGUUAGGAGUCAUGGUCUGAGCAUCCAAGAGGAAUUGUGGAUUGCCGAGUGACCUAGUCUGUGAAGGUUUGGAAGUCACAUGUGAAGACUUACCACUACCGAUGGGUGAGGUAUGUGUGCUCUUAGCUCAAGGAGAAUACGGUGAGGACUGUGUGUCCUCGAGUUUAAAUACUCAGCCACUCCAACUAGACGUACAACUGUCACAACAGUUGGAGCUGGUCUACCAAAUCAUUGUCUUCACCAAGCCAACUGGUUCUAUUUCCUCAACCCUUUCAUUUCCUCAGUUAUGUGUUGAUGAACCUGAUCAUCACUGUUUGAAGACUUUGACUGAAGACUUUCUCUAAUUCCUCAAUCCUAAUUCUUCAGUCAAUUUUGUCUUCAUCCUGCUUAUCAUGUGUUUACACUUUCUGUACUCAGUGCUUGUCUUUCAUUUCAUCAUGAUGACUAUGAUGUUAAUCGGUUUUGCUUAUACCUGAGUACUUAUUCCGCUGCAAGUAGUUCUUCACUUAGGAAUUUCCUCACCUUGAAAUUCCUCAGUGAAGAUUUCUUAAAAAUCGCCUAUUCACCCCCCCCCCCCUCUAGUCGACGUAACGCACUUUCAUGGGGCGGCGAUGGCCGGGUGGAGGGGGCGCCGGGCGGUGGUGGCAACGGGGCCGCAGGGCUCCGGGGCAGCGGGGUGGUGCUGCGGUGCGGUGGGGCGGCGGCAGCAUCCGGGCAGCGACGGUGCUCGACGGCGGCGGUGCGGGCGCGGGUGAGUGGGGGCGCAGGGUGGAGAGAGGGGUGAGAGAGAGGGGAGAGAGCAGUGGGGUGGGGCCGAAGAGACAGAGAGGGGCGACCGUUACUAAUUAGUGGGGGCACGUUCAUUGCCGCCCGCUAGCGGACGACAAAGGGCGCGCAUAGCAGAAGGGGAGAUGGCCGUUAGCUGGGCCCCUUCUUUGCCGUCAGCCAGCAGACGGCAAAGGUCCAGCAGGCACACGACAAAGAUUAGGCUGACGGCAAAUAGGCUGACCUAGCCACGCCAUGCCCUAUGGGGCCCACCUGGCUCUUUGUUGUCUGCCUUCUAGCUCUUUGCCAUCAGCUGGCUGGCGGCAAAGAAGCAGCUGACGGCAAAUAUCCUUUUUUCCAUUAGCCCAUUCUUUGUCAUCCGCUUUGUGGAAGCUGGCAGCAAAGAGCCUCUUUGCCAUCAGCUGGCAGAUGGCAAAGAGGAGGCAGACAGCAAAACGCCAGACUCCAGUAGUGUCUGUAUGGUUGUGUGUGGAACUUGUUUUGCAGAACCGGACACGAUUCUUGUGUUCGAAGUCUACUUUAAAGUAUUCGGAGAAGGAACCCGCCUUGCAAUGCCGAAGAUAAUGUGCGCGCUGGACUCAUCGUCAUUGAAGCCUGGUUCAGGGGCUACUGAGGGAGUCCUGGAUUAAGGGGUCCUCGGUAAGCCGGACUAUAUACAUGGGCCGGACUGUUGGGCAUGAAGAUACAAGACAGAAGACUUCUUCCCGUGUCCAGAUGGGACUCUCCUUUGCGUGGAAGGCAAGCUUGGUGAUUCGGAUAUGUAGAUUCCUUUCUCUGUAACCGACUUUGUACAACCCUAGCCCCCUCCGGUGUCUAUAUAAACCGGAGGGUUUAGUCCAUAGGGGACAAUCAUAAUCCCAUAGGCUAGACUUCUAGGGUUUAGCCAUUACGAUCUCGUUGUAGAUCAACUCUUGUAAUACUCAUAUUCAUCAAGAUCAAUCAAGCAGGAAGUAGGGUAUUACCUCCAUAGAGAGGGCCCGAACCUGGGUAAACAUCGUGUCCCCUAUCCCCUGUUACCAUCGACCUUAGACGCACAGUUCGGGACCCCCUACCCGAGAUCCGCCGGUUUUGACACCGACAGAUAUUGACCCCAAUGCCUACCAAUGAAGCAAGAACAUCAUUUUAGUUCUCGUCUAAUCAUCUUAGCAUUUUGCUUCACAAGCCCUGUAGAGAGACUCACUACAUAAUCAUUGCAGAGCGAAGCCAUGAAUAUUGAAAUUAGCAAAUCAUCUGGAAUCGAAUCAAAUGGUCUUUCUGCACUUACGAUGAUCACCAUUUGACCAUCAAUAAUCGAUUAAAAAUUCAAUUACCUUUAUAUUCAUUUUUGUUGUUGUGUUAGACAGAGGGUUUGGUGUCGCGAUGUAUCUUUCUUUUGUUAUACUGAGUUGGAAAUCAAUGAACAUGUUUCCGUUGUUGGUUUCUUUGUCAUGUUUUAUAGUAGUAUUCUCCUUAGGGUUGAUCAUAUAUAGAUGUUCAAUAAGUGCAACAAAUGUUGGCAACUAGACCAUUCAUGGUAGAAUUAAAUGGCCAAAACAGUUGGCAUGUGCUGUCUAGUGAAAAACAAUCAUGUCCUAGCCACACACAAUGUUUCACUCAUUGAUCUUCUAUACAUAUCUAGCUUCCCCUUGUAGCAAGAUCGUGUCUAGUUGCUAUGGAGAAUGCCAAAGUGUAGUAGAGCGACAAUGACGAGCACGGUCAAUGCACAAAUGGACACAUGACAUAAUCUGGCAGGGAAUGGGAUGCAUCAGAAAUUUGAGUUGGAACCGAGGAAAAAUAGAUAGAAUCCACAGAGGAGUCGUGGAACUAGCAAAUACAGAUCAGACGGUGGCUCUAUGUUGUCCAUUCGGUGGAGCUUAUUUUAGAGUGUUGAGCCGUAGGUUCAUCACUCUAGUAGACCAGUUGCUACAGAUUUCAGGACUCUAGAAACUCGUUCUUCCUUUCUCAAUGGUGAGCCCAUGCCCUAGAAGACGGAGGACAAGCCUACUGCUUCAUUACCACCAUCGCCGAACAAGGAGACUUGAGUACACGGGUAUGGGCACCACCCUUGGCUUGUUUCAUGCUUGGGGGGAGGUGCCCCGGUAUCGUAUCACCAUCACUUUUAUCAUUAUUAUCUAUGUUAUUUCGAUUCUUAGUUGUUUUGUUAUUUAGAAGAAUAAAAGUAUUAGUAUUAAUUAGUUCGAGUUCUUGUUUCAUGAUCUAUCUAUCUAUGUAAUCGUGUGUGAUAGUUAUAUAAUAAAGAGUAGUUUGAGUUUUGAUACUUUGCUUUCUUGUUUCAAUCUUAUCAAUGAAAAAUAAAAGAUCAUAUGCUAAUAUCAUGGGGAGUAAUGACUUUACAUGUAAAAAGUAUAGUUGAUAAAAUUUAUUGGAAGUUAGCAAACAUAGCAUUGGUCAUUGUUGCAAUUCAUGAAAGAUUAUUAAAGGGAGAGAGUCUUCACAUAUAACUACACUAUCCUGGAUAACUUUUAUGAUUGUGAGCCCCCAUCAAAUAUUUUCAGCUUGACCAAAUAGUUAAUGUUGGACAAGGAAGACAACAUAAUGAGUUGUGUUUGCUUAUAUGCACAUAGAAGUUAUAUUGUCAUGGAUCCUCUAACAUGUGGUGCUUGUUCAUAAUCUUUUUCUAGCCAAAAUUUUGUACUACUUAGAAAUACUAUUUGUGCAUCCAAAAAUCCUUAAACCCAGUUUCUUGUCAUGAUAGUCCACCAUAUCUACCUAUGGAUUGAAUAAGAUCCUUAAAAUAAGUUGUCAUCGGUGCAAAGCAAUAAAAAUUGCCCCCAAGUAUGUAUGCUCUUUUAUUGUAAGGGAAAAUAAACUUUGUACGAACUUGUGAUGGUAAAGAAAUAAAAGCGACUGACUACAUAAUAAAGGUUGCUAUCACAAGGGGCAAUAUAAAGUGUUGUGGGAAACCACGGCCACCUAUGGAGCCAUGAGCCCCUUUUGGUUCGACAGGGGGACGGGCAUGUUGCACAAAGAGUGGAGAAGCGCAACACAUCACGUCAUUGAUCACACGGGUAGUUUUACCCAGGUCCGGGCCGCCGCGAGGCAUAAAACCCUACUCCUGCUUUGGUGGAUUGAUUGGUGGAGGCUAAAUUUGAUGUUUUGACCCUUUGGAUAAAAUUUAGCCGGAUCUGACACUCAUCCAAAAAUAUUUCGAGAUCUGACCCUUUUUCCUACCGUUGUAGUCGUUAGCGGUAGGGUUAUACAACAUACCACCAAGAUCUGUGGCGGUAGGACUUAACUGUGCCGUCACGGCCAUUUAACGUGAAAAAUAGCCUACCGCCACAGUCUUUGGCGGUAGGUUGUGUAACCCUACCGCCAAUGGCUACGGCGGUAGGAUAUUCGUAGUACAAAAUGCAUGUGAGUGCAUGGCACCGGUCUCUGUGAGUGCAUGCGAACAUCCGGUAUGCAUGUGAGUGCAUGGCACCGGUCUCUGUGAGUGCAUGCGAACAUCCAGUAUCCAUCUUUCCUCCCACAUGUAUCAUUAGUAGUACUAGCUCCUAGCUCGUACUGCCACAAAAUUAAACAAUGGAUGUACUACACAGCUAGCUAGCUAGACAAGCAGCAGGCUAGCCACUAGCUAGUUUCACAAAGCUAGGUAGGCAGUAGGCAACCACAUAAUCGCAAAACGCUAGCGGCCAGCCGGCAUGCAUGCAUGAACGACCACAUUUUAAAUGGAAGGUAGUAGCACACCCUACCGCCAAAGACCCUGGCGGUAGGGUAUAAUGGUCUACUGCCAAGGACUUUGGCGGUAGGGUAAUUUUCAUGUUAUAACAACGUCAUAAUGCAGUUAAAUCCUACCGCUGAAGACCAUGGCGGUAGGUAGUGUUACCCUACCACCAGAGACUACGGCGGUAGAAAAAGGGUCAGAUCCUGAAAUGUUUUUGGAUAGGGGUCAGAUCCGGCUAAACUUUGUCAAAAGGGUCAAAACACCAAAAUUUGCCAUUGGUGGAUAAUGGAGGAAUGCGUGGCGCUCUUACCCAGCAGGGUUGCCUCAGGGCGAGAGUGGCUACGCGCGUAUGAGGACUCAAAUGGCCGAAUCCUCGAACCCUUUCUGCAAUCGCCAUGGGCCUCCUUUUAUAGAGCAAGGGGUCACCACAAUGGCAAAUCAGUCUUUGUGUACUGAUUAGAGAGCAAACAGUGCUAUCAUACCUAAUUCUGCAGGCAGUCAGAGCGCAUUAAAUGCGCCACUUAGUGUCACAUCACAGCAUGCCCGUCAAGGAGCUUCGCACCUGCUUGCUUGACUCGUCUUAGGACGGGUGUCAUUUGGAGGUGUUUUCUGUAGGAAGUGGCUGCCAUGUGGCAGGAAACAACCACUUAGUCACUUGGGGGCUUGACACCGCACUGAUCGAUGACUUGCGUCAUGGUAAGGUGGAGCGGUGAAGCCUUGGCGGGGUAAUCCGCCCUUGCUGUGCCCGGCAAGCCUGCCGGGCAGUCUGGAGGCUUGUCUUUGGGGAAACCUCGCCCUUGCCAGGCUCUCCUUCCCGACAAGGGAGGUUUUUCCCUUAGGGACAUCUUGCUCCUCUAUCUUGACUUGGUCUUCUUGAUCUGCACUCUAAUUCUUCAAAGAGUUGAUCUCUUAUGCUUGGUCUUGGACUUGGAUGCUGCAAUCUUAUCCUUGGGCAUGUGCACAGUCUGGGCAACAGACCCAGGGUUUGUUGCACCGACAUGAGCCCCCGGGCUUGGCCCCGAACGCGCUUGAAAGAACAUGCGGUGCCCCCAUGUUUGGUUUUGGCAAUUGAUGACAAUCUCUAUGGACUAAUGGUUGCCUUGAGUUAUAUUUGAAGGAUUUGUCCAUAGGCUUUUCUUGGAGUCCAUUUGUUGGUUUCAAGGAGAGUUUGUGAUGACCACGGUGCUAUUAAGGAAUUAUCCAAAGACUGGUCAUGUGAGUGUUGAGCUUAUUGCAAGCAUGUCUUGAAGAAUAAGAUUGUGUGAUCAUUCAUGUCCACCUUCAAGACAUCAUCCAAAUAAAGAGAGUUGGAAAGAUUCAACACACAAAGCGCACAAGAUGUACCGAGGGAUCAAGUGAUCCCAUGGUAUGGUAAGCAUUGUCCACUACGCUUUGUGUGCUAACCCAUGGUCUUCGUGAGAGUUCUUUGUGGGGUUAGGUUGCGGUGUGUAAGUUCAAGUGAUGCAUCACGAAGAGAUCAAGUGCUUGAAGCUUGCCGUCCAUUGUGGUGACAAUGGACUUGUGAAGAUGAGCGGAAGAGUGGCUCACCCAUAGUGGAGUAUGGGGGAGCAAUCAACUAGUCUUCAUCGAGCCAACGCAAUCAAGAAAGGUGGUCCAUCUUGAGGAGGAGUAGAUCGUCAUCAUCUAGCUCAAGUGGACUUUGUGCAAGGCAGAGGUUUGCCCUUGAUAGGUUUUCUAUUUUACCGAUCUCAUGGUGGUAGUUGGGAGACCGGGUUUUAGGAUCGAUUGUCGUACUAUCAAGGGGGGCUCUUGAUGAGUUGCUUGAUUGUAUCGUUCGUAGAGAGCUCAAACCAUGGCAUCCUUGCAUCAUCUUUAUUGGUUCUUGUUUGGUUCUUCUCCUUGUGAGAUUUGGAGCUUUUGGUCAUUUUCAUGACAAGCUCGAGUUCAUCGAAAACGGAGUUCACAUGCAUCUUCUAUGAUGUUUUCCAUGUUGGAGGUUCUGCCGAUUCUUCUCUGUUGGAGGUUUAUCUCCUCUCUUGUUAGGCAGACCUCCGUGUCUCUGUUUUGAUGCUACUUGUUGUCUUGUAUCCAACAAGCUUGAGUUUGCUCAAUUCGGAGCUCAUUUGCAGAAGUUAUGGCAGUUCUGGUUUUAUCGCUUCCCUCUGUUGUCUUCUCUGCAAAAUGAAGGACUCCUAGUGUUGCUGAUCUGGGGCAUGCGGUAGUACUGCUCUCAGGAGCGGUAGUACCGCAGGCCCUUGCGGUAGUACCGCAGUCCCCUGCGGUAGUACUGCAGGUGCUCACAGUAGUACCGCUCUGUGGGAGCGGUAGUACUGUGGCCUUAGGCCAGGCGCAGCUGCUUGAGCGGUAGUAGGGGCGGAUGUAAUUUUUUACAUCCGCGCCCUACGCGGUAGUACCGCGCCGCGGGCGUGGUAGUACCGUGGGCUCUGGCCAGGCUUAGCAGCAUGAGCGGAAGUAGGGGCGGAUGUAAUUUUUUACAUCCGCGCCCUGUGCGGUAGUACCGCUCUUUGUGUGCGGUAGUACCGUGCCGGAGUUUUGCGCAGGUCCUCCCUCAGCGGAAGUAGGUACGAAAGUAAUUUUUUACUUCCAUGCUUCUCUGCGCCUAGUGUUGCCUGCCUUACGGUAGUACCGUAGGGGCGCGCGGUAGUACCGCUCUGGCGGUUCUACCGCUCGUUACCCUGUGCAACAGGCCUUCAUCUGGCCAGUGUUGCACAUGCGGUAGUACCGCAACCUGCAGCGGUAGUACCGCAGCUGACCGCGGUAGUACUGCAGCUCCGUGCGGUAGUACCGCGUCGUGCGGGCUGAGUGAGGGGAUAACGGUUGGAUUUUCUCCCCACCUAUAAAAGGGGGUAUUCUUCCCCCAUUGAGUCUUAUCCUUUGAGCUCGUGCUCUUCCCCCAUUGUUGACCUUCCCCGAGCUUGCUAUCUCUCAAUCCCUCCAUGGAUUCUUGCUAGUUUUGGGGGGGAAAGAGAGAGGAGAUCUAGAUCCACAUUUCCACCAAUCACUUUCUCCUCUAAGUGAGGGGAACCCCUUGGAUCUAGAUCUUGGAGUUCUUCGUGUUCUUCUUUCAUUCUUCCUCUCAUUUUCCUCCCUACCAUUAGUUGCUUUGGUGGGAUUUGGGAGAGAAGGACUUGGGCACUCCGUGUGCCCUUGCCAUUGCAUUUGGUGCAUCGGUUUGAGUUCUCCACGCGAUACGUGGAAGUUACAAGUUGAGAAGAUUAUUACUCUUGGGUGCUUGAUGCCCUUGAGCUUGUUCCUCUUGGGUGCUUGGGCGCCCUAGACGGUUGGUGGUGUUCGGAGCUCAAUCAUUGUGGUGUAAAGCUCCGAGCAAGCGUCGGGGUCUCCAAUUAGGUUGUGGAGAUCGCCUCGAGCAAUUUGACGGGUACCGGUGACCGCCCCCAAGGGUUGCCAAAGUGUACGGGUUCGGUGACCGCCCCCAAGGGUCGCCAUUUGUACGGGUUUGGUGACCGCCCCCAAGGGUCGCCAUUUGUACGGGUUCGGUGACCGCCCUCAAGGGUCCCUUAGUGGAAUCACGGCAUCUUGCAUUGUGCGAGGGCGUGAGGAGAUUACGGUGGCCCUAGUGGCUUCUUGGGGAGCAUUGUGCCUCCACACCGCUCCAAACGGAGAUUAGCAUCCGCAAGGGUGUGAACUUCGGGAUACAUUGUCGUCUCCGCGUGCCUCGGUUAUCUCUUACCCGAGCCCUUUACUUAUGCACUUUACUUUGUGAUAGCCAUAUUGUUCUUUUUCAUAUACCUUGCUAUCACAUAGUUGCUUAUCUUGCUUAGCAUAAGUUGUUGGUGCACAUAGGUGAGCCUAGUUGUUGUAGGUUUUGUGCUUGACAAAUUAACCGCUAGGUUUAUUCCGCAUUUGUUCAAGCCUCUACCGUAAUUAUUUUAAAACGCCUAUUCACCCCCUCCCCCCCUCUAGGCGGCAUCCACGAUCUUUCAGCGCUGUCGGGCAUCGUCGGGGUACGCCCUAACCAGUGCACACGUAGGAGGGUAGUAGUUGCUCGUCCUUUGAGAUCUUAUUUGCUUCUUCAUUAACCUGAGCCCAGGUCAGUUUCCGGUUCUCCCGUGCGCCGUGUAACGCCAAUCGUAGUGGGGCCACUCUUGUAAUGGUCCGUGAAUGACUUUAACGCAUGGGCGAGUAACUACCAAUUCACUCUUCCCACCACGCCCUUAUCCUUAGCCAUGUAUGUUGCAUGAAUUGAGUGGGGCAGGUAACAUAGGCGCGUGGUGCGGGAGAGCAUGAAGGCAGGGGCCCGGCCUUCUCGAAUUGGUGGAGGAGGACGGCGGUCAUCCACCAGGGAAUCAGUCCCCGGCUCCAGCCCGCCUAUAAAAGGAGGAGUGGGAGUGCCCAUCCAUACACCUCUCCUUCACCCUCUGCUUUCUUCUAGUUAUGCUGAAGGGGAGAGUCCGGGCCUCCCUAGUUUCGGGUUGGUGACACCAAAUGCUCGUGAUGAUGCUUGGGGAGUGAAUGGAGGGUUUGGUCAUGCCUUCGCUGGGGCAGGAUCCCUCUCUCAUCUUCAUGCGAGCCUCAGGAGGGCGCACGGGCGGCACGGGUGGUAUCACCGGAGGUAGCGACUCCGGUGGGCUCAUCGCCGAUCCGCCCGUGUCUUCAAUUCUAGUGAGGGGUAAUGCAAACGAUACCACGUCGAGGCCCGUAAUAGGUGCAAGGCGUGGUAGUCGAUCGUGGCCUAUUCCCCCUCUUCCUGCGGCGUCGGAGGGAGGUCGUAGAAGUGGUUCUCCAUUGGCAAAGAUAGACUAUCAACCAUGAACAAGGCCACAAAAGGAAAUGGUAGUCACUACCCUAUAAGACAACCGCCACACGCCCUUUCUCCAUGAAUAAUAAGACACUAGCCAAAUUUUGGCAGUGGGGCCUACCACCAGCUUGACGAGGUCGAAGGUAGGAGCUGUGAGGACAAAAUUAUGCGACAUGUCCCCUAGACGGACAUUAGCCCCUUCCACCGCCUAAGAAGUGUUGCUGGUUACGGGGCAAUCAGAUCAAGGGUGAAAGUGGCGGUGACAAAGAAUUUAAUUAGGUGCAUCAUAUGAGAUAUACCUUUCACGCAAUAAAUAACAUGACAGGUUACUGAUUAAACUAAAGUCCAAGAGUCUCGACUGGUUGAGUUUCAUAUCUCUAUAUAUGUAUUUCUUCAUGGACCAAUGGCUCAUCUACAAGUUACUAUCUUUUCACUAUGUGAACCAACACAAUAUGGAAUCAUAGAAUGUUGAUGUAAGGACAUGUAUAGAGAACUGGAUUUUUUUUCUGAUAAAAUAUACAGAACCGGAUGGGUGAUCGAGAGAGCGGUGGUGAUAAAUGUUAAGUGGCAGCGGACCAUAAGAAUCACUCACUAGGAAUAGGAUGCACAUAGAUUUCGAGUUCAAGACCAACUGCAAGUGUACACACAAGAACUCUUAUCUUCGCUGCUCUUGGAUACAUGUGUGGAUUGUGUGUUGGUUGGUGUCGUGAGGCAAUAUGCCACACUACCUUCUUAGUAGGAGACCCUGACUUACUACCUUUGUGCUUGAAAAGAAUGAGUAUAAUUUUUUGUAUGUAGUCAAACAAAGUAAGGUUUGACCAAGUUUAUGGAAAAGCUAUCAACAACGACAAUACUAGGUAGAUAUAGUAUGAAAAUAUAUUGUAUAGUGUAUUUGAUGAUACUAAAUUGGUAUGGUAGUUGUUCAUAGUUUUUGAUAAACUUAGUGAAACUUUGCAUUGUUUGACUUGACACAAAAAUUAUGCGCCUUCUUUUCAAGCGCACAUAAAUUAUUGUAUCCGUGAAAUGGGUAUGUAGCAAUUGUAUCUCAACAUUCAGACAUAGCUGCACAUAGUUGCAAAAGAUGUCGUAAAUGUAAUCCACUAUCUAUUAAUUUGGUUGUUUAUUACUCUUAAAUUAAAUGCCAUGCUCCAUUUGUUAAUUGUCCUUGUCCUUCUUUCCUCAGCAAAUAGAAUAAACCUUGUGUGUUAACCAAAAAUUCAUCUAGGUUCAGACGUCAUUGCACUCCAACCGUACAAAGGAAUGUCAUGUAAUUUGUAAAUUAAAAUAAUUAAGAAGAAGCAUGUUUUACUUUACAACCUUCCCAUUUUGGAGAAAAAAAAUCAUCUACUAUACCAUCAAUAAUAAGCGGUGUCUUAUGCUUUUCAAAGAAGAAAAUCACAUCUCAUGUCUUACGCUUGCCCUCCUUGAGCGGUUUUCUUACUACUUCCUUCUUCCUAGUCUAGAAGGUGUCCACAGAAUUUUAAGGUUCACAUUUUAUCAUUGGUUAGGCCAAUAAAUAUGAGUUUUACCAUAGAAAUUGUAUAGAGGAAACUUCUUCUAAUAUGAAUUCAAUGGCAUAAUUUUUGGGUCACAAAACCCAUGUUUUAGUAAAAACAUUGCACUUAUCAACUCAACUAACUAAUUCCCUAUGCAAACCAACGACUGUAUAUUGGAUGUUUUUAUUGUGUAUGGGCAUGUGUAUAAUAUUGCGUCCCGAGAUUACAUUUUUAAUAUGGAUCAUCUUGAGGAAUCAAAAGGGAUGGGAUGUUCAUUCUAUGUUAAACCUUGAUUUUUAUGCAUAAGCCUAAAAAGACAUGUGAAGAUUAAUAGAGGGGAUAUUAACCUGAGUGCCUAGCAACAAAGCAGGAAUAUUGUUUUGGUUCUCAUCUAAUCAUCUUAGCAUCUCGUUUCGCAGGCCCUGUAGAUCUAGUCACUACAUAAUCAUUGCAGAGCGAAGCCAUGAAAACUGAUAUUAGCCAAUCAUCUGGAAUCAAAUCAAAUGGUCGUUCAGCACUGAUGGUGAUCACCAUCAAUAAUCAAUUAAAAAUUCAAUAAUCUUUUUUAUUCGACCAUUUUUACGGUACCCUGUACUGCUAUGGGUGAGGAGAGCCGUAUAUAACAGAUCACCCCCGUCGAUUUCUCAAGGUUAAAACAGGCAUUUCCAGAUUUUAAUUACUAUCAUGAAAGUUUUCUUCGCCUCGUCAUGGCCUAAGGGGCUGGGGAAUCAACUUAGUUGCGACCUCGGCGCCUUGCUGUGAACGCCGCCAUGCCCUGGCCAUCCUUGCUGCUGCGACAUUGCGUGCCCGCGUCUCUGUGUCCUGGCACGCUCUCCCCAUUACGAUUUGCCGCCACCGCAUUUAACCUAGGUGGCAUGGCUUCCUUUGGCCUUGGCGUCACGUCUACAAUCACGACCUACAAAGGGGAGGUGCUAGGGCGACCGUCGGAAUCCUAGCCGAUGGGUUUGCGGGCGUGCAGGAAACGAAAGAGAACGAACGGGCUGGGUGGGUGGGUCCGAGCAAUGGGAUUGGCGGGCUAAAUUCCCUUUCUCUAAAACGCCCUCACAACACGUAUACUCACAGUUGCGCGUUGUGCGGCCAGAAUCAACCAACACGUUCCGGUUGUUGGUUGAGUUUGUGGUGGCUUCUUUGUCAUCGUUUGUAGCAGUAUUCACUUUAGGGUUAAUCAUAUAUAGAUAUGCAGUGCAGCAAACAUUGGCAACUGCACCAUUCAUUGUAGAAUUAAAUGGCCACAACAGUUCGUGGUGGGUUGAGUUCGUGGUGGCUUGUUUGUCACGGUUUGUAGCAGAAUUCUCUUUAGGGUUGAUCAUAUAUAGAUUUGCAAUGAGUGCAAAAAAUGUAGGAAAUCACAUCAUUCAUGGUAGAAUUAAAUGGCCACAACAGUUGGCAUGUGGUGUUUGGUGAAACAAUGAUGUCCUUGCCUCCACCCUUGUCUUCUAUGCAUAUCUAGCUACCCCAUGUAGCAAGAUCACGUCUAGUAGCUAGGGGAGAAUGCCAGAGUGUAGGAAAGCAAUAUUGACUAGCACGGUGGAUGCGCCAAUGGUCACAUAGCGUGUUCUGGCAGGGAGUGGGAUGUAUCAAAAAUUUAGAGUUGGAGACGAGUAAACAAAAGAAUGCUUUGAACACUGGUGUAACCAGCAAAUACAGAUCACAUGGCGGCUCUACGUUGCCAGUUCGGCACAGUUUACUCUCCAGUGUUCAGCCGUUGAUUUCAUCACUCAGGUAUCGAGCUGCUCAAGCUAAGCUUGGCCAGGUCUCCAACACACUAAGUUUGGGAAAGCGUGCGUUCUGCAUCGGUGUCACUCGGUUAAAAGGAAUCAUGACUCGAGCGCGAGAAGACACGAUUAUUUGCAUCUAUUGAUCGUCUCACCUAUUAACUUACAAGACACCCUCAAUAUUACAGUACAAGCACCUAGUGGGCGCAGCUAGUCAGCAGGAGAGUAAAGCUCACAGUUCGUUUGUUUGGAUAAAAAGGGUUUUCUCCGUACCGGAACUCAAAUCAUAUGAUUAAGACCACAAAAGGCACUGGAUGCAACAGCUUAGUUCGACCAUACUAGAUAUAUCAUUACUAAUAAGAAUGACAAAAAAUCCAACUGUCUGAAAUUAACAGGUAGCCACUGAACAAUCAAAGGGGAAAGGAAAUCAGAAAUGCUCUUUGUAAUCGAGCAUGCGAGUCGCCUUACCUGACAAUCAUAGCAGGCUGCAUCAACACUGCGACCAAAAUGAACAAGUAAAUUUACUCCCUCACAAGCAUAUGCAAAUAUAUUCCACCAAGAAUAUUAGUCGGUCCUCGCUAUCAACCACAUCUAAAACCAUGUCAACGAAUGGAAACAACACCACCUUAAAAGUAUCCACACGAGAAGGCUCCUUAUAUUUGUAUUAACAGAAGAGCAAAAAGAUAUAGCUGUAUGAUUUCAGCGAUCCAAAUCCGCAUGGUGCAGCGAUGCGCAAGACUACCAUUUCCAAUCGGCACACAUCCUGUCUCCUUCCACUCACUACCCUGGCUACAACUCUGGCUGCUGGUUUUCUUCAUCAGAACGCAGAGCUCAGGGCACCACGUGCUGCCUGUUGUUUCAACUCCUGGGAUUUUCCACUUCCACGGAAGUACAUGUACACUUGCUG
rnacentral:lncRNA from 1 species